rnacentral:lncRNA from 1 species
UUUCUACCAAAUUUUUUCUCCUUUCAAUUCACUCCUCAUACUCUCCUCUUCAGCUCUUCUUCCUCUUCUCUUCUCCUCUUCCUCUUCUUCUCCAACCACUCUUCAGCUCCAACCACUCUUGUCUUCAGCAGCACCGCCAGGCGCCAGCCGCCAUCCACAACAAGGGAAGCAGCAGCAGCCGCGACAGCAGCACAGCAGCCGCAACAGCAGCAAGCAGCCGCGACAGCAGCACAGCAGCAGCCAGCAGCACAGCAGCAACCAGCCGCUAGCCGCGACAGCACUCAGCAGCAGCCAGCCGCCGGCCGUGCAGCAGUUUGGCCCAUUAAAAAAUCGAAAUAAAAAACCGAACCGAAAUAUUUCGGUUCGGUAUUCGGUACGCAAUUUAUAAAAAUUGAAAACCGAAAAAACCGAACCUAACCGAAAUACCGAAUGCCCACCCCUAUUGACAGCUUUUAAGUGGGGUUUCUUGUCUUUUCCUACUUUUCCUAAGCCCAAGACAUGAAGUUUUAACUUCAAUUAGGGGAAUAUAUUUCCACCAAGUACUCAAUUUUCUUUUAAUUAUACGCUUUCAACUCCCCAACUCAGAACCCCCCUCCAAGGAUAGCAAAAGCUAGAGUUUUAAGGCUUCCAAUCAACUUUUGUACUACUUCAAUGAGAAUGUUCAUUUCUCUUUCAUGUCUAAAGUGAUUAUAAAAUAUGUACAAACUUAGGAUUUUACCUAAUCUUAUUCAAGCUAUGAUUUUUAUUCAGAAUUAGAGUUUUAUGAAAGAUUUCUCCAGUAUAUCAAUGAGUUACUGUGAACUACGUAUUUUAUUAUAUUAUUAUGAUUCUCCAAACAUGUGUCCAGAUUAUUUAUGAAGCUAUGAGAGCUACUUUUGAGUAUUUACGGAUUAUGCAUGAUUCCAAAUAAGUUGUCUCGUGUUUAAAGUCAUGUGCAUAGAAGUAAAGAUAUGCUUAUGAAAGAGAUAUUUUGAGCAUUGACAGAGAACACCACGACUCAUGAUCAGUAAUGAGAGUAUAACUUCCAGAUAUGUAAUUAAUGUUUAGGCAGUGUGACUUCUCGAGUCAUUAAUUAAUGAUCAAAUCAUAAUAUGAUUUCAGAUAUAGUUUUCAUGAUUACAACCUAGAGUUUUUAAGGGUAUUUUGAAUGAUCCUAAAUGCAUUAUUUUACAAUGAGAAAGAAAAUACUAUUUUAAUUACAAAAGCAUUAAGAGUAUACGGAGGCAUCUGGACAUAUAAAAGUUGAAUUAUCCCUUAAAAAAGGGUCUUUUUGAGUAUUAUCUCAACACAUAUAUGCUACAUGAGCAUAUUGAUGCUGAUUAUAUUGCAAGUAGUAUCGAGCACCAAAUUGAGUAAUAGUUCAUUUUAAAUACCAAGCCCCAUGAUAUACAUAGUUAGUGUAGGAUAGGGUCGUACCGAUUUUUGAAUGAGUACUCCUUAUUGCCUCAAGAAGGCUUAUUGGAUGGAUCCAUAGUAGUGUUUAGCAUCCUAUAGCCCGACAAACUGUAGGAUGACCCUGACAACGUGGGUGAAAUGUUGUUUCUUCGCUAGGUUCAUAGUGAUGAUUGUCGAUUAAAUAAGUAAAGUUUAUUAUUUUCAUAUUGCUUUUAGUACAUAUUUUUUUGUAAACUACAAAUGGUUUUCACCACUUGUUCAUAUCUUGUUUCACUUGAGUUAUAUUUAAUCAUCAGUUCAACUGUUGUUUUAUUUGGCCAUAUUGUAUACUCGUACAUUCAAUGUACUGAUGCUAUUCAACCUCAUUUCAUGAAUCAAUUUUAGGUAUUUAGGAUUAUCAACAGAUGUUCCAUUAAGAUCACAUCAUCUACUCGUCAACAUAUAGUGUAACCUCCUUGCUUUCGAAGGACUCCAUUUUUGUUGAUUUAUAGUAUCAGGGUUUUGAGGUGUCGUUAGUCUUCUCUCAACACCGAUAUUUAGAUAGGAUUGGCUUCAUGGACAAAAAGAGUUAGACGGUUUCCAUAACUUUUCUCACAUGUUUUAUUAAACACUUACUAUCUAUAUUAAGUAUUUUCAUACUUUGUUUUAAAAUUUCUUUAAAUGUUUAAAUGCUCAUCUAUUAAAUUAAAGCCUUUGUGUAUCAUAUUGAGUCAUAUACACCAUAGUUAGCCAGACAAACGGUUCGCUUAGGACCAAUAAUGAUUUUGAGUGCCGUCCACGUCUAGGGUGAAGAAAACAUAACAACUAAUUAAAGGAAACAGUUCAAUCAACAAAAUAGUCUAAUAAUCGAAAACAUUACUAACUAAAGUGUAAACAGAUGUAGUAAACCAAAGCUUGAGUAACUACUCAUUGGUAGAGUAGCCAAAUCAACACACAUAUCCUUGAAUAUGUUUCAGAAGAGAAAGUAUAAUAAUUCAUAUAACUUUUAACUUGAGAUCACCCAGCUAACCAAUUCUGUUUUUUUUUGUUCCACUUUGAUCUUUAUUGUAGGACUGAGUUGAGAUUUAUAGAGAAACUUGUGAAAGUUACUGAAAAUAAAGUAAACCGUUCAAUCCUGAGUGUUGCUCCUUACCUAAUUGGUAUGCAUUUUCGGGUUAACAAUAUUUGCUUGUGGUUGCAACAUAAAACACAUGAUGUUGGUAUUUGGGGCAUUUGUGGUAUGGGUGGUAUAGGGAAGACAACAAUCGCCAAAUAUGCAUUUAACUCUAACUUUGAAAGUUUUGAAAGAAGCAGCUUCCUCUACAAUGUUAGAGAUUUUUCAGAGUCUACGGAUGGACUAAUUUAUCUGCAGAAACAAUUUCUUUGUGAUAUUCUUGACGGGAGGAAGAUUGACAUUCAGAGUGUUGAAGAUGGAAUGAAUCAGAUCAAAAGUGCUGUUUAUGGUAAGAGGGUUCUCAUUGUGCUGGAUGAUGUUGAUGAAGUGGAACAAUUAGCUGCUAUCGUUGGAAUGCGAGAUUGGUUUUAUUCAGGCAGUAAAAUUAUAGUGACAACAAGGCACAUAGAGUUACUAAGGGCUUGUGAAAUUGAAUUGAUUGAUCAUGUUCAGAAACUGAGCCUAGGCGAAUCUGUUGAACUAUUUAGUUGGCAUGCAUUCGGACAAGACCAUCCAGUCGAGAAUUACACCAAGUUCUUGACAAGGAUUAUAGAAUAUUGUAUUGGAUGUCCUCUAGCUUUACAAGUUUUGGGUUCUUCUCUCUCUGGUAAAAGUCUGGAUGUAUGGGAAAGUACACUGAAGAAACUAGAGGCAAUUCCUAAUAGUAAAGUAUCGAAGAAACUGCAAAUUAGUUUUGAGUUUAUACAAGAUGAUCAUGACAAAAGCCUAUUCCUUGACAUUGCUUCCUUCUUUCUUGGAAAGAAUGUAGACCAUGUUGUCACUAUACUUAAUGCAUGUGGAUAUUAUACAAUGGUUGGGCUUCAGAAUCUCCGAGAUAGAUUCUUGUUGAUAAUUGAUGAAUAUGGAAAACUGAGGAUGCAUCCAUUAGUUAGAGAUAUGGGACGAGAAAUUAUACGCCAAGAAUCACCUAAGCAUCCCGAAAGACGGAGUAGAUUGUGGCAUUUCAAGGACUCAUUUAAUGUUCUGAGAGAAAAAAUUGUACGAUCCUUUAUUUUUCCAGUUACAUUUACCUUCACAAAUCUGCUUUUUAUGUUAUAUAUAUCAGUAAUCUUUUCAUCAGGGUACAGAUAUGAUCCGAGGCCUGAAUGUUAGGUCUUGUGCACACAAAGAUAAGCCACCGAGAUUCUUUUAUCAUCCAACAGCACAUGAGUACUUGCAGGAAUGUGCCUACCUAAUGGGGAAAAAGAAGCUGUCAAGCCAAAGUAAUCCAUCAAGGCAACCACAACCUCGUAAAGUUCUUACUAAUGGUUCACUUGGCAAAUCAAAGAAGGUGGACAGUGUCAACACUGAUGCAUUUUCGGGUAUGCACAAAUUAAAACUGCUGCAACUUGACAAUUUAGCACUUAAAGGAAGUUAUAAGGAGUUCCCAAGGUCAUUGAGGUGGUUGUGUUGGCACAAAUUUCCAUAUAAAUGUUUACCUGAUGGCUUACCUUUGGAGAAACUGGUCGUCCUGGAAAUGCGCUACAGUAGGUUGCAUCAUCUUUUUGAAAGAAACAAGGUACUACACAAUGUAUAUUCCCUCUUCCUUGAAAACUUGUUCCUUGCACAAGUCUUUUAUAUAAUAUCCCCUUGUUUUUAAGAUUUUAAGAUUCAUUUUUUUUUGUUUUUGUUUACAGGUUCUAAGUGCAUUAAAGAUUCUGAAUUUGAGUCAUUCAGAAGGUUUGUCCUAUACCCCUGACUUCUCAAAGCUCCCAAAUCUUGAGAGGAUAAUUCUCAAGUACUGCACUAGGUUGACUCUGAUUGAUAAAUCGAUUGGAGGACUAAAGAGACUCCUCAUUUUGAACCUGAAAUGCUGCCAAAGUCUACGGAAACUUCCCAGAUGUAUUACUAAUGUCCAUUCCCUCGAGAAGCUUAUUCUGUACGGUUGCUCAAAAUUUGAAUGGUCUUCAUUAGAGUUGAAUAAGAUGCAGUCAUUGCUAGAGCUUGAUGCCGGUGGAACUGCUAUACAUCAAGAUUCCACUUGUGUACGUAAGAAGCAUUUACUGAGUUUAGCUCUGUGCACUUUAGUCUCAAGCCCAAGAAAAUCUCCUGGAAUCGUUAACCUGUUAACUACAGUAUCUCAGACAUUAGUAACCUUAAGUCUUAUUGGAUGUGGUCUAUCAAGUGAUUUGAUUCCAGUGGAGCUUGGUGAUUUCUCCACACUGCAGAACUUGUAUUUAAGUAAGAAUCCAAUUGACAGCUUACCAGAUAGCAUCAAGAAGCUUACCAAUCUCCAGGUACUUGAGUUAGAGAAGUGCCAAGAACUUAAGUAUCUUUCAGAGAUUCCAGCCAGUGUCACAACGUUGAGCAUCUACGGAUGCAGGUCAAUCGAGCGGUUAUCAAAUUUACCAAACAUAUUGACAACAUUGGAAUUUCUUGUGUUAAGUUGCAACAAACUAAUUGAGGUUCAGGAAAUGUUCCAGCUAAAAUGUAUUUCUUUAUUUGAUGCUGAUUUAAUCAGCGUUCUGGGAUUACCCAACUUGAGUGACAUGAAAGUGGAUCUCUACAACAACCUGACUCUUACAAGAUGGAAAUGUCCUAUACAGGUUUGUCUUAUGCUGAUUUAUUUGCUCGUAUCACACGAAUAUUAAUGAUGUAUAUUUGUGAUUAAUAUGCAGGGCCUCUAUGAAUUUGGCAUAUUCAGUACUUCUUUUCACGGAAGUGAGCUUCCAGACUGGUUAAGCUACAAAUCUACGGGGUCGUCCUCAAUCAGUUUUGAUGUGCCUAAUCAUGACAUUCAGGGUUUAAACUUAUAUGUUAUCUAUGGAAAGGCCAAUAUAUCUUACUGUACAAAGAGAAAUAAAUUUUGGAAUGAGUUUCAUGUUAGAGUGGUAAAUAAGACCAAGGAUUUGAGAUGGACAUAUAGUCCAAUAAUUCAUGGUAUUCCAGAUAAUUAUGAAGAUAUCACAUGGCUAUGCAAUUGGGAAAUAGGAGAUCACUUGGAUCCUGGAGAUUCUAUGAGCAUUUCAAUGACUCUAUAUUCUGGUGUUCGAUUGAAGCAACUUGGCGUCCACAUUGUGUAUAAGAACAAUUUGAGAUGUAACACAUCACCAUCUCCUCAUCCACACAAUCUCAUUAAUGGGGUGGACAACUCUGCAUAUCAGGUUCAAGGCUCCUACUUGCUCUGUCAUCAUGACUUUGAUAUUCAACAAAACUAUUUCACUUAUGGCUGGAACUCAACGGGCUGGUAUGAUUUCUUCUUUGGUGAUAAUUCUGAAGAUUUUCCCGAGGAAAUGGUUCCCCGUCACAAUGCAGAUAUGACUGGAGAGAAUGUCUAUGGACUUCUAUCUGGAGUGUAGGAUAAUAAAACAUGACUGUUGCCAUGAUGCCGGAUUGCUGGUGUGGAGAGCUAAGGUUUUCUAAAUCAUAUAUGUUGGAAUUCUGAUCCCAAAUUUGCCUAAAGAAAUAGUAUAUUCAAUAUGUUCCUUCGCAACAGUUACGUUUUGUAAAGCAAAUAAAAUAAUGACAUAAUAUUUUAUCACGAAAAAACCUGGCUCACAAAGGAAAAAAAAACUUGACUUACACCUUUGUAGGUUUGAACUCCUCUUCAUAAAAUUCUGAGCCUCAAUCAGAUAUUACAAACCUAUGUAACCUAAGGAAUUAUAAACUCUAAUUUCCAGCUAAGAAAUUACAAACUCUAAUUCCUAGCUACCCAAGACAAAAAAUCCCAGGUUUAAGUCUUCUACUGUCCGUCAAGUUUCUCAAACUUAUUAGAUGAAUCCUACACAUACACUUGAUUGUAAUCAAAACUCUUAAUUACAAUCUUACAACUUUUUCCUCACAAACUCGCAACACUCCCCAGUAAAUCUCAAAACUCUCUCAAACUCUUGAUCGUAUUUUGAUCCUCUUUCUAUGUAAAUGUGCAAUUUUCUCCAGCAAAACCAUCGUCUUAUUUAUAGAUUUGAACUUGAAUCCAAAACCUAUUUCAACUAGAAAUAGUACUUGUGCUCUGCUUACUUUUUCUCUUAAAACAUAUAAGCUCACGCGUAGGAUUCCUAUUUCGUGUGGAACUCCAAGUUCAACUCGAACUUGUCUUCAGUUUUCUUUCUUGACUUCACUUUGAUUUAUUUCCUUCUUGAACUCUUUAUUUACGCCCUUUAUUUCCUUCUUUGAUCAUGCUUCUUACUUCUCUUAGUAUUUAUAUCUAUAUUUACACUUUGACUUAAUAUGCACUCCAUUUUCUUUGUAGGACUCCUUUAUAAAAAGGAAAUUUUAUGCAUUGGUUGCUUGUCGAAAAAGCAAUCCUUUCACUGCAUAUAACUUCUAAUUCGUGUGGUUGACGUUCUCCUUAUCCCAGUCGGAUUCGAUUUGAAAGGCACAUGUUAACGCAACAGGUUCCUUUCAUCUAUUCCUCUAUUUGUCAAUUAUCAAAAAAUUUCUCGUUCUAACAAAUUCCCCUUUUUGAUGAUUACAAACCAUUGUUUCUUAUGUGAAUAGAUUAACCUAUGAACUCAUUGAAAAUCAAAAUUCCCUCUAAUUUUACAUGAAAAACAUCUACUCUUGGGGAAUACUUAGGGCAUCUUCAACCCAAAAACCAAUUUGGUGCGAUCAACUCCAACCCACUGCAUCAAAUUUUACACAAAAAAAGAAUAUUUCUCUCUCUCUUUAUUAUUACUCCCUCUGUUUAAAAAAGAAUAACCUCCUUUUAUUUUUAAUCUGUUUAAAAAAGAUUGACCUCUUUUCUUUUUUGGUAACAUUUUAAUUUCAGCUUUCCACGUGGCAUGUUUAAGGCCGCAAGAUUGAAGGAUAAUUUAAUAUAUUUGACAUAACUUUAAUUUAGGAACACGACAUUCAAAAACUUUCUUUAUUUUGUAAAAUUUUGUGCCAAGUCAAAUCAGGUCACUCUUUGUGAAACAGAGGGAGUAUAUUAUUAUUUUUUAUUUUAUUUAUAUAUUUUUAUUGGGAAAAUUGUAUAUAAUAGCAAACUAAUAAUUCAAGUUAAAUGCUAUAACCACACUUGAUUUAAUUGUGCGUUGUAGCAAACUGUUUGCCAAUCACCUCUCUCCCUCGAACUCUCGCUCGUCAAUCUGCCUCUCUUGCUUACUCCCUUUGUCGCUUGCCUCUCUCGCUUUAUACAAUGAGAAAUGUAUAAAUUGUGUUUCUGUUUGUAUAAAGAAGGAGAAAAUUAUAUAUAAGCAUGAAAAUGCAUAUAUCUUCGUCCUAUACACUAAUAAUUAUACGAUAGAAAUAUUUUCCUGCCCAAUUCUCUUUUGUCUUUCUCUCUUUCUCGCUUUAUACAAACACAUAUUAUACAAAAUACAAUGUAUAAUUUAUGUUUGUAUAAAGCUAGAGAGAGAGAGAGAGAGAUAUUUGAUAUACAAAUAUUUUAUUUCGAUUCAAUUGUAUACAAAUUCAAAUUUUAUACAGAUAUACAAACACAUAAAAUAAAAUCGAGAGGUUGUCAAAGAUUUAUACAAACAGAGGCUGCCAACAAUUUAUACAAAUGAUGUGUCAGCGAAAUUAUACAAAUCUGAAGAGGAGUCAACGAAUUAUACAAACGAAAGGCUACCAACAAUUUAUACAAAUAGUCUGCUAGCGAAAUUAUACAAAUAUGAAGAGGAGCCAGCAAAUUAUACAAUUGUUUCUUUUGUAUAUUUGUAUAACAAAAUAGCCUAGCUUCUUUUGUAUAUAUGUAUAACAAAAUAGCCUAAAAUCUUUUGUAUAUAUGCAUAGCAAAAUAGCCUAGCUUCUUUUGUAUAUUUGUAUAGCGAAAAUAGUCAUAACAUGUUUGCUAUGGAGCACAAUUAUGCAAACAAUAGUUAUAACAUACAAAUAUGAAUUUUGUGUUUGUUAUAUGUGAAAGUUUUUCUUUCUUAUUUCAUAAAACAAUUUUUUUUCUCAAACAUUCACCAGUUAUUAUUCAUAUUAUUUCCUUUUAUAAUCGUUUAUAUAAAAUUAUUUUGUGCCAUAAAUUUUUAAAUAAUAUAAAUUGCUAGCAAAUAUCGACAUUAUGCAUAAUAAUAGAUAAUACAAAUAAAAGUGAAACCAUCAAUGAAAUACAACUAUAUAAACAUUACAUAAUUUAAAAAAUAUUUGAGAUAAUGCACAAGUACCCCCUCAACUUAUGCCCGAAAUCUCAGAGACACACUUAUACUAUGCUAAGGUCCUAUUACCCCCCUGAACUUAUUUUAUAAAUAAUUUUCUACCCCUUUUCGACCUACGUGACACUAUCUUGUGGGCCCAACGUUGCUUGAGUUUUUUUUCAAGUUUGUGCCACGUAGGCCCAAAAGAGGAAGAAAAUUACUUAUAAAAUAAGUUCAGGGGGAUAAUAGGACCUUAGUAUAGUAUAAGUGUGUCUCUGGAAUUUCGGGCAUAGGUUGAGGGGUACUUGUGCAUUUUCCUAAAAUAUUUUAAAUUCUAUAUAAAUAUUCAACUUUCAAAAUGACUCAAAAGACUUUCUCAACCUUUACUUUGAUUUGAAAUAAGUAUUUUAGAGUUAUGAUUUGGAAUGUAGGAUCUCUUAAUUAUUUAAGAAGGUUUAGGUAGUUGAUAAUAAGAAACGAGCAAAGACAUAAAUUGGAGAACACUGGCGCGGCGCGAAGGGUGAAUAAUUUUUUUAUCACGAAAUUUAUUUUUGAGGUAGAGGACUUCGUAUCCUCUUCGUGAAGCGGAGAGGGAGUGACCAUCUGAAGAGUGAAAAUCUUAAGCGUCUCCUUGACGCGGACCUGGGCGCAAUUAUUUGUCCUUUCUUUUCUUUCUCUCCCAAACUAGACUCAGUUCAUACCCAAAACAGCUUUCUCGUCCAAAUAUCACGAAAUCUCACAAAUCCAAAACAACUUCGAUGAAACCCAUAUAGUAAUAUAUCAAGGGACUCAAUUCAUUUGGAAAAACUCUCACCUCAAGAACUCCAGGACCUUAAUUUAUCAAUUUAACUGAAGAACAUCUCAAGAAUUCAUCAAUCAAGUUCAAGAAUGAAUUUAUGGGUAAAAUAUUCUAUGAUUGACGUGAGGGAGAACAAAAUAAACACUCUGAAAGCUUACAUAUCUCGAAAGAAUCAAAUUCUUAGCGAAAUUCCUCAAAGCUCGCAAGAAAAUCUUGAACACUCGUAGCUUUUCUCCCUUUUCUCUAUUUGAACUUUUCCCUAACUUUUCAAAAAUUUUAGACUUUACCAUUUAAAUUAAUUUUGAUCAGCUUUCAUCCCUAAUUUUGGUGGAAAAAACGUGUGGACUUAGUGGGGUAAGGAAAAGAAAAAUAUCCCUCCUUAAUUUAGAUGUAAUUUCUUAACUGGACAUGAAAAAUCAAACAAACAUAUCUCCUUCAUUCGAACACGGAAUUUAGCAUACUUUGUGGCUUUGGAAAGAUGAUUCAAAGAUAUUUAAUUUGAUAUCUCAUAUGUCACCUAAAUCAUCCUGUGAUGAAAGUUAUGGUCGUUUGAAGUUGACUCAAAACACACAAUUAAAGACUCAUAAUUUGCACAAAUCUCAAAUUGACUAAUUCUAAUUUAGUUCUUUCUAAAAUUCAGCUCUUUCGAAGAUAGAGGUGUUACAAUUUAGUUCCUCCUCAAAAAAAAGAUAUUAAAAUGGUGUUAAGAACAUAUUUGAAUAUCUUUGAGGGACCAUAGACAUGUAUUUAUUCUAUUAUGAUGAAUCCAAGUCAAAAAUGAUUGUUUACACAUAUGCGGAAUAUUUACCUGAUACGCGUAAAGCUCGGUCUCAAACAUGUUAUUUGUUUACAUGUGGAAGAACAAUAAUAUCUUGGUGAUCAAUGAAGCAAACUUUACUAGCCACUUCUUUAAAUCAUGCAGAAAUAUUAGCCCUCCAUGAAGCAAGUCGAGAGUGUGUCUAGAUGAGAUAAAUGACACACCAUAUUUCGAAAAUAUGUGAUUUUUCUUCGAAAAAGAAUAUAUCAACCACAAUGUACAAAGUUAAUUUUGCUUGUAUAGCUCAAUUGAAAGAAUGAUACAUCAAAGAAGACUGGACAAAGCACAUUUCAUCAAGGUUAUUUUACACAUGGGUGUGUUUGGUAUGAAGGAAAAUGUUUUCCAUGGAAAAUGUUUUUCCUAGAAAACAAGUAGAUUUGGACUUAUUUUCUCAUGUUUGGUUGGUGCGUAGAAAAUAUUUUUCGAAAAUAAUUUUUAGUGUUUAAUUUAUGAAUGAAAAAUGUUUUUGAGGAACAUCUUUUAUUUUUACUAGAGCAGAAAAUAAUUUAUAAAAUUGAAAAUAUUUUUUAAAAAUAAUUUUUUUUGGGGUGGUGGUUGGGGUGGGGGUGAGGGGUAGUGGGUGUGGGGCAGGGAAGGGGGUAGGAGUGAAAAAAUAAAAAUUUGAAGUUGAUAGUAUUUUUAAAAAGCAAAAUUAUUUUUUUGGGGGUUGGGGGUGGGGGUGGGGGGCUGGUAGGAGUGGGUAGGGGGGGAGGUAGGAGUUUAAAAAUAAAAAAUUUGAAGUUGAAAAUAUUUUUAAAAAGCAAAAUUAAUUUUUUGGGGAGGGGAGUUGGGGGGAGGGUGGUCAGGAAUUGGGUGAAAAAAUAAAAUUUUGAAAUUGAAAAUAUAUUUUUUUAAAAAUUGAUGUUUUUUCUUUAAAAAAAUGUAAUUUAAAAUUGGAGGAGAGUUAUGGAAAAUGUUUUUCUUAAUUUUUGAAGGGAAGUCAUUUUCCUUAAUUUUGAAGAAAAUGAGUUGAUUUGGAAAAAACAUUUUCCAAAACUUUUACCGCAACCAAACAUGAGAUAAUUGAAAAACAUUUUUCAGAAAAUAUUUUCCUUCAUACCAAACACACUCCUGAUCUUUAACAAAAUGUUGAGAUAGAAGAUCGACAGAUCCGUUCAAGUGAUAAUCUUGUUGAUUCACUAAGGCGUUGCCAACAUGAACAUUUGAGAAGUUGAGGUACAAGAUUGGAAUGCGUCGUAUCCGAGGUAUCGGAGGGUGGGGGGUGGGGGUGGGGGUGGGGUGAAAUACACAUGGUAGUGUUUUCCUUAAUCAUGGUUUUGUCCCAAGUUGAUUUUUCCUGGUAAUGCUUUUAAUGAGGCAACAUUUAAAGCAUAUUAUAAGAUGUGUGAACUCUUUUUCCUUCAAUAGGUUUUUUUCCAUUGAGAUUUUCUAGUAACAUUUUAACGAGACACAUUAUCUAUGGAUACCCAAAAGGAAAUUAUAAAUUCAUUGAAUCGUGGAUUGUCCAUUUGAUUUAUUCAAAUAUUUAUUGAAUUCAUGUACCUAUACUUCUAAGGUUGAUUUAUUCAAAUAUUUAUUGAAUUCAUGUACCUAUACUUCUAAGGUGAUAAAAACAUUUUUAAUAACUAUGUAUGUACUAGAAUGAUGACCUUUGAGAAUGAUAUUUCAACAUUACAAAAAGAGAUAUCAUUUACCAUUUGAAUGACACACUUGAAUAGAAGAAAAAUAAUUUUCUCUUUCAUCUACUUAUCUUGUCUCCUCUCUUUAUAUUAUAUUAUUAUGAACUUAUAUUUUAUAUCAUAAUUAAUAGUUAUUGUGGUACCGUCCCUUUUACUUUAACUUUUAAAAUUAAAAUCCAAAAACAACUUUAUAUUAAUACAUAUUGAUAAAUAUUAAGCUCGUGCUUGCCCAUGUACUUAUCAUCUCUAGUUGAUGAAACAAGAACCAAAAGGUACUUUGACAUAUGCAUUAAUCCCUAUUGGUUACAUAUACUUCUCAAUCAUUGAACAAUUGUUUUUUACUAUUGUUUUGCCACAUAUUUAAUCGACUCUUUGCUUGCUCCACCUGAGAAAUUAUAGGAACAUGUUGGUCAACAAUCAAGCUAUCCGUUUUCAAACUUAUCUAAACUAUUUAGCCAAAAGAAAAAUACAACUUAAAUAAAGAAGGCUUGGUAAUUUAUACUUUAAAUCCAUAUUCAAAGCAAACUAUGUUAAAGUUUUAUUCAAAUGAUAUUCCAUGAUCGAAAAUUUGCACUACUAGGUGCCGUUUAGCCAAAGAUAUAUUUUAGAAAAACAAAUAAAAUUAGUGACCAUAUACUUUAUCAUUAUUUGGCAAACAUCCCAAGUUCCCUAGUUUUAGAAGGAAAAAAAACUAAAAAUUGGGCCAAUUCUAGUAUUUUGGCGAUUUUAGAAAUUACUUCAAAUUUUUAUAUUCUAUAAAAAUAUCCAUCAUUUAUAAUUUUUGGAUUACAUUUCAAUCCUAGUUUGUUAUAUAAAAUUUUUACCUUUGUAUACCUAUUUUAUACCAUCUGAGUUUGCUCUCUGACAUCACUUUCAAUUGCAAGUAGUAACAAUAGUUUCUCUAUUCAAGUUAAUUGUAUUUUCCUUUUGUUUUCUUCCUCUCUUUCUUUUUUUGAAUUCAAAUAAAUUAUGUUCUUUGUCAUCACUUUUUUAUGAAAUAUUUCAUUAUAAAAUGAUAAUACAAACUUAUAAAUUUUUUAAAUACUUUUUAAAAUUUAUAAAUAUAAAUCAUAUUUAACUUUUAAAAAGUUAAAUAUUUCUCUCAAAAAUCUAUGGUCAAGUGCAUGAUUAAACUUCACGAAAAAAUAACUUCUCAAAAAUAUUUAGAAAAUUGUGGCCAAUCACUAGCUUAGUAUAAGUUUUUGGAAAAAUUAGAUUUUAGAAUAUUUAAUUUUUGAAAAUAUUUUUAAAAAAUCUUUGGAAAAAGUUCAAAAAAUUCAAAUUACUCAAACAACUUACCUCUUUCUCCCAAUCGGUUCGAAAGGUGACCCACAAUAAUAUGAUAGUCUGCAUAGCUGUUCCUCCUAACAUUCCCAACCAUAUUCCCUUCACAAUUAACCAAAACAAUGUUAUAUAAAUUAUCACUAUUUGCUAUAACUAUAAUUUUAAUAAUCAAAAACAUAUAUUAUAUAGUGUAUACAAAUUAUAAAAAGGUUAAGUAAAUAUUACAUAUACCUUAGCUUCAAGGUUGAAAUAAAAUCCAAGAAGAAUACCCAAUGGAAUGCCAACAACAUAGUAACAUCCAACGUUAACGUAUGCCACAAAUGCUUGCCAUCCACAUCCAACAGCAACCCCUUCAAAUAUUAUUUUAUUCCAAUAAUUGAUAUGGUAUAUUGUUAGGUUAGUCAUGUAUAUCCCUUCACUAAAAAACAAAUCUAUCCUUUAUGAUAAUCUACUAAAUUCACGCUAAAAUAAAAAUAAUUUUUAGCGACAAUAAAUAUUAAUCUUAAUAAUGAGUGUUAGAAUCUUUACAAAUAUUAAUUAAGUGUUAUUAAAAUCAGUAUCGAUUAAAACUUUAGACACAUAUAUAAAAAAUAUUAAUUGCUAUUUAAAAUACUUAUAUAUUUAACAAAAAUUAAUAGUGUAAUCAAUUCUAAUGCAUAUGAAAAGAGUUGAGUCCAACAAUUAACAAACAUAUCUUUAAGUGAACAAAGUCACAUGCGUGAGUGAAUAAAAACAUACCCUGUCUACUUAUAUCUUAAAUAAAUAAAAUUUGUCAUAAAGUCUACAGAGCACAUCUCGAGAUUGAUGUGGUAUAAAGAUUCAAAAAACAUUCCAACUUUAUUUUUUUGAAAAUUGAAACCCCAAGACGAAAUUAAAUAAAGUUUGAUUCCUCCUAAGAGGGGAUCAUAGUCAUACUUUAAUUUUUUUUUAUUCCAAAGACCUUAUGAAUUUAAUUGGUAGUUAUUUUUACCAUUUAGAUUUCUAGUUGUUCAUUAUAUAAAAAACAAAUAUUUGUUUUUACUGGUUUAGUUUAGAAAAUUAAAACAUAAUUUAUCAUAUUUAUAAAAUGUAUUCAUUUCUUAAUGUAUUUUUUCAAAAUUUUAAAUUGUAUUAUAUUCAAGACUUAUGUAUAUAAAAAUUAUAAUUCUAUUUGUUGCUCCUUAACAGGUGCAUGUAUCACGUUAAUACUUUAUCAAUAAAGAUAAAAUGAGAAUAUUAUCUAAAAAAAGUCACAUUUUUUUAAUUCAAUAAGAAUCAAAAAAUAUAUUAUAAUCUAGUAGAUUGAAAUAAAGUAAAAGAGAAAUGAUACCAGAUAAAACAGGUUGAAUGCCAUUGAGUAUUAGUGAUAGAGCCAAGAGUGGGGCAAGAUCUGAGGCAGCUUCAGCAAUCACUUGUCCACCCGUGAAGGCAUAACUCAUGACAUGGCGGAACAAUAAAACCAAAAUUGCAAACACAACAGAAAUGACAAAUGAACUUAUUGUCACUACAACAACAGAAAAUGCUGCUGAUUUUGGAUGUCCACCUCCCAACUCAUUGCUCACUCGAACACUGUCCAAAAUAAAAAAUAUAUGUCGAGUUUAAUUUUUAUAUACUGAUAAUAUUAUCUAGAAAGCAUGUUUACGACAUUUAUAAAUUACCUCAAAUCGAAGGUUGCCAAUCAUGCAACACCAAACUUGCAUUCAUGUAAAGAUUAUUUUGUGAUAGUCCACGAUUUUUAUAUAUAAUUUUAAUUUGUGUAGAUUGAUAGUAUUGUCCAAAAUUACUUAAACAAUUUAAAUAUUUAUAUAAAAUAAUUAUUAGUAAAUCUUUACGAGUGUGUUAAUAUCGUAACUGACAUGAUAUGAUAUAUUAUUCAAUAUAUAUGUGUGUGUAAUAUAAAUAUAAAUAUAUAGUAUAUCAUUAUAUCAAAACUUCAUCCCGAAGUAUAUGAAUCAUUUGCAUUUUUAUUUUGGAAUGAUGACCUAAUUCCAUGGGUGCGGGUGGAUCAUUCUUUUUGUGAUUUUGUCACAUAUUUCGAUGUAACCUAAUUCUUUUUAUUUUAAUUAUUGAUUUUGCUAAUCAUCUUCUUUUUGUCUUAUCCCUUUCAAUUAUUGGUGUCUUUGAUUGUGAUUUCUUAGAUGAUGCAUCAACUUAAUUUUACAUGCCAAGAGAUAUUUUAUUUUCAGUUGUCUUUUAAUAGUUUUCUUUUGUUAUUAUUUUUUACGAAUAAACAAGUAAAAGGUGAACAGUAAAUCAUCUACUACCUUAGUUCCGUUUUACGUGUGACACAAUUUCUACUAUUAUUUAGAGAGUUUGAAAUAACAAGUUCUUUUUGCCUAUAAUAUUACAUUAUCAUUUAAAUUAUUAAUUAUAUCAUUGUGCUUUUAAUUUUUUUUUUAUAUAUAUUGAUACUAAAUAUUUCAGAUUAAAUAUUUCAGAUUGUUAAUUAUUUAAAGUGAAUAAAUUUGAAUUUCAAUCUUAAAGGUUCGUUCAUAAAGCAAGUAGUUCAAGCACGUUCAUUUAAAGAUUAUUGGGCAUAAUAUUACUGAAUACUUGCUUUAUAUUUUCUCAGUCCCUAUUUAAUUGUCUACUUUAAAAAAAACACACAUAUUAAGAUAACAAUAAUUAAUAUUGUGAAGUUAUAAUUUUACCCUUAUUAAAUAUGCUUUCAAAAAGGAUUGAAGAAAUUUUCAAGAAGUUUAAAUGAGGUUAUAAUAGGAAAAAGAAUUUGUCCUUUCUUAAUUUAAUAAAAUGGACAAGUAAAUAGGAACAUCUAAAAGAGGAUAUGAACAAAUAAAUAGGGACAGAGAGUAAUUUAUUUCGAAAAAUAUACCUACAUUUAUGUUUUAUAACUUUCCUAUUAUACUAACAUCUUUAAUUUAGGACAACAGUCUUCUCAAUUCUUCUUUUAACUAUGAAAUUAAAGUCACUAUUACCUAUCCUUUUUAAGUAAAUGACAUAAUAAUUAUAAAUAGUACUUUCGAAAGAACACAUAAAUGCUUCAAAAGCUAAUAUUCCUCAUUUAAUCCAGAUACUAACACCAGUCACUAAGGCCUUGUUAGUAUGAAUUUUUUUAGUUUUAGUGAAUUAUAUGUAAGAACAAAAAUAUAGCUAAUUAAAAUAACCUAUCAAUAUUAGUCAAACAACAAAUUAAUCACUAACCUUGCUGCUGCAUUGAACCCAACGGAUAUCAUGAACACCCACCCUAGAAUUGUAGUACUGCAUCUCAAAAUUAAUAAUAAUCAUUAAAUCAAGAAAAAAAGUUGAAAGAAAUAAGAAACAAUUUACUACUCCCUCUGGUCCAUAUUAACUGAAUUUGUCGGAGUAUGACAUAUACCUCUUAAGAAAAAUAUUUAAAUAUAUAAAUUAAAAGACUUGUUUCCACUAUUACCUUUUUUAUUAUUCUCAAACUAGUCUCCUGGAAAACGUAAAUUAAUUUUAAAAAAAUCUCAUUCAACGUAGGGUAAAACAUUUUUUAAAAAUAUUAAAAAUUCACUUAUUUUGUACGGUGAAAACAAUCUCAAAAUACUAAGACUGGUUUUCACUAUUACCCUUUUGAUUAUUCUCAAAUUAGCCUCCUGAAAAACAACCGCAACAAUUCACGUAAUAUAGACCAGAGGGGGGAGAGAACAAUAAAUUUGGUAAGUAGAUAUGUUGUUACCAAACAGCAAGGGAGUCCAAUGCCACUUCAGGAUUUGGAAGCAAACCAGCAAUUAAAAUCAAAAUCUGAAAAUACCAAGUCUCUAGACACAACAUAACAGCUGAAGCAAGUGACAACUUGAAAAAAUCCCACAAUCCAUAAAAUGCUUGCAUACUAAACCCACUCCAUGUUUUCUUACAUUUAUCACUCCACAAAAUAUACACAAAUUGUGCAAUCACAACUAUCCACCAUGAAAUACUCAAAACCAAAGCACCACCAAAUAAUCCCCAAUUAAAUACAUAAAGCACUAGCCAUGUUAAAAAUAGGUGAAAUAUUAAUGUAACAGCAGCAAUAUAUGCACUAGGGUUAACAAUACUUUGAGCUUGUAAGAAUUUUUGGAUAGGGAAAUUGGCUGCAUAAGCAAAUAUUUGUGGAAUUAAACCAUACACAAAUAGUGCUGCUGCUGAUGCUACUUUCUUGGAUUGGCCUAACAAAAUCAAGAUUGGUUUAGAAAAUAAGUAUGCCACCAUUAGUGGUAAUCCUGUUAACAUAAGAAGUAUGGUUGAUCUUUGAAGAUAUAUUCCUAGCAUUUCAUAUUUGUGACCUCCAUAUGCUUGACCACAUAAUGUCUCCACUGCACUUCCCAUUCCUAGCUGCUCCAAUAUAUAUAUAUAGUUUAUUGUAAGUAUAUAUACAUACAAGUAAUAUUGAAGGUGAUAUCUAUACUAUAAUCAUUUCAUCCUAAUAUAUGUCACAAAAGGCGUGGCAGAUUCGAAAUUUGAAGUUUAUAAGUUUGAAAUUCUGAUUUUCUACACUUUAAUUUCUUACUACAAAUUCAGGGUUUGAACUCGUAAUCAACACACUGGUUCGACCCCUCAAUGUAUGUGACACAUUUUUUAAUUAGUUGAUCGCAAAAUGAAUGUCAUAGUUUUAUAUUUGAAAUAACUUAUAAACUUGUUUAUUUUUACUUGUCACUGUUUGAUUUGACACAUCCAUUAAGAAAAUAAUUAUUGAUACAGAUAUUUUACCAAACUAGCCCUAUUAGGUCAUGGAAAAUGAUUUGGAGAUUAGAUAUUGAAUACUAAGGGUAAAACAUGAAAACAAAUAAUUAUUUUUUCUUGAUAUGUCAAAAGUGAUAAGUAAAAAUGAAAAAUCUAUUUUAAGAAUAAGUAAUCAACAAGUAAUAGUGUCUAAGAUUUGUUCAGAUCACAAACUUCAAAAAUUUUGUUAUAAUCAAACGAUGUCAGAUAAAUUAGGGGCGAAAGUAUAACUAAUAAAAAUCUUUGAGUUUGUAAUAAAAGAAUAUAUAAAGGUGAAAAAAAAUAAAAUUACCAUGACACCAUAGGCCAAAAGUUGAAUGCCACUAUUACCAAGAGAAGCAGCAGCAAGUUCAAGAUUUCCAAGAUGACCACAGAAAAUUUGUGUAGACAUGGAAGUAACAUUGUUUAGCAAGUAAACAAUGAUGGCUGGAGCUGCUAGACGGAAUAAAUUUCUCAACUCUAUCACUGAGGCUCUUUUAAACCUCUGAAUACAUGACAAGCUUGUGUCUGAUAGGAUUUCUUCAAGCUCAGAACUUAUUUUCUCCGUCGCCGCCGACGCCAAUAUUGGUGAUUCAGAUUCUAACAAAGGUUCAUUUGGCCCCAUGAAUUCUACUCUCUUUUAGUCAAAAAUGUUUAGAUGAAAGAAGGAAGAAUUGGUUUUUGAUUUUUAUAGAGGCAUAAGUGAAAAUAUGAUAGUAAGCACAUGAGUGGAAUUGAUGUUACUCCGAUUCAUUUUUACUUAUUCACUAUUAUAUUGCCUUUUUUUAAUUUUAAAUGAUUAAUAAUAACAAUAAAAAUUUCUAGACAAAAAACAUAUAAAAGUAGAUAUUUAGGGAGGGAGAUUAUUUUAAUGUUGAAUAUUCUAUAAUGGGAAUAUAAAUAGGGAACUUCCAAACAAAUAGAUAGUACCAAAAAGAUACUAUAACAAUGUCAUAUGUCAAUUUGCGGCCUAAAGGUGAGUGUCUACAUACAAUAGAGAAGCAGUGACAAUAACGGCUACAUUAAUUUAAAGUAAUAAAAUUGCACAUUCACCUGGACAUUACACAUGCAUGUAUCUCUUGAGAGCCUUCAUUUUGACUAAAUACACACAGGAUUUUUUAAGUGUUUAUACAUUUUUUUUUAAAAAAAAAUCAAUCUUCACCUUCAUUAAUCAUUGAUUAUACAUUAAUGAGUACAAAACUAACAUAUUGAAUAUAUAAUAGACAUUAUCAUUGAGAUGAGGCUGGUGUAGAUGCAUACUUAUCCUACAAAAAAAGAAGUCCUUAUUGGCCAAUAAUUCAAAGGGGGUAUCGUAAUGGAUGUUACUAUCUUUCACUUGUUUGAUCCUAAUUGAUGUUACUGGCCACCCUAAAACAUCACAAUUAAGUUUUAUUUUUCUUAUGGAAGUUGUAGUCGUAGACUUGACAUAUUAGUUGUCCAGGAAUCUCAAAUCUCAACACAGUGAACAUAUAUAAUAGAGUAUUAGAGACUGAUCUAUUAUACAAAGGGUAUUUCUACUUCAUAUAGUUAUUGUUGUAUCUUGAUAUUGUGAAAAAUGAUAAAGUUGAUUUUUGGAAUAUCAUAGAUUAUUCUUAUAUAGUUUCUAGAAUAGUUUAGUAUAGAAUCUAGAAUAGUUAUCUUCAAGAAAUAUAUGAUAUUCUAGGGUAGAAGAUAACCAUCACUAGAAUUUCCUUUGUGGAAGUAUCUAGAAGAAUUUUAGAACCAUCCAUGAACAAGUAUAAAUAUGGGUGGUCUUAUACAUUUGUAAUCAACCCAAGAAUAACCCAAGCAAACCAAGAACAACCUAAUAAAAGAGUAUUCUUCCAUAAACAAGUUCUCCUUUCUAACGUCCUCUUCUUUAUUUGAAUCUUCCGAUCUUAGUUAAUGAUAUUGGGCUAGCAGAAGGUUUUCCGAAUUAUACUUUUCUUCUGCUAUUCUCUACAUGGUAUCAGAGUCAUAAUCAUACAUUGAUUUUGGGUAUUAUUUCAAGAUCUAUUUGCUGGUAGAUUCAACUAGUUUGUCUACAUGAAAUUUAGCGAUCGUGUUAAUGGACUGGGAAUGGAGUUGUUGAAUCAAUCCAAUUACAAGGUAUGGAAAACAUGUAUGAAAUCAUGUGGUAUGUUGAUGGGAAUGACAUAAGUCCUACUGUUGAGGAACCGGAAAACAGUAGCAUAUACAAGAAGUGGGAGCAGAUUAAUGUGAAGGCGGAGUUCAUACUAAAGAGGACAAUCUCCUCCGAUUUGUUUGAUUACAUUAUAAAGUGUAAAUCAUCUCACGAGAUAUGGAGAACCCUCGAUCGCUUUUUCAACAAGAAGAAUAAAGCUCGGUUGGAGAUAUUGGAGAAUAAAUUAGCUAACACCACUCAAGGUAAUCUUUCUAUCUCCAAGUAUUUUUUGAAGAUUAAGAACUUGUGUUCUGAGAUAUCUUCCGAAAGAGGUUAUUUCUGAAGCACGAAUGAGAAGAAUAGUCAUUCGUGGAUUGAAGCCUGAAUAUACUUCAUUUGUGACGUUGAGUAAAGGAUGGACUCAACAACCAUCCUUGAAGGUAUUUGAAAAUUUAUUGUCGUCACAGGAAUUACCAAGCUGUUGGUUAGUGUAUUUGUCAAUGGAGAAGAAAAUGCUCUUGUAGCCAACAAGAGAAACUUUAAAGGAAAAACAGGAGAUACGCUACACUCUCGACCCUCCGGUUGUUCACGCUCACCUAGAGAGAAGGAAGAGUCUUCUAGUUAUUAUGGUAAGAAGCCUCUCAUAUGUUAUCGUUGUGGCGAAGUAGAGCACAUACAAAAAAAUUUCUGAGCCAAGGAGAGCAAUAUGGCUCAAAAAGUUACCCAAGAAGAAGAAGAGUGGGGAAAUGUUUAAUAGCUGAGUCUCGAGCGAUAGAUGCCAUGAUUUGCAUCAAUCUUGAAAGAGAUUGGAUCGAGGAUUUAGAAUAUAAUAUAGCUGAUCACUUGGAGAAGCAAGAAACUGAUGUUGUCGACAUUAAGCAAGAAACUUUUGAGGAUGUUCCACAUGGUGAUAUGGUAGCUUCCAUUGAAGAAAUACAAAAAGAAGAUCCCGAACAGACAAUAUUUGAAACUACAUGUGCUAGUGACGUCCUUUAUAGAGAAAUCAUUGAUGGAGAUGUAUUAGAAGCGGAAGUAUUUGGUCAAUCAUUUGUAACAUCAAGGCAAAUUUAAUGGCUUGGAGCAAUUUUUGAAAGUAGGUGGAGAACGUAAAGAUCAAACAGAGGAAGAAGUUGAUAUUAAAGUAUUGGAGUCAAACGAUAUGCUCUUUAAAAGCUCUGAAGCUGCCAAAAAAUAUAUCAAGAAGAUGAUAAGAGAAUAUGACAGUAGAUCCUAUGUUGGUGUUAGAGACUUCACAAGAUAUUGAUAGUUCUUCUCUCGAUAAUAUUAUUGUUGAGAAGUUGAGAGAAAGGGGGAGUUUGAGAACUCAACAAGGAGAUAAUCUACAUGGAUCAAUUAACGGUGAAAAAUCUUUAUCAUUUGAAGAAGGAAGAGGAGUCCGGAAGAAAAUGCUGACAUUUUUACCAAGACGUGGCUCAAAGCUUCAUUCGAGUUCUUCCACAACAAGUGCGGGGUAGUUUUCAAAAAUCACUUCAAGGUGGAGUGUGAAAAAUGAUAAAGUUGAUUUUUGAAAUAUCAUAAAUUAUUAUGAUAUAGUUUCUAGAAUAGUCUAGUGUAGAAUCUAGAAUAGUUAUCUUCAAGAAAUAUCUAGAUAUUCUAGGGUAGAAGAUAACCAAUCACUAGAAUUUUCUUUGUGGAAGUAUCUAGAAGAAUUUCUAGAAACAUCCAUGAACAAGUAUAAAUAUGGGUGGUCUUGUACAUUUGUAAUCAACCCAAGAAUAACCCUAGCAAACUAAGAACAACCUAAUAAAAGAGUAUUCAUCCAUAAACAAGUUCUCCUUUUCAGCUUCCUCUUCUUUAGUUGAAUCUUCCGAUCUUAGUUAACAAUCUUGGGCUAGGCUAUGAUUGGCGGCGGUACCGAAACCGGGUGAACCGGAUCGGUAAGUUCCAAAAUCGGGAUGGAACCGGUACUGUGAGAACCGUUACCGUUCCGAAAUCGGAACCGGACCGGACCGAUAAGCCGAUAAAUUAUUUCGUGUUCUGUCCAAGUCCGAAAGAGACCCGGUAGUAUGCCGGACUGGAACGGUAACCGGGACAGACCGUUAUUAAAAAAAUUAACUUACUUAAAACUUAAAAAUUAAUUUUUUAAUUGAAUAUAAUUUUUAUUAUAAUAAUUAAAAAAUUAAAAAUUUAAACUUCAAACUUUAAAAGUUAAAAAAUUUUAAAUUUUCAAUGUUAAAGUUAUAAAAUUAAAAUUUCAAACUCUUAAAGUUUGAAAUUUUUAAAUUCAAACUUUAAAGUUAUAACAUUAAAAAUUGACAAUAUUAAAAACUAAAUUUAAUACAAUAAUAUUAAAAAACAAAUUAAGGCGAAUAGCCUAUAUUUUUAUUAAUAUUUAUUUGAUAUUACAAUUAAAUUUACAAAAAUAUUAGUAGAGUAUUAAAAGAUUUAAUCUACACAACCACCUUCUAGGAAGGGUUCUGUUUGAAUUAAAUCUCGAAUUAUCAUACUUUUACUAAUAGUUGGUGUCACCAUAUAAAUCCCUUCGUAAAUCAUUCAACAUAUCUUUAGUAACAUGUUCGGGAAUUGAUUGAAUAGAAAGAUCUUCCAUUGCUUCAAUCCCGUCGUCACUAUAAUCCUGCAUUACUUCAUCAACGUCAUAUUGAAAUUUGGUCAGUAGUGGUUCACGGCCCAAAUUUCUUCUCUCGGCAUUAAUCCAAUCUCAAAAUAAUACCGAUAUCUCCAAGCUGUCGGCUGCUAGUGAAUGCCUAUGUUCUCCAAGUUGAAACCUUGCUGCACUAAAGACGCAUUUCGAAGCUACCGACGAUGCUUGCAUUGCUAAUAUAUCUCGAGCCAUCGGUUGUAGUUUUGGAAAUUCUUUGUCGCGAUUUCUCCACCAUGCUAGAAUAUCUUCAGUAGGUUCUUUAUUUUGAUUAACAUAGGCAUCAAAAUCAUUUCUACUAUCAUGAGAAAGUUCAAGAUAAUCCUGUAAAAAAGCAUCAAUAUUAUCUUCAUCAAAUCUACUCCUAGAGCUUUGAGGUUCAUUUUCACUUGAUAAAUCUAUAUUAGUUUUAUAUAAAUCAUACAAUUUUCUAGCUUCAAUUUUUAUGCUAUCUUUAACUUGUUGACAACUAGGAAUUUCUUCUAAUACAUCAUUAAUAUCUAAGUUAAAAUACAUUUUUCAACCAUUUUUGAUGCACCUACAUCUUUAUAAUGAGGGUUUAGCAAACAUGCAGUGAAAUAAAUUUGAGGAAUAGGAAUAUAAUAAAUUUUAGAAUCAUUUUUUCAAUGGUUUAUUAAAAUCUUGGUUUAUUUUUAAAUUUAUAUAAUAUAGAAGAAAUCGUACAAAUAUCAGGUAAAACAGUACAAAUUGAUGGACUAUAAAGUACAAAUAUUCUUUUUGUAGUUAAGUAAAAAACUUUUAGGAAAUCUAUAAGUUCAUUUAUAUCACGCUAAUCACUAUCAUCUAGUAUAUAUGUCAUAUCAGAAUUAUGAUCAUUCCAAACCAUUUGUAAGUAUAUUCACAAGCGACUACAAUUAUUUCAUAUAAAGUAUUCUAUCUAAUAGCCACUGUUUUUGCAAUUUUUCUAGGUGGAAGAUUAUUUUCAAAACAAUGAUUUUGAAAAUCUUUACGCCUAGACUUAGCUUGACAUUUAAAUAUAAAAUGACAUGCAUUUUCAACUCUCGUACAUCCGUUAUCAUACAUAUGUACACCAUCUCUAACCAUCAAAUUAUAUAUAUGUGCAGUACGCCUAAUAUGAUAAUUAUCACCGUACAAAGGACAAAGUGUAGGUUUUAAUUAUUCAACAGCAGCAUUAUUACUUGAAGCAUUAUCUAAGGUUAUACUACUUAUUUUUAUCACAUAUUCAAUAACUUUGUAAAUAUCUAAAAUAGUUUGAGCAAUAUAACUACCGAUUUUUUGCAUUUGACAACAUUUAUAACCUAAAAUUCUUUUUUGCAUAUACCAAUUUACAUCAAUCCAAUGUGCAGUAACAGUCAAAUAAUCGUUAACGUUCACACUACGAUCCAUAUCAGAAGUAAUUGCUAUUUUACAAGUAUUAUAAUAAAAUAAACAACGAAGAUAUUGAAAAUGUUGUGCAUGAUAAUCAAAUACAACCUUUUUAUAUGUAUUUCUAGCAAAAUCUUUAAAAUUUGAAUUAUAUACAACUUGAAUAUAAUGUAUAAAAAUGGGAUUUUCAGCAAAACUAAAUCGGAAACCCAUAACACUUAUCAUUUUAGCUAGUUCUUCAAGAUCUUUUUCUCUACUAUAUGAAAGUGGUAAACUAGAGCCACAAAAAUUAGACGAAUUUAAUUGUGUUUGUACCAUUUAGAGCCGCCUACUCCUACAUUUUCAGGAAGGGAGGUACCAUUUUUUUUAGCUUCCGCUACCGCUUUAGCAUGCAAAAAUUCAUUUUUACAACAAGACAUUAAAUGACUACUCAAAUGUCCCGUCCCGCCAGAUUUACCAACAGUUUUAUGAUUUAAUCUAUGUUUACAUUUAUUACAAAUAGCUUGUGAUUUAUCUUCGUUUUGUGUCAUAAAUUGCCAAAUAAUCAAUUUUUUAAGCAAUUUUUACCUUAGGCCUAGGAUGUACGGGGGAACAAGGGCAGGAUAACGAAAGGGAGUGGGACCGGGACCAGGAGUAUUAGUAGCCGUAGGUGGCUCAGUUUCAUCAUCAUCAUCAUCAAAAGUAGGCGUAUCAGUAUAAUUAUCAAUAUCAUUAUCAUUAUCAUUAUCACUAGGCAGAUCCUCAUCAAAAUUACCAAAGCAACGUUGCAAAUGUUUAUGAUAAGGAUCUAAUCCUGAAUUACAAUCAAUAUUAAAAAUCGUAUCAUCAACAUGUGUAUAAUCAUCUGUAUUUAUUCUUAAUAUAAUAGAUUUUUAUUUUUUGAUUUAGAGGAACUAUCAGUUUUUGCAUUACCGGAGGAUAUAAAGUUAUACAUAUUUUUUACACGCUUUAAUGCACUUUUUUUACCCUUUCCUUUUUGAACAAUAUUUUUACCGAAAUCCAUAUUAAAAUAUUAAACGUGAGAUUAUAUAUAAUAUGAAAAAUGUAAUGCAAAUAAUAAAUCACAAAAUAAAUAAAUAAUUAUUUAAAUAUAAAUGAAAUAUAAAAUAAAAGUUGGAACGAAUGUACCGAACAUCUACUUAAAAAAGUAGAAGUUUAUGACUGUCGAGAACCGAACGUGGAAAGUUGAAGGUUGAAUUUUGAAGCUCCAAAUUCAAUUUCCAAAGAUCAAAUAAGGCAACAUCGGAAUUUAAGAUAUUAUAUAUUAGAGAAUUAAAGAUUAGAGAGUAGAGAGUUGAGUGAGUAGAAGAUGAAUAGAUGAUUUAGUAAUUAAAAAAAAUUAAAUUUAGGGGUAUUUAUAAGUAAAAAAAAGGGUUGAAGUGUAAUUUUUAAAACUUUUGGGUAUUAAAAAAGUUUGGGGUGGAGUAAGAGUGUAAUUGCCUAAAAUUUUGAUCAAAUAGCCGUUCGGGAGGCCCACUAGCCAUUACCCAACGAUUAUAAAUGGAUAAAUUUAAAAAAAAUAAAAAAAUAAAAAAAUUGACCGGACCGGAUCGAUAACGGAGCGAUAAUUACCAAAAUCGGUAGGGACCGAUAAAUAUCGGUUUCCACCCCAUUACCUGUCCCAGAACCGGUCUAUACCGGGACUAACCGGUACCGAAUUGAUAGCGGACCGAACCGGUAACCGAAAUUUAUCAAUUCCGCUGCCUGACUUAGGCUAGGCAAAGGUUUUUCAAACUAUACUUUUCUUCUAAUAUUCCCUACAGAUAUAAGAUUUUCCAACAUAUGAGAGCAGGAACGAUCUUGAUUAUAAGAGUACUAAAAUGAUUCGUUUGGUAGAAUUUAUGAGCAAAAAUAAUACAUGUAUUUGUUAUUGGAAAAAUUAUGCGGUUAAGCAAACUUAUAUAACUUAAUGACUCAUCAUAGUUAUAGUUAGGGGUGACAAAUGGUAGUAUUGGAUCAGAUUUAGAUGGGUUGAAUAUGGUUUGAGAAAAGUCGAUUUGUAUUACAAUCCAUCCAAAUAUAAUAUGGAAAAUUACGCGGCUAAGCAAACUUAUACUAUUUAAUUACUCAUCAUAGCUAUGGUUUGCUAUAAUUAUCACUCUUGACUAACACUAUACAUUAAUUACGCAGGCUGAUGUUAAGUUUGUAUAACUAGUCACGUUUGUAUAUGUAUAAUUCACCAGGAUAUACAAAUACAUAUGUAUAAUAUACAUUUAUUUAACCUAUAUACAUAUACAAUUCACCUCUAUCCCACUCUCUGCCCUCUCUUGCCUCUCUGCUACCUCUCUUAAUCUCACUCGUCUCUCUCCCCCCCUCCCAAUAUCGCUUGCCAUAUAUAUACAAAUGCAUAUGUAUAAUAUACAAUUAUAUACAUAUAUAAUUCACCUCUCUCCCACUCUUUUCCCUCUCUCUCUCCUCUCUCUUCCCUCUCUCAAUCUCUCCUCUCUCCGCUCUCUCCCAUUCUCGCUCACCUCUCUCCUCCCUCUCCCAAUCUCUCUUGCGAUAUAUACAAUACAUAUGUAUAAUAUACAAUUAUCCAACCAAUAUACAUAUACAAUUCACCUUUCUCCCACUCUUUUCCCCCGCUCUCCUCUCUCUACCAGUCUCGCUCGCCUCUCUCCUCCAUAUAGCAUGUAGCUAAGAGUUGUAAUUAUCAAACUAUAGGUAUGGAGAGUAAUUAUGCUAUUUUUAAGUGGCUAUAUGUGAAAGUUCCCCUAUAUAAUAUGGGCAAAUAUAGAUUUAGUCAAAUAAAAAUAACAUCACAUACACAUUUAAGACUAUAUAUAUCAAGUUAUAAACAUACUUUUUAAAAAUAAAUUACUUAUAUCAUAUUAUUAUCAAGUUAUAGCAUGUUACUUAAAUCAAUUAAAAAUAUAUUUAAUUAAAAAUAAAUUAUAAGUAAUUAUGUAAAUAAUAAUUAAUUAAUAUGUUAAAAUAAAUUUUUAAUAUUUGAGUUACCUUUUUUAAACGAGCUCUUAAAUAUUUACAUAUUAAUAUUACAAUUACCUUUUACAAUUUCUAAAAUAAAUAAUAAAUAAAUCAAAUUAUAAUGUUACCCUUUUAAAAUAAAAUCUAAAUAUCAAGGAUUUGAUUUUAAGUAAAUCUCUACUUUACUGUUGUCCAAUAACUAUCCACCCCGCUACACCCUAUACCCGAUCACCAUCCAAAACUUAUCCAACACGCCUAAAUCUUCUUCUUCCCCAAAAUCGUACCAAAUCAUCAUCUUCCCCAGAAAUCAGUAAAUCCUCUAUCACUAAUCAGCUUUCCCAGAAAUUCGUAAAUCGUCUAUCACUAACCUUCUCCAUUACGAUUGAUUCAUCCACAUUUUCAUCACAGAUCAAUUUCGAAAAAACAUCAUCUUCAUAAAUUACUUUACUUUUUGUUAAGUUGAUAAAGAAUGUCGAGUAAAGCCAGUGGAAAAUCCAGUAAAAGUAGAAAAUUGAUUGAGGAAUCAUCAUCCAAUGACUUUCAUGCACCUUCAUUCAAUAUUUUGACACAAACUCAACCACAAAAAUGAACCGGAAAACAGACUGCUAGUUUUGGUAAAUCGAAGAUUGAAAAAAAAUGCAAAAGAAAGAGGAAAACAGAGCAAGGGAAAAGAAAUUCAAGUAUCGUUAAAAUCAGAUUCCGACUUUGUUAACGAAUUAAGAAAUAAAAAAUCAAAAGGUAUUGAAAUUUGUCGGUCGACGAGAACGUCCUCAAAGAAGGAUUUAGAGAUACAACGCACAAAGAUACCUAAAAAAGAUGUCAAGGCCAGUAAAAAAGACUCUUUUAAAUUUUGGUUAAAAUAUUAUUUAUAAGUUAGUUUAAUUUUUUAUUUUAUUUGGCAAUCGUAUAAUAUAUGAAAUUUGUGUGAGUUUUGUAUGAAUCACUAUUUUUGUAUUGUAUAGGUGUGUAUUUGUUAUUUUAAUUGAAAACUUUUUUUAUAAAUGAAUAGUAUAUGAGUUAUGUAUUAAUCGUGUAUGAAGUGAAUUUACAAUGUUGUAUGUGACCACUUUUAAUUUUUUUAAAAGCUAAUAUGUAUUAAUGUUUGAAUUAUGUAUGAACUUGUGUAUUUAUUUUGUACGAAUUGUGUAUGAAUUGUAUUGACUGUUCUUUAGUAUAACAGUGUAUAUAUGAUUUUUUAUAUGAAAUUAUAUAUUGUAUGAAAGAUGUAUGAACUGAUGUUUCAUUUUGUAUGAUUUGUGUAUGAAUUGCAUUGAAAGUACAUUAAUAUAGCAGUGUAUCUAUGAUUUUUUUAUGAAAUUAUAUAUUAAGUUAAAAGUACUAAUUUAGUUUUACCAAUUUUAGAGGAGAAGAAGGUACAAACACAUUUGUCUUCAUGUAUCAACAUGAAUGUGUUUGCUGAUCUAUUGACCUUCCUCGGUCAAAUACAAGUUCCUACAAUUUUUACAGGAAACACCUUUUGAAUUUUUUUAUGAUUUACACAACAUUAAAAUUCAAUAUCAGUUGUUACGCCAUAUUUUUCUGCUUGAAACUGAAAAUAACAGAGAUGAUAUGUUUGUCAUAAACAUAAAUUGUACAGAGUUAAGGUAUGGAUUAAAAGAAUUUGUAGCUAUAAUCGGUUUGAAAUUUGGACCAAUUUCUAGUUUUGUUUCUGAUCCCUCUGUUCUAAAUAGGAUUAUUGCAUAAAAUUUUGAGAAAAAGGACAAAGUCCUCAAGUCAAAUUUUUACCACAAGUUUAGAUUGGAAAACUUUUGGGAAGAGGAUGACCAUUUAAAAAUCGGAAUUCUGUAUUACAUUUCUUCAUUUCUGACUGCUUCAGACCCUUCAAAAACAACAAUUCCUAAAUUAUAUUUUGAUUUAGUUGCGUCUGGAAAGUACGCCACAUUUUCAUGGGCGAAUGAGUGUUCUAACUUACAUUUUAAGCAUGCAGUCAGAAGUUGAAAAAAUAUCCUUCGUCAUUUAAGUUCAUCCAGUUUCAUGUAGUAUUACAGGUAUGGUUUUAUGAGUGUUGUCAUCCAUUUGAAAACACAAUUUCUAUCCAUGCUUCAGAUCAAACACCGCGUAUCCUGAACUGGAAGACAACGAAUGACGUUAUAUUUUUUGACGAUUUGAAACGAUUUUCAGAACACAUGAAAAUUAGGUAGUUUUUUUAUUGUUUUUAUUAAAGUAAUUAUAAGUUAUUAUACAUUUUCAUAUUUUUCUUUGAUGCAACAUAAAAUCAGAAAUAUAAUUUUUACUGAAGAAGAGUUAAAUUUCAUGGAUGACACCAUUUUAAAUCAAUCUCCAAGUCACCAUGAUUCGGAAGGACAAGGAACCUCGAAAAAUCAUGGCGUUGAUACGCAGAUUUAAAAGAUGAGAUUGCAGAGGUAGAAAUAGAAAUUCACAAUUAAAAUUGUUUUUAGAUAUUACACUUUACAUAUCAAAACUUAUUACUUUUAAUGAACAGGUUAAGACGGAGCUGAAAGAUCUCAAAGUCACUAUUAAUUCCAAUCUAAUUUUGAUGAAAUGAUAUAAUUACUCUAUAUUUAUUUUAUAAUUUUAAUUUUAAUUUUUAUACACUGAUAAGGUUGACAAGCACAUGGUUGAAAUCAAAACUUUUGUUGAUAACUUGACUAAGCUGAUAAUUGAAGAGAUUAGAUUGUCAAAAGGUCAAUCAAUAGCAGAUGCACAACAACAGGUAUGAAUCAAUGUAUUUUAUGUGUAUGAAUGUUGUAUGAUCAUUGUAUGUAUUGAUUUGUUAUGUCACUUGUGUUUACAGUUAUUACCAGCGUAUGCCUUUCAAAUGAAUAACAGAAUUUUUUUUAUAUAUAUGUGUGAAUAAUGUAUAGAUUGUAUUAAUUAUGUAUUACAGUUUUUCCAUAUAUGUAUGAAUAAUGUAUACAUAUUGUAUUAAUCACGUAUGAAAGUGGUUUUUUAAAUAUAUAUGAAUAAUGUAUAAAUUAUGUAUUAAAUGUGAAUGAAAAUAUCUUUUAUAUAUAUAUAUAUAUAUAUAUAUAAAGACAUUGUUUAAUUUGUGGCAUCAAUUGUGUAUGAAAUUGCUUUUUUUUUAUAUAGUUAUGAACAAUGUAUAAAAGUUUUAUAGAAAUGCAUGAUAACACUCUUUUCAUACAUGUAUGAAUUAUGUUAAUUUAAUUCAUACAAAAAAAAAUCAGAUUAUAUUGGCGUUGGCUGAAAAUUAAUAUCUGGACGAUGCCACUCAUAAUGCUGUACAAUCUGAAAAAGAUCUAUAUGCCAUCUAUUUUAAUGGACGAACACGUCCACAUGUCAAACAUUGGUGGUAUGAUAUACACAUUGUUAAGAAAAUUAUUUUGAUUUAAAAAUUUAUUUUUACAUAACGAUUUUUAUCUUAUGUACAUGAAGCUCAAAAGUCAAACGGUUGUUUUUUCAAUACUGACGUACCUGUAUCAUCAACUUCAAAAUUACCAACGUUAGAUGCUUUUUAUCCUGAUUUUACCAUGACACAAAUCAUUGCACUCGAUCCAAUUCUAAAUACUACCACUACUCCGAACAUGUAACCAAGACAUAAGAAUCCCGGCAAAUACGAAUCUUCUCCUUAUAUUAGACUGUCGAAAGGCAAAAGCAGUUCAAAGAGAGUACCUACAUUCUUCACAAUCAAACUCCAUUUCAAAAUCACAAUGAUCUUGUUGUUCCAGAUGACAUAAUCGAGGAGUUCAACCAAUGGGUUAUCAAAGAUGUUUCAAACAGGCGUGGCAGGCAUAAAUGUCUAUAAAUAAAUUUAUUUUAUUUAAUUUCAUAAUUUCAAAAUUUAUAUAAUUUUUUUGUAAUAUUCACAGGAAAACAGCAUAUUCAAAGGCUAAAAAUACAUUUCAUCCUCAAAUGGACUUUGGCGUUGUAAAAAUUGCAUAAAAGGAUUUUUCCCAUAUAAUAAGUCAACCGGGCAGACCUUGAGAAGACGGGGUAAGACAUAAUUUGAUUAAAUAAUGAAUAAUUAUUUUACAACACUUGAAUAAAUUUUAUACAGUUAAUUAGUAUUUGUCAGAAUCCAUGUUAAUUGAGGUAUGUAUUGUUUUAAUUUAAUAUUGUAUGAAUUGUAUAUGUAUUGACAUAUGUAUUCAACUAUUAAUAUACAUAAUCCAGUAAAAUAUUUUAUACAUAUAUUUCAUUAAUAUAAUACAAUAUAUGUAUGCAUCGAUGUAUUCACUGAAAUGGUCAUGUAACAUGUAUACAUAUUUUUAUUUGUUUGAUUUAUGUGUGAAUUGGGUAUGGAACAUGUAUAUAACUUUUUUUAAAUAAUUUGUGUAUGCAGUAUUGAUUGUGUUUUAUUUAUGUUUUUUGUUUGUAACAAAAUAUUAAUACAAUUAUGUAUUAUCUUCGAAAGAAGGCAAAAUACUCCAAGACAGUAACUUCAUACAGUACUGUUUACUGUUGGUUUAUGACGUGGAGUGAUAUAUUGAGAAACAAUGGAGACAGUCAGAUUGCAAAAUGAGAUGCAUUGCCCCCGAUCACGAUGUUGGACGGUGCAUCAGAGGAUUUAAGCUUCUUGCUAACAUUGCUUGGAUAGGGUUAACGAAGUAAUUUUUCCUGUCAAUAUCAACGAGAAAUUCCAUUGGUUGCUUGUUGUAAUCCCAAUCAAACUUAUAUAUCUACAUGCAUACGACUCGAUGAGUGGAGGAUCUGUUCACACCAAAAAUAUGCAUGCAGCUGUUUAUAAGCUUGCAAUCAUGAUUUCAUUAUUUCUGGCAAGCACAGGUUUUUAUGGCAAAAGACUUAAUUUGUAUGCGAACAAUCUCUCGGAAUAUCAACACAAGUCUCAAUCCGAGCCUCUUAGUAUCAAGCAUGUGACAGAUGUUCCUCAACAAGAAGACAAUUCCAAGUAUGUAUAGUUGCUAUAUUAUAUACAUUUCAUUUAAAAUUACAUCAUUAUAUAGUUAUUAUGAUUUUUUUUAUUUUCACAUUAUUUACAGCGGUUGUGGUCUAUACACAUCUCUUUUGCCGAAUAUAUCAGCAAUGGUGUUUUGGACAUGUCUGAUAUUGAUAUCGAUUCAACAUAUCAUCGUCUGGGGUAUGCCACAUUACUUUGGCAUUAUCCAAAUUAAAAAAAAUGAAGAGAGCACAAUAAACGAAAGUGAAGUUACGGGUAUAGUUUCCAACAAGUACGGUGGACCUCGACGCUAAAAGAAUAUGUUAUAGACACCACCAACUAUCCUACUACAAGACCCCGUAAUAGAAAGUAGAAAAUUUCAUUGCACCCUUUACAUAAUUUUGAAUGACAUGUUUUUUUGAACUAUUGAACUAUUUAUGUUACUUUACAGUGUUUUAUUAUUAAUAUGAAUUACACAUUGUUUUAUAUAAAUUAUAUAUGUUACCAUUAUUUUGGACAAAUUAAUUACUACAUUUAUAUACACAAGGCUAAACUCAUAAACAGAUUGCUAAAUUUGUAGGGUUUUUUCUCUCAGGUACCUCAACUACGUCAUUUUCCUAUUGAAUCAUUGAACCACCCACAAUUUUUUCUUUUUAAACACUUUUAAACAAUGUUGGUUGAUUUUGGUAGACUUUUUAUUGUAAUUGUGUUUGUAUUGUAAUGAUUUUGAUUGAAGGAAUGAAAACAAACUAUGUGAAUCUCAGUUGUUCUCUAAUAUGUUCAAAUGACUUGAAGUAAAAUACAAGUAUUCUCGAACAUUUUUACUUUCAAUUGGAAUAAUGAAUUCUGGAACAACAUAUGUACCCUCUAUCAAUACCCCUCACAAAAUCUGAUUCCACGUCAGCCAACAACGUUUGUUUAAAAGGAACAAAUUAUGGAUGGUUCAAUGAUUCAAUAGGAAAAGAGUAUAUUUGAGGUACCUGAGGGGAAAAACCCAACAAAUUUAGAAAUUUAUUUAUGUAUUUGUCCUAUACAUAAACUUGUAUUAAUUAUGUAUGCCAUAUAUUAUUCAUUGUACAAUAAUGUAACAUCCAUAUAUGCACAUUGCAUGAAAUAUAUUUAACUUAUAUGUCAUAAUAUAUUAUGUAUGCACUUUGUCUGAAUUAUGUAUACCCGAUAUUAAUCAUUGUAAAAUAACGUAAUAUCUAUGAAUGCAUAUUGUAUAAAAUAUCUUUAACUUUAUAUGCCAUAAUAUAUUAACUUUAGUAUAUAAUGUGUAUAAACUUUAUUUUAUAUGAAAUACAUAUUAAAUUUGUAUGAAAUAAUUUAACAAUAAUUAAUGUACCAAAAUAUGUUAAAAUUAAUUUAUUCUUAUGUAUGAAUAUUUUAUGAAUUACAAAUGUCAUAUUGUACUUUGAUAUAUAUAGAAGAGAAACGAAUGGCAGUAUGCUUCACUGAAUAUUUGUACUUUAUUAAAUGUGUAUGACUUUUGUAUAAAUUUUGCAUGCACUAUGCAAUAUAUAUGAACAUUUUAUGAAUACUGUAUGAACAUUGUAUACUGUAUAUCACAUUUAAAAAAAUUGUGUUCUAUUGUUAUUUGUAUUUGGACAUUUUUUACGAAAUCAAAAUUUAUAAAUGUCAAUGAUAACAACUGCAUAAAAACGGAUGAAAUAGUAAGAAAUCAUUUUUUUAUUGCACAGGAUAAUUUGAACAUGUCUUUUUAUUGUGUCCAACUUGACAACAUCUAUUGCAUGUGAUUUUUGACUCUUAAAUUCACAUAAGCAAACCCCUUCUACAGUUCAAAUUUUGUUCUUCCUGCUGAUCUUUUUGGACCGGGUGACAUCAUUUUAGGAUCUGAAGUAUAACUUGGUAUAUACCAUGUACUCUCGCAUGCAUAGGCUCGACAGGAAUAGCAGAAGAAUCUCUGAAAUUAUUCAGGCUAUAAAAAGCAGCACAAAAAUAUGCUUUAUGCAACUUUCUGUAUCUGAGAACUGCAAUUACAUGACCACAUGAUAUCUCAUAAUGUUGAAAUCUCCCGCAACUAUACAUUUUUGUGUUCAAGUUUACUAUGUAUUUCUUUGCUCCUUCGGCUACAGCAUGCAGAUCAAUAGUUGAAGGUAUCACCUAAUUAAAAGUUUAAAUGUGAUAUUGUUAAUAUGCAUGCCACUAAAUAGAGUAAAACACAUAUCUCCAUAUUGCAAGACAAAGCAAUACUUUUCUGUAGAUAAAGAUCAUAUUUUUCUGUCAGAUCAGAUGUUGUGUUAUUAGCCUCCUCAUUGUGCUUGUGAAUCCAUCUUUAAAUUGUUACCCUCAUAAAUUAAAGAAGUGAAAUUACCGGUAACUCCUUGCUAACCUGGUAAUAUUAUUCAAUGACUCGGCGAUGUUUGAACUCAUGGUCCAUGUGCACUUACAAUUCGAGUAAGCUCUUGACCAUUUGCUAUAACUAAUAUCAAAUAAGUAUGGUUGUAUGCGCGUAUCGAUCUGGUCUAUUCUUCCCAUAAUCGUCUCAAACUUUUGUUUUGUAUAAGCCUUUGCCAAUGUAAAAAACAAAAUCUUCAAAUCUCAGUAUUUCUAUUGAAAUUCUUUAACACAUUGACUGACAGAUGUCAUAUGCAGGCAUAAUGUUCGGAUUCAGGAUAUACAGUAGCAGUCCCUUUUCAUAUGUUUUUGUUUUGAUCCGACAUAAAACACAUGUCUUGUAUAACUCCAUACGCUUCCUUAAACUGUUCAAAGAACCAAGUUCAUGAAACAUCGUUUUCGAAAUCCACUACCGCAUACGCCAACGAUAGUAUAUGACCUGAUUCAUUUUUUAAAAAAAAUAUCACAUAAAUUAGAAAUACAAUUUAUAACAUAUUUUAUUAUAUGUUAUAAUCGAAAAAUUAAAUGGGAUAAAAAAAUACCUCCCGAAUCCAUUGUGCUGGCAGUUAACAUUGUACCACCAUAUGAACAUUUUAAUCCCGCCCCAUCAACAACUACAAUUAGCCUACAAUACUCCCAACCUCUAAUACAAUCUUCUAAUGCAACAAAUGCGUAUAAGAAUUUAUCAUAUUCUUUCCUUUUUAUUUUUCAAAUAGAUCCAGGAUAUGUUUGCUCCAAAAUGUAAAGAUAACCUGAAAUUUUUAUUAUAUAAUGCGAAAACUUAAAACAUCAUAUGUAUAACUUAAUGGAUACACAAAAAUCACUUAGUUGAUACAAAAAGGAUGUAUACUGUUUUUUAUACAACAAGGAUACAUACAAAAAGGAUACAAAAUUUAUACAUAAAAAAUACAAGAAUCAGAACAAUUCAAUUCAUUAUGAAAACUUACUAUAUGGUCGUUUUUUCCAUUUGAACCAUUUAAAAAACUUUAAAUUCAUAUUAAAUGUCAAAAUUACCUGGUUAUUUGGCAUACGAUUCGGGUGGAUCUCUGCGCAUCAAUUUUGUUGUUUUUUCUUUAGCUCUCCAUGCCUGUAUGUAUGUUAGCGAAACGUCAUGCAAUUUUAACAUAUCAGCGGCUAUAUUCUUUAGAAUGUAUACAAUAGAUGGAUCAAUAUACUUCUCCAUCAUCAAGACAUCUACUACGUCAAUUAUCCCCUGACGUCUUGCAUACACUUUAUCUCUAACAACACAAGUGUGUUGAGCAUUAUAUUUUCUAACUUUGAAUAAAUUUGAUUUAUUCAAAGUAGAUGCGCUAUCAUCCGAGAACAAGUAUCAGAAAUACAAUUCAGGUGAUAAUUGUUUCAAAAAUAAAAAAAUAUACAUUUAAAUUUUAUGCAGCAAAAUAAAUCAAAUUAAAAAAAUAUAACUUAAAACAAUGAUGUGCACUUACUUAGAUGCAUUACAACGCGCUACACGAAAACUGAAUUUUUCGACAAGUCCGACAUGCCUCAUAACCUCCUUAAGUGUUUCCUAUUAUUGUAAAUCUGAUUCUCAGCUACAAAUAGGUUGGAAUGAUCACAUAUUACAUCAUUAUCUCCUCCACUAUUCUCAUAGAAAACUUCGUCUAAAUUCAUUCCCACCAAAUGGAUAGAAUUGUUGGAGUAUAAAUCAACGUUAGUAUGUGUUAAACUAACCUCAAAGUUUUUUCUAUCAGUAAUAUCUCCAUGACCUUCAUUAUACAUCUCACAAUCUUUCAAAGAGAUGCACAAUGUAUAUUUUGUAAAAAAUCCAAAUUCAUUUUCUUUUGAUCUAGAAAAACCUAUACCCCAACAUCAUUAUGAAUAUUAAUAGGUGAACACAUAUCGCUAACAAUAAAUUUUAUCUCAAUAGAAUUUAUAUUUUGGUAUAUAUUAAGUUGAGAUAUUAUAGCAUUAACUAAAUCACUAUAAAGAGUAGAUGCAUCAUAUAUGAUGCCCUCCAUCUGAAAUCGAUAUAUUUACCUGUUUCACAACAUUAAAAUAAUAUUGAGUGCAACAUAAUAAAUAUAAUUGCAAAAUAAUUCAUACACACUUCAUACACAUUUAAUAUACAAUUUAAUGACAUAUAAACUACUUAAAUUAAAUAAAAAUAAUACAGUUUUCAUAAAAAUUUCAUUCAGAAACAUAUAUUCUAAUUUCAACAAAAACUAAAACUUCAUACACAAUUAAUACAAGUUUCACACAUUAUUAAUACAAUUUUCAUACUUCACCGGUCCACAAUAUUAUAUCUACUUACUUUUUGACUAGUUACUAAACAGAUUGUACCAUCAAAUUCAUUUUUUCUAUUUUUUUUCAUAAAUCAAGCAUUACAUGAAUAUUCAAUUUUAUUAAAACUCAAACGCAUAUACAUUUACGUGCUGUUUUUCAGAUACAGUAUACAUACCAAAACACUGUUUCGUCCAACAAAAAAAAAGAUACAAUCUAUAUUUCAGAUCUUACAAUAAUAAAAAAAAAUUGAACAAUGUUCUCUGUGUUAAAAAUCAAAAAAUCAUAAUUAAACCAACAAUUCAUAAUUAAAAUCAACAAAUCAUAACUAAAAUCAACCUGAUGAAUUCCACUUUCUACCAUGUUUAAUUAAUAUCGACAAAAUGUUCUCCAUCACAACAAAUUAAUUUGUUUCCAAUGCAAAAAUUUAUUCAAUUACUAAAAAAAUGAACUGAAAUAUUUUGCAAAUCUGAAAUAAUCGUGAAAAUUGGGAGAAAAAAACAGCUUGUACGUUGAUGUCAAAUUUUUAGAGUUUUUUAAGGAAUUAAAUCAAAAUUUAAUCUCAUUUAAACUAAUUGGAGAGAUUUAAGACAACUAACUAAUCUGAAUAUUUUUUAAAAUUCCUUAAAACGUGCUAAUCAACUAAAACAAAUUAAUAAUUAUAUUUAAUUUAAUUAAUGAAGGAUGUCAUUUUCCAUUUAUAUUUUGUCUAUUUUUUUUCUUUAAUUUUUUUAAUACAAAUAUUUUUAAUAAUUUAAAAUUAAUAUUAUAUUUUUUACUAAUAUGCUAUAGCUUGAGAUAUUAAAUGUUAUACAUUGAAAUACAAAUUUUAAUGUUAUAACUUGAGAAUAUUAUUAUAAAAAAUGCUAUAUACCUAUCAAAUAUGGUUUGAGCAAAAUAGUUUUAACCCAUUAUUUUUGUUUUAAAAAAGAUUUACCCCUCCCUACAAACACCCCAUCCCCCCCCCCACCUUUCACCACCUACCCCUAAUUUUUUUCUUUUUCAAAAAUUAAAAAAAAAACUAUUUUUCAACCAAAAAAAAUAAUUUACCCCCAUCACCUUCACCAAUCUACCCCUCAAUUUUUUUUUUGUUUUCCAAUAAUUAAAAAAAUGUUUUUUCAAAAAACAAAAAAAGAUUACCCCUGCCGCGGGCACCGCGUCCCCCACCCCCACCUACCACCAACCUACCCCUAUUUUUUUUAUUUUCUAAAAAAUAAAAAAAUAAUUUCAAAAAAUAUAAAAACAGACCCACUCCCCAGCGCAACCCCUACCCCCCUUCCACCAACCAACUCCUAAAAAUAUAUUGUUUCCUAAAAAAAACAAAAAAAAAUCUGAUUUUAAAAAAAAGUUUACCCCUUCUCCCCGGGCACCCCGACCCGCCUACCUUCCCCUCCCCCCCUUCAACCAACCUACCCCUAAAUUAUUUUUGUUUUUCAAAAAUAAAAAAAAACUAUUUUUCAAAAGAAAAAAAAGUUACCCCCUCUCCAGCCCCCAACCCCCACCUUCCACCAAUCGACCCUAAAUUUUUUUUCCAAAAAACAAAAAAAAAUUCUGAUUCAUUUCACAUAUAUGGGUUGAAUAUGGAUUUUCAUGUUAACCCCUUUUUGUUAAUAUUUAUAUGAAUUUAAAUAGGUUGAAGACCAUAUUAACCUAUUUAAGAAAAUGAAAGAAAAUAUGAGUGAUUCAUUUAAUUUAAUGUGGGUAAAAUGGUUUGAUUUCACUUAUAUGAGUGGAAAUUGUCACCCUUAGCUAUAGUUUGUUAUAAUUAACACUCACGAUUAACAUUAUACAUUAAUUAUGUGGGCUGACUUCAGAUUUGUAUAAUUAGUAAUGUUUGUAGAAUUAACCACGUUGUAUAUGUAUAAUUCACCAGAAUAUACAAAUACAUGUGUAUAAUUUACAACUAUCUAACCGAUAUACAUAUAUAAUUCACCUAUUUCCCACUCUUUUCUUUCUCUCCUCCCCCUCUCAAUCUCGCUUGUAUAUAUACAAAUACAUAUGUAUAAUAUACAAUAAUCUAACCGAUAUACAUAUAUAAUUUACUUCUCUUCCACUCUCUACCCUCUCUCGCUCGCCUCUCUCCUCCCUCUCCCAAUCUCGCUCGCCUCUCUCCUUUCUCUCUCAAUCUCGCUUGCAUCUCUCCUCCCUCUUCCAAUCUCGCUUUCCAUAUAUACAAAUACACAUGUAUAAUAUACAAUUAUCUAACCGAUAUACAUAUAUAAUGCACCUCUCUCCCACUCUUCGCCCUCUCUCACUCGCCUUUCUCCUCUUUUUCUCGGUCUCACUCGCCUCUCUCCUCCCUAUAGCAUGUAGGUACGAAUUAUAAUUAUCAAACUAUAGUUAUGGAUAGUAAUUAGACUAUUUUUGAGUGGCUGUAUGUUAAAAUUCCUCACAUGUAUUAGUAAUUUCUUAUUUGGUGCAUUUUUUUAUACUAUGUAUACGUAUAACUAAUGUUCGCAUUAGUUAUACACUCUAUUGUGUAUUGAGGAGUGUAUUACUAAUACCACGAAUUUUGAGGUAUUAGUAAUGCAAUGGAUUUAAUACAUUCAUUAAUAUGGUUAAAGACCCAAUUACCCUCAUAAGUACUUUUACAUCUUAUCCACCAUAAUUGUGAAGGAUACUUUUAUAAAUAAAUAUAUUUAUACAAUGCAUACUAUUUUUAAUACAUCAAACCAAAUAAUACAUAAGAAAUAAUCUAUGAAUAACUAAUACAAGUAUAACUAAUGCAUACAUUAUUAAUAUUUAUAGUAUUAAUGCACUAUAUUAAAUAUUAUUUUAUACACUCUGCCAAAGUACUUUUAAUAACCCUCAAUUCUCUUUAAGUUACAUUUAAAGUCCAUCGAAGUCUACCACGUUCAUACUGCUGAGGUAUUAAACGCAUAAACCACAAGCAACACAAGGCAAGUCAAAUAAAACAAAAUGUGGAAGUAGAAGAAAAGGGGUAAGGGAAGCCAUUUAGCAUUGUGUCUAUUGGAAUAGAUCAAAUUAUAGUACAACAGGUUUAUUAGUGGUUAAAAGUUUUCUUGAAGGGUGGCCUAGUGAUUGCAUGAGAAUCGGGUUUCAGGAUCAGAACUCAAUAGUGGAAAUCAAAAAAAAAAAUUAGGUGAUUCUUAUCAUUAAUCUUACUUAACUUUGAUGAAUAACGUUACAGACCUCAUACACAUUGCUGGUGAGAGAUGGUAGAUAUCCAUGAAACUAGUCGAAAUACCCAAAAUCUGGUCUGAAUACAAUAGGAGAUAAUUGAUUUCGCCACCAUGAGUCGGUAUCUUUGCACAAGUGAGCACACAACCUAUUUAGAUGAUAUCAUGACACCGUUUAAAAUUUUGAAUCUGGCUCUGAUCCUAAUAUGAGUGACAUUCAUAUCAACCAUUACCAAUACCACUUCCCACUCAGAUUUGCUUCUUUUAAGAGACCCGACACUCUUUUUCAUCUUACUGGCUCUCAAUCAAAGAUCACAAAAACAUAUAAAAAAUGUAUUAUCACCUUAAUCCAUAGCGGCCAUGUGGAUGAUCUACUAUUCAAUUUAUGUUUCCUUCUUAAAUAUACUGGAUACUGGAGUCCGAGCUAAUAUUGAUUCAAUAUGUGUUAGUGUUUCAAAAAGAAUGAUCUACUUGUCUUUGGUUAAUGUCUCUUUCCUUUAUAAGAUUAAUAGAUAUUUCAAUACAUUUGUUAGCCAUUUCAAAACGAUAAUAAAAUUUAAUUAAAAACCAAAAGAUCAAUUAACGCCUAAAUUAACGCCGUUGAAAUCAGGUCGAACACAGUAAGACUCAAAUUUCGAUGCGCCUUGUAAGGCACAUCAUUGUCAACUAGGACGAAGCAAUUGAUCACAUUCUUAAUCCCUCUUCCCAAAGACUUCUCUUUUUGAAACUAAACUCCUUGACGGGUGCGUCUUAUAAGGCGCAUAGAAAUUCGAGCCUUCCCCUUUUAAAAAAAUCUUUUCAUUUUUGCAAGUGACUUGUUUUUUUUUUAAUUACUCUUAGAGAUUUUAUUCCAGUAUUAAAGUUAUACGUAACAAAAACUUCCAUUUUUUGUUUGAGAUUCACUAUCAUCACAAGAUAAAAUAUGGGUAUUAAAAUAUUUAUUUUUUAAUUCUAGUUAAAUAAUAUAUAUUGGUUAUUUUAUAUUUUUAACUAUAAAAAUUAUUAUCAAUUAAUUUUUUCGUGUUGUUGUAGCGGGGAAGGGGCAAGGCGCAAGGACUAUGCCCCCCUUACAAGCCUGCCAUGGCCUUGCAUCUCCCUUUAUAUGAUUAUUUUUUAUUUCAAUUUUUUUUGUGUGUGUGUUUGGUAGUUUUUUCUAGCUAAUGUUUCAUUCCAAUUUUUUAGGUAAGAUUUUAUAAAUUCAAACUUUUAAAAGUAUCAUUUUCAUAUUGAGACAAAUAUUACAUGAAUUGAUAACAUAAUUUUACAAAUAAUAAGUUCAUAAACUUUAAAUAUCGAUAAGAGUUAGAAAGAUAAGUAUUCUAAUAAACAUAUAUUUUAUCUUGUAAUGAGAGUGAAUCUCAAACAAAAGAUGAAAUGUUUUUGCUAAGUAUAAUUUUACUAAUUUGACUAAAAUUUCGAGUAAUAGAAAACAAGUAACUUGCAAAAAAUGAAACAUAAAAAACGUUUUUUUUUUCAUUUUAAGGGAAGACUCAAAUUUUUACGUGCCUGAUAAGCGCAGCCGCCUGACAGUAGUAAGUCUUACUAGGCGUAUAGAAAUUUGACAAUGGCGUCAAUUUGAGCGUUAAAAUAUUGUCCUUUUGUUUUUUCACUAAAAUUUUUUGCCUUCUUGAAAACAAACUUUGUUAGAUUUCCAUAGUUGAAGACAUCCUAAGUUCUUAACCAGAGGAAGAAACAUAAUGUAGAAGGAAGAAGAAGAAAGCUCAACUAUUAUUAUCUCGUGUGAACAAUACAAGUUACAUGAUAUAAGAUAUAUAUACAAAUUUUUCAGCACACAUUCUAGAAGAUUCUCUAACAAUAGGUGUAACUACAUAACUAACUUUGUUAACUACUUUCUAACAAACUUAGUUAAUCCUAACUCAACCAUAAUUAUAUCAGCUUGCACCUUUAGUUCAACACUCCCCCUCAAGACGAUGGCUUGAAUAUAUCUUUUAGGCCUAUCUUGCUUAGCAAAUAUUCAUGUUGAGCUCUUCCUAGUCCUUUAGUAAGUAUAUCUGCCAAUUGUUCUUCAGUAGACACAUGAUCAAUUUCAAUCAUCCCUUUGCUAACCCUUUCUCUUACAAAAUGACAAUCAAUGUCAAUAUGUUUGGUUCUCUCAUGAAAUAUGAGAUUUGCAGCUAGUUGAAUAGCUCCCUUACUAUCACAUCUUAAGGUUAUAGGUUGUUGAACUUGAACUCCAAGGUCACUGAACAAUCCUACCAACCAAGUAAGUUCUACAGUGCAAGCUGCCAUACUUCUGAAUUCUGCCUCAGCAGAACUUCUUGACACAGUUUCUUGCUUCUUAGAUUUCUAGGAAAUCACUGCUCCACCAAACUUAACUAAAUACCCUGUGACAGACCUUCUUGUUUCCAUGCAUGCUCCCCAGUCUGAAUCACAAUAGGCCAUAAGUUGAUUUGUAGUACCAGCAGGCAUCAACAAUCCCAUUCCUGGUGUCCCCUUGAUGUAUCUCACUACUCUUAUAGCAGCUUCCAUGUGAGAUCUUUUGGAAAAUGCAUAUAUUGGCUUAAGACCUGUACUACAAAUGCAAUAUCAGGUCUUGUCAUAGUCAAAUACAGAACUUUUCCCACUAGUCUUUGAUAUGAUGCAUGAUUUUCCAAUAUUCCAUCACUAAUUUCAGCUUUGCUUGAUACAUGUUUAUCAUAUUCUGUAGAAGUUAACUUUUGAUUCAUCUCAAAUGGUGUACUUGCUGGUUUUGCUCCACUCAUUCCAGUUUCAACAACCAAUUCUAAUGCAUAUUUUCUCUGACACAUUACAAUUCCUUCAUUUGAUCUGGAUACUUCAAUUCCCAAAAAUAAUUUAAGUUCUCCAAGAUCUUUCAUCUUGAAACUAUGCUGUAAAUCUUCUCUUGCUUUGUUUAUCAACGUCUGACUAUUUCCAGUUACUAUCAAAUCAUCCACAUAUACCAGAAUUAUCACCAACUCUUUUCCUGUCCUUUUAAUGAACAAGGAAUAAUCAUAAUGACUUUGUCUCAUCAGUCAAUUUUUUGUUCCACUGCCUUGGAGCUUGUUUCAACCCAUAUAAAGACUUAUGAAGUUUACAGACCUUGUGAGACUCCCCCUGUCUAGCAAACCCUUCAGGAAUAGUCAUAUAUACUUCCUCUAGUAAAACACCAAUAAGAAGAGGCUGCAAGAGCAAUCAGAGAUCUGACAGUCACUAUUUUUGCAACUGGAGAAAAAGUCUCAAAGUAAUCCGUCCCAGCUUGUUGACUAUAGCCCUUGGCAACUAGCCUGGCUUUAUAUCUUUCCACCUCUCCAGAAGCUUUGUACUUAACUUUAUAUAUCCAUCUACAAUCAAUAGGUGUUUUACCACUUGGAAGAUCAACAAUAGACCAUGUCUGAUUGGAUUCUAAAGUUGCAAUUUCCAAUUUCAUAGCAUGAACCCAGUCUGGAUCCUUGGAAGCCUGUUGAAAAGAACCAGCUUCUGUAAUAGAAGAGUAAACUGACAAAGCAUGAUGACAGGACUUGGAUAUAUUAGAGUAUGCGACAAAGGAGGAAAUAGGAUAAGCACAUUGAUUGGCAAAAGAAGGAAAAAAAAAGUCAAUCAUCCAUUUAGGAGGAUGUCUUAUCCUGGUAGAUUUUCUAAGAUUAACAGGAGAGGAUAAAGAAGUUCGAGGAAGUGAGGUCAGCUAAACAGAUUCAGUGACAUUGAGAUUAGCUGUGAGAUAGGUUCAGUAAUAGGAGGAUUUAUAGGUUGGUUGGAUUCAGUAGUAAUGAGAGUAGGGGACUGAAUAAAAGUAUUUGACUCAAAGUUAGACAAAUCAAGUACAGGAAAAAGAGGAGAACCAUAAGAUUUUGCAUGAAUGAAAGGAAACACUGACUCCUGAAACACUACAUUUCUGCUAACAUAAAACAUAUUGGAAUGAAGAUCAUAGAUUUGAUAACUUUUUUGCGUAGAUGAAUAGCCCAUGAAUACCCCUGAAACAACUUUUACCUUGAAUUUAUCAGAUGAUGGUGUAGAUGAGGCACAAGUGAGACAUCCAAAAACUCUAAGGUAAGAUAAAGAAUGAGGAUGACUAUGUAAAAUUUCAAAAGGUGUUUUGAAUUUUAGUAGCUUGGAAGGAAGUGUAUUGAUAAGAUAUAUAGCAGUCAUAACACAUUCACCCCAAAAUUUCAAAGGUAAAGCAGCUUGUAACCUAAGAGACCUUGCUACACCAAGAAUUAUUUUAUGUUUUCUUUCUACAACUCCAUUUUGUUGAGGAGUGUAGACACAAGAACUUUGAUGUAGUAUGCCAAAAUCAGACACCAAUGACUGAAAUUCAGAAUUAAAGAAUUCAUACGUAUUAUCAGUCCUUAAUACUUUCUCAGCAGUUGAAAACAAAUUCUUUAUUCUAUUCAGAAAGUUUCUCAGUACAACAAUGACUUCAGACUUGAAUUGGAAUAGAAACAACCAGGUAAACCUGCUGUGAUCAUCUACUAAAGUAACAAAAUACCUUUUUCUAUUGUAAGUAGGAAUUCGAUAAGGACCCCAGAUAUCACAAUGCAAUAACUCAAAAACAGACUUAGAAUAGGUACUACUAACAGGAAAAGGAAGUUUAGUAUGUUUAGCCAAAGGGCAUACAGUACACAAAUGAUGAGAAUGAUGUAGAUGUUGAAGUUGUUUAUGAGCUCUGAUAAUAUUCAUUGGAGCAUGACCCAACCUUCUGUGCCAGAGAAUGCUAGAUUCAGAAGGUUUAUCUUGAGUGAUAACAGAUCUAGUUGUAAAACCAUAUAUAGCAGACUUCUCAGAACUGCUCUUUAAGAUGUACAAACCCUGUUCUUCUAUACCAAUCCCCUUCACCAUGCCAUUGGAGAGAUCCUGAAAUAUACAGAAGUCAGGGAAAAAUGCUACAGAACAUUUUAAUUCCCUUGUUAACCUUGAGACUGACAAUAGAUUAAACUUAAACUCUGGUAAAACUAGCACAUUUGAGAUAGAAUUGUCAUUGAAUAUUUUUGAACUUCCUGUAUAGGCUACUGAUACUGUCUGUCUAGUAGGAAGAUGAACUUAAUUAUCUGCAUGAUGAGAAAUUUUAUGACAUGUAUGUAAUAUCUCAGAAUUAGAUGCCAUAUGAUUUGAAGCUCCUGUAUCUAUUAUCCACUUAACAGAUACAUCAUUGACUAAAGUAGAUCUUUGAGUACCUGCAUUUGCAGUUUGAAUGGUAGGGGAUGAAUCAUAAUUUAUUUUGUUCAACAAGUGAAGAAUUUGUUGAUACUGUUCUGGAGUAAAUGAAGGAAGAACAGGUGAUUGUGCUACAGUUCCUACUAUUUCCUGACUUGUUCUAUCAUAUGAACUUGAGUUCUCUACCUCAGCAGAACAAGAAGAAAAAUAAUUGCCUACUUGAUUAGCAAAUUGAGAUGAUCCUUGUCUUCUGUUCUUAGGCCAGUCAGAUGGAUAUCCUAUGAGUUUGUAACACUGUUCCUUAGUGUGUCCAUUAUAAUUGCAAAACUCACAAACUACUGAUUCUCUCUUUUGUGGUUUGCUUCCACCUGCUGAUGAUACUCUACCAUUAUGAUUACCUCCUGAAUUAGAACCUUCUCCAUGAAAUGAUCUGGUAGAAUUGAAACCUAUUCCAUUGUUAUGAGACUGAUUUCCUUUUUUACUGAAGAAUGCAGCUCCUUCCAACACCUCAGAAAUCUUACCGACUGGAGUUGACAUUGCAAUUGAUCUUUGGCUUUCAUGAUUUAUCACUAAUGAGUAGGCCUUGUUCAGUAUUGGAAGAGGUGUUAACAUUAGGAUUUGACUUCUACAUUGAGCAUAUGUCUCGUUAAGACCCAUGAGAAAUUGUAAAAGUCUUUGAUAUCCAUAAUGUUGAGCAUAACUGCGAGAUUCAGUGCAAUUGCAUCCAGGACAUGGCAUGAGUGUAUCAAACUCAUCCCACAAAUUUCUCAUCUUAGAAAAAUAGUCAGAAACAGAUUGACUAUCUUGUGUAAGUGUAGCAAUUUCUCUAUGAAGAUAGAACACUCUAGAAACAUUCACUGUAUCAAAUCUCUCCUGCAAAUCUAGCCAGACCUUAUGAGCAUUCAAAGCAUAUAUAAUGCUGCUCAGUAAUUCAGACUUCACAGAAUUCAUUAUCCAAGAUAAAACCACUGCAUUCACCUUCUCCCACUGAUCAUACAUUGAUUCUUCAAAUUUAUCUUUAGUGUGUCUGCCAUUUACAAAGCCUAAUUUGUUUUUUCCCAACAAUCCUAAACGCAUAGAUCUGCUCCAAAGUGCGUAAUUCUCAGAUGCAGUAAGUUGAAUUGAAAUAAGAGAGCUACCUGGAGUGUCGUUAGGAUAUAGAUACAGAGGAUGUGUGUGAUCAAUCAUAGAUCUGCCUGAAACUGCUAAAACUACCGGAACUGCACCUUCCACUUCCAUGAUCUCUUAUGAAUCUGAAUAUAACACUAAUUUGAACUCUCUGAUCGGAGCUCUGAUACCAUGUUAGAUUUCCAUAGUUGAAGACUUCCUAAGUUCUUAACCAGAGGAAGAAACAUAAUGUAGAAGGAAGAAGAAGAAAUCUCAACUAUUAUUAUUUCGUCUGAACAAUACAAGUAACAUGAUAUAAGAUAUAUAUACAAAUUUUUCAGCACAAUUUCUAGAAGAUUCUCUAGCAAUAGGUGUAACUACAUCACUAACUUUGUUAACUACUUUCUAACAAACUUAGUUAAGCCUAACUCAACCACAAUUAUUUCAGCUUGUGCACCUUUAGUUCAACAUUCCGGUAACAAGAACUUAUUUAAAAUAAACCUAAGAACUCUAGAGUGAAGAUGACCAUGACGUUGAUGCCAAGUAGUGAGAGGAAUAGAUGUAGUGGUUAUGUGAGCUUGGGAAGGUGGGAUAGGCCACUCAUAAAACCAAUUUUUAGUCCGACCCUGCACCAGUGGUUUCCGCGUUUUCAAAUCCUUCACAACAAAGUCAAAAGGAAAAAAUUCAAUAGACUUCAGAUUGGUUUGACAAAUCUCAAUGAAAGUUUCAGUGUGGAAAAACCAUUAGGCCAUUUAGAAUAUUAUAGAUAAAAGAGAAAAUUUGAGGGUGUAAAAGUACAAAACAUGUGAAGGAAUAUUCCAUUUCUGUGGGUAACUGAUCAAAAGAGACACGCGUUAACCGGAAGUUCAUUUUUAUAACUUAGGAAAUUGCUCCCAAAAGGGAACUUAUCAAAAGUGACACGUGUUAAUUGUAAAUUUAUUUUUAUAAUAUUUUACCACUUUAGAAAGGUUAAUUAACUGUAUUUUUCUACUUUAUUUUAUUGGACAAAUUUAUUGAACGUUAUAAUAUCUGAUUAGUUUUACUUUCGGCAUUAGUAACCUAAAUAACAUAAACAACAUAAAUUUCACUAGUUAAGAAUUUAAUUAUGUGCUUUUUUCGUGAGUAUUUUUGAAAGCACCGUUCAUGUAAAAUUAUGGUCCAAAUAUACAUGCAUUUCGGAUAAAUGGGGUUCAUAAUUAGUUGUAAUUUAUUCUGGAUAUAAUAUAUUUAAGUGUAUUUGCAAGGCUGAUCUGACUCGCUCACCUACCUCUUUCCCUAUUUGUAUUUCAAAAUAUAACUAAGAGCAAAAAUACAUGUAUCUAGGUGUAUUUAAUUUGAGGUCUGAUAUUAAAUUAUUAAUUUAGGAGAAAAUGUGUAUUUAUUUCAAACUAUAAGAAGAAGAGUUAGUUAAUAGGGUAUGAAUGUUUAAGCUGCUUCACUCCUUUCUACCUAUAUUUAGCUAGGGUGGUUCUUCUCUCCAUGUUAAGAAAUUUUAUUUUUCAACCAGGGAGCUUGGAUUGUAAGUUACCUAUAUUGAAAUGGAAGACGCGUCUUUAAGAAUUAGGAUGUAGGGUAUAGAUAGAUUAAGAGAUAAGAAAGUGUAUAGGUUCUUCAAGUAAAAGAGAGGAGGAUCCAAGAGUAUUAAUAGAUACACAUGCAUAAAAGGGAGCUAAAUCUAAGAUUAGAAACACAUACCAACUUAUCGAUAUUUAUAUAAUAUAUAGAAAAUAAAAGUGAUAAAAUAUAUAUUUUUAUCAUCAUCAUCAACUACUAAUAACAUUUUUGUUAAUUUCAAUUUUUCCAGCUUUUUCGAAUACAUAAUUAAAUUAUGUUAAAUUAGGUCUUAGACAUAACUCAUACCCCAAAAAUUAGGCCUAGGUGAAUAUUUUUUCUUAGGUAAGUACAUGAAUUAAGGUUUCCCCCCUUUUAAUCUUAAACUAAAGAACAUGAAGAGUUGCAGCUAAAUCAAUAUAUACCAUUACCAAAUACGAAUUUGUCAUCUUGGGUUCUUCCACUAGUAGUUCUACGUUCUCCUAUGGUAAAGUUCCUUCUUUUCUCCUCAUUUCCAACCUUUUAUUGUUUGUUUAUAAGAUUUUUAUCAUUUAUAUUUUUUCAAAUUAGGCUAUGAUCUGAGAGUAACAGUAAAGUGUAUCGCAAGUUUGACAUCUUCCACUAGUAGUUCUACGUUCUCCUAUGGUAAAGUUCCUUCUUUUCUCCUCAUUUCCCACCUUCUAUUGUUUGUUUAUAAAAUUUUGAUCAUUUAUAUUUUUUCAAAUUAGGCUAUGAUCUGAGAGUAACAGUAAAGUGUAUCGCAAGUUUGACAUCUUCCCUUUAUUUAGGAACACUGAAAAGAAUUUUGUGGAAAAUGAAUUCAUAAGGUUAGAAAUAUUAAGUAUGACUUCUACAUUGUCCUGCAUUGACUAAGUUUGAUUACAUGAUACUGAUAUGAAUCAAAUUCAUUUCAUUCAACAUUUUUGUGUUUUUUUGUAAAUUAUAUUUGGAAGGCUUGGUUCGUUGCUUUAAAGUUAUACACAAGAUCGAUCUAAUAAUAUAAUAUUAUAAUUUCAUACUUAAUUUUUAAGGAAGAAAAUAAUAAGAUGAAUUCACCGAGGCUAAGUUGGUAUUACAUUUUAAAAUAAUAUUUAUUUAACUUUAUAAAGAUUUUUACUUAUUGACGUAUAUGGUACACGCACAACGCGUAUGCCCAAUAAUUAAUAAGAUAUAACAACCAACCCAAUAUAUACUCUUUUUAAAAAAACAAAAAUCAUUCGCUUGUGAUAUCCCUAGCAUGUACAACUAACAACAUAUAUUAUAUAUUAACAAAAAAUAUUAUUAGACUUAACAAAAUAUAAAAUUUUAACUCAAAAAAUAAACUUCGAAUUUGGUGCAAGUUUUUUUGGGGGGUUUUAUAAAGAAAACAACUAAUAUUAGGUGUUUCACGUGUUUCAACGAUUAGCAAGAAUUCAUCACUCUUUAAGUUGAAGAAAUAACUUUAAAACCCUUUAAAAACUUAAACAGAAAAAACCUUAAAUCCUUAAUUAACACAUAAAUAUUUAAAAUCUUAACCAAUUAAACAAAAUGAAAAGCAAUUAUAAUGAUACCUUAAUGUAAAAUUAGGCGUCUGAGGAAAACUCUAAGUUAAGUUUAUAUUUGUCAAGUUCAUUAACAACAAUUUUUUUCCUAGAUAGCAUAUCAAAUACUAAUAAAAUAUACAAAUAAAUGAAAGCAAAAAGUAUAUUUGACACUUUCUUAUUAGAAAUAAUAAAAUUAAAAAAAUAAAACAAAUAAUCUCAUAUUAAAUUGAUUCGCUUAUAUUAUUUCUCGAGACAAGCAUAUAAGUCCGUUUGAACCCUCAAUAGGAAAAGGUUAAGGUCACCAAACAAUUUAUCUUUCACACUCAAUUGUUAUCCAGGGUGUCCAAAAUGAAAUAUUUUAGCUGUUAACAAAAAUAACUAUUCUAAUGCACAAUCAUUUUUCUUACAUAAAAUGUUAGUAAGUGCGAGUGAGUGCUAAGUCAUUAUCUAUAUCAUCAAGAAGAUGUACUAAUAACCCUGAUCAUUGUGAUCAGAGCAAGACAAAAUCUUCUAAGAAAAAGCCCAUGGCAUUGUUAGGUAGUGGGGCCUGAUUAAUUUUAGGUUUUCCUAUUUAUUCUCUAUUUUAGGUUUUCUUAUUUAUUUUCUAUUUUAGGCUUUCCUAUUUAUUCUCUAUUUAUUCUCCGUAACCAAAAAUACUCUUAUUUAUUAAUAUAAAUAUACCUCACCGCCGUGGAAGUGUACUCACGGGGUGUUACCACGAAAUAUUGGGUUUUCUCUCUCUCUCUCUCUCUAGAUUUCUCAUCUCUUUCUCUUGAAAGUUCUUGUGUUCUUCAUUCAUCUAGUGUGUGUGCGUGAAUUCGAUCCUAACAACUGGUAUCAGAGCUAAGGAGAUUCAACACGAUCACAGAAGAUGGAUAGUUCGAAGCUUGGAAUCGAGAAUUUUGAUGGAUAUGAUUUAAGUUUCUGGAAGAUGUAGAUCGAAGAUUAUCUGUACCAGAAAGAUCUCCACGAACUGUUGAUCGGGGUGAAGCCGGAAUCCAUGACGAAGGAGAAGCGGAAACUCAAGGAUCGCCAGGCUCUAGGGUUGAUCCGGUUGACUUUGUCAAGAAAUGUGGCGUUCUAUAUCAUGAAGGAGAAGACUACGUCCGGUUUGUUGAAGGCACUGUCAAACAUGUAUGAAAAACCAUCGGCUAUGAACAAGGUAUAUUUGAUGCGUAGAUUGUUCAAUUUACAGAUGUUUGAAACUCGAUCCAUUUCUGAUCAUAUAAAUGAGUUCAAUAUGAUUGUGAGUCAACUCAAUUCUGUGGAUAUUAAUUUUGAAGAUGAAAUUAAGGCGUUGAUUUUGAUGUCAUCUCUGCCCGAGUCUUAGGAUACUGUUGUUGCUGCGAUUAGCAGUUCUCGUGGAUCUGAGAAACUGAAGUUUGAUGAAAUCCGUGAUGUUGUUCUUAGCAAAAGUAUUCGCAAAUGAGAAGUGGGAGAUUCAUCGGGCAGUGCUCUCAGCGUUGAUCGAAGGCGGAGAAGUAAGACGAAAGGCCAAAAUCAACAUGGUCGAUUAAAAUCAAAGAAUCAAGGAAAAUCAUUGAACAGAUCAAAUGUGACUUGUUGGAACUGUGGAGAAAAAGGGCACUUUCGGACGAACUGUACAAAGCCAAAGAAGAAACAGAAUCAGAAAUUUAGAGAUGACAAUGAUUAUGUAAAUUUAGUAGAGGACAUUGGGGAUGCUCUAAUCCUUAGUGUGAAUAGCCCGGUUGAAUCAUGGAUUUUGGAUUUUGGUUCAUCUUUCCAUUCGUCUCCAAGCAAGGAGUUGUUCCAAAACAUCAAAUCUGGAAAUUUUUGAAAAGUAUAUCUUGCAGACAAUAAAGCCUUAGAGAUAGAAGGAAAGGGGGAUGUUUGCAUAAAGACCACCUCUGGAAACCAGUGGACAUUGGAGGAUGUCAGAUAUAUUCCUGGGAUCAAGAAAAAUUUGAUCUCUGUUGAUCAGUUGGAUAGCACGAGAUAUGCAGAAGUGUUUGGGAAAGGUUUAUGGAAGAUUGUGAAAGGUUCUAUGGUAGUAGCUCGUGGCACAAAAUCUGGAACUUCGUACACCACUGCAGGGUGUAUAAACAUGGCCGCUGUUGCUGAAGGUGCUUCCGGUUCAUGUCUGUGGCACAACAGACUUGGAAACAUGAGUACUAAAGGAAUGAAGAUGCUGGUUGCAAAAGGAGAAUUAGAGGGUCUGAAGUCUAUUGAUAUGGGUAUUUGCGAGAGCUGUGUUAUGGGCAAGCAGAAAAAAGUAAGCUUCACAAAGAUUUCUAGAGAGACAAAGAAAGUGCGGUUGGAAAUGGUCCAUACAGAUGUUUGGGGACCAUCUCCAGUAUCAUCACUUGGAGGAUCCAGGUUCUAUGUUACCUUCAUUGAUGAUUUCAGCAGGAAGGUAUGGGUUUACUUCUUGAAGCAUAAGUCAGAUGUGUUUGCAACUUUCAAUGAGUGGAAAGCUGAAGUUGAGAAUUAGAUCGGUUUGAAAGUCAAAUGCCUAAGGUCUGACAAUGGAGGAGAGUAUGACAAAUUAGAGUUCAAGGCAUUCUAUGCAGCUGAGGGAAUCAGAUUGAUGAGAACAGUUCGUGUUAAGACAAGGCAGAAUGGAAUUGCUGAGAGGAUGAACAGAACAUUGAAAGAGCGUGCAAGGAGUAUGAGGUUACAAUGUGGGCUGCCCAAAACACUUUGGGCGGAUGCUGUGAGCACAACUACAUACUUGAUCAACACGGGACCAUCAGUUCCUUUAGGGUUCAAGAUUCUAGAGGAGGUGUGCACAGGAAAAGAACUCAAGUACUCACACUUGAGGACUUUUGGUUGCACUGCUUGUGUUCAUGUUGAUCCAGAAAAGAGAGACAAGCUUGACGCCAAGGCUGUGAACUGUUACUUCAUAGGAUAUGGUUCUGAUUUGUUUGGUUACAGGUUUUGGGAUGACAAGAACAGAAAGAUCCUGAGACAUUGUGACGUGACAUUUGAUGAGUCUGUCCUGUACAAGGACAGAGAACAGCAGGUUCUAGAGAUUAAAAAGCAAGUGGAAGUUGAGGUUGAGUUGGAGAAGAGUAAACCUAGAGAUGUCGAAGCAGAUACUCAACCAACUCCUACUGAAGAAUCUGAAGUGGAGCAAGUUACACCUGAGCAGAUGUUAAGGAGAUCAUCCAGAUAUAUCAGGGCACCAGAUUGGUAUUCACCUUCAUUACACUAUCUAUUGCUGACUGAUGAGGGGGAACCAGAGUGUUUUGAUGAGGCCCUACAGGUGGAGGAUUCGAUCAAGUGGGAGAAAGCCAUGGAUGAUGAGAUGAGGUCACUUGAGAAGAACAACACAUGGGUGUUGACUGAGCGACCUGCAGGGAAGAGAGCUUUGUUGAACAAGUGGGUGUUCAGAAUCAAAACUGAACCAGAUGGCAAAAGAAGGUUCAAGGCUCAUUUAGUGGUUAAAGGAUAUUCACAAAGGAAAGGUAUUGAUAAUGCUGAAAUUCUCUCCUGUUGUUAAGUUAACCUCUAUUCGAAUUCUGUUGAGUGUUGUUGUAUCGGAGAAUUUGCAUCUAGAGCAAAUAGAUGUAAAAACAACAUUUUUACAUGGAGAUCUGGACAAAGAGAUCUAUAUGCAGUAACCGGAAGGAUUUGUUGUUCCAGGCAAGGAACACAUGGUGUGCAAGCUCACCAGGAGCUUGUAUGGACUAAAUCAAGCACCAAGGCAGUGGUACAAGAAGUUUGACUCCUUCAUGACCAAGAGUGGAUUCUGCAAAGCUGAAAAGGAUCCUUGUUGUUACUUCAAGAAAUACACUGAUUCAUAUGUCUUUCUACUCUUGUAUGUGGAUGAUAUGUUGAUUGAAGGAUCUAGUAUCAGGGAGAUUAAUAAUCUGAAGACAAGGUUGUCUGUAGCGUUUGAGAUGAAAGAUUUGGGUCCAGUAAAACAGAUUUUGGGGAUGAAGAUUUCUCGGGAUAGAUCUGCUGGCACUUUAAAUCUAUCUCAGGAGUUGUACAUUGAGAAGGUGCUGAGCAGAUUCAGGGUUAAUGAUGCUAAACCCAGGACAACUCUAUUGGCAAAUCACUUUAAAUUGUCAAAGGAGCGACUCACCCAAGAUUGCCGAGGAGAGUGAUCACAUGGCACUUGUUCCAUAUGCUUCAGCAGUUGGUAGUUUGAUGUAUUCUAUGGUCUGCACUAGACCUGAUAUAGCACAUGUAGUGGGAGUUGUUAGCAGGUACAUGGCGAACCCUGGGAAAGAGCAUUGGGAAGCUGUGAAGUGGCUUCUGAGAUAUCUGAGAGGUACAUCCAGUACUUCACUUUGUUUUGGCAAAGGCAAGGUGACUCUACAGGGUUUUGUGGAUGCUGAUCUUGGUGGGGAUGUUUACUCGAGCAAGAGUACAUCCGGGUGCAUUUACACCAUAGGUGGAAUAGCAGUGAGUUGGAUGUCCAGGCUUCAGAAGUGUGUUUCUCUUUCAUCUACUGAAGCUGAGUAUGUGGCAAUAGCUGAAGCUGGGAGAGAGAUGAUAUGGCUGACAGAUUAUCUUGAGGAAUUGGGCAAGAAGCAGAGCGAGAAGAUUCUUGACUCAGAUAGCCAGAGUGCCAUACAGUUAGUGAAAAGUCCUGUCUAUAAUUCGAAGACAAAGCACAUCAGAAGGCGAUAACAUUUCACUCGCAGGGCAGUGGAGGAUGGUGAUAUGUGCUUGGACAAGUUAGAGGGUGCAAAGAACCCGGCAGACAUUUUGACGAAAUGUGUUAAUGUUGGGAAACUGAGGUUAUGUAAAACCUCGGUUGGUCUUCUGUAGUUGUUGCUGCAGAUGUUGCGGUGCAGUAAAGAUGUUGAUGAUGAAUAGAUUUUUUUUUGAGAAUGUAUUUUUUGGAUGACUGAGUCUGUCUCCAAGUGGAAGAAUUGUUAGGUAGUGGAGCCUUAUUAAUUUUAGGCUUUCCUAUUUAUUCUCUAUUUUAGGCUUUCUUAUUAAUCUAUUUUAAGCUUUUCUAUUUAUUUUUUAUUUAUUUCUCUGUAACCAAAAAUACUCUGAUUUAUUAAUAUAAAUGUUCCUCACCACCGUGGAAGUUUACUCACGGGGUGUUACCUUGAAAUAUUGGGUUUUCUCUCUCUCUCUCUCUAGAUUUCUCAUCUCUUUCUCUUGAAAGUUCUUGUGUUCUUCAUUCAUCUAGUGUGUGUGCGUGAAUUCGAUCCUAGCAGUCAUUGGGCAUGAGACGAAUAAUGAACUUGGUCUUUGAGCAGUCGCUUAUGUGGAUAAAUAUAUUAUGUAUUUUUUAAUGAUAUAUUUUUUUCUAUAACCCCUAUGUAAUAGAAUUAUUGUUUUUUAUUUUUUUUAUAAUAUUUUGAUUUCAUCUUUCCAAAAGACAACUACAAUAAUAUUUUGAUACAUUUGACAUAAUUUUAAAUUAGGAUCAUAAAAUUUAAAAAGUUAUUUUAUUUCUUAAGUUUCAUAUCAAGUCAAAUUAGAUCACUCUUUUUUAAAUAGAGGGAGUAAUUCAUCUACUCUAAAAGGGGACAAGAUCCUAAGGCUUGCCUGGUGCAGAAAUAUUUUGUUGAAUAGAAACUGUUUGUUGCUUCCAACUACGCCAAAAAUGGUGAUGCAUAGCAUAACAAAACAAGUAGUAUGCCCGAAAAAAACUUUAUUAUCUUAGACAGGAGGAACUUAGCCCUGUAAAAAAACAAAAACAAAGAUGAAAUAACAACAACAAUAUCAAAGCUAAUGCCUUUUUGGGAAAAAUAGCCAUUGAAGUCAUUCGGUACAACAACAAAAGGAAAAAUUACAUAACAACGAUAUUAAACCUAAUACAGUUUUUUGGGCAAUAGCCAUUGUCACUACAAAGCUUAAUUAAUUAGGAUCGACAGUUAUAAGCAUUUAAAGGAUUUUCAACAUCACCUCCACUAGCAUGUUUAACAAAUUCGGCUGGUGUCAGAAAAUAACCAUGACAAAUACAAACAAUCUUCACUUCUCCUCCCCUCUUAUACGCGUAUAAAAAUCCUUCAGUCUUCUUUCCAUUUGGUCCAUCACCUUUAGUGGCAACACCAGGCAUUUUGAGUAAGAAAUUUCUGAUUCCCUCUUUUCCCGAAAAGUCGGGUGAUUGCUCAUUAGUAGCUUCAAUGGCUGCUAAUACCAGAUGCUGCAUUUUCUCCAAUGGGCCACUGACUGGAGGUAUCGCAUUAGAACUACCAGAUGCACCUUCAAUGAAAGUUCUAUCAACUGAAGGAAAAAAAAUAUUUCUUAGUUUUAGACAAAAAAACAUUAAGUGAACAAAAAAUAAUGAAAAUGGAGAAAUUAAUUAAAUGGAACAACUCAAUUGUAUUUUCGAUCACCUUGAUUAGGUAGGUGUUGUUAAGUUUCUGAACUAGUUCCAGCUGAACCAAAACUUCCUACAGAUCCAGAUCCACCAGGUGACGGCAAAGAAGAGGUUCCAUUCCCUUCAUUUUCCUCAAAAACUAUAACAUUCUUCAGUUUAUCCCAUCUAUUCUGCUGCGUGUCCCCGCACGUCUGUGUCUGGAGGUCCCUCCUUUCCUUCCAGUCCAUCCCAGUCUCCAUUGGAGGCAACGAAGCCGUCCUAUUAACAGAAAAUGGAUCACUCAUUUUCACCCAUUCUGUUUGAGUCUCCAUUGGCGGCAUGGAAGCUGCCCUCGUCACAGAAAAUGGACCACUCAUUUGCCUCCAUUCCAUCUCAGUCUCCAUUCUAAGACUGCAUUCAAUUUCAGUCACCAUUCUUCGCCUCCAAUCCAUUUCAGCCUCUAACCUUUUCCUCGACUCGAUUUCAGUAUCCAUUCUUCGCCUCCAAGCCCAAUUUCAGCCUCCAACCUUUGCCUUCACUCGAUUUCAGUAUCCCUCGGCAAAGAAGACGUCCUGGUCACAGAAAAUGGAUAAUUUUGUUGCCUCCACUCCAUUUCAGUAUCCAUAGGCGGCAACAAAUUCCUUUGCCUCCAGUACUCCAUUUGAGUUUCGAUCGGAAGCUCUAAUGUUAAGUCUACACUUAUAUCCUCUACAAUCCUUUUUCCUUUGUCUUGAUGAUUAGCUUUCUCCAUUUUAGCAAAAGCUAAAAGAAUCGAGUUAGGUUUAGACAAAUAGAAGUGAAAACUUUAUAAGUUAGAAAAAUAAUAUUCACUUGAAAAACUUAUUAAAAUUACACUUUUGAACUUGAAACUUAUUUUGUGAUUUUUUUCUGAAGAAGGUUCAGUAUAACCAAACAUUAUUAAAAAAGUUACAGAAAUUUCAUUGUUAAUUUGGAGUAAAAUAUUUAGAUGCAUUUUGGUCUGUAAUAGUACAAAUUUUAUAAAAGGAUAUGUAUAGUUUAUUCUACAUACCUUUUGAUGAAUAUUUAAUAUGUUAAUUAUUCUAACAAAUUUCUUAUGAUAAUUAAAUGUCCAAAAUAGUCUUGUUUGACCUUUUUUUUAUACUCCUCCCUAUUUAUAACACAUAUUAAUUAUGAGUCAUUUCCUUACAAAAUAAUUCUAAAUUAAUUUGCAAAUACCACUUUAUUUACGUUAAUUUUAUACAUUGAAGGCUGACUUUUUAAAAAAAAUUCAAUUUACACCCUAUAUAUGUUCUUUUUUAUGUGUUUGGUAGUUAAUGAUGGACACACCAAGUCAUGAAUUUUUUUAAAAAUAUUUGUGAUGAUGUAUUUUGUGUAAGAUUUUGACGAUUUUAAAAAUAUUUAUAUAAAAAUCAGUCACAUAUGCAAAAAAUAAAACUAAAAAUAGCAGCGCAACACAAUAUGCAAUUAAUAAUAUAUGUAUUAACAAAUAAUUAUUUGAUUUAACAAGAAAUGAAAAUUCUAACUUCUACAAAUAAACUUAGAAAAAUCUAAAAUAUUUAAGACCUACCGAACACAUAAAUAAAAUAACUAAAAAUUCUAAGUUUUUUAAGAUUUAUCAACAAAUUAAUAUUCUAAGUAAAAAUAUAACUUACUAAUCCUUUAAAAAGCUAACCCCCAAAUUUUAAUUAACACGUGAAUACUACAAUUCUUACCAGAAGAACCAAAAUAUUUAUAAUCAAAGAGGGAUAACAUAUAUAUUAGGGAAAAUGCACAAGUACCCCCUCAACCUAUGCCCAAAAUCCCAGAGACACACUUAUACUAUACUAAGGUACUAUUAUCCCCCUGAACUUAUUUUAUAAGUAAUUUCUACCCCUUUUUAGCCUACGUGGCACUAGUUUUAAAAAAAAGUCAACCAUCGUUGGGCCCACAAGAUAGUGCCACGUAGACUAAAAAGGGGUAAAAUAUUAUUAAUAAAAUAUGUUCAGGGGGUAAUAGGACCUUAGUAUAGUAUAAGUGUGUCUCUGAGAUUUCGGGCAUAGGUUGAGGGGGUACUUGGGCGUUAUCCCUAUAUAUUAAUAUAUAAUUGUCAGCUUUAGCAAGAAAUAGAUAUUCUAACUCGGGAAAUAGACGUAGAAAACCUUAAAGCUAGCAGUUGAUAGCGAAUCCUAUCACAUUAAGAAAACAACUUAUAUCACGUGUUUCAAAGUUUAGCAAGAAAUGAAAAACUUGUAGUCGAAAAACAACAAAAGAAUCCUUUAAAAAGUUUAACCCCAAAUCCUAAUUAGCACAUUAAUAUUUCAAAUUCUUACAAGAGAAAGAACAAAACUACACAUAAUCGAAUAGAGAUAAUUAGAAAAUGACAUUUUUACAAUAUUAAUUAGUCGAUUUAAAAAAAAUGAUAUUAGCCUCGUGAUAUUUACUCAUAGAGAACUCUCUUCUCCUUUCUCAUGUUGAGGAACAUGCGAAAUGCUUUUUACAAAUAGGUUGAAAUUAAAUGCAUUAUUUUGUUUAGUGGCUUGAUAUCGAAUUUUAAAAUAAAAUAAUAAGGGAUCAAUAUUUGUAAUUUGUGUAGAAUAGAAACUGUUAGUUCUUCUAAUUAAGAUUAAAAAAAAGAAGCACCGACUAGCAAAAAAAUAAUCUGACUGAUUGGAAAAUAACCUUAAUAUAACUAAUGGGAGGAACUUUAAUUUAGUCAGUACAACAACAAAAGGAAAGAUGAAAAAAUUAAACUUUAAAAAAUACGCAUCAAAAGAAGCCGAAUGACUGCAAAAUAACCUUAAUAUAGCUUUGAUGGGAGGAACUUUAGUCAGUACAACAACAAAAUAAAAGAUGAAAUAACAACGAUAAAAAAGCUACUGCUUUCUUUGGAAAUAACCAUUGAAUUAUUCGGCACAACAACAAAAUAAAGGAUCAAAUAACACCGAUAUUAAGUCUACUUAAUUUGUUUUCCUUCAAUAAAUUUAUGUUGUAAACGGUUUACUACGUCACCUCCACCAGAAUGUUUGACAAAUUCAUCUAGAAAAUUACCAUGACAAAAACAAACUAUCUUUACUUCAUCAAUCUCCUUACAGGAGUAUAAAAGUCCUUCAUUCUUCUUUCUUUUUGGUCCUUCACCUUUUGUGUAGACAUUAGCCAUAUUGUUGAGCACGAAGUUUUUGAACUUCUCUUAUGAAUAUUUUCCUCUGAAUACACAAGUUAUUUCUAUUCAAUUGAAGAUUAUUUCACAUCGUGAACUAAAGCUAAAAGUAUAAAUUGUUUCCCACUUUAAUUUUGGUACAAAUUAAAAUUGACUACAUAUAUAUAAUCAUUUCGUAAAAUCUUGAUACCUUGAGUAGGUGGUUGUUGGAUUUCGACCUCAGCUACACUUGAAGCAACACAUCCUUGCGAUCCACCUGGAAACAUCAAAAAAUAUUUUAUCAGUUAUUCACAUAAAAUGAUUUAUUUUUUUCGAGUGAACAUCAAAAUUACAAUUCAAUGGAAGCCCUAAAUUUAGCUUCAUAGUUUCAUUCUCUACAUUCCUUGAAGUUCCUAUGUUUUCUUUAGCUUUCUCCAUGUUAGCAAAAUCUAAUCUCAUAAAACUAUUGAAUUUUGAACUAAAAAAACUAUAAACUAGGAAAAGAAAAACUCCACAAAAGUCUCACUGUGGAGAAAAUGUUAGGCCAUUGGGAGCUUAUAAAGGAUAAAAUUUAUGGGCGGGAGGGUAAAAAUAGCGUGAAGAGGAUAACACGAUCACGUGGUUUAUGAAGCACUUUGGAAAUUGAUCCCAAGAGGUAGCCACUUAAUAGUGACACAUGUCAGUUAUAAAUUCAUUUUAUAAUUUUUCUUACCAUUUUAAAAAGAGAAAAAGGUUAAAUGUAUUUUUUUACUUCUUUUUAUUGGUCAAAUUUAUUAAAUGUUAUAACGUUACUGAAUUUAAUAGGGUAAAUGAAGCAAAUUUAAUUUGUUUAAGGCCUAAUACAUGUCUUUUUCAUGAGUUUUUGAAAUUAUUAUUGUGACAAAUUUUGGUCUCUCAAUGCAUGUAUUUGACGCAUUCUAUUACAUGUAUCUAGAUAUUUAUAUCCAAGUGUAUUCACAUAUAUUUGACUUUUCCCGCCUCUCUCCCUUUGUAUCUAUUGUUAAUUACCAUCAGUUAGAAUCCAUAACUACCAUAUAUAGUUGAUUACGUAAUAUUUCUAUAUAAUUUUCUUUAAUUGUACUUACCAUGUAUAGUUUUACCAUGUUAAAUAGUUUAACAUGCACCGUUUUCUUGUAAUCUUAUAAGGAGACCCUUCUUUCUAAAAGGAAUAAAAAUCAUGUUUUUUCUCUUGUUCAUAUGAUAUCAUGAUAGUGUCAUCAGUCAUUCUAAGGAAUCAAAGAGCUUUCGUUAUCGAGGGUGACUGUUACUCAUGCAUGUCGCCGUCUGGCCAACAAUUAUUUGAACAAAAUUUGGCUCACCACGUUCUUUCUAGUGAUACUUUCUUAUCUUUGAUUUUUAUAGCAUCGUGUCAUAUUUUCAGUGAUUUCUUUCUCAUAUUUUAUUUUGUGUUGCAAUGUACCAUUUUUUUCCAGUUAUUUUAAGAGAAUUAUCGUAGGUAGAUAUUGUAAUUGAUGGUAAUUAACAUCCCCCUAAAACUUAUAGUGGUCAACCAACAGUUUGCCAAUAACACACUAUUUGGAUGGUAGUUACCCGUUGUAAUGUAUUUAAAUACAAUAUUAUAUAAUCAACUAUAUACGGUAAUGAAGAAUAAUUCUCUAAAUUAUUAAUAACUUAAGUAGUUAAGAUCAUCACUAAAAGAAUGAUAAAUUACAUAUGAAAAAAGUUUCAACUAUCAAACUUUGAAUAAUUCAUUUAUUUUAAACUAUAAAAGAAUCUCAAUAAUUCACUUUAUAUAGACUAGAGGAAAAAUUAAAUAUGUUUUGAUUAACAAUUUCCUAUAAAUUGGCAACAACUGUUUUGGGUUAACAGAGUAGAAGUUGACGAGUUGAAGGGUUUCUAAGUUUGGGUAUAAAUUUCUUGCUAAUUAUAUUUGAAAUAUAAUGUGUUAAAGUUAUUCUAUUUAUAUUUUAUAGGGUUUGGGAAUAACUGAAUUAAAAUUGUCUGACUUAUAUUUUCAAGCUAGAUAUUUACAAUCCAACUUAAAUUCUUUGUUCAAAUUUAGAGUUUAAGAGGCAGAAAAAAAAGAGAGUCGUGUAUGAUCUAUACAAAAUUAAGUGGGAUGACUUGACUAUUGUCAUUACUCAGGAAAUAGAGAUGAAAUUGUAGACGAUGGGUUUGGUGAAAAUAGUGCGGACAUUCAUAAAUAGUAGUGAAAACUAGUUGCAUUAGGAAAGAAGCUAGAAAAUUAUUGGAGUCUCGUGGAGUAAGGUUAGAAGAGACAACAGAGGAAUUGCUCGUGGAAUAAAGUGAUAUAAUUGAUGGUGGAGUAAAGCGAUUCAAGGGAAAGUGAGAGCCAAAAGGAAUGCUUAAAGGGAGUUGUUAGUGAGCAGUGACAUGAAAUAUAAUGGUCAAAUAAAGAAUUGUAUAAGGUGACGAUCUGAGAUUAUAUAAGCUCGUCAAGCAAAAGAGAAGAUGGUCUGAUACAUGGAUCAAAGUGAAGUGAAUUAAAAACAAGUUAAACAAGGUGUUGGACGUGGAAAAGACACACAUUUGAUGCACAAUUUUCUUCAUAAAGGAAGACGAAAAUCUAAGAUUAAAAACGAAUACCAACACAUCAAUAUCAUGUUUUAAAUGCAAUAACAAGUGAUAAAUGACAUCUUUUGUAUCAUCAACUACUAAAAUAACGACUUAAGUUUUUACUAGUUUAAUGUCACCGUCAUUUCUUGGAUCAACUAAAAGUUUAGAUAAUACAUCAUAUAUUGACAUUAAACACUACUCUUCAUUGUUUUGCGUUGUCAUUGCUUUUUUUUUAAAACAAAAUAAACAAUCUCAAUGGUGGGCUGUUGAGUAUGUUAAAGUCGUGCAACAUCAACUUCUUCUCGGAAAAAUAUUUCGCUUUUUUUUCUUCUUUCCUAUUAUUUGUCGUUUGAUUAUUGAGCUUCCUAUUGCUUUUAGUUCUUCGGAGUAGAUCCCUACCAAUUCAUAUCUUGAGCAAAAUAAAUUACAAGAGAAGGAAUAUGGUCCUUUCCUUUUAUGUGGAAUAAUGACAAUGAAAAUCUCAUUAUUGUACAAAAAAAUGUCCUAUACUUAGGUUACAUUCCAUAACUCUAUCAUUACCUUUUAUAGCCUUGAGUUAGUCUAUAUUUUAGUUUGCCCAAUUUUCUUUCAAUUUUUUUAUAAACAAAAUAUUAUAUUAAUAAUAGCUAAUAUGCGUCAUUACAAGAUAGGGGUUGAGUGCCCUUGUUGAAAUUCUACCCUCCUGAAUUCUUCAAAGGAACACGUACAAUGUGUUUCUGUUUGUUUGAAACUUAACGAUAACAAUUUAAACAACACUUUGUAUUAUUUAUAAACUUCAAAUAAUACAAAGAUUACAAAGCUCUGUAUCCUAAGGAAUUACAACCUCUAAUUCCUAGAAGAAUUAUAAACUCUAAUUCCUAGCUAAGAAAUUAUAAACUCUAAUUCUAGCUACCCAAAGAGACAGAAAACCCUGGUUUUUUAUAUCUUCUAAUAUUCUUCAAGUUCUAUAACAUAUCAAACAACUCCUACUCACAAAACUCAGAUUGUAAACAAGACUCUUGAACAUAACCUUACAGCUUCUCACUUAACUCGCAACACUCUCCAAGUUAAUAUCAAAACUCUUUCAUACUUCUUGAUAGUGUUUUGAUUUUCUCUCUAUGUAAGUGCGCAUUUUCUUCAAGCGAAUCUAUCACCCAAUUUAUAUAUUUGGACUUGAAUCCAAAACCUAUUUCAACUAGAAAUCCUACUUGUGCUCUGCUUCCAUUUUCUCACGAAACUUAGAAGCUUACGCAUAGGAUUCUUACCCUGUGCGGAAGUCGUCUUCGCUGCAUCUUCAACUUUAACUUUGCCGCAUCAAAUCCUUGUUGAACUCAACUUUGGCUUUUUAUUCUUAUUUGCCUUUGUCGCAAAAAAUCUUAUGUUUCUUGCCGCCUCAAACACGUUUUCCUUAAACAAGUUGGAAAUAGUAUUUGUCAUAAAUAACUAUAAACUAAUGCUUCUUUCCUAUCCAAUCAGGUUGUAGUUUCCCUACUUUAAGUCAGCCUCCUAAUUUCUCUUCCAGUAAGAUUUGACAUCUUCGAGUCAAGUUUGCUCUAUUAUGCAGCUUUGUCAGUCGUCAAAAUAAACACGUUCAAGUGUACCGAACAGCCGUGAUCAUUCAAAGUACUUGAGGAAGGGGAUACAAAAAUGCUAUUACAUCUGACAUGCAGAGUCUUUGUUAGUUCGGUAAAAGGUUUUCCAACUUGAUCGCCCCUUUCAUGAGAUUUUUUUGACGCAUUCCAAUCACAUGUUAAUUUACUUAAAUCUAAAGCAUUAUUAAAAGAAAAUCUUAUUUCAGUGGGUAAGAGUUAUUUUUCGUUUCUGUUGAAUUUUAGGCUGCGUAUCAGUCAUUUUGAUUUGAUAUUGGAUUUUAUCAGUUUUAUUUAUCGUUUAUCGAUUUCAAAUCAUGCUAAACCCAUAUGGAACCAUUGAUAUAUCAAUUUAUCAUUUAUUAGCUUAUUGAUUAGUGAUUGUUAUCGAUUCGAUUAUUGUUAAUCGUUAACCGUUGAUAGUUCACACAAUUGUCAUUGAUAAUUACUAAUGGACUAAUUACUAAUUAACAAUACACAGUAGCUAAGAGUCCUUGAUGAAUUUUUUUCCGUUAGUCCAUUACUACAUAAAACACUUAAUAAAAUUCCAUAUUAGCCUGGACAAAGAUGCCAAUAUUGCCCAAACUAGCAAAACUCAAAAUGAUUCCUCAUAACAACCACACUAAUUUUUUUUAUAUGAAAUAAAGAGAAAACAUUACAACAGUACUACUAACGAAAACCAUCAAUGAUCAUGAGGUGGUUACUUAUAAUAAAUGUUUAAUUGCAGAUUGUAGUACUGUAGUAUUGCAGGCAUAUCUCAUUGACUCACUCACUGUAAUGAGAAGAUAAAAAACAGAGACUUAAAGUAGGAGAACCAAUCAUUUGACCCUCAAUUUAGACACUAAGAGAAUGAUAUUCAAUAUAACUCGCCGACGUAGGAGCAGUGAUAGUGAAAAUGAGUGAUAUCACAACUUUGAAAUAUUAUUGUGAAAUUUAAGUGUCAACUAUAUAUGAUGUCACUAUAAAGAGUCUGAAAACUGGAGUGUAAACCCUAAAAGCUAAAAGUGCCUAAGACCUUAUGUGAUAUAAAUGUAGUUAAUUAAACUUCUUAUCGGGUUAUUGGGACCCGAUCAGAAAUAUGGUCAAACCGAGAUCCGAAGCGAUAGGCCAAUAAGAAGUUUAUAGUAAAUUGAAAUCCGAAUCAUUGACUCAAUAACUAAAUUAUUAUUUCGGAUAUGAAUUUUGAUUUGAUUUUGAACAACCCUGAAUUUGCAUUAUUCUAUUUUGAUAUACCUCUUGAUCUUAAGGGUAGGUCUUCAUCAUAAACAAAUUUAUGAUACUCAAAAACACAAUUAUUAGAGAGUGAUUCAUGACGGGAUUGUUGGGUUUGCACUUUGAAAUUGUCGUACACAUUCAUAAUUACAUUUAAUUUUUGAAUAAGAGAUUAAGAAAUUAUGAAUCAUAAUUAAAAAGAGAGGAUCAAAUAGGUCAAUGAAUUCACACCUAAAGCCUAAACAACACAUGUACAUUUUACCCGUAAUCCCUAAAUUACAUUGUGACUCAAAAACCUAGAAAAGUCAUCCAUAUAUUGAUACAUCAAAAAUAGAAACACAAUAUAACAUAACUAAUAAUAUAUGUAAUACCAUAUUAUUGUCUGAUUAACAAGAAAUAGAAGUCGUGACUUACAAAAUAAACAUAGAAAAUUCUAAAGCAGUUAACAAUAAAUCAUAACACAUAAAGAAAAUUCGAAAUUUAACUUUUUCCUUUUGUAUUUUUUUAGUGAUACAAGUUAAUUUUUGUAAUAAGUAGUGAUUCAAGCUAUACUUCAGACUUGGUAAUGAGAUUGUGUACUUGGAGAUUGCAUAAGAUUGAAAUUGAAGUCGAAAUGUUGAUUAAUUUCUUAUUUAUCCAAAGAAUUGCAAUCCGUCGUUUGCAAAUUGUUUGAAAUAUUUGUUAGAAAGCAAACUUUAUGAGUUUGUGAUGAAGUGAUACAUAGUAUAUACAAACUAUAUAAUAUCCAGAUAAAUGCAUUUUUGUAAUAAUAUUUAGAUGAUAAAAGUUGGUCAUAUUUACUCAGACAUUACUUAUCUCCUCUCUCACACGUUGAAGAACUAGUAAAAUGAGUUGGAAUUUAUUAAUGUUUAGUUUAGUGGUCCAAAAUUGUGAAAAUUAAUUUUUUUUAAAAACUUAUUAUACAUAAUCAUUUUAGUUGCAGAUUGAAAUUCUUACUUUGAAUUUGUGACAGAAGAAUAUCCUUGAAUUGAGUUGGUCUUAUUAUUUGUGCUUUUAUUGACGUACUCUAAUGGAAGUGAUGGUAUUAGAUCGAUUUAGUGGCGACGGUACUCCAAUGGCCUGAACAAUAUAUACAGAAAAUAGUUUAGACCAUUAAAUUAUGAUAAUAAGUUCAUAUUUUUUUUUCAAAAAUACUUUUAUGACAUCCAAAAACACGGAGAGAAUAACAAAAAAUGCUACAAAUAAAAUUUUAAUCUUGUAUUUUUAUGAAAGAUAGUGCACUCAUCAAUCAGUUGACAUGAACUAGAAAUUACAGAACUAUAACAUAUUCUAUCUGAACCAAUUAUAUAAAUAUAUUAAAUUAUAAUUAUUUUUUUUAAUAACCCAUGUUCCAUAAGGUCCGACUUGCACAUGCUUGCCAUCCUCUCGUUACAAGAUAUAGUUAUACAGACGUUCUAACUCGAAUAAUAAAGUUAGAAAAACUUAAAGAUAGUAGAUACAACCUAGCACAUAAAGAAGCCAAUUAAUAUCAAGUGUUUCAAUAUCUUUUUUCAAAAUGUCAAGUUGAAAAAUAACUUAGAAACCCUUUAAAAGUUGUUAGGUUCUUCUAAUUAAAGUUCAAAUAAGCACCACAUAGCCAAAAAAAACAAGCAGAAUGACCAAAACAUAACCUUAAUAUAUCUCUGAUGGAAAGGACUUAGUCUUCUACAAUAAAACGAAAGAUCAAAUAAUAACGAGAUCAAAGCUGUCAAAUUUAGUAAUCAAGAAUUAUAUUUAUAUAGUUUAAAGGGUUCUCAACAUCAGCGUCACCUCCACCACCAUGUUUGACAAAUUCAAUUGGGGUAAAAAAACUAGCAUGACAAGCACAAACUAUCUUCAAAUCUUCUCUCUUGGUAAAAGAGUAUAACAAAUAUCCUUUCGUCUUCUUUCCAUUUGGUCCGUCAUAGAAAACAAAAGGCAUCUUGUACAAGAAUUUUCUUACAUUCUCUCCAACUUCUUUAGCACUUUUCCAUGACAACAUUCAUUAUUUCUCAUUAGUAGCUUCGAGAAACUUAAAAACGCUAAUCGAUACAAUUUUUUGUGAACUUACACAAUUCUUUUUAGUUGAGUAAAUAAAGAGUGUUUCAACAAAAGAAUAAAAAGGAAGAAAUUUUUUAUACAUCGAUUAGGUGGUUGUUGGGUUUUAAGCUCAGUCAAACUUGAAGCAACACUUCGUUGUAAUCCACUUGAAAAUAACAAAGAAGAAUUUCCAUUAGUUAUUGACGAGGAACGGUUCAAUAUCUUCAAUUUUUUUGAGUUAAUGCCCAAAUUACCAAUUAAUGAACGCCCUAAAUUCAACUUCACAUUCCUUGAAGUUUCUCCAGUUUUGUCCAUGUUAGGAAAAUCAAAAAAAAAAAUGAAUUUCAAACUAAAAAUAUUAUAACAUGGAUAUAGAGAAAUUUCUUAAAAGUUUCAAGAGAAAGAAACUAUUAGACAAUUUAGCAUAUUAUAAAGGAGAAGAUUCAGGUGCAAAGGUAGAAAAAAUGGGAAAGACUCUUGUAUGCCACUAGUAUGAGAAAACAUGUGAAAGACUCUUUGUAUGAAUACCAUGACCCAUAGUUUUUAUUUUUUCUUUUUUUUCUUUUUUUUUCUUUUUGUUACUUUUUUUCCCUUUUUUUUUGUUUUGUUUUUUGUUUUAAGUUGUGAAUUGUUUUUAUAACCCUUUUUUAACCACUUUUAAAAACAGGAAAAAGUUAAUUAAAUGUAAUUAAUUUUUUACUUUAUUGUAUUGGAAAAUUUUAUUUAAUGUUAUAUUAUCUGAUUAUUUUUUACUUUUGGCAUUACUAACCUGAAUAACAUAAACAACAUAAAUAUCACUAGUUAAGAAUAUAAUUAUGAGCCUUUUCGUGAGUUUUUUUAAAGAAGUUGUCACUCGUGCAAAAUUUUGGUCCCAAUAUAAAUGAAUUUCGGAUAAAUGAUGUACAAAGUUAGUUGUAAACAUCUAAGUGUAUUUUCAUGUCUGUGACUCUCUUGCCUGCUUCUUUUCCUAUCUGUAAUGUAUCUGAUAGAGAAAAUACAUAAAUCUAGUGUAUCUAUUUUAAAAUCUGAUAUUAAUCUAUUAGUUAGUGAGACAAUAUGUAAUUAUUUCAAACUAUUGGGAUAAUAGUUAGUUAAUAAUGUAAGAAUGUUUUUCGUAAUUAUGAAGAUUUUCAAUUUAAUACUUUCUUUAUCCAUGUUAAGUGAAAUUUUCGAAUAUGACAUAUUCCUUACUAAAAAUAUUUUAGUUCAUAACUAAUUGAAAUGCUACUUUCCACAAUUGUUCUUUAGAUCAUUUUCAAAUUAUUCUCCUAUAAAAUGUAAAGUAGUUAAGAACCUCAUUCAAUGAAGGAUAUAUAUGAAAUUCCCCAACAUUUCUUAAGUUUCAAUCAACUCACUUAUUUUAAAUUUUUACAAAUUUACUCAAUAAAGACAAAAUUAAUAAAUUUAUAUGUUUUAACAAAUUCUGAUAAACUCGCCACAACGAUUUUGUGUUAAUGGUGUAGGGGUUAACGAGUUUAAGGAUUUUUGAAUUAGGUUUGCUUGCUAAGUUUGAAAAAUAAUGUGUUAAAAUUGUUUUAUUUAUAUUUUAGGGUUUAGGGUUAACUAAUUUAAAAUAUUCUUUAAGUUUUCAGGUUAGAUAUUUAAAUUCUUGAUAUUGAAUUUAGAGAUUAAGAGGUGGAGGAAGAAAAGGAACGUAUCUAACAUAUCAAGGGUUAAGUGGAAUGAAUCUCAGGAAAUGGAGGAGAAAUUAAGGACUAUGGGGAUUGAGGAUACUAAUAAGGAUUCUAAUAGUAGUGAAACUAGUUGCACUAAUGCGAAGUACUUAAAGAACUAUUGGGUAUAUAGGCUCAUUAAGUAAAAAAAGGAGGAUUUUGAGAUCUAAAUUAAGUGAAGUAUAUUAAAAUAAGAAGAUAAAGAUAUUUAUGGGAAAUACACACUCUCAUAAAGGGAAACUAAAUCUAAGAUUAGAAUCAUAAACCAAACUAAUCUAUAUUUAUAUCAUAAAUGCAACAAAAAAGUGAUAAUCUGGACAUUUUUUUUAUCAUCGUCAUCAACUACUUAUAACAUAAGUUUUUGCUAGUUUAAUGUCACCUUCAUUUGUUACAUCAAUCAAAUUUUUACAAAAUAUAUCAUUUAUAAUUCACAUUGAACAUCACCCCCACAAUGUUGUGCCUUGCCAUUAUUCUUUCAGCUACACAAUAUUAAUUCUUUCACGAGAUUUUUUUUUACACAUUCAAAUCACUUGUUGAUUUACUUUAAUCUCUAGAAUCAUAAAAAAAAGUUCCUUUUUCUUAAUCCAUUUAGAAACGAUUUUUUUUCUAUUGAAAUUUGAUAUUCAACUCUACUUACCUCUUGACUUAAAGGAAGGUCUUUUUUUUUUAUUAUUAUUUAGAACAUAAUGAUAUUAACAACCAAACGGAAAGAGACAUAAAUCCUAACCUUCUUUUAUAUCUGGACAAGAAAUAUUUUAUCCUAUUAAGAUUUUGAUCUAUAAAUUUUAACAAAAUAAAACAACUAUACUAAUGCAUUUAGAGUACAAUUCAAUGCAUACUCAAAAAUAAAAUUAUUUGAGAGUGAUUCAUGACCAAGCUAUUGGAUUUUUUUUUUGAAAUUGUCAUGUACAUUCAUACUUAAUUAAUUUUCGAAUAAGGAAUCAAGAAAUGAAACACAAUAAAUGAAAAAAAUUAAUAUCAUCAAUUAGUUCGUUCCUAAGUUCUAGAUCACAUAUAUAAAAUUCCACCCUUAAAUUCUAAAUUAUAAAUUUAUCUCGAAAACAUAAAAAAUCAUCCAUAUAUUCCAACAUAAAAAAUAGCAACAUAACACAACACAAUAUCAAAUAAAAGUCGUAAUUUAAAAAUAAACUUAAAAUAUUCUACAACACUUAAAAAUAAACCUGAACACAUAAAAAACAUAAUUAAUUUAAGGAAUUUCAGCACGUACUUUCAAAAUUUAUUACGAAAUGAAAACCCUAAGUUAAAGAGCGAACUAACAAACCCUUAAAAAAGUUAACCCCAAACCCUAUAAUUAACACAUAAAUACUACAACUCUUAAGAGAAAUAUAAAAUAUUACAUAAUCAAAAAGGAUGAUUAGAAAAUGACAUCUCUAUGACAUUUAAUCAUAAAACUGGGCAUUUGGGCUCUGACCGGGAAGUUUUAGCCAUUAAUAUGUGAAAAAAUUACUAAAAUACACAUUUUAUUUAUUAUUAUUUCUAAAUCUUUUUUACCAUUUUUAAAAAAUUACAAUAAUCCAUCAAAUAUAUCUUUAUUUCCUCUCGGGUAUAUCCUUCCCCCUUGAGAUACAUGUAAUGACCCGGAUCCGAAAAAAUCAUUUUUGAUAAUUUUUAAUUGUCAUUUAACUAAAUUAAUUAAUGUCGGGUAAUUUAUUUAUUUUUAAUAAUAAUAGGCCAAGUUUGAAAUAUUUAAAUAGGUUAUUGAAAAGUGUUACUUUUAAUACAUAUAUAAUUUAAAAAAAUGGAAAAGGAAUAAAUUAAAUAAAUUAAUAAAAUAAUAAUAAAAAAAGGGGCAAAGUGCCCUAGGCUAUUAAAAAUCCGCAUGGCUUAAAGAAACAGAAAGAAAGGAACGAUCUGAAAAAAAAAAUACGCAGGUAAGAAAAGAAAAGAAAGGGAGAAAAGAAAAAGAAAAAGGAGGAGAAACAACGAUAUUUUUAUCUCGAGAUAUCAAGGUAAUUAUUCUUAUCCUUUCUAUUAAAUUUUUGAGUAACUAGGAAUAGAUUUUUAGGUUAAAACGUGUAUAAUUUAUACUAAUAUGUGAACUUGGGGUUAUAAAUGUGUAUAAGUAUUAUGGUUCAAUCAUUGGACAAUGAUUACUCCAAGAUUAGGAUUAUUAAUAGUGGAACGAUAAAUAUGAAUUUGAACAUUGAAAAUAAGUGGUUUCAGCAAAUAGUUUUGUAGUCCGCCAUUGGUGUGUUGGGCAGUUAGUUUCGGCUUUAAUUAUUUUCAUUUGAUUAUCAUAUUAGGAUUCAAGUUUUGAUAUAUUGAGAUAUGUGUUAAAUAGUGGGUGCAUUAUGAUAUAUAAAAAUCAUUAUAAUUAUGUUAUUUGGAGAAUUAAGAUUUAACCCUAAACUUAAAAUUCAAAAAAUAUGAGAUUUGAUCAAUUGGUUGGAACAAAAAUUUAGAAAUUUUAUUAUAAAUUUGGAUGAGUUUUGGGUGUAAGCUAGAGAUAUAGCAAUAUGAAUGUUGUUAGUUUCGAAAUCAUGUCGUGGUUAUUUAUUUGAAUAGAUUUUAUUGGUUUGGAAGUCAACCAAAAGAGGAAGGCUCAAGUUUUGGAGUCAUUGUUCGACUAUUUGAGGCAAGUGAAUUUCUAAACUCUUGUUAAGUGUAUGAAAUGUGUGUAUGUCUUUGUGGUAUAUGUUGGGAGUAACGGGAUUGGUGAUGGGUUGACUUGUCCACAUUGAUUAAUUCUAAUGAUGAAAAGAAUGGGGAUAACAAAAGGCAUUGUGAUUAAUUGUUUAUGUGUGUUGUGUUGAGAAAGGGUUGAAGGCUUGUUGAAUCAUUGUUUAUGUAACUUCAUGUUUUUGUGGUUGUGAACUGUGUGAUGUUAUGAAAAUGGUCAUCUCCUCAUUAUAUGUGUGAACUUGUCAUCUGCAUUAUUCUGAGGCAUUGGUUGUGGCAAGUGUUAUGUGCAUUGAGAAAUAAUGGGUACUUAAGAGGAUGUACCAUUUCGAGGGACGUAUCGCGCGCCGCGAUGGAUACUAUAUUUCGAGGGACGUAUCGCGCGCCGCGAUGGUUACUUUUAUCGAGGGUCGUGUCGUGCGCCGCGACAGAUGCAUGGACAGAUAUGUCCCCCAUGGGUCCCGAACUGAGAGACAGCGGGUGUGUAUCACUAGGUCAGACAUGCAUCAUUAUACUUGACAUUGCAUUCCAUUACAUUGCACAUACUUAUCAUUAGUGAACUUGAUAUUGUGUUUUACUGAUCUAGUGAUUGCCUUUUUGCGGAACUUGUGAUUGUUGAAUACUGAGCUUGUUAUUGAGGAUAUAUAGUUUGUUGAAGUGUUGUUGUUGAGGAUAUGUGAUUUGUUGAAGUGUUGUUGUUGAGGAUAUGUGAUUUGUUGAAGUGUGUUAGUGAGAAUAUGUAAAUUUUUGGAAGUGUUGCUAUUGAGAAUAUCUAAUUUGUUUAAGUGUUGAUGUUGAGGAUAUAUAAUUUGUAAAGUGUUGUCGUGGAGGAUAUGUAAUUUGUUAAAGUGUUGUCGUGGAGGAUAUGUAAUUUGUCUAAAUGUUUUUGUUGAGUUACGUUCUAUGUAAACUGUGAGUUGUUAGGUUGGGCUGAUGUUUAUGUAGGUUGUAGUUGUGGAGGUUCGGUUGGGGUGGUAGGAGUACCCGUAUUUCAUCCCCUUAGCUUGUGUUUAGAGGUUUACUUGCUGAGUACCGUGUGGUUUGGUACUCACCCCUUGCUUCUACAAAUUUUUGUAGGUUACUAGCCCGGACUUUAUGAUAUAUUCUCUUCUUUUCCGAGGCUUCCUGGAGAUUUUGUGAGGUAGUUGUUGGUCAUCUCAGCAUCCCUCCUUACUCUUGUUUAUGAUUUUGUUCUACUCUAGAAACAAUAUCAUAUGAGACUUAUAUUUUCUUUUGAUCCGAUUGUAAUACUUUAGACGCUUGUACACGUGACAACCAGGUUUUGGGGUAUAAUGUAAGUUGAUAGUAAAUUUUCCGCAUUUUUAUUGUAAUAGUUGAGUUUUAGGCUUACUUGUCUUGGUGGGAUAAGACGAGUGCCAUCACGUCCAUUUUUGGGUCGUGACAAUACAUCCCUCCCAUUAAGUAAAGUGCCAUUCACAAUAAGUGAAUUAUAUAUCCACUGGUUUCCGAUGUAUCUGAUAUCCUAUAAUAAUUUAAAGAAAUUUUUAUAAUUUGAGAAUCAAUAGGAAUGUGUUAUAAUUAGCUCUCAACACUAUUAUAUUUAUGUAAUUUUUACAAUAUACCAUAUAGCCAUUCAUCAAAAUUAUUAUAGAUGGUUGAUAUGUUAAUCAUUGUGACCCAUUUUGUUAAAUAGUCUGCUACUUUGUUGACUUCUCUAAGAUAGUGAAUGACAUUAACAUCAUUCUUAUUAAUUUCGAACGAUGAUUUCUUUCAGAAAAAUAAUUUUAAACCCCCUUUAAAAAGUUAAAAUUCCUAAUCUUAAUUAACACAUAACUAUUGAAAAUCUUACAAGAGAGGAACAAAACACUUUUAUAGGGAUAAUUAGAAAUUGACAUUUUUUUAAUAUCUAGACAAGCUAGGCGAGACAAAUGAAUUGCUUAGUUUUCUGUCCCGAAAUCGUGCAAAUUUAUUUUUAAAAACUUAUUAUACAUAGCCCUAUUAGUUAAAUAGUGAAAUACUUGUUUUGAAUUUGUAAUAGAAGAAUUUCCUAACAAUAUCUACAAAAAAUAAGGGAUAUUUAAAGAUAGUUUCGGUUACCAUUAUAAGUUCAUAUUUUUUCAAAAAACCUUUCAUUACAUUCAAAAAUACGUAGAAAAUAAGAGAAAAUUCUACAAAUGAAACUUUAAUCCUUCAUAUUAUCUAUGAAACAUAGAGUACUCAUCAAUUCAUUUGUCUGAAUUCAAAAUUGUAGAACUAUAAGAAACUCUUAUCAAAUCAAUUAUUUAAAUCAAUCCAAUUAUAAUAAUUAUUUUUCUAACUCAUUUUCCAUAACGUUCGUACUUGUAUAAGCUUGUCAUCCUUAAAAAAUAUCUGAGAAACACUUCAAACAUGUUAGUUGCUUCUAAAUAAAGCUCAAAUUAACAUUGCAUAGAAGAAAAACAAGUAAAAUGACCGAAAAAUAACCUUAAUAUAGUUUUGAUGGAAGAGACUUACUCUUCUUCAACAAAAUAAAAGAUAAAAUAACAACGAUAUCAAAGCUAAGGCCUUUUUGGGCAAUAGCCAUUGAACUUAUUUAGUACAACAACAAAAGAAAAUAUCAAAUAACAAUCAUAAUAAAGCAACUAGUCCAUUUUUCAGGCAAGAACUAUAUCUAUAUAUUUUAAAGGGUUUUCAAUGUCACCUCCACCACCAUGUUUCACAAAUUCAGCGGGGGUUAGAAAACUAGCAUGACAACUACAAACUAUCUUCAGAUCUUCUCUCCUCACAGACGAGUAUAAUAAGUAUCCUUUAGUUUUCUUUCCAUUUGGUGAGUCAUAAACAACACAAGGCAUGUUGUGCAAGAAGUACCUCAGCUUCUUUUUGAAUUCUUGAGCACUUUCCCCUGACAACACCAGUGAUUUCUCGUUAGUAAUUUUGAGAAUCUAAUCGUUACCAUUUUUCGUGAACUUACACUUAUUUUUUAAUUCAAGUAAAUGAAUAGUGUUUUAAUGAGAGAAUAAAAAGGAAGAAAUAUUUUAUACAUUGAUUAGGUGGUUGUUUGGUUUCAAGAUCAGUCAAACUUGAAGCAACACUUCUUUGUGAUCCACUUGAUUCACCUGAAAACAACAAAGAAUAAUUUUCAUUAGUUAUUAACGAUGAAUGAUUCAAUAUCAUAAAUUUCUUAGAUCUAAACUCUCAAAUUACCAUUCAAUAAACACGCUACAUUCAGAUCCACAUUCCUCAUGUUUUCUCUAUUUUCUUCAAUUUUCUCCAUAGUAGCAAAAUCUAAAAAUCAAUAGAGUUAUCGAAUUUCAAACUAAAAAAUUAUCAAAUGGACAUAGAAAUCUCAAUGAAAGUUUCAGGGUUGAAAAACCAUUAGACCAUUUAGAAUAUUAUAGAUAAAAGAGAGAAUUUGAGGGUGUGAAGGUACAAAACAUGUGAAGGAAUAUUCCGUUUCUGUGGUAACUGAUCAAAAGUGACACAUGUUAACUGCAAGUUCAUUUUUAUAACUUAGGAAAUUGCUCCCAAAAGGGAACUUAUAAAAAGUGACACGCGUUAUUGUAAAUUUAUUUUUAUAAUUUUUUACCACUUUAGAAAGGUUAAUUAACUGUAUUUUUCUACUUUAUUUUAUUGGACAAAUUUAUUGAACAUUAUAAUAUCUGAUUAGUUUUACUUUCGGCAUUAGUAACCUAAAUAAGGUAAACAACAUAAAUUUCACUAGUUAGGAAUUUAAUUAUGUGCUUUUUCGUGAGUAUUUUUGAAAGUACCAUUCAUGUAAAAUUAUGGUCAAAAUAUACAUGCAUUUCGGAUAAAUGGGGUUCAUAAUUAGUUGUAAUUUAUUCUGGAUAUAAUAUAUUUAAGUGUAUUUGCAAGGCUGAUAUGACUCGCUCACCUACCUCUUUCCCUAUUUGUAUUUCAAAAUAUAACUGAGAGCAAAAAAACAUGUAUCUAGGUGUAUUUAAUUUGAGGUCUGAUAUUAAAUUAUUAAUUUAUGAGACAAUGCUUAUUUAUUUCAAAAUAUAAGAAGAAGAAUUAGUUAAUAAGGUAUGAAUGUUUGAGCUGCUUCACUCCUUGCUACCUAUAUUUAGCUAGGGUGGUUCUUCUCGCCAUGUUAAGAAAUUUUAUUUUUCAACCAGCUAGCUUGGAUUGUAAGUUACCUAUAUUGAAGUGGAAGACGCGUGUUUAAGAAUUAGGAUGUAGGGUGUAGAUAGAUUAAGAGAUAAGAAAGUGUAUAGGUUCGUCAAGUAAAAGAGAGGAGGAUCCAAGAGUAUUAAUAGAUACACAUGCAUAAAAGGGAGCUAAAUCUAAGAUUAGAAACACAUACCAACUUAUCGAUAUUUAUAUAAUAUAUAGAACAGAAAAGUGAUAAAAGAUAUAUUUUUAUCAUCAUCAUCAAAUACUAAUAACAUUUUUGUUAAUUUCAAUUCUUUCAGCUUUUUCGAAUACAUAAUUAAAUUAUGUUAAAUUAGGUCUUAGACCUAACUCAUACCCCAAAAAUUAGGUCUAGGUGAAUAUUUUUUCUUAGCUAAGUACAUGAAUUAAGGUUUUCGCCCUUUUAGUCUUAAACUAAAGAACAUGAAGAGUUACAGCUAAAUCAAUAUAUACCAUUACCAAAUACGAAUUUGUCAUCUUGGGUUCUGCCACUAGUAGUUCUACGUUCUCCUAUGGUAAAGUUCCUUCUUUUCUCCUCAUUUACCACCUUCUAUUGUUUGUUUAUAAGAUUUUGAUCAUUUAUAUUUUUUCAAAUUAGACUAUGACUUGAGAGUAACAGUAAAGUGUAUCGCAAGUUUGACAUCUUCCCUUUAUUUAGGAACACUGAAAAGAAUUUUGAGGAAAAUGAAUUCAUAAGGUUAGAAAUAUCAAGUAUGACUCUACAUUGUCCUGCAUUGACUAAGUUUGAUUACAUGAUACUGAUAUGAAUCAAAUUCAUUUCAUUCAACAUUUUUGUGUUUUUCUGUAGAUUAUAUUUGGAAGCUUUGGUUCGUAUCUUUGAAGUUAUAUACAAGAUCGAUCUAAUAAUAUAAUAUUAUAAUUUCAUACUUAAUUUUUAAGGAGAAAAUAAUAAGAUGAAUUCACUGAGCCUAAGUUGGUAUUACAUUUUAAAAUAAUAUUUAUUUAACUUUAUAAAGAUAUUUACUUAUUGACGUAUGUGGUACACGCACAACGCGCAUGCCCAAUAAUUAAUAAGAUAUAACAACCAAACCAAUAUAUACUCUUUUUAAAAAAAACAAAAAUCAUUCGCUUGUGAUAUCCCUAGCAUGUACAACUAACAACAUAUAUUAUAUAUUAACAAAACAUAUUAUUAGACUUAACAAAAUAUAAAAUUUUAACUCAAAAAAAAAACUUCGAAUAUGGUGCAAGUUUUUUUGGGGGUUUUAUAAAGAAAACAACUAAUAUUAGGUGUUUCACGUGUUACAACGAUUAGCAAGAAUUCAUAACUCUUUAAGUUGAAGAAAUAACUUUAAAACCCUUUAAAAAGUUAAACUGCAAAAACCUUAAAUCCCUAAUUAACACAUAAAUAUUUAAAAUCUUAACCAAUUAAACAAAAUGAAAAGUAAUUAUAAUGAUAACUUAAUGUGAAAUUAGGCGUUUGAGGAAAACUCUAAGUUAAGUUUAUAUUUGUCAAGUUCAUUAACCACGAUUUUUUAUUAGAUAGCAUAUCAAAUACUAAUAAAACAUACAAAUAAAUGAAAGCAAAAAGUAUAUUUGACACUUUCUUACUAGAAAUAAUAAAAUUAAAAAAUAAAACAAAUAAUCUCAUAUUAAAUUGAUUCGCUUAAAUUAUUUCUCGAGACAAGCAGAUGAGUCCGUUUGAACCCUUAAUAGGAAAAGGUUAAGGUCAGUAAACAAUUUAUGUUUCACACUCAAUUGUUAUCCACGGUGUCCAAAAUGAAAUGUUUUAGCUGUUAACAAAAAUAACUAUUCUAAUGCACACAAUCAUUUUUCUAACAUAAAAUGUUAGUAAGUUCGAGUGAGCGCUAAGUCAUUAUCUAUAUCAUCAAGAAGAUGUACUAAUAACCCUGAUCAUUGUGAUCAGAGCAAGACAAAAUCUUCUAAGAAAAAGCCCAUGUCAUUGAUAGGUAGUGGAGCCUAAUUAAUUUUAGGUUUUCCUAUUUAUUCUCUAUUUUAGGCUUUUUUAUUUAUUUGCUAUUUUAGGCUUUCCUAUUUAUUCUCUGUAACAAAAAAUACUCUGAUUUAUUAUAAUAAAUAUACCUCACCGCCAUGGAUGUUUACUCACGGGGUGUUACCACGAAAUAUUGGGUUUUCUAUCUCUCUCUCUAGAUUUCUCAUCUCUUUCUCUUGAAAGUUCUUGUGUUCUUCAUUCAUCUAGUGUGUGUGCGUGAAUUCGAUCCUAACAACUGGUAUCAGAGCUAAAGACAUUCAACACGAUCACAGAAGAUGGAUAGUUCGAAGCUUGGAAUCGAGAAUUUUGAUGGAUAUGAUUUAAGUUUCUGGAAGAUGUAGAUCGAAGAUUAUCUGUACCAGAAAGAUAUCCACGAACUGUUGAUCAGGGUGAAGCCGGAAUCCAUGAAGGAGGAUAAGUGGAAACUCAAGGAUCGCCAGGCUCUAGGGUUGAUCCGGUUGACUUUGUCAAGAAACGUGGCGUUAAACAUCGCGAAGGAGAAGACUACGUCCGGUCUGUUGAAGGCACUGGCCAUCGGCUAUGAACAAGGUAUAUUUGAUGUGUAGAUUGUUCAAUUUACAGAUGUCUGAAACUGGAUCCGUUUCUGAUCAUAUAAAUGAGUUGAAUAUGAUUGUGAGUCAACUCAAUUCUGUGGAUAUUAAUUUCGAAGAUGAAAUUAAGGCGUUGAUUUUGAUGUCAUCUCUGCCCGAGUCUUGGGAUAUUGUUGUUGCUGCGAUUAGCAGUUCCCGUGGAUUUGAGAAACUGAAGUUUGAUGAAAUCUGUGAUGUUGUUCUUAGCGAAAGUAUUCGCGAACGAGAAGUGGGAGAUUCAUCGGGCAGUGCUCUUAGCGUUGAUCAAAGGGGGAGAAGUGAGACGGAAGGCCAAAAUCAACAUGGUCGAUCAAAAUCAAAGAAUCGAGGAAAAUCACUGAACAGAUCAAACGUGACUUGUUGGAACUGUGGAGAAAGGCACUUUCGGAUGAACUGCACAAAGCCAAAGAAGAAACAGAAUCAGAAAUUUGGAGAUGACAAUGAUUCUGUAAAUUCAGCAAAAGACAUAGGGGAUGCUCUAAUCCUUAGUGUCAACAGCCCGGUUGAAUCAUUGAUUUUGGAUUCUGGUGCAUCUUUCCAUUCGUCUCCAAGCAAGGAGUUGUUCCAAAACUUCAAAUCUGGAAAUUUUGGAAAAGCAUAUCUUGCUGACAAUAAAGCCUUAGAGAUUGAAGGAAAGGGGGAUGUUUGCAUAAAGACCACCUCGAGAAACCAGUGGACAUUGGAGGAUGUCACAUAUAUUCCUGGGAUCAAGAAAAAUCUGAUCUCUGUUGGUCAGAUGGAUAGCACGGGAUAUGCAGCAGUGUUUAGGAAAGGUUCAUGGAAGAUCGUGAAAAGUGCCAUGGUAGUAGCUCGUGGCACCAAAUUUGGAACCCUGUACACCACUGCAGGGUGUAUAAAUAUGGCCGCUGUUGCUGAAGGUGCUUCCGGUUCAUGUCUGUGGCAUAACAUACUUGGACACUUGAGUACUAAAGGAAUGAAGAUGCUGGUUGCAAAAGGAGCAUUAGAGGGUCUGAAGUCUGUUGAUAUGGGUCUUUGCGAGAGCUGUGUUAUGGGCAAACAGAAAAGAGUAAGCUUCACAAAGAUUCCUAGUGAGCCAAAGAAAGUGCGAUUGGAAAUGGUCCACACAGAUGUUUGGGGACCAUCUCCAGUAUCUUCACUUGGAGGAUCCAGAUUCUAUGUUACCUUCAUUGAUGAUUUCAGUAGAAAGGUAUGGGUUUACUUCUUGAAGCAUAAGUCAACUGUGUUUGCAACUUUCAAGAAGUGGAAAGCUGAAGUUGAGAAUUAGACCGGUUUAAAAGUCAAAUGCCUAAGGUCUGACAAUGGAGGAGAGUACGACAAAUCAGAGUUCAAGGCAUUCUGUGCAGCUGAGGAAUCAAAUUGAUGAGAAAAAUUCCUGGUAAGGUAAGGUAGAAUGGAAUUGCUGAGAGGAUGAACAGAACAUUGAAUGAGCAUGCAGGGAGUUUGAGGAUACACUGUGGGCUGCCCAAAACACUUUGGGCGGAUGCUGUGAGCACAACUGCAUACUUGAUCAACAGGGGACCAUCAGUUCCUUUAAGGUUCAAGAUUCCAGAGUAGGUGUGGACAGGAAAAGAUUUCAAGUACUCACACUUAAGGACUUUUGGUUGCACUUCUUAUGUUCAUGUUGAUCCAGAAAAUAGAGAGAAGCUUGACGCCAAGGCUGUGAAGUGUUACUUCAUAGGAUAUGGUUCUGAUUUUUUUGGUUACAGGUUUAAGGAUUACAAGAACAGAAAGAUCCUGAGACAUUGCAACGUUACAUUUGAUGAGUCUGUCCUGUACAAGGACAGAGAGCAGAAGUUUCUAGAGAUUACAAAGCAAGUGGGAGUUGAGGUUGAGUUGGAGAUGAGUAACCCCAGAGAAUCUCAAGCAGAUACUCAACCAACUCCCACUGAAGAAUCUGAAGUAGAGCAAGUUACACCUGAGCAGGUGUUAAUGAGAUCAUCCAGAUCCAUUAGGGCACCAGAUAGGUAUUCACCUUCAUUACACUAUCUAUUGCUAACUGAUGAGGGGGAACCAGAGUCUUUUGAUGAGGCCCUACAGGUGGAGGAUUCGAUCAAGUUGGAGAAAGCCAUGGAUGAUUAGAUGAGGUCACUUGCGAAGAAUGACACAUAAGUGUUGACAGAGCGACCUGCAGGGAAGAGAGCUUUGCUGAACAAGUGGGUGUUCAGAAUCAAGACUGAACCAGAUGGCAAAAGAAGGUUCAAGGCUCGUUUAGAUGUUAAAGAAUAUUCACAAAGGAAAGGUAUUGAUUAUGUUGAAAUAUUCUCUCCUGUUGUGAAGCUAACCUCUAUUCGAAUUCUUUUGAGUGGUGUUGCAUCGGAGAAUUUGCAUCUAGAGCAAAUGGAUGUAAAAGCAACGUUUUUACAUGGAGAUUUAGACAAAGAGAUCUAUAUGCAGCAACCGGAAGGAUUUGUGGUUCCAGGCAAGGAACAUAUGGUGUGCAAGCUCACCAGGAGCUUGUAUGGACUAAAGCAAGCACCAAGGCAGCGGUACAAGAAGUUUGACUCCUUCAUGACCAAGAGUGGAUUCUGCAAAGCUGAAAAGGAUCCUUGUUGUUACUUCAAGAAAUACACUGAUUCAUAUGUCUUUCUACUCUUGUAUGUGGAUGAUAUGUUGAUUGCAGGAUCUAGUAUGAGGGAGAUUAACAAUCUGAAUACAAGGUUGUCUGUAGCGUUUGAGAUGAAAGAUUUGGGUCCAGUAAAACAGAUUUUGGGGAUGAAGAUUUCUCGGGAUAGAUCUGCUAGCACUUUAAAUCUAUCUCAGGAGUUGUACAUUGAGAGUGUGUUGAGAAGAUUCAGGGUUAAUGAUGCUAAACCCAGGACUACUCCAUUGGCAAAUCACUUUAGAUUGUCAAAGGAGCAGUCACCCAAGACUGCCGAGGAGCGUGAUCACAUGGCACUUGUUCCAUAUGCUUCAGCAGUUGGUAGUUUGAUGUAUGCUAUGGUCUGCACUAGACCUGAUAUAGCACAUGCUGUGGGAGUUGUUGGCAGGUACAUGGCGAACCCUGGGAAAGAGCAUUGGGAAGCUGUGAAGUGGCUUCUGAGAUAUCUGAGAGGUACAUCCAGUACUUCACUUUGAUUUGGCAAAGGCAAGGUGACUCUACAGGAUUUUGUAGAUGCUGAUCUUGGUGGGGAUGUUGACUCGAGCAAGAGUACAUCUAGGUACAUUUACACCAUAGGUGGACAGCAGUGAGUUGGAUGUCCAGGCUUCAGAAGUGUGUUUCUCUUUCAUCUACUGAAGCUGAGUAUGUGGCAAUAGCUGAAGGUGAGAAAGAGAUGAUAUGGCUGACAGAUUAUCUUGAGGAAUUGGGCAAGAAGCAGAGCGACAAGAUUCUUUACUCAGUAGCCAGAGUGCCAUACAGUUAGUGAAAAAUCCAGCCUAUCAUUCGAAGACAAAGCACAUUAGAAGGCGAUACCAUUUCACUCGCAGGGCAGUGGAGGAUGGUGAUAUGUGCUUGGAGAAGAUAGAGGGUGCAAAGAACCCGACAGAUAUGUUGACGAAAUGUGUUGAUGUUGGGAAACUGAGGUUAUGUAAAACCUCGAUUAGUCUUCUAUAACUGUUUCUACUGAUGUUGCGGUGCGGUAAAGAUGUUGAUGAUGAAGAGAUUUUUUUGAGAAUGUAUUUUUUGGAUGACUGAGUCAGUCUCCAAGUGGGAGAAUUGUUAGGUAGUGGAUCCUGAUUAAUUUUAGGCUUUCCUAUUUAUUCUCUAUUUUUGAUUUACUUAUUUAUUCUCUAUUUUACGCUUUCCUAUUUAUUCUCUAUUUAUUCUCUUUAACAAAAAAUACUCUGAUUUAUUAAUAUAAAUAUAACUCACCGUCUUGGAAGUUUACUCAUGGGGUGUUACCACGAAAUAUUGGGUUCUCUCUCUCUCUCUCUCUCUCUCUAGAUUUCUCAUCUCUUUCUCUUAAAAGUUCUUGUGUUCUUCAUUCAUCUAGUGUGUGUGCGUGAAUUCGAUCCUAACAGUCAUAUGGGCAUGAAACGAAUAAUGAAUUUGGCCUUUGAGCAGUCACUUAUGUGGAUAAAUAUAUUAUGUAUUUUUUAAUGAUAUAUUUUUUUCUAUAACCCCUAUGUAAUAGAAUUAUUGUUUAUUAUUUUUUUAUAACAUUUUAAUUUCAUCUUUCCAAAAGACAUAUACAAUAAUAUUUUGAUACAUUUGACAUAAUUUUAAAUUAGGAUCAUAAAAUUUAAAAAGUUAUUUUAUUUCUUAAAUUUCAUAUCAAGUCAAAUUAGAUCACUCUUUUUUAAAUAGAGGGAGUAAUUCAUCUACUCUAAAAGGGGACAAGAACCUAAGGCUUGCCUGGUGCAGAAAUAUUCUGUUGAAUAGAAACUGUUUUUUGCUUCCUAUUACGCCAAAAAUGGAGAUGCAUAGCAUAACAAAACAAGCGGUAUGCCCGAAAAAAACUUUAUUAUCUUAGAUAGGAGGAACUUAGCCCUGUAAAAAAACAAAAAGAAAGAUGAAAUAACAACAACAAUAUCAAAGCUAAUGCCUUUUUGGGAAAAAUAGCCAUUGAAGUCAUUCGGUACAACAACAAAAGAAAAAAUUACAUAACAACGAUAUUACACCUAAUACAGUUUAUUGGGCAAUAGCCAUUGUCACUACAAAGCUUAAUUAAUUAGGAUCGACAGUUAUAAGCCUUAAAGGGUUUUCAACAUCACCUCCACCAGCAUGUUUAACAAAUUCAGCUGGUGUCAGAAAAUAACCAUGACAAAUACAAACAAUCUUCACAUCUCCUCCCCUCUUAUACGCGUAUAAAAAUCCUUCAGUCUUCUUUCCAUUUGGUCCAUCACCUUUAGUGGCAACACCAGGCAUUUUGAGCAAGAAAUUUCUGGGUCCCUCUUUUCCCGAAAAGUCGGGUGAUUGCUCAUUAGUAGCUUCAAUGGCUGCCAAUACCAGAUGCUGCAUUUGCUCCAAUGUGCCACUGACUGGAGGUAUCGCAUUAGAACUACCAGAUGCACCUUCAAUGAAAGUUCCAUCAACUGAAGGAAAAAAAUAUUUCUUAGUUUUAGACAAAAGAAAAUUAAGUGAACAAAAAAUAAUGAAAAUGAAGAAAUUAAUUAAAUGGAACAACUCAAUUGAAUUUUCGAUCACCUUGAUUAGGUAGGUGUUGUUGAGUUUCAGAACUAGUUCCAGCUGAACCAAAACUUCCUACAGAUCCAGAUCCACCAGGUGACGGCAAAGAAGACGUUCCAUUCCCUUCAUUUUCCUCAACAACUAUAACAUUAUUCAGUUUAUCCCAUCUAUUCUGCUGCGUGUCCCCGCGCGUCUGUGUCUGGAGGUCUCUCCUGUCCUUCCAGUUCAUCCCAGUCUCCAUUGGAGGCAACAAAGCCGUCCUAUUAACAGAAAAUGGAUCUUUCAUUUUCCCCCAUUCUGUUUGAGUCUCCAUUGGCGGCAUGGAAGCUGUCCUCAUCACAGAAGAUGGACCAUUGAUUUGCCUCCAUUCCAUCUUAGUCUCCAUUCUACGCCUGCACUCAAUUUCAGUCUCCAUUCUUCGCCUUCAAGCCAUUUCAGUCUCCAACUUUUGCCUCCACUCGAUUUCAGUAUCCCCCGGCAAAGAAGACGUCCCGGUCACAGAAAAUGGAUAAUUUUGUUGCCUCCACUCCAUUUGAGUAUCCAUAGGCGGCAACAAAUUCCUUUGCCUCCAGUACUCCAUUUGAGUGUCCAUCGGAAGCUCUAAUGUUAAGUCUACACUUACAUCCUCUACAAUCCUUUUUCCUUUGUCUUGACGAUUAGCUUUCUCCAUUUUAGCAAAAGUUGAAAGAAUCGAAAAAGCUAUUGAAUUUCAAACUAAACAAACUUAAUAGGGAAAAAAACUCUAUAAAAGUAUGAAGUUGAUUUUCAAUGAUGAAUGAUGCAAGAAACCUUCAAAUGUAUAGGAGGUUAUAAAGGAAAAAAAAUCAAGUAUGAAAGUGAAAAAAACGUGAAGGAAUCUUAUUUCUGUGGGUUAAGUGAAAAAUAACAAAAUAGCCCCUUGCUACGUGGUCUAAGGAGGGACUUUGGGAAUUGAUCCAAAAAUAUUGUCCGUUGUAAUUAUCUAUUGAGAAACAAAAUCAAACUUUACACGUAUCUGAAAAAUCAGUGCAUGAAAAUUUGUGAAAAAUUUUCACUUUCACACUGCGGAUAUGAAAAUUAUUAUUUAUGCAUUUUUGAAAGUUUUUUUUGGGCAAAUUUUAUCACAAAUGUUAUAUUAACUUAGGGCAAAUUUUAUUAAAAGUUAUAUCAUCCAAUUAUUUUAACUCACGAAAUUAUUGUUUAUUUUUAAGUUUUAAUAGUUUAAAAUGUAAGAGGAUUGUUCCUUUUAUUUCUUUAUAGUUAACAUUAUUUUUAAGGAGGGUUUUUACUACUUCACAGAUUUAUUAAAUAUAAAAAAUAAUGUGUACUCGAAAUUUAGUUGGAGCUCUAAUAUGGAAUCAAAUCACUAAGUAGGAGACAAAAACAAAUAUAUCUAUUAACAACAGGUGAUUUUGAGUUAACAAGUAGACAAUCAUCUGAGUUAUAUUUUUUAGUUUUAAGAAAGAACGUAAAAGUGUUUUAAUUGAUUCUUGAAUAUCAAAAUAAUGAUUUUAUUACUAUCAGUUUCUGUCAUUUUUAAUUUUUCAUUCGCCUUUUCUGAAAAUCACUAAUUGUAUUACGCUUAAUUUAAGCGUUUUUCUGAUUUGUUUGUUAUCUACAUUUUUUAAGUUAUUCUUUCUUCUGUGUUGGAGAUCAUUAAUGUUAUGAUAUUGUAUCAAUGCAUAUAAUAAUAUUAUCAACGCGUAUAAUACUAACUUAAAAUAUAUGUAUAGAUAGAUAUUGAACAACUAAUCAUUGGGCUUAUUUCUUUUUAAAAAUAUUAGAAAUAGGAGACGAUGAAAUUAGGUCAUUACUAUAAGCUCUGUUGAUGAUCAGUUCAAUGUUAUAAAGCAAUUGAGAAUAUUAAGUUAAGUGUUGGUGUUCAUAAUAUAAUCCAACACAAUGAGUCACCAAGCGAAACACCAAGCGAAUCAAUCUAUCUUCAUGAAGUGAAUUUCUUAAUUCAUAUAUUUCCACUUAAAUAGCAACAUAUUCAAUGUUUUCAUAAGUAUUUCGAGAAAGAUAUAAUACACACGAAACUUAUUUUUAUAUUACGUGGUACAAUAUGAUUUUUAUAUUUAUACAUAUAUUGAAGUAAUAACAAAACCUCAUAUGCAUAUAGUUUGUUGAAAUAAAAUAAUAAUAAUACUUGGGAUUCGUUUGAUAUUUUAUGAUUGGUACCGUACUCAUUCUUUCUUACAUGCCAUCUUCAUUAAACACAUUCAUUUUUAUUCUUAUAUAUUCAGUUGACUGAAUUCUUAUAAUCAUAAUAAUUAAUAUUCACAGGAGUUGUACUAAUUUUCUAAAUAUAAAAAUACAAUUCAAAAACAUGUCUCAUCAUACUAAUUGUUGCUCACUGGAGAUUUUUGGUAAAACACUUCUCAAAAUUUGGCAUAACACUUUUUAGUUUCUACUUAAAAGUAUUUUUACAUUGGGUGAUCAAAAAUAAAUUUUUUUCUCACAUAAGAUUUUUCUUUUUAGAAAAACAUGCUAGAAAAAAAAUGUUUUUUUAAAAAAUUAAUAAAUUUUAAUAGUUUGAUGAAACAAGUUCCAAGCUUCGGUCCUACUUUAUCAUAUUAUCUGUAUAUUAAGGUUUUUUAUGCAUUUAAAUAAAAAUAUGUGAUAACAUUAAUCAUAAUAAGUUUAGAGGAAUCUUAAUAGCUCAAUUCAGUUGGUUGGUUAUUUAAAAUUUUACUUUAUCGGUAGAGAUUCGAUUCUUCACCCUGCAAUUUUCUUUCCUACCCCCAAUAUGAAUGAAACGAAAUCAUACAAGUCUAAAUUAUCCUUUUACCUUUCCUAAAUAGGCACUUAAUUAAUACUACUUCACUGGUAAAAUAAUCUUCACCUUAUAAAAUUAUAUAGAAUAUAUUAUUGCUAUUAUGAUAAAAAAAUAAUGAUGAUUGAUCAUGAAAAAAAUUAAUAAAUCUUUUUUUAUAUUUUUAAAUUUUAAAAAUAAGUUCUAUUUGCUAAAGUUAUUAGCCAAAUAAUAUGAUUAGGACUAAAGAUGUUGGAUCUUAGUUUUAUAAUAAGUCGAGUUGUCCACCUUAUAUUCGAUAAAAUGACAUUAUUGUUUUUUUAGGGAAAAUACAUCAAUUUUCCCUGAGCUUGUUUUGAAAAAUCAACUACUUAUUUAAACUAUUAGAAGUAAAUAUUACAAUUUUAUUAUUUAAAAAUAAAUUUAAUACCAUUUUAAAACGUGUAACACUAUUCUUACCAUAUGUGACGUAUUACAAUAAUGGCUACCUCAACACUAGUAUAUAUGUCAGCUCCACAUCAGAAACUAUAUUUUUUUGGUUUGUUUUCUUUAUGAAUAAUGUUUCUUUUAUUAAUUUUAUAUUUUAUACUAAUUAAUUUCUAUUUAAUUGUUAAAUUUUUUAAAUAUUUUUUUCAUCCAUUAAUCCUACUCACUUUAUUUGUGAUCUUGUAAGAAAAAUUACUCAUUUCAACUCAUACCACAAUUUUCUUCGUCUUCUCUGUCAAAGAACACCAUACUCAUCACCACCACUACCUUCACAAUGGCGUUUUCUCUUCUUUUCUGAAAAAGUAGUAGCCACCAAACAACCACCCAGACCACCAGAGAAAACAGACACUAAAACCUCAAAUCAACCAUCAAGAAACAUCGAAUGAAACCCUUUCUCCUUAUCCCUUUUUUAUUUUAUUUUUUUAUCUUAUAUUGUUGGUAUUCCGGCAAGCUCAAAUCAAUCAAUCAUUAUUUUGAUGACGUUUCAAUGAGUUCUGCACUUUCAGAUUUGAACAACUAUCAAACAAUCACAACAAUCAAUACCACCAGACUAUCGUCGUCGUGAUGCUUUGAGGUUGUGGAGGUAAUGAGAGUUUUCAUUUUUUAUUGCUUUUUAAAACUUUAAUUUUCCUUACUCGCGUGUUACUUUCGUUGUUAGUUUUUUUUACGUUUCAAUUUUAGGGGUGAACAAAUUUACUUAUAAGUUAUUUAGAUAUAGAAUAGAUCGAUAUGAUAGUUCAAAUGACUAAAUUUUCAAAGAAAAUUAAUGUCUUUUCCUAAUUUAAUUAUAAUAAAGCGUGAGAGGGAAAACAUCGUGACAUGAGUUAUAUGAGGGUGAACUUGCAUGUGUGGUCUUAGGAGGGAGUGCUAGUAUGAAGAAUCCCAUUAAAGUAAAAUAUUUUAUUAAAAAAAACAAGAAGUAUUUUUAAAUAAAAUAUAUACCUCUAUUUAGAAAUCGGGUUAGGUUUAGAUAAAUAGAAGUGGAAACUUUGUAGGUUAGAAAAAUAAUAUUCACUUAAAAAAGUUAUUAAAAUUACACUUUUGAACUUGAAACUUAUUUUGUGAUUUUUUUUUCUGAAGAAGGUUCAGUAUAACCAAACAUUAUUAGAAAACUUACAGAAAUUUCCUUAGUUAAUUUGGAAUAAAAUAUUUAGAUGCAUUUAGGUUUGCAAUAGUACAAAUUUAAUUAAAUUUUGAUGCGUCGAUAUAUACCUACGUACAUAUAUCUCGUGAUAAAAGGAUAUGUAUAGUUUAUUUUAUAUACCUUUUGAUGAAUUUUUAAUAUGUUAAUUAUUCUAACAUAUUUCUUAUGAUAAUUAAAUGUAUUUCUUAUGAUAAUUAAAUGUCCUAAAUAGUCUUAUUUGACUUUUUUUUAUACUCCUCCCUAUUUAUAAUACAUAUAUUAAUUAUGAGUCAUUUCCUUACAAAGCAAUUCUAAAUUAAUUUGCAAAUACCACUUUAUUUACGCUAAUUUUAUACAUUGAAGGCCGACUUUUUAUUUUUAAAAUUCAAUUUACACCCUAUAUAUGUUCUUUUUUAUGUGUUUAGUAGUAGAUGAUGGAUACACCAAGUAAUGAAUCUUUUUAAAAAUAUAUGUGUUAACAAAUAAUUAUUUGAUUUAGCAAGAAAUGAAAAUUCUAACUUCUACAAAUAAACUUAGAAAUAUCUAAAAUAGUUAAGACCUACCUAACACAUAAAUAAAACAACUAAAAAUUCUAAGGUUUUCAAGAUUUAUCAACAAAUUAAAAUUCUAAAUAAAAAUAUAACUUAGUAAUCCUUAAAAAGCUAACCCCCAAAUUUUAUUUAACACAUGAAUACUACAAUUCUUACCGGAAGAGCCAAAAUAUACAUAAUCAAAGAGGGAUAACAUAUAUAUUAACAUAUAAUUGUCAGCUUUAGCAAGAAAUAGAUAUUCUAACUUGGAAAAUAGACGUAGAAAACCUUAAAGCUAGCAGUUGAUAGCGAAUCCUAACACAUUAAGAAAACAACUUAUAUUACGUGUUUCAAAGUUUAGCAAGAAAUGAAAAACUUGUAGUCGAAAAAUAACAAAAGAAUCCUUUAAAAAGUUUAACCCCAAAUCCUAAUUAGCACAUUAAUAUUUCAAAUUCUUACAAGAGAAGAACAAAACUACACAUAAUCGAAUAGAUGUAAUUAGAAAGUGACAUUUUUACAAUAUUAAUUAGUCGAUUUAAAAAUAAAUGAUAUUAGCCUCGUGAUAUUCACUCAUAGACAACUCUUCUCCUUUCUCAUGUUGAGGAACAUGCAAAAUGCUUUUUACAAAUAGGUUGAAAUUAAAUGCAUUAUUUAGUUUAGUGGCUUGAUAUCGAAUUUUAAAAGAAUAGAAUAAGGGAUCAAUAUUUGUAAUUUGUGUAGAAUAGAAACUGUUAGUUGCUUCUAAUUAAGAUUAAAAAAAAGAAGCACCGAGUAGCAAAAAAACAAUCUGAAUGAUUGGAAAAUAACCUUAAUAUAACUAAUGUGAGGAACUUUAAUUUAGUCAGUACAACAACAAAAGGAAAGAUGAAUUAAACAUUAAAAAAUACGCAUCAAAAGAUGCCGAAGGACUGAAAAAUAACCUUAAUAUAGCUUUGAUGGGAGGAACUUUAGUCAGUACAACAACAAAAUGAAAGAUGAAAUAACAACGAUACAAAAACUACUGCCUUCUUGGGAAAUAACCAUUGGAUUAUUAGGCACAACAACAAAUUAAAGGAUCAAAUAACACCGAUAUUAAGUCUACUUAAUUUGUUUUCCUUCAAUAAAUAUAUGUUCAAAAGGGUUUACUAUGUCACCUCCACCAGCAUGUUUGACAAAUUCAUCUGCAUUUAGAAAAUUGCCAUGACAAAGACAAACUAUCUUUACUUCAUCUAUCUCCUUACACGAGUAUAAAAGUCCUUCAAUCUUCUUUCCUUUCGGUCCUUCACCUUUUGUGUAGACAUUAGCCAUAUUGUUGAGCACGAAGUUUUCGAACUUCUCUUUAGCAAUAUUUUCCUCUGAAUACACAAGUUAUUUCUAUUCAAUUGUAUAUGAUUUCACAUCGUGAACUAAAGGUAAAAGUAUAAAUUAUUUCCCACUUUAAUUUUGGUACGAAUUAAAAUUGACUAGAUAUAUAUAAUUAUUUUGUAAAAUCUGGAUACCUUGAGUAGGUGAUUGUAAGAUUUCGACCUCAGCUACACUUGAAGCAACACAUCCUUGCGAUUCACCUGGAAACAUCAAAAAAUAUUUUAUCAGUUAUUCACAUAAAAUGAUUUAUUUUUGUCAAGUGAACAUCAAAAUUACCAUCCAAUGAAAGCCCUAAAUUUAGCUUCAUAUUUUUAUUCUCUACAAUCCUUGAAGUUCCUAUUUUUUCUUUGGCUUUCUCCAUGUUAGCAAAAUCUAAUCUGACAAAACUAUUGAAUUUAAACUAUAAACUGGGAAAAGAAAAACCCAACAAAAGUCUCAGUGUGAAGAAAAUGUUAGGCCAUUGGGAGCUUAUAAAGGAUAAACUUCAUGGGUGGGAGGGUAAAAAAAGCGUGAAGAGGAUAGCAUGAUCACAUUGUUUAUGGAGCACUUUGGAAAUUGAUCCCAAGAGGUAACAACUUAAUAGUGACACAUGUCAUUUAUAAAUUCAUUUUAUAAUUUUUCUUACCAUUUUAAAAAGAGAAAAAUGUUACAUGUAUUUUUUUACUUUGUUUUAUUGGUCAAAUUUAUCAAAUGUUGUAACGUUACUCAAUUUAAUGGGGUCAAUAAAGCAAAUUUAAUUUGUUUAAGACCUAUAACAUGUCUUUUUCAUGAGUUUGAAAUUAUUUUGUGUCAAAUUUUGGUCUCUCGAUGCAUGUAUUUGACACAUUCAAUUACAUGUAUCUCAUAUAUACGAGGUUAAAAAUUAGGUCUAAUUUAUUCUAGAUAUUUAUAUUCAAGUGUAUUGACAUAUAUCUGACAUUUCCCGCCUCUCUCCCUAUGUAUUUAUUGUUAAUUACCAUAAAUUAGAAUUUCUACCUACCAUAUAUAGUUGAUUAUGCAAUAUUUCUAUAUAAUUUUCUUUAAUUGUACUUACCAUGUAUAGUUUUACCAUGUUAAAUGGUUUAACAUGCAUAGUUCUCUUGUAAUCUUAAAAGGAGACCCUUCUUUUUAAAAGGAAUAAAAAUCAUGUUUUUUCUCUUUUCCAUAUGAUAUCAUGAUAGUGUCUUCAGUCUUUCUAAGUAAUCAAAGAGCUUUCGUUGUCGAGGGUGGCUAUUACUCAUGCAUGUCGCCGUCUGGUCAACAAUUAUUUGAACAAAAUUUGGGUCACCAUGUAUCUUUCUAGUGAUACUUUCUUAUCUUUCAUUUUUAUAGCAUCGUGCCAUAUUUUCAGUGAUUUCUUUCUCAUAUUUUAUUUUGUGUAGCACUGUACCAUUUUUUCAGUUAUUUUAAGAGAAUUAUCGUAGGUAGAUAUUGUAAUUGAUGGUAAUUAACAUCUCCCUCAAACUUAUGGUGGUCAACCAACAGUUUGCCAAUAACACACUAUUUGGAUGGUAGUUACCCGUUGUUGUUGUAUGUAAUAUUUUUGCUAGUUUAAAUACAAUGUUAUAUAAUCAACUAUAUACGGUAAUGAAGAAUAAUUCUCUAAAUUAUUAAUAAUUUAAGUAGUUAAGAUCAUUACUAAAAGAAUGAUAAAUUAGAUAUAAAAAAAGUUUCAACUAUCAAACUUUGAAUAAUUCAUUUAUUUUAAACUAUAAAAGAAUCUCAAUAAUUCACUUUAUAUAGACUAGAGGAAAAAAUACAUAUGUUUCGUUUAACAAUUUCCUAUAAAUUGGCAACAACCGUUUUAGGUUAACAGAGUAGAAGUUGACGAGUUGAAGGGUUUCUAAGUUUGGGUAUAAAUUUCUUGCUAAUUAUAUUUGAAAAAUAAUGUGUUAAAGUUAUUCUAUUUAUAUUUUAUAGGGUUUGGGAAUAACUAAAUUAAAAUUGUCUGACUUAUAUUUUCAAGUUAGAUAUUUACAAUCCAACUUAAAUUCUUGGUUCGAAUUUUGAGUUUAAGAGGCCGAGAAGAAGAGGGUCGUGUAUGAUCUAUACAAAAUUAAGUGGGAUGACUUGACUAUUUUCAUUACUCAGGAAAUAGAGAAGAAAUUGUAGACGAUGGGUUUGGGGAAAAUAGUGCGGACAUUCAUAAAUAGUAGUGAAAAGUAGAUGCAUUAGGAAAGAAUCUAGAAAAUUAUUGGAGUCUCAUGGAUUAAGGUUAGUAGAGACAACAGAGGGAAUUGCUCGUGGAAUAAAGUGAUAUAAUUGAUGGUGGAGUGAAGCGAUUCAAGGGAAAAAAAGAGCAAAAAGAAAUGCUUAAAUGGAGUUGUUAGUGAGCACUGACGAGAAAUAUAAUGGUCAUAUAAAGAAUUGUAUAAGGUGACGAUCUGAGAUUAUAUAAGCUCGUCAAGCAAAAGAGAAGAGGGUCUGAUACCUGGAUCAAAGUGAAGUUAAUUAAAAACAAGUUAAACAAGGUGUUGGACAUUGAAAAGACACACAUUUGAUGCACAAUUUUCUUCAUAAAAGGAAGACAAAAAUCUAUGAUUAAAAACGAAUACCAACACAUCAAUAUCAUGUUUUAAAUGCAAUAACAAGUGAUAAAUGACAUCUUUUGUCACCAUCAACUACUAAAAUAACAACUUAAGUUUCUACUAGUUUAAUGUCACCCUCAUUUCUUGGAUCAACUAAAAGUUUACAUAAUACAUCAUAUAUUGACAUUAAACACUACUCUUCAUUGUUGUUCCUUGUCAUUACUUUUUUUUUUUUAAAAAAAAAAGCAACCUCAAUGGUGGGCUGUUGAGUAUGUUAAAGUCGUGCAACAUCAACAUAUUUGAUUUAGUUUGACUUAGUUUUGCAGUAGCUAUUUUCUAGCAGUUAGUUGUUACUUUGUUAUUUAACUUAGUUCUUGAUAUUUUCCUAGUUGUAAUUAGUGAAAAUUUGUUUUCCUAGAGUUCAGGGCAAGUAGUUUAGUGGGAUUAUAAUUCCAUAAAUUCUGUAAGUCUAUAUUAGGCCACUGAAUGUACUAAAUAAAAUAACCUGCAACUUCUUCUCUGAAAAAUAUUUUGCUUCUUUUUCUUCUUUCCUGUUAUUUGUCGUUUGAUUAUUGAGCUUCCUAUUGCGUUUAGUUGUUCAGAGUAGAUGCCUACCAAUUCAUAUCUUGAGCAAAAUAAAUUACAAGAGAAGGAAUAUGGUCCUUUCCUUUUAUGUGGAAUGAUGACAAUGAAAAUCUCCUUAUUGUACAAAAAAAGUCCUAUACUUAGGUUACAUACGAUAACACUAUCAUUACCUUUUAUAGCCUUGACUUAGUGAAUAUUUUAGCUGCCCAAUUUUCUUUCAAUUUUUUUUAUAAACAAAGAUAUUAUAUAAAUAAUAGCUAAUAUGCGUCAUUACAAUAUAGGGGUUGAGUGCCCUUGUUGAAAUUCUAUCCUCCUAAAUUCUUCAAAGGAACACGUAGAACGUAUUUCUGUUUGUUUGAAACUUAAUGAUAAUCAAUUCGAACAACACUUUGUAUUAUUUAUAAACUACAAAUAAUACAACGAUUACAAAGCUCUGUAACCUAAGGAAUUAUAAACUCUAACUCCUAUAGGAAUUAUAAACUGUAAUUUCUAGCUAAUAAAUUAUAAACUCUAAUUUCUAGCUACUCAAAGAGACAAAACCACCGGUUUUAUAUCUUCUAAUGUUCUUCAAGUUCUAUAACUUAUCAAACAACUCCUACUCACAAAACCCAGAUUUUAAACAAGACUCUUGAACACAAUGUUACAGCUUCUCACUUAACUCGCAACACUCUCCAAGUUAAUAUCAAAACUCUUUCAAACCUCUUGAUAGUGUUUUGAUUUUCUCUCUAUGUAAGUGUGCAUUUUCUUCAAGCGAAUCUAUCACCCUAUUUAUAGAUUUGGACUUGAACCCAAAACCUAUUUUAACUAGAAAUCCUACUAGUGCUCUGCUUUCAUUUUCUCAUGAAACUUAGAAAUUUACGCAUAGGAUUCCUACCUUGUGCGGAAGUCGUCUUCGCCGCAUCUUCAACUUCAACUUUGCCGCAUCAAAUCCUUGUUGAACUCAACUUUGGCUUUUUAUUCUUAUUUGUCUUUUACGCAAAAAAAACCUUAUGUUUCUUGCCACCUCAAACAUGUUUUUCUUAAACAAGUAGGAAGUAGUAUUUGCCAUAAAUAACUAUAAACUUAUGCUUCUUUCCUUAUCCAAUUAUGUUGUAUCUUUCCUACUUUAAGUGAGCCUCCUAAUUCUUCUUCGAGUAAUCUUUGGCAUCUUCGAAUCAAGUUUUCUGCAUUAUGCAGUUUUGUCAGUCGUCAAAAUAAACGCGUUCAUUUGUACCGAACAGCCGUGAUCAUUCAAACUACUUGAGGAAGGGGAUACAAAAAUGCUAUUACAUCUGACAUGCAGAGUCUUUGUUAGUCUAGUAAAAGGUUUUCCAACUUGAUAGCCCCUUUCAUGAGAUUUUUUUGACGCAUUCCAAUCACAUGUUAAUUUACUUAAAUCUAUAUCAUUAUUAAAAGAAAAUCUUAUUUCAGUGGGUAAGAGUUAUUUUUCGUUUUUGUUGAAUUUUAGGCUGCGUAUCAGUCAGUUUGGUUUGAUUUUGGAUUUUAUCAGUUUUAUUUAUCGAUUAUCGAUUACAAAUCAUACUAAAUCCCUAUGGAACCAUUAAGAUGUCAAUUUAUCAAUUAUUGGCUUAUCGAUUAGUGAUUUUUAUCGAUUCGAUUAUUGUUAACAAUUAACCGUUAAUAGUUCACACAAUUCUCAUUGAUAAUUACUAUCGGACUAAGUACUAAUUAACAAUAGACAGUAGCUAAGAGUCCUUGAUGAACUUUUUCCCGUUAGUCCAUUACUACAUAAAACACUUAAUAAAAUUCCAUAUUAGCAUGGACAGAGAUGUCAAUAUUGCCCAAACUGGCAAAACUCAAAAUGAUUCCUCUUAACAACUACACUAAUUUUUAUAUGAAAUAAAGAGAAAAUAUUACAACAGUACUACUAACGAAAACCAUUAAUGAUCGUGAGGCGGUUACUCAUAAUAAAUGUUCAAUUGCAGAUUGUAGUAUUGCAAUAUUGCAGGCAUAUAUCAUUGACUCACUCACUAUAAUGAGAAGAUAAAAACACAGACUUAAAGUUAACUUGCCGACGUAGGAGCAGUUAUAAUGAAAAUAAGUGAUAUCACAACUUUGGAAUAUUAUUGUGAAAUUUAAGUGCCAACUAUAUAUGAAGUCACUACAAAGAGUCUGAAAACUGGAGCGUAAACCCUAAAAGCUAAAAGUGCCUAAGUCCUUAUGUGAUAUAAAUGUAGUUAAUUAAACUUCUUAUCGGGUUAUUGGGACCCGAUAAUAAAUAUGGUCAAACCGAGACCCGAAUCAAUAGGCCAAUAAGAAGUUUAUAGUAAAUUGAGAUCCGAAUCAUUGACUCAAUACCAAAUUAUUGGUUCGGAUAUCAAUUUUGGUUUAAUUUGAUUUGAUUUUGAACAACCCUGAAUUUGAAUUAUUCUAUUUUGAUAUACCUCUUGACCUUAAGGGUAGGUCUUCAUCAUAAACAAAUUUAGGAUAUUCAAAAAAAAAAAUUAUUAGAGAGUGAUUCAUGACGGGAUUGUUGGGUUUGCACUUUGAAAUUGUCAUACACAUUCAUAAUUACAUUUAAUUUUUGAAUACGGGAUUAAGAAAUUAUGAAUCAUAAUUAAAAAAAGAGGAUCAAAUAUGUCAAUGAAUUCACACCUAAAGCCUAAACCACACAUGUAAAAUUUACCCGUAAUCCCUAAAUUAAGUUGGGACUCAAAAACCUAGAAAAGUCAUCCGUAUAUUCAUACAUCAAAAAUAGCAAUACAAUAUAACAUAACUAAUAAUAUAUGUAAUACUAUAUAAUUGUCUGAUUAACAAGAAAUAGAAGUCGUGACUUACAAAAUAAACAUCGAAAAUUCUAAAGAAGUUAACAAUCAACCAUAACACAUAAAGAAAAUUCAAAAUUUAACUUUUUCCUUUUGUAUAUUUUUUAGUGAUACAAGUUAAUUUUUGUAAUAAGUAGUGAUUCAGGCUAUACUUCAGACUUGGUAAUGAGACUGUGUACUUGGAGAUUGCAUAAGUUUGAAAUUGAAGUCGAAAUGUUGAUUGAUUUCUUCUUUAUCCAAAGAGUUGCGAUCCGUCAUUUGCAAAUUUGUUUGAAAUAUUUGUUAGAAAGCAAACUUUAUGAGUUUGUGAUGAACUGAUACAUAGUAUAUACAAACUAUAUAAUAUCCAGAUAAAUGACUUUUUUAUAAUAUUUAGAUGAUAAAAGUUGGUCAUAUUUACUCACACGUUACUCAUCUCCUCUCUCACACGUCAAAGAACAAGUAAAAUGAGUUGGAAUUUAUUAAUGUUUAUUUUAGUGGUCAAAAAUUGUGAAAAAUAAUUUUUUUUAAAAAACUUAUUAUACAUUAUCAUAUUAGUUGCAGAUUGAAAUUCUUACUUUGAAUUUGUGACAAAAGAAUAUCCUUGAAUCGAGUUGGUCUUAUUAUUGGUGCUUUAUUGACGUAAUCUAAUGGUAGUGAUGGUAUUAGAUCGAUUUAUUGGCAACGGUAAUCCAAUUGCCUGAACAAUAUAUACAGAAAAUAGUUUAGACCAUUAAAUUAUGAUAAUAAGUUCAUUUUUUUUUCAAAAACACUUUUACUAAAUCCAAAAACAUGUAGAGAAUAACAAAAAAAGCUGCAAAUAAAACUUUAUUCUCAUAUUUUUAUGAAAAAUAGAGCACUCAUUAAUCUGUUGGCAUGAACUCGAAAUUAUAGAACUAUAACAUAUUCUAUUUGAAUCAAUUAUAUAAAUACAUUAAAUUAUAAUUAUUUUUUAAUAACCCAUGUUCCAUAAGGUCCGACUUGCACAUGCUUGCCAUCCUCUUGUUACAAGAUAUAGUCAUACAGACGUUCUUACUCGAAUAAUAAAGUUAGAAAAACUUAAAGAUAGUAGAUACACCAAAUCCUAGUACAUAAAGAAAACAACUAAUAUCAAGUGUUUCAAUAUCUCAAAAUGUCAAGUUGAAAAAUAACUUAGAAACCCUUUAAAAGUUGUUAGGUUCUUCUAAUUAAAGCUUAAGUAAGCACCACAUAACCAAAAAAAAAAUAAGCAGAAUGACCAAAACAUAACCUUAAUAUAUCUCUGAUAGAAAGGACUUAAUCUUAUACAAUAAAAUGAAAGAUCAAAUAACAACGAUAUCAAAGCUACUGCCUUUUUGGAUCAUAACCAUGGAACUUUUUCGGUACAACAAAAUUAAAGGAAAGAUCACAUAAUUACCAUAUUAAAGCAGCUAGUCCAUUUUUCAGUAGUCAAGAAUUAUAUUUAUAUAGUUUAAAGGGUUCUCAACAUCAACGUCACCUCUACCACCACCAUGUUUGACAAAUUCAGUUGGAAUAAAAAAACUAGCAUGACAAGCACAAACUAUCUUCAAAUCUUCUCUCUUCGUAAAGGAGUAUAACAAGUAUCCUUUCGUCUUCUUUCCAUUUAGUCCGUCAUAGAAAACAGAAGGCAUCUUGUACAAGAAUUUUCUCAGCUUCUCUCCAACUUCUUUAGCACUUUUCCCUGACAACAUUUAUUAUUUUUCAUUAGUAGCUUCGAGAAACUUGAAAAGGCUAAUCGAUACAUUUUUUUGUGAACUUACACAAUUCUUUUUAGUUGAGUAAAUAAAGAGUGUUUCAACAAAAGAAUAAAAAGGAAGAAUUUUUUUUUACAUAGAUUAGGUGGUUGUUGGGUUUCAAAUCAGUCAAACUUGAAGCAACACUUCCUUGUAAUCCACGUGAAAACAACAAAGAAUAAUUUCCAUUAGUUAUUGACAAUGAACGGUUCAAUAUCUUCAUUUUUUUUUGAGUUAAUGCCCAAAUUACCAAUUAAUGAAGGCCCUAAAUUCAACUUCACAUUCCUUGAAUUUUCUCCAGCUAUGUCCAUGGUAGGAAAAUCAAAAAAAAAAUGAGAGUUACUGAAUUUCAAACUAAAAAUAUUACAACAUGGAUAUAGAAAAAUUUCUUAAAAAUUUCAGGACGAAGAAACCAUUAGACCCUUUAGCAUAUUAUAAAGGAGAAGAUUGCAGAGCGCAAAGGUAGAAAAAAUGUGAAAGACUCUUGUAUCCCACUAGGAUGAGAAAACAUGUGAAAGACUCUUGUAUGAAUACCAUGACCCAUAUUUUUUGUUUUUUGUUUUUUUCUUUUUUUUUUCUUUUUGUUACUUUUUUUUCCUUUUGUUUUGUUUUGUUUUUUGUUUUAAGUUGUAAAUUUCUUUUGUAACCCUUUUUAACCACUUUUAUAAAAAGAGGAAAAGGUUAAUUAAAUGUUAAUUUUUUACUUUAUUUUAUUGGAAAAAUUUAUUAUAUGUUAUAUUAUCUGAUUACUUUUUACUUUUGGCAUUACUAACCUGAAUAACAUAAACAAUAUAAAUCUCACUAGUUAAGAAUAUAAUUAUGAGACUUUUCGUGAGUUUUUUAAAGAAGUUGUCAAUCGUGCAAAAUUUUGGUCCAAAUAUACAUGUAUUUCGGAUAAACGAGGUUCGAAAUUGGUUGUAAAAAUCCAAUUGUAUUUUCAUGUCUCUGACUAUCUCGCCCGCUUCUUUUCCAAUCUAUAAUGUAUCUGAUAGAGAAAAUACAUAUAUCUAGUGUAUCUACUUUAAAAUCUGAUAUGAAACUAUUAAUUAGAAAGACAUUAUGUAAUUAUUUCAAACUAUAGGGAUAGUAGUAAGUUAAUAAUGUAAGAAUGUUUUUCGUAAUUAUGAAGAUUUUCAAUUUAUUACUUCCUUUAUCCAUGUUAAGUGAAUUUUUCGAAUAUGACAUACUCCUUAAUAAAAAUAAUUUAGUUCAUAACUAAUUGAAAUGCUACUUUCCACAAUUGUUCUUAAGAUCAUUUUCAAAUUAUUCUCCUAUAAAAUGUAAAGUAGUUAAGAACCUCAUUAAAUGAAGGAUAUAUAUGAAAUUUCCCAACAUUUCUCUUAAGUUUCUAUCAACUCACUUACUUUAAAAUUCUCAAAAAUUUACUCAAUAAAGACAAAAUUAAUAAAUUUAUAUCUUUUUUAACAAAUUCUGAUAAACUGGCCACAACGAUUUUGUGUUAAUGGUGUAGGAAUUAACGAGUUUAAAGAUUUUUAAAUUAGGUUUGCUUGCUAAAUUUGAAAAAUAAUGUGUUAAAUUGUUUUAUUUCUAUUUUAGGGUUUAGGGUUAACUAAUUUAAAAUAUUUUUUAAGUUUUCAGGUUAGAUAUUUAAAUUCUUGAUAUUGAAUUUAUAGAUUAAGAGGUGGAGGAAGAAAAGGAACGUAUCUAACAUAUCAAGGGUUAAGUGGAAUGAAUCUCAGGAAAUGGAGGAGAAAUUAAGGACCAUGGGGAUUGAGGAUAGUAAUAAGGAUUCUAAUAGUAGUGAAACUAGUUGCACUAGAAUGAAGUACUUAAAGAAGUGUUGAAAUCUCGUUGGGUAUAUGUCACGACCUAAAUCGGGCCGCGACUGGCACCCACACUUAUCCUACUAUGUGAGUGAACCAACCAAUCUAACCCAAUCAUUUACCAAUAAUAACAGAAAAUAAUGCGGAAGACUUAAACUCAUUAAUGAAAAUCAAUUAAAUAACUUCUAAAAACUCAACAACAUUCAUUAUCCCCAAAAUCUGGAAGUCAUCAUCACAAGAACAUCUACUUCAAAUUACUAAAUCUAAGAGUGUCUAAGAAGAUAAAAUACAUAAAAAUCUAGUCCAUGCCGUAACUUCAACGCAUCAAGACAUGAAGAGGAAGAUCCAGUCCAAGCUAGAAACAUUUGCUCACCCUGAAAUCUGGAGUAAUGAAGACUGGCUAGAGUUGCGGUUAAGUUGAAGACGACGGCACGUUUGCUGCACUCCACAAAUAAUUAAAAAGAAAACAUGCAAGUAGGGGUCAGUACAAAACACAGGUACUGAGUAGAUAUCAUCGGCCAACUCAAAAUAGAAAACAGUAUAUAUCAGAUAAUACAUAAAAUCAACUACAAUACUCAACAUGCGGCAUUUACAAUUACCAUAACCCUUGGUCGCGACACCAAGCACAUCAAUGAGGACUCACGCCUCCUCCUCAUACUCAUUUGGGAAUUAGGUUCAUUAGAUUGAGUAUAUUAACAUCUUUCAAGAUUCAUUAUCUUUAUUCCUCUCGUGUCGGUACGUGACACUCCGCUCCUCAUAUACUAUCCUGGUGUCGGAACCUGACACUCCGAUCCUAAUUCUACCCUGGUAUCGGAAUGUGACACCCGAUCCAUAUUCUAUCCUGGUACCAAAACGGGGCACCCGAUCCAUAUACUAUCCUGGUGUCGGAACGUGACACUCCGAUCCUCAUAUAUUAUCCUGGUACCGAAAUGUGGCACCUGAUCCAUAUACUAUCCUGGUGUCGGAACGUGACACUCCGAUCCUCAUAUACUAUCCUGGUAUCGGAACGUGGCACCCGAUCCAUAUACUAUCCUGGUACCGAAACGUGGCACCCGAUCCCCUAAUCUCACUACUUUCGUUCAUCGAGCCUUGUUUUACACUAAGGCAUCAUCAUUAACAAAGUAGACUAGGGUUUCUCAAGAUUUCGGAUUCAAUAGCCUCAUCAUACGUAUUUUAUCACAAUUACAUAAUCACAUUCAUGCAAGCAUACAAUUAAGCAUAUAGAAGGGUUUACAACACUACCCAAUACAUAUCAUUCGCUAUUAAGAGUUUACUACGAAUAGCAUAAAAACCAUAACCUACCUCCACCGAAGAUUAGUGAUCAAGCAAGCAAAUUCCCCAAAGCUUUGUGUUUUCCUCUUCUCGUUCGAUCCUCUCUCUCUCUUUGUUCUUUCUAUUUUCUUUAUUCAAACCCUCUUUCUUUUACCCUAAUUAGCAUAUAAUUAAGAAUAAAAGAUGGCAAUAAUAACCCACUAAUUUACUCAAGGUUACCUCUUUUAACCCCCAAGUAAUUAGACUUAUUAACAUUAACCCACUAACUUUAUAAUUAAAGCAGGAAAAGUCAAAAACGUCCCUUAAAACAUUAAAGAAAUCCGACUCCGCCUGGGAUUACGCAGCCUGUGACGGCCCGUCGUGCCUGCGAUGGUCCGUCCUGCUGCUCCGUCACAGAGUUCAGAGACUCAAUUCCCUUAAAGAGUCUGUGACGGUCCGUCACGCCUGUGACGAUCCGUCUUGCCACUCCGUUAGGAAGUUCAGAGAGUCGAUUUCAAUACCCAUUUUUUAGAAUUUCUAAGUGUUUUGAAACGAGACCCACUCGACGGUCCGUUGUGCCCAUGACGGUAUGUCGUGGGAUCCGUCGUCUCAGCCAGUUUUCCAGAAAUAACAUCUGUUGCUCAAAACGACUAAAUAGGUCGUUACAAUAUAGGCUCAUUAAGUAAAAAAAAGGAGGAUUUUGAGAUCUAAAUUAAGUGAAGUAUAUCAAAACAAGAAGAUAGAGAUAUUGAUGGGAAAUACACAUUCUCAUAAAAGGAAGCAAAAUCUAAGAUUAGAAUCAUAAACCAAGCAAAUCAAUAUUUAUAUUAUAAAUGCAACAAAAUAAGUGAUAAACUGGACAUUUUUUUAUCAUCAUCAUCAACUACUUAUAACAUAAGUUUUUGCUUGUUUAGUGUCACCUUCAUUUAUUAUAUCAAUCAAAAUUUUACAAAAUACAUCAUUUAUAAUUGACAUUGAACAUCACCCCCUCAAUGUUGUGCCUUGCCAUUUUUCUUUCAGUUACAAAAUAUUAAUUCUUUCACGAGAUUUUUUUACACAUUCAAAUCACUUGUUGAUUUACUUUAAUCUCUAGAAUCAUAAAAAAAAGUUUCUUUUUCUUAAUCCAUUUAGAAAUGAUUGUUUUUCUUUUUCUAUUGAAAUGUGAUAUUCAACUCUGACUUACCUCUUGACCUAAAGGUAGGUCUUUUUUAUUUUAUUAUUAUUCAUAACAUAAUGAUAUUAACAACCAAAUGGAAAGAAAUAUAAAGAAUAACCUCCUUUUAGAUCUUAGGACAAGAAAUAUUCUAUCCUAUUAAGAUUUUGAUCUAGAAAUUUUAACAAAACAAAACAACUAUACUAAUGCAUGUAAACUACAAUUUAAUGCAUACUAAAAAAUAAAAUUAUUUGUGAGUAAUUCAUGACCAGGCUAUCAGAUUUUUAUUUGGAAUUGUCAUGUACAUUCAUACUUAAUUAAUUUUCUAAUAAGGAAUCAAAAAAUGAAACACAAUAAAUGAAAAAAAGAAUAUCAUCAAUUAGUUCGUUCCUAUGUUCUAGAUCACAUAUAUAAAAUUCCACCCUUAACUCUAAAUUCUAAAUUUAUUGAGACUCAAAAACAUAAAAAAUCAUCCAUAUAUUCCAACAUAAAAAAUAGCAACAUGACACAACACAAUAUCAAAUAAAGUAGUAAUUUAAAAAAUAAACUUAAAAUAUUCUAAAACACUUAAAAAUAAACCCGAACACAUAAAGAACAUAAUUAAUUUAAGGAAUUUUAGCACGUACCUUCAAAAUUUAUUACGAAAUGAAAACCCUAUGUUAAAGAGAAAACUUACAAACCCUUAAAAAAAUAACCCCAAACCCUAUAAUUAACACAUAAAUACUACAACUGAUACGAGAAAUAACAAUAUAUUACAUAAUCAAAAAGGAUGAUUAGAAAAUGUCAUCUUUACGACAUUUAAUCCUAAAACUGAGCAUCUGGGCAUUUUCCAGGAAGAUUGAGCCAUUAAUAUGUGAAAAAAGGACUAAAAUACACAUUUUAUUUUAUUAUUAUUUCUAAAAUAUUUUUACCAUUUUUAAAAAAUUACAAUAAUCAAUCAAAUAUAUCUUUAUCUCCUCUCGGGUAUAUCCCUCCCCUGUCAGAUACAUCUCUUCCAUUAAGUAAUGCAUCAUUCACAAUCAGUUAAUUAUGUAUCCACUGUUUCCAAUGUAUCUGAUAUCUUAUAAUAAUUUAAAGAAUUUUUUGUAAUUUGAGAAUCAAUAGGGAUGUGUUAUAAUUAGCUCUCAACACUAUAAAAUUUAUGUAAUUUUACAAUAUACCACAUAGCAAUUCAUUAAAAUUAUUGUAGAUGGUUGAUAUGUUAAUCAUUAUGGCCCAUUUUGUUAAAUAGUCCGCUACUUUGUGGACUUCUCUAAGAUAGUGAGUGACAUUAACAUCAUUCUUAUUAAUUUCGAACGAUAGUUUCUUUCAGAAAAAUAAUUUUAAACCCCCUAUAAAAAGUUAAAACUCCAAAGCUUAAUUAACACAUAACUAUUGAAAAUCUUACAAGAGAGGGAAAAAAACACUUUUAUAGGGAUAAUUAGAAAUUGACAAUAUCUAGACAAGCUAGGCAAGACAAAUGAAUUGCUUAGUUUACUGGUCAUAAAUUAUGCAAAUUAAUUCUAAAAAACUUAUUAUACAGCCCUAUUAGUUACAUAGUGAAAUAGUUGCUUUGAAUUUGUGAUAGAAGAAUUUCCUAACAAUAUAUACAAAAAAUAAGAGAUAUUUAAAGAUAGUUUCGGUUACCAUUAUAAGUACAUAUUUUUUCAAAAAACUUUCAUUACAUUCAAAAACACGUAGAAAAUAAGAGAAUUCUACAAAUGAAACUUUAAUCCUUCAUAUUAUCUAUGAAACAUAGAGUACUCAUCAAUCCAUUUGUCUGAAUUCGAAAUUGUAGAACUAUAAGAAACUCUAAUCAGAUCAAUUAUUUAAAUCAAUCCAAUUAUAAUAAUUAUUUUUCUAACUCAUUUUUCAUAAGGUUCGUACUUGCAUAAGCUUGUCAUCCUUGAAAAAUAUCUGAGAAAUACUUCAAACAUGUUAGUUGCUUCUAAAUAAAUCUUAAAUUAACAUUGCAUAGAAAAAAAGAAUAAGUAGAAUGACCAAAAAAUAACCUUAAUAUAGUUUUGAUGGAAGAGACUUACUCUUCUACAACAAAAUAAAAGAUCAAAUAACAACGACAUCAAAGCUAAGACCUUUUUGGGCAAUAGCUAUUGAACUUAUUUAGUACAACAACAAAAGAAAAGAUCAAAUAACAAUCAUAACAAAGCAACUAGUCCAUUUUUAAGGCAAGAACUAUAUCUAUAUAUUUUAAAGGGUUUUCCAUGUCACCUCCACCACCAUGUUUCACAAAUUCAGCGGGGGUUAGAAAAUUAGCAUGACAACUACAAACUAUCUUCAGAUCUUCUCUCCUCACAGACGAGUAUAAUAAGUAUCCUUCAGUCUUCUUUCCAUUUUGUGAGUCAUAAACAACACAAGGCAUGCUGUGCAAGAAGUACCUCAGCUUCUCUCUGACUUCUUGAGCACUUUCCCCUGACAACACCCGUGAUUUCUCAUUAAUAAUUUUGAGAAUCUAAUCGUUACCAUUUUUCGUGAACUUACACUUAUUUUUUAAUUCAAGUAAAUAAAAAGUAAAAAGGAACAAAUAUUUUAUACAUUGAUUAGGUGGUUGUUGGGUUUCAAGAAGUCAAGAAACACUUCUUUGUGAUCCACUUGAUUCACCUGAAAAUAACAAAGAAUAAUUUUCAUUAGUUAUUAACGAUGAAUGAUUCAAUAUCAUAAAUUUCUUAGGUCUAAACUCUCAAAUUACCGUUCAAUAAACACACUACAUUCAGAUCCACAUUCCUCAUGUUUUCUCAAUUUUCUUCAAUUUUCUCCAUAUUAGCAAAAUCAAAAAAAAUUGAGAAAGAUUGAAAUUCAAACUAAAAAAUUAUUAAAUGGACAUAGAAAACUCAAUGAAAGCUUCAGGGAGGAGAAACCAUUAGGAAAUUUAGGAGAUUAUAAAAUUAAAGGAGUAACUUCCAGGGUGCAAAGGUAGAAAACAUGUGAAUCUAUGGGUAGCUAAUCAAAAGUGACACCUGUUAAUUGUAAAUUCAUUUUUACAACUUAGGAAAUUGCUCCCAAAAGGUACUGAUCAAAAGUGACAUGCGUGUUAAUUGUAAAUUCAUUUUUAUAACUUUUUUAUGACUUUAAAAAUAGGAAAAGGUUAAGUAAAUGUAUUUUUCUAUUUUAUUUUAUUGGAAAAUUUUAUUAAAUGUUAUAAUAUCUGAUUAUUUUUACUUUCGGCAUUACUAACCUAAAUAAGGUAAACAACAUAAAUCUCACUAGUUAAGAAUUUAAUUAUGUGCUUUUCGUGAGUAUUUUUGAAAGUAUCGUUUGUGCAAAAUUUUGGUUCUUAUAUACAUGCAUUUCGGAUAAAUGCGGUUCAUAAUUAUUUUUAAUUUAUUCUAGAUAUACUAUAUUCAAGUGUAUAUGCAAGGCUAAUCUGACUCUCUCGCCGGCCUGUUUCCCUAUUUGUAUUUCAUAAUAUAUCCAAAAGCAAAAUACAUGUAUAUAAGUGUAUUUAAUUUGAAGUCUUUUAUAUAUAUAUAUAUAUAUAUAUAUAUAUAUAUAUAUAUAUAUAUAUAUAUGUUAUCACCAUAUGGUGGUGAGAUUUUUAUACUGAUGAAUAAAGUUACAAAGGUAAGAAGAGCUUAAGCUCAACCUAUUGUUUCAGUAGCUGCUUCGCUAAACGUAAGGUUCUAACAAAACUAUUCAAGUUUUGCACAAACAUACAAGAUCAGUACUAUACAAAAUAAUUGUCUCAGGGACUCUAAUUGUAUGAGAUCAAGUUUGUAAGUCUGUUGACUAUCGAAAGUAGGUGAGCCUGUGCAGAAAUAAACAACUCCUUAUUUAUAAAUUAUUAAUUUAUGAGACAAUAAUAAUUAUUUCAAACUAUAAGAAGAAGAUUAAUAAGGAAUGAAUUUUGUGCAAUUAUGUAGUUUUUUCAACUUAAUACUUUCUCUAGUACAGUUAAUUAAGUGUAUUGUUGAAAUAGGACACAUUCUUAAGAAAAAUAGUUUAGUACAUAACUAAUUAAAAUACUACUUUCCACUAUUGUUAUUUAGACUAUUUCAAACUAUUCUCCUAUAAAAUGUAAAGUAGUUAGAAAACCUCAUUAAAUGAAGGAUAAAUAUGAAACAUGUCCCAACAAUUCUCUUAAACUUGGAACAAUUCACUUAUUUCAAACUAUGAAAAAUUAUUAACAAUUCAACUAGAAAAAAUAAUAAAUAUAUCGUGUUUAACAAAUUCUCAUAAAAUGGCCACGAUGAUUUUGUGUUUAUGGUGUAGGAGGUAAUGAGUUUAAGGGUUUCAGAAUUAGGAUUGCUUGUUAAAUUUUAAAAAUAGUGUUAAAAUUAUUUUAUUUAUAUCUUAGGAUUUGGGAUUAAGUAAUUUAAAAUAUUCUUACUUAAAGUUUACAAGUUACGUAUUUAAAUCCAACUUAAAUUCCUGUUAUUUGAUUUAGAGAUUAGGAGGCGGAGGAAGAAGAUUAACAUAUCUAUCGUAUCAAGGAUUAAGUGGAAUGACUUGACUACUCUGAGAGCUUAGGAGAUGGAGGAGAAAUAUAUGAACUAUAAUGUUAUUUUUACCCUUUAUAUUAUGGUACACUAAUGAUGUACAUAUGUUGUGGUACACUAAUGAUGUACGGAAUAUUUCAUUCGUUGUUUUAGCCUUAGUAGAUUUGUCUAUUGGGUUCGAGAUGUUAGAAAUAAUUAUUUGUUUGAUUUCUUGACGCACACUUAGUGGACGAGGAUAAUGUAUUAUUGUCAACACAUCUACAAUAAUUCUAUUGACUAUCAUCUCUGAUUCCUUUAAAGAGUCUCCACGCUAGCUGGCUAGCAUAGCUUUUGUCACGACCCAAAACAAGCCGCGAGUGGCACCCACACUUUUUCUAUUAUGUGAGCGAACCAACAAAUCUAAACACCAACAUUUACCAACAUUUCAACCAUAAUGAACAAAAUAUAACGCGGAAGACUAAAAAAAAUCAUUAACAAAAAUCGAUUAAAUUACUUCUAAAACUCAAUACUUAUUAUUCCAAAAAUCCGGAACUCAUCACCACAAGAACAUUCUAUCCUCAAAUUACUAAAUCUAAGAGUAUCUAGGAAGCUAAAAUAAGUAAACAGAUGGUCCAUGUCCGAACUUCAAGGACAUCAAGACAUGAAUGAGAGAGAAUCCAGUCCGAGCUAGGAACAAUAGCUCACCCUGAAAUCUGACGUGAUGAAGACUGGCUAGAGUUGAGGACGAGUUGAAGUCGAUGGCACGUUAGCUGCACUCCACAAAUAACAAAGAAGAAAAUUACAAGUAGGGGUCAGUACAAGGCACAAGUACUGAGUAGGUAUCAUCGGCCAACUAAAAAUAGAAAGCAAUAUAUAUCAGAUAAUAACAUAAAAUCAACUACCAUACUCAACUGGCGACAACAACAAGUACCAUAACCAUUGGCCACAACCCAAGCACAUCUAUGAGGACUCAAGCCUCCACACCAUACUCAUUUGGGGAAUAGGUUCUUUAAAUUUGAGUAUAUUAACAUAAUUCAAGAUUCAUUCUCUUUAAUAUCCUGGUGUCGGAACGUGACACCCGAUCCCCUAAUUCCUGGUGUCGGUACGUGACACUCUGAUCCCCUAGUUUUACGUGUCGGUUCGUGACACUCGAUCCCCUAAUUCUACGUGUCGGUUCGUGACACCCGAUCCCCUAAAUUCUACGUGUCGGUUCGUGACACCCGAUCCCCUAAUCUCAUUCUUUUAGUUCAUCAAGCCUUCUUUUAUACCAAGGCAUCAUCAUUCACAAAGUGGAUUAAGGUUUUUAACAUUUCCACAGUAUCAUCAUUAUAAUCCAUCACCAUUUACAUAAUCACAACAUGCAACAACAUAACUAAGCAUAUAGAAGACUUUACAAUACCACCCAACACAUAUCAAUCGCUAUUUAGAGUUUACUAUGAAAUAGCAUAAACCAUAACCUACCUCCACUGAAGAUUCGUGAUCAAGCAAUCUACUUCUCCAAUGCUUUUUGCUUUCUCUUCGUUCUUCUUUCUCUCUCGCUCGUUCUCUCUUCUUUUCUUUUUAAUUUUUUCCUCUUUCAAAUUCUCUUUGUUUUACCCUAAUUACCAUAUAAUUAAGUAUAAAAGAUGAUAAAAGUAACUCACUAUUUAUUUUAAGGUUAUCUCCUUUAACCCUCAAGUAAAUAAGUUAUUAAACUUACCCACUAAUUUCAUACAUUUUGACAUAAAUAGUCCAAAACACCCCUUUAAAACUUUAGCAGAAAUCCGACCCAGUCAAGGUUACGCAGCUCGUGAUGGCCCGUCAUGCCUGCUACGGUCCGUUCUGCUGUUUCUGUCACAAAGUUCAGAGAGUCGAAUUCAUUAAAGAGUCUGUGAUUGUCCGUCGUGCCUACGACGGUCCGUGCUGCUCUUCCGUCGAGAAGUUCAGAGUGUUGUUUCCCCGUACCCAAAUUUCAGAGUUUAAGUGUUUUGGGACGGAGACCCUCGAUGAUCCGUCGUGUGGUCUGUCGACACAGUCAGUUAUUUUCAAAACUAAACUUUACUGCUCGAAAAGACUAAACAGGUGGUUACAAUAGAUACCAAUUUACCCAUCGUUCGUCCUCGAACGAUCACAAGAAGAAAAACAAGGGCGAGAAAGAGUACCUGAAUCUGUGAAAAGGUGUGGAUAUCUUUCUUGCAUAUCAACCUCCUUCUCCCAAGUGGACUCUUCAACUGGCCGAUUCUUCCAUUGAACCUUGAUGGAUGCAAUCUCCCUUGAUCUCAACUUGCGGACUUCUCUAUCUAAAAUGGCAACAGGCUCCUCCUCAUAAGACAAAUUCUCAUCAAGAAAAACUGAAUCCCAACAAAUGAUGUAAUUUCCAUCCCCAUGGUAUCUUUUCAGCAUAGACACAUGAAAUACCGGGUGCACACCUGAGAGUCCUGAGGGCAAGGCUAAUUCAUAAGCUACCUCCCCCACGCGCUUCAGAACUUCAAAUGGACCAAUGUACCUCGGACUAAGCUUACCUCGCUUACCAAACCGCAUCACCCCUUUCAUGGGUGAAACCUUCAGCAAGACUUGUUCACCCUCCAUAAAAUCCAAGUCUCUAACCUUUCGAUCUGCAUAUUCCUUCUGUCUACUUUGAGCCGCUAAAAGAUUUUCUUGAAUGCAUUUCACUUUAUCUAACGAUCCCUCAGAAGGUCAGUACCCCAAGGUCUAACCUCAAAUGCAUCAAACCACCCAAUGGAAGACCUAUAUCUUUUCCCAUACAGUGCCUCAAAUGGGGCCAUAUCAAUACUUGAGUGAUAGCUAUUGUUGUAUGAGAACUCUGCUAAGGGUAAGAAGUUAUCCCAAUGACCACCAAACUCUAUCAGACAUGCACGAAGCAUAUCAUCCAAAACCUGAAUCGCUCGCUCAGACUGACCAUCGGUCUGAGGGUGAAAUGCAGUACUAAGAUCCAACCUAGUACCUAAUUCAACAUGCAAUGUUUUCCAAAACUUAGAAGUAAACUGCGUACCUCUAUCUGAUAUAAUGGAAAGUGGAACUCCGUGAAAUCGAACAAUUUCUGAGAUAUAAAGUUUGGCUAACUUCUCUGCAUUGUAAGUCACCUUAACCGGAACGAAGUGAGAAGACUUAGUUAAUCUGUCAACAAUCACCCAAAUAGAGUCAUACUUACCCAUUGUCUUUGGAAGACCAACCACGAAGUCCAUUGCAAUUCUCUCCCACUUCCAUUCAGGAAUGGGCAUUCUCUGAAGUGUCCCUCCAGGCCUAUGGUGCUCAUACUUUACCUGCUGACAAUACGGGCAUUGAGCAACAAAAUCAACAAUGUCACGCUUCAUCCUACUCCACCAAAAAUGUUGCUUUAGGUCACAUUACAUCUUGGUUGCACCAGGAUGUAUAGAAUACCUUGAACUAUGAGCCUCUGUAAGAAUAGUGUGAAUCAAAUCAUCGACGCGGGGUACACAUACCCUUCCCUUAAUUCUCAAUACACCUUCCUCAUCGAUUUUUGCUUCUUUAGCCUCUCCUCGCGAUACCGUAUCUCAAAUCCAGAUCAGUUUCUCAUCAGUAAACUGCUUUCCCUUAAUCUUGUCAAGAAAGGAAGAUUUUGCCUCCACACAGGCAAAAAAUCCUCCCUUCUCUAGUACUUCCAGCCUCAUAAAGUCAUUAGCCAGAGUCUAAACCUCUGUAGCCAAUGGGCGUCUAGAAACCUGCAAGUGAGCUAGACUUCUCAUGCUUCCUGCCUUUCUACUUAAAGCAUUCGCCACAACAUUAGCUUUUCCCGGAUGAUACAAGAUAGUGAUAUUAUAGUCCUUCAGUAGUUCCAUCCACCUCCUCUGUCUCAAAUUCAAAUCUUUCUGAGUAAAGACAUACUGUAAACUACAAUGAUCCGUAUAGACUUCACACUUAACCCCAUAUAGAUAAUGUCUCCAUUGCUUUAAUGCAAACACUACUGCAGCCAACUCCAAAUCGUGGGUCGGAUAAUUACGUUCAUGCACCUUUAAUUGCCUCGAAGCAUAAGCAAUUACAUUCUUCUCUUGCAUUAGCACUGCACCCAAACCAGAAUAGGAUGCAUCACAGUAAAAAAUGAAAUUCUUACCUUCCACUGACAGGGUAAGAAUUGGUGCAGUAGUCAACAAAGUCUUGAGCUUCUGAAAGCUUUCUUAACACUCGCCCGACCAUACAAAUGGAACACUCUGCUUAGUCAAGUUUGUCAAUUGGGAAGCAACAGAAGAAAAUCCCUUGACAAAUCGGCGGUAGUAGCUAGCUAAACCAAUGAAGCUCCUUACCUCUGUAACAUUAGUAGGUCUCACCCAACUCUUCACUACUUCGAUCUUAGAAGGAUCCACCAUUACUCCAUCCUUAGAAACUACGUUCCCCAAGAAGGACACUAAAUCUAGCCAAAACUCACACUUGGAGAAUUUGGCAUAAAGUUUUUUCUCCCUCAACAUUUCAAAUACAAUUCUCAAGUGCUCCUCAUGUUCUUUCCUGCUCUUGGAGUAUACCAGUAUAUCAUCAAUGAAUACAAUGACAAAGAGAUCCAGAUAUGGCUUAAAAAUCCCGUUCAUCAAGCUCAUGAAAGCAGCAGGGGCAUUCGUAAGCCCAAAAGACAUUACUAAGAACUCAUAAUGUCCAUACCUGGUCCGAAAAGCAGUUUUUGGCACAUCCGUUGCCCGUAUUUUCAAUUGAUGAUAACCAGAUCUCAAAUCGAUUUUUGAGAACGUACAAGCACCUUGUAACUGAUCGAACAAAUCAUCGAUGCGAGGAAGAGGAUACUUGUUCUUAAUAGUUACCUUAUUCAGUUGUCUGUAGUCUAUGCACAUCCGAAAAAUUCCAUCUUUCUUCUUCACAAACAAAACAGGAGCACCCCAAGGGGAAGCGCUUGGUCUAAUGAAGACUUUGCCUAACAACUCUUGAAGUUGGGCCUUUAACUCCCUUAACUCAGCGGGAGCCAUUCUAUAAGGGGGUAUGGAAAUGGGGCGAGUACCCGGCUCCAGAUCAAUGCAAAAGUCAAUAUCCCUAUCCGGUGGCAUACCAGGAAGGUCUGUAGGAAAUACAUCCAGAAACUCACGGACUAUCGAAACCGACUCAAUUGAAGGUACUUGGGUAGUAUCAUCCUUGAGGUAUGCCAAGAAAGAUAAACACCCUUUACUAACCAUUCUCUUAGCACGAAGAAAGGAGAUGAUACGAAUUGGAGUGAAGUGUAGUCACCCUCCCAUACUAACGGAUCUGUCCCAGGCUUGGCCAACGUUACAAUUUUAGCAUUACAAUCUAAGAUUGCAAAAUUUGGAGAAAGCCAAGUCAUACCCAGAAUCACAUCGAAGUCAACCAUUUCUAGGAUAACCAAGUCUACAUGAGUAUUGCUCCCCACAAAAGCUACAAGACAAGACCUAUACACCUUUUCAACUAUCACAGACUCACCCACCGGAGUAGAAACACGAAUAGGCAUGUCAAGCAAAUCACAAUGUAAAUCAAAACCAGUAGCAAAUGAGGAAGAUCAUAUGAAAAUGUGGAGCCAGGAUCAAAUAAUACAGAAGCCAUGCAAUCACAAACCAAAAGAUUACCUGUGAUAACAACAUCAGAUGUCUCCGCUUCAGACCUCCUAGGGAAAGCAUAACAAUGGGCCCUAUCACCUGUCUGCCCGUUGCCCCUACCAUGUUGCGCUGCAGUAGUUCAAGUUUUCCCGCCACCCCAGUUGAUUUGGUGACCUCCAUUACCUUGGCCACCCCAUCCUCCAGAAUAGCGGUCUUUUCCAUGACCACCUCUAUCUCUGACUAUUGGGGGUCUGUAACUCUGUUUUGGACAAUACCUCCUUAUAUGUCCAGUCUCCCCACAUCCAUAACACUCUCUGGGUUCAAGCAUAGGUCUCUAUGAGAACGACGGAGUCUGGGGAUAACCCCCAAACUCAGAGAAGUGUUGACCGGUCUGCGGUGGACCCCCAACUACAGCCUGCAGUGAGGACUGAACAGGUCGGGCUGGGUAACCUCCUGAACUCUGCCCUCUGGAGUAAGACCCACCAAACUCACCUCCCUUAUGAAACUUCUUAGGUGUCGAUGCCAUGGUGAAGUCGUCUGGCUUCACUCCCUCCACUUCUAUCACAAAAUCUACCACCUCCUGAAAGGAUUUUGCUGCAGUAGCUACCUGUAAGGCUGGAAUCUGCAAAUCUGACCUCAAUCGCUUCACAAAAUGGUGAAUCCGCUCUUGUGGACUGAAGCAAAGUGGCAUACUGGGAUAAUGCACGAAACUUAGCCUCAUAAGUAGUAACCGACAUCCCGCCUUGCUCUAGGCUCAGGAAUUCAUCCCUCCUCCUAUCCCUCAAGGUCCGGGGUAUAUACUUCUCCAUAAACAAGCUAGAGAAUGAUGCCCAAGUCAUAGGUGGUGUCUGUGCUGGUUGACACUCAACAUACGAUCGCCACCACAUUUUGGCAUUUCCCUGAAACUGAUAGGUUACAAACUCAACACUGAAUCGUUCCACUAUGCCUAUAUUAUGUAGCAGCUCAUGACAAUCAACCAGAAAAUCAUAGGCAUCCUCAAAUUCAACACCCUUGAAGACUGGAGGUUUCAAUUUCAAGAACUUCGUUAAAAGUUCGUGCUGAUCACUCGUCAUUAUAGGCCCUGUAGUCAAUCGAGUAAACGCGCUUAUUUCCAAUGAGGCAUCCAUGCGGGGAGGCACAACAGCUGGAUGUUGUACUCCCGGAACCUCCGGUGCUGGUGUAGAAAACACUGGAGGCGUUUGGCCUUGAUCGGAUAACCCGCUAAGAUAAGCAAGAACCUGGUUAAUCAUCUCUGGGGUAGGUUGCGGUGGUAAUUCCUCAUUCUGCACUUGCUCAUUCUCCCCUUCCUCACUCUCUCUUAUUACGUCCUCAGUCGGUGGAGGAGUCACCGCCCUAGUACUAGAUGGGCCAGGUGCUUGUCCUCUUCCUCUAGAGGACGUCCUCCCGCGACCUCUACCACAACCUCUUGCCACUGCUCCUCUUCGAGCUACAGCCCCAGUGGCUGGCUCAGACGCAUCUUAUCUUGCCAGUGUUGGUGUUGGCGUGGUUGUUGCUCUAGUUCUAACCAUCUGUGAAAUAGAGUGAAGAUGGUCAGAAACCAAUUUGUAUCACCUAGAUACCAAUUGGAUCUAAGUAAUAGCACGAAAAAAAGAAAGAAUGGAAUUUUCCUAAAGUCCUGUAGCCUCUCAAAGAAAAGUAAAGGCGUCCCCCUGCCGUUCCUCAAGACUCUACUAGACUCGUUCUUGUGUGAUGAGACCAACGAACCUAAUGCUCUGAUACCAAGUUUGUCACGACCCAAAAUGAGCCGCGAGUGGCACCCACACUUAUCCUAUUCUGUGAGCGAACCAACAAAUCUAAACCCCAACAUUUACCAACAUUUCAACCAUAAUGAACAAAAUAUAAUGCGGAAGACUAAAAAAACUCAUUAACGAAAAUCGAUUAAAUAACUUCUAAAACUAAAUACUUAUUAUUCCGAAAUCUGGAAGUCAUCACCACAAUAACAUUCUAUCCUCAAAUUACUAAAUCUAAGAGUAUCUAGGAAGCUAAAAUAAGUAAACAGAUGGUCCAUGUCCGAACUUCAAGGACAUCAAGACAUAAAUGAGAGAGAAUCCAGUCCGACCUAGGACCAAUAGCUCACCCUGAAAUCUGACGUGAUGAAGACUGGCUAGAGUUGAGGACGAGUUGAAGUCGAUGGCACGUUUGCUGCACUCCACAAAUAACAAAGAAGAAAAUUACAAGUAAGGGUCAGUACAAGGCACAAGUACUGAGUAGGUAUCAUCGGCCAACUCAAAAUAGAAAGCAAUAUAUAUCAGAUAAUAACAUAAAAUCGACUACCAUACUCAACUGGUGACAACAACAAGUACCAUAACCAUUGGCCACAACCCAAGCACAUCUAUGAGGACUCAAGCCUCCACACCAUACUCAUUUGGGGAAUGAGUUCUUUAAAUUUGAGUAUAUUAACAUAAUUAAAGAUUCAUUCUCUUUAUUAUCCUGGUGUCGGACGUGAAACCCGAUCCCCUAAUUCCUGGUGUCGGUACGUGACACUCCGAUCCCGUUAUUCUACGUGUCGGUUCGUGAGACCCGAUCCCCUAAUUCUACGUGUCGGUUCGUGACACCCGAUCCCCUAAAUUUUAUGUGUCGGUUUGUGACACCCGAUCCCCUAAUUCUACAUGUCGGUUUGUGACACCCGAUCCCCUUAAUUUUACGUGUCGGUUCGUGACACCCGAUUCCCUAAUCUCAUUCUUUUAGUUCAUCAAACCUUCUUUUAUACCAAGGCAUCAUCAUUCACAAAGUGGAUUUAAGGUUUUUAAAAUUUCCACAGUAUCAUCAUUAUAAUACAUCACCAUUUACAUAAUCACAACAUGCAACAACACAACAAAGCAUAUAGAAGACUUUACAAUACCACCCAACACAUAUCAAUCGCUAUUUAGAGUUUACUAUGAAAUAGAAUAAACCAUAACCUACCUCCACCGAAGAUUCGUGAUCAAGCAAUCUACUUCUCCAAUGCUUUUUGCUUUCUCUUCGUUCUUCUUUCUCUCUCGCUCUUUCUCUCUUCUUUUCUUUUUAAUUUUUUCCUCUUUCAAAUUCCCUUUGUUUUACCCUAAUUGCAUUAUAAUUAAGUAUAAAAGAUGAUAAAAGUAACCCACUAUUUAUUUUAAGGUUAUCUCCUUUAACCCUCAAGUAAAUAAGUUAUUAAACUUAUUCACUAAUUUCAUACAGUUUUCCAUAAAUAUUCCAAAACACCCCUUUAAAACUUUAGCAGAAAUCCGACCCAGUCAAGGUUACGCAGUUCGUGACGGCCCGUCGUGCCUGUGACGGUCGGUCCUGCUGUUUCCGUCACAAAGUUCAGAGAGUCGAAUUCAUUAAAGAGUCUGUGACGGUCCGUUGUGCCUACGACGGUCCGUGCUGCUCUUCCGUUGCGAAGUUCAGAGAGUUGUUUCCCCGUACCCAAAUUUCAGUGUUUAAGUAUUUUGGGACGGAGACCCUCGACGAUCCGUCAUGACCACGACGGUCCGUCGUGUGGUCCGUCGACACAGUCAGUUAUUUUCAAAACUAAACUUUACUGCUCGAAAUGACUAAACAGGUUGUUAACAACAGCUUUAUUCUUGAUGUUGCACCUCUGAACAUACACCACCUUCUUUUUAACAUUUCUGGAGCCCCAUAUAAAAUUUCGUUGAAUUUGGUUCCCCCACCCACCCCCUUUUGGUUAUGUUGGAAGAUAGCUUAGCUAGUGGCAUCAUGUAAGUUGGAUUGUUAUUCAGGGACAAUGUAGCUUGUGUGCUUCUUCUCCCUGUGUUAAGAAAUUUGGUUUUUCAACCGGCGAUCAUGGAUUCAUGUAAGGUACGUAUAUAGAAAUGGAAGACGCAUGUUUAGGAUUUAGGAUGUAGGGUUUAGACAGAGUAAGAGAUAAGAAAGAGUAUAGGCUCGUCAAGUAAAAGAGAGGAGGAUCCUAAAGGUAUAGUAAAAACAAGAAAAUCAUGAAUUGAUAGAAAAGACACACAUGCAUAAAAGGGAGUUAAAUCUAAGAUUAGAAACAUAUACCAACUGAUCAAUAUUUAUAUUAUAUGUACAACCAAAAAGUGAUAAAAUAAUAUAUUUUUUUAUCAUCAUCAUCAACUACUAAUAACGUUUUUGUUAAUUCAAAUAUUUGAGCUUUAAGGAAUACACAAUUAAAUCUGUUAAAUUAGGUCUUAGGCCUAACUCAUACUCGAAAAGCUAGGCUUGAACGAAUAUUUUUUCUUUAAGUAAGUACAUAAAUUAAGGUUUUCCCCCUUCUAAUCUUAAACUAAAGAACACGAAGAGUUGUAGCUAAAUAAUAUAUACCAUAACCAAAUAUGAAUUUGUCAUCUUGGGUUCUUCCACUUGGAGUUCUACGUUCUCCUAUGGUAAAGUUCUUUCUUUUCCCCUAAUUUUCCAUCUUCUACUAUUUGUUUGUAAGAUUUUGUUCAUUUAUAUAUUUUUUCAAAUUAGUCUAUGAUGUGAGAGUAACAAUAAAGUGUAUCGCAAGUUUGACAUCUUCCCUUUAUUUAGGAACACCGAAAAGAAUUUUGAGGAAAAUGAUAAUUCAUAAGGUUAAAAAUAUCAACUUAUCAAGUAUGACUUCUACAUUGUCCUACACUAACUAAGUUUGAUUACCUGAUAUUUACAUGAAUCAAAUUCAUUUCAUUCGACAUUUUUGUAUUUUUUUUAUAACUUAUAUUUGAAUGAUUUGAUUUGUUGCUUUAAAGUUAUACACAAAAUCGAUCUAAUAUUAUAAUUUCACCCUUAUAAUUAAAGGAAGAAAAUAAUAAGAUGAAUUCACGAAGAUUAAGUUGGUAUUAUAUUUUAAAAUAAUAUUUAUUUAACUUUUAUAAAAAAAUUUACUUAUUAACAUAUGUAGUACACGCACAAGGCGCAUCCCCAUAAAUUAAUAAGAUAUAACAACUAGCCCAAUAUACAUUCUUUCUAAAAACCAAAAAUCAUUGGCUUGUGAUACCCCUGGCAUGUACAACUAAAAACAUAUAUUCUAUAUCAACAAAAAAUAUUAUCAGACUAAACAAAAUAUAAAAUUUUAACUCAAAAAAUAAACUUAGAAUUUGGAGUUAGUGGUUUUGGGGGUUUUAUAAGGAAAAUAAUUAAUAUCAGGUGUUUCAAUAAGUGUUUCAACAAUUAGCAAGAAUUGAUCACUCUUUAAGUUGAAAAGUAUCUUUAACCCUUUAAAAAGUUAAACUGCACAAACCUUAAAUCCUUAAUUAACAUACAAAUAUUAAAAAUCUUAACCAAUCAAACAAAAUGAAAAGCAAUUAUAAUGAUAACUUAAUGUGAAAUCAGUCAUUUGAAGAAAACCCUAAGUUAAGUUUAUAUUUGUCAAUUUCAUUAAUCACAAUUUUCUUCUUGGAUAGCAUAUCAAAUACUAAUAAAACAUACAAAUAAAUAAAAGUAAAAAGUAUAUUUGACACUUUCUCCUAUUUAAAAUAAUAAAAUUAAAAGACAAAACAAAUAAUCUAACAUCAAAUUUAUUCGCUUAAAUUAUUUCUCGAGACAAAUGGAUUUUAGUCCAUUUGAACCCUAAAUAGGAAAAGGUUAAAGUCAUUGAACAAUUUAUCUUUCAUGCUCAAUUGUUGUCCAGGGUGUCCAAAACGAAAUGUUUUAGCCGUUAACAAUGAUAACUAUUCUAUAUGCAUGCUAUCAUUUUUCUAACAUAAAAUGUUAAAAAGCUCGAGUGAGCACUAAGUCAUUGUCUAUUUUAUCAUCAACAACAAAAUUAAAUAGCUACAUGUAUUGGUUCUUCCAAGAAGAUGUGCUGAUAACCCUGAUCAUUAUGAUCAGAGCAAGACAAAAUCUUUUAAGAAAAAGCCCAUGUCAUUGGACAUCAAAAUUAGGAUCACAAAAUUAAAAAAAUUAUUUUAAUUCUUAAAUUUUAUAUCAAAUUAAAUUAGAUCACCUUUUUUUAAACCGAGAGAGUAAUUCAUCUCCACCUCUAAAAGAGGACAACAAGCUAAGGCUUGCUUAGUGCCAGAAAUAUUUUGUUGAAUAGAAACUGUUUGUUGCUUCAUAUUAAGCCAAAAAUGGUGAUGCAUAGAAUAACAAAACAAGCGGUAUGCCCGAAAAUUUUUUAUUAUCUUAGAUAGGAGAAACUUAGUUCUGUACAAUAACAAAGGAAAAAUGAAAUAACAACGACAAUAUCAAAGCUAAUGCCUUUAUGGGCAAAAUAGCCAUUGAAUUCAGUCGGUACAACAACAAAAGAAAAAAUUACAUAACAACGAUAUUAAACCUAAUACAGUUUUUCGGCCAAUAGCCAUUGUCACUACAAAGCAUAAUUAAUUAGGAUCGACAUUUAUAAGCCUUAAAGGGUUUUCAACAUCACCUCCACCAGCAUGUUUAACAAAUUGAGCUGGUGUCAGAAAAUGACCAUGACAAAUACAAACAAUCUUUACUUCUCCUCCCCUCUUAUACGCGUAAAAGAAUCCUUCGAUCUUCUUUCCAUUUGGUCCAUCACCUUGGGUGGAAACACCAGGCAUUUUGAGCAAGAAGUUUUUGAGUGCCUCUUUCCCCGAUAAGUGGGGUGAUUGCUCAUUAGUAGCUUCAAUAGGCUCUACUAUCAGAUGCUGCAUUUGCUCCAAUAUGCCAUUAAUUGGAGGUAUCGCAUUAGAACUACCACUUGCACCUGCAAUGGAAGUGCCAUCAACCAAAGGAAAAAAAUAUUUCUUAGUUUUAGACAAAAAAUAAUGAAAAUGGAUAAAUUAAUUAAAUUGAACAACUCAAUUGAGUUUUCGAUUACCUUGAUUAGGUAGGUGUUGUUGAGUUUCAAAACUAGUUCCAGCUGAACCAACACUUCCUACAGAUCCAGAUCCACCAGGUGACGGCAAAGAAGAGGUUCCAUUCCCUUCAUUUAUAACAUUCUUCAGUUUAUCCCAUCUAUUCUGCUGCACAUCCCCGUGCGUCUGUAUCUGGAGGUCCCUUCUUUCCUUCCAAUCUAUCCCAGUCUCCAUUGGUGGCAACGAAGGCGUCCUCAUAGUUAAAAAUGGAUCAUAUUUAUGCAUCCACUCCUCUCCAGUCUCCAUUGGUGGCAACGAAGCCGUCCUAUUAACAGAAAAUGGAUCACUCAUUUUUCCCCAUUCUGUUUGAGUCUCCAUUGACGACAUGGAAGCUAUCCUCAUCACAGAAAAUGAACCAUUGAUUUGCCUCCAUUCCAUCUCAGUCUCCAUUCUAUGCCUGCACUCAAUUUCAGUCUCCAUUCUUCGCCUCCAAUCCAUUUCAUCAUCUAACCUUUUCCUCCACUCGAUUUCAGUAUCCAUUCUUCGCCUCCAAGCCAUUUCAGCCUCCAACCUUUGUCUCCACUCAAUUUCAGUAUCCCUCGGCAACGAAGACAUCCUGGUCACAGAAAAUGGAUAAUUUUGUUGCCUGCGGCACACCACUCCGGACUCCAUCGGCAAAGAAUAUGUCUUGGUAACAGAAAAUGGAUAAUUAUGUUGCCUCCACUCCAUUUCAGUCUCCAUAGGCGGCAACAAAUUCCUUUGCCUCCAGUACUCCAUUUGAGUCUCCAUCGAAGCCCUUGUGUUAAGUCUACACUUACAUCCUCUACAAUCCUUUUUCCUUUGUCUUGAUGAUUAGCUUUCUCCAUUUUAGCAAAGGCUGAAAGAAUCGACAAAGCUAUUGAAUUUCAAACUAAACAAACUUAAUAGGAAAAAAACUCUAUAAAAGUAUGAAGUUGAUUUUCAAUGAUGAAUGAUUGAAGAAACCUUUAGACCUCUAGGAGGUUAUAAAGGAAAACAAAUCAAGUAUGAAAGUGGAAAAAACGUGAAGGAAUCUUAUUUCUGUGCGUUAAGUGAAAAAUAACAAAAAAGCCCCUUGCUACGUGGUUUAAGGAGGGAAUUUGUGAAUUGAUCCAAAAAUACUGUCCGUUGUAAUUAUCUAUUGAGAAACAAAAUCAAACUUUACACGUGUCUGGAAAAUCAAUGCAUGAAAAUUUGUGAAAAGUUUUCACUUUCACACUACGGAUAUGAAAAUUAUUAUUUAUGCAUUUCUGAAAGUUUUUUGGGGCAAAUUUAUAAAUGUUAUAUUAUAUGAUUGUUUUUAGGGAAAAUUUUAUUAAAUGGUAUAUCAUCCAAUUAUUUUAACUCACGGAAUUAUUGAUUUUUUUAAAUUAUUUUCAUAGUUUAUAAUAAAUGAAUUUUUUAAAAUGUAAGAGGAUUGUUGAUUUUUUUUCUUUUAUAGUUAACAUUCUUUUAAGGAGGUUUUUAACUACUUCACAGAUUUAUUAAAAAAUUAUCAAAAACAAUAUGGAAUCAAAAUUUAGUUGGAGUUUUAAUAUCGACCCGAAACACUGGGUGGGAGACAAAAAAUAUAUAUCUAUUAACUAUUGUGGUUUUCAGUUAACAAGAAGAUGGUCAUCUAAGUUAUAUUUUUUAGUUUUAAGAAAAAAAACGUAUCAAUGUUUUGAUUUAUUCUUGAAUAUCAAAAUAAUGAUUUUAUUACUAUGAGUUUCUAUCAUUUUUAAUUUUUUGUUCUUCUAUUCUGAAAAUCACUAAUUGUAUUAGGCUUACUUAAAGCUUUUUUUUUUUCUGAUUUGUUUGUUAUCUACAUUUUUGAAGUUAUUCUUUCUUCUGUUUUGGAGAUCACUAAUGUUAUGAUAUUGUAUCAAUGCAUAUAAUAUUAUUAUCAACGAGUAUAAUAAUAACUUAAAAUAUAUGUAUAGGUAGAUAUUGAACAACUUAUCAUUGUGCUUAUUUCUUUUUAAAAAUAUUAUGAAAUGGAAGACGAUGAAAUAAGGUCAUUAUUAUAAGCUUUGUUAAUGAUCAAUCAAUGUUAUAAGCCUAUUGAGGAUAUUAAGUUAAUUGUUGGUGUUCAAAUGUUCAUAGUAUAAUCCAACACAGUGAGUCACUUUUUAAUUAGAGGUAGGUGAAUCAAUCUAUCUUCGUGAUGUUAAUUUCUUAAUUCAUAUAUUUAGACUUAAAUAACAAUAUAUUUAAUGAUUUCAUAAGUAUUUCGAGAAGGGUAUAAUACACACAAAUCUUAUUUUUAUUUUUACGUUAUAGAAAAUUAUUUCGGAUAAACCAAAAAAGAAAAUUCAAAACAUAUGUGUAAAAACCUAAACAUCAAUUAUUCAAAAUAUCUAUUUCAUUAGUACUGUUUCAUUUUGAUAUUUAAAUAAUGAGAAAAAACAAAAAAAAAGUGCAGUAUGAUAUAUAUAUAUAUAUAUAUAUAUAUAUAUAGAAGUAAUAACAAAACCCCAUACACAGUUUAUUCAAAUAUAAUAGUAAUAAUACUUGGGAUUCGUUUAAUGUUUUAUGAUUGGUAUUGUACUCAACAUAUUCUUUCUUACAUGUCAUCGUCAUUGAACACAUCCAUUUUAAUUCUUAUAUAAUAAGUUGAUUGAAUUCUUAUAAUGAUGAUGAUGAUGAUGAUUAAUAUCAAUUGUUUUACUAAUUUUCUAAAUAUAAAUAUACAAUUCAAAACAUGUCUCAUCAUACUAAUUGCUGCUUACUGAAGAUUUUUGGUAAAACACUUCUCAAAAGCUUGGCUAAACACUUUUCAGUUGCUACUUAAAAGUAUUUUUUGAAUUUAUUGAUCAAAGACAAAUUGCUUCGCACACGAGAUUUUCGUUUUUAGAAAAACAAUCCAAAAAAAAUUUGGAAAAAAAUUAAUAAAUUUUAAUGAUUUGAUCAAACAAGUUUCAAGCUUCGGUUCUACUUUAUCAUAUUAUUUGUAUAUCAAGGUUUUUCUUAUGCAUUUAAAGAAAAAUAUGCAAUAACGUUAAUCAUAAUAAGUUUGGAGGAAUCUUAUUAGCUCAAUUCAGUUGGCUGGUUAUUUAUAAUUUUACUUUAUCAGUAGAGAUUCGAUUCUUCACCUUGCAAUUUUCUUUCCUGCACCUAAUAUAAAUAAAAUGAAAUCAUACCUGUCUAAAUUAUCCUUUUACCUUUCCUAAAUAUGCACUUAAUUAAUACUACUUCACUAGUAAAAUAAUGUUCACUUUAUAUAAUUAUAUUGAAUAUAUUUUUGUUAUUAUGAUAGAAUUAAUGAUGAUUGAUCAUGAAAAAAAUUAAUAAAUCUUUAUUUAUCUUUUUAAAUUGUAAAAUGAGUUCUAUUUGCUAAAGUUAUUAGCCAAAUAAUAUGAUUAGGACUAAAGAUAUUGGAACUUAGUUUUAUAAUAAGGUCGAGUUGUUCACUUUUUGUUUAAUAAAAUGAAAUUAUUGUUUUUUUAAGGGAAAAUACAUCAAUCUUUCCUAAGCUUGUUUCGAAAAUCAACAACUUAUUUAAACUAUUAGAAGUAUAUAUUACACUUUUAUUAUUUAAAAAUAAAUUUAAUACCAUUUUAAAAUGUGUAACACUAUCUUACCAUAUGUGAUGUAUUACAAUAGUUGCUGCCUCAACACUAGUAUGUCAGCUCCACAUCAGAAAUUAUAUUCUUUUUGGUUUGUUUUCUUUAUGAUUAACAUUUUUUACUAAUUUUAUAUUUCAUACUGAUAAAUUUAUAUUUAAUUAUUAAAUUUUUUUAAUAAUUAUAUCUUUUUAUCCAUUAAUCCUACACACUUUAUCUCUAAUUUUGCCAGAAAAAAUUAUUCAUUUCAACUCAUACCAUAAUUUUCUUCCUUUUCUCCGCCAAAAAACAUCAAACUCAUCACCACCACAACAUCUACAACGACGUUUUCUCUUCUUUUCUUAAAAACUAGUAGCCACCAAACAACCACCUAAACCACCAGAGAAAACAACCAAUCAAAACCUCAAAUCAAUCAUCAACAAAUAUCAAAUGAAGCCCUUUUUCCUUAUCCAUUUUUUAUUUUAUUUUUUUAGUUUAUUUUGUAGGUAUUCUGACAAACUCAAAUAGACCAGUCCCGAUUUUGAUGACGUUUUAAUGAGUUUCGCACUUUCAGAUUUGAACAACUAACAAACAACUGCAACAACCAGCACCACCGCACUAUCUUGUCGUGAUGCUUUGAGGUUGUGGAGGGUAAGGAGGGUUUUUAUUUUUUAUUGCUUUUUUAAACUUUAAUUUUCCUGACUCACUCGCAUGUUACUUUUUUUGUUAUUUUUUUAAUUUCAAGUUUAGGAGUGAAUAAAUUUACUUUUAAGUAAUUUAGAUGUAUAAUAAAUCGAUAUGAUAAUUCAAGUGAGUAACUAAAUUUUAAAAGAGAAUCUAUGUCUUUUCUUAAUUUAAUUAUAAUAAAGCGUGAGCGGGAAAAACCUCGUGAGUUGAGUUGUAUGAUGGAAAACUUGCAUGUGUGGUCUUAGGAGAGAGUGCUAGUAUGAAAAAUCCCAUUAAAGUAUAAUAUUUUUUUUGAAAAAAUAAGAAAUCUUUUAAAAUAAGAUAUAUAUAUAUAUAUACCCCUAUUUAGAAAUCGAGCUAGGUUUAAACAGAAUGAAGUGGAAACUUUGUAAGUGAGAAAAAUAAUAUUCAAUUGAAAACUUAUUAAAAUUACUCUAUUGAACUUGAAAUUUAUUUUGUGAUUUUUUUAAGAAGGUUCAGUAACCAAACAUUAUUAAAAAAUUUACAGAAAUUUAAUUAGUUAAUUUGGACUAAAAUAUUUAGAUACUUUUUGAUUUGUAAUAGUACAAAUUUUAUUAAAUUUUGAUGCAUCCAGAUAUAUCUACAAACAUAUAUCUCAUGAUAUAAGGAUAUGUAUAAUUUAUUCUAGAUACAUUAUAUUCACUAAAUCUAAAUCGUCUCCAGUAAUAGCAGUAAUUCAGAUAUUUGAGAACUUGGACAUUUUUGCACCUAAAAUUCAACUGUGGUUACUAAAACUAAUAUGUAGAGCUUAAUUGCAUGUUCUGGAGUCUUCUAUUGUUUUCCCUCUGAAGAGAUUAUGAUCAUGGAUUCAACUCCAUUGAUGAUCAUCAACAAGCUUGAAAGCUUGAUCUUGAGAGCAUAUGUUGAGAGAAUGAAAAAAUGUAUAUUGUAUUGAUAGUGUAUUAGUUGAAAAUGAAUACAAUGUGAACUUAUAUAUACACUUGGAUUAACAACUUAACUAACUUCUAACUAACUAUUGGAAACUAAUCAACUAGUGAUUUGUAACUAACUAUUGGAUUAACAAAACUAACAGAAAGUUAAAGGUAUUGUUGUUAUAUUCUCAUCACCGCCCCCCUCAAGUUGGAGGUGAUGUAAACACAGACAACUUGUGCAACAAAGAAUUGUGUUUAACUCCAGUUAAAGCUUUGGUAAGGAUGUCUGCCAACUGUGAAUCUGUGGAUAUGUGAUGAAGUGUGAUUAACCCUUGAUGGAGCUUGGUCCUUACAAAAUGGCAAUCAAUCUCAAUAUGUUUUGUUAUUUCAUGAAAAACUGGAUUCUUGGCAAUAUGAACUGCUGCUUGGCUGUCACAAUGAACAUGUAUUAGUAGAGAACACUACACAUUCAACUCACUCAGCAACCUUUCAAACCAUACUAGUUCUCCCACAACCUGCCUUAUUGCCCUGUAUUCAGCUUCAGCAGAUGACAAUGACAUUGUUUCCUGUUUCUUAGAUUUCCAGCUGACAGGACUAUCUCCCAUAAGAACUAGGUAACCACUAACAGAUCUCCUUGAUUCAGGGCAAGCAGCCCAAUCAGAAUCACAAUAUGCACUUACAGUAAGAUCAGCCUUGUUUGAAAUAAAGAUACCUAUAGUUGGAUCUUGUUUCAAGUAUCAUAGCACAUGGUAGGCUGCUUUCAAAUGUGGUUCCCUGGGUGAUUGCAUAAACUGACUCAAGUGUUGUACACUAUAGGAUAUGUCCAUUCUAGUGUUAGUUAGGAAGUUGAGCUUGCCAAUCAACUUCCUAUAUUGAGAAGGAUCAGUCAACAACUCCCCAUCAGUGGCCUUCAAUUUCUCAGUCGAAUCAAGUGGUGAUGAAGUAGUUUUGCAACUUAAACUAUCAAAAUCUUUUAGAAGAUCAGAAGUGAACUUCUUCUGAGAAACAAUAACACCAUCCUGUCUGUACAAUAUUUCCAGGCCUAAGAAGUAAUGUAAUUUUCCCAAGUCCUUUAUUUUGAAUUUGUCAUGCAGAAAACUCUUUAAAGAAAUGAUCUCAUCAACAUUAUUUCCAGUCAUGAUUAUAUCAUCCACAUAUAUAGCAACAAAUACUAAAGAACUUCCCCUCUUCUUGUAGAACAAGGAAUAGUCACUGUCUGAAUGCUGAUACCCCCUUGAACAUAGACUAUCUGCUAGCUUCUCAUACCACUGCCUACUUGCCUGCUUUAGCCCAUACAAAGAUUUCUUUAAUUUGCACACCAUGUUAUCACAUCUUGUUGUAAGACCUUGUGGAGGUACCAUGUAGACUUCCUCAUGUAAAUCACCAUGCAGAAAUGCAUUAUUCACAUCUAGUUGAUACAAGUUCCAGCCUUUCUUAACAGCCAAUGAGAUUAAUGUUCUAACAGUAGUUAUCUUCACCACAGGUGAAAAUGUCUCAUUGUAAUCUACUCCAGCUUGUUGUGUAUAGCCUUUCACUACCAGCCUUGCCUUGAACCUUUCUAUACUUCCAUCAGCCUUAUGCUUUAUUUUGUAUACCCAUUUACAACCAAUAGUUUUUUUUCCAUCAGGUAAUAUGACCAUUUCCCAAGUAUCAUUAGCAUGUAAGGCUUCAAAUUUAUGUGUCAUGGCUUGCUGCCAAGCAGGGUGCAAUAUUGCCUCUUCAAAAGUAUUAGGUUCACAUUCAUGUGAAAUAGUUGUCACUAACUGUUGGCUAUCAGAACAAAGACUAUUGAAGCAUACAUGGUUAUUGUCAGAGACAAAAGUAUUGAGGGAAUGUAGUUUAGGUAAGUUAUAUGUAUAAUCCUCCAGAUAACUAGGAGUAUUUAUUGUUCUGGAAGUUCUUCUAGGUUCUUGUGGUUCUUGUGUUGUAAAGUCAGCAGAUGUUGUUUCAUGUAUGUUAGUAGUAUUGGUUACUUGGUCUUCAGUGACUUCAUGUGGUGUGAGAUUGUCCAGCAUUUCAUCAGUAGCAAAUAUGUUUGUUUUUCCAGGCAUACAAGAUAUGUUAACAGAAUGAGUAAGCAAUUUUAAAACAGAACUGAAACUAGAGUCAUCAUCAGGAACAUGAACAAAAGGAAACAUUCUUUCAUGGAAAACAACAUCUCUGGAUAUAUGAACUUUCUUGGUAGCUAGAUUUAAGACUUUGUAUCCUUUUGUAUUGAAUGGAUAACCAACAAAAACAUGAGGAAUGGCUCUUGGUUAAAAUUUAUCCUUGUGAGUUUUUAAAACAGUUGGAAAACAAAGGCAACCAAAACUCUUUAGAUGAGAAUAGGUAGGUUGUUUAAGGUAUAAUAUCUCAUAUGGAGAUUUGUUUGAAGGAGUUUAGUUGGCAAUCUGUUUAUUAUAUAUGUGGCAGUCAAUACACACUCUCCCCAGUAUCUCAAGGGCAAUUUUGAUUGAAACAAUAGUGCUCUUGUUGUUUCAAGUAAGUACUUAUGUUUCCUUUCUACCACCCCAUUUUGUUGAGGUGUAUAUGGACAUGACUUUUGGUGUAUAAUCCCUUUGGUCUGAAAGAAUUGUACAGCUUCAGAUGAGGUAAACUCUAAACCAUUGUCUGAUCUUAUGGCCUUCAACUUGGUUUGAAACUGAUUUUCUAUAAGAGACACAAAAGCUUUAAUGGUUUGAAGGGCAUUACUUUUGCACCUUAGUAAUUGUGUCCAAGUAGACCUACUGUAGUCAUCAACCAUAGUAAGAAAAUAAUGGUAACCAUCAUGAGUAGGUAUGUGACAUGGUCCCCAAAAGUCAACAUGUAGUAAUUCAAAUAUUUUGGUAGUUAUAGAAGUACUUUCUGGAAAUGGCAUCCUAGUUUGCCUAGCUAUAGGGCAUAUGUUGCAUGUAAAAGGUUGUUUAGGAGGAAAGUUCACAGGUAUUGAUGUUAUAUUCCUCAUCUUUACAAAUGGUGUCCUAAUCUAGAAUGCCAUAGAAGUUCAUCAUCAUUGUAUGUUUGACUAAUCAUUGUAUGUUUGACUAGAGACAUCAGCAAAUGAAAGACAUUUAUCAUUAGAAUGAGAAGAAGACAUAGUGUUACAAUUUGCUUUAUUUGCAGUAGAAGUUUGAGAUUGUCUUACAGAAGAUACACUGUGAAACUUUGAGACAAGAUGACAAUUAUAAUGAGAUGACUUUUCUUCAGUAGACAUGCAACAAUUGUGACAUUUUUGACACAAGAAAUAUAGACCAUUCUUGGCCUUACCAAGCUCCAGAGGGCUCUUCAGAGAAGGGCCUGCAAUAAGCAAGAAAAUUUGUCAAAACUGAUGACUCCAUUAAGUUGUAGUGCUAAACAAUGAAUAGAGAUGAGAUUAAACUUAAAGCUAGGUACAAACAACACUUUGCUUAGAGUUAACAUUGGAUUUAAACAAGCAUCACCAACUUGAGUCACUUUAACCUUGUAACCAUUUGGAAGUGAUAUUAAGAAAGGGUAUGGAAGAGUUCUAAUAUUUGUGAGAGUGGUUUUACCAUAAGUCAUAUGAUGUGAUGCUCCUGAGUCUAUUAUCCAAGAGCCAGCAGUCAGCUUAACACAUUCACAAGAAAGAUCACCUAUAUUAUUCAUAGAGGAAUAACAAGCAAGUACACCUGCCAAGUUCACAGCCCCAUUCAUCAUGCUGUUUGAGUUAUCAGGAUUAGAAACUCCAUUUCCAGUUUGUAUACUUCCCAAGAUGUUAAGUAGUUGUUCAUACUGAUCUUUGGACAAGUUUAUUGGCUUCUGAUUUCCCAUUUAAGUCUCUUCCUCAGAUUGUUGUGCAUUCAUAUCAGAAGCACACAUGUUUGCUGCAGAACUUGUUCCUUUUCCCCUUUGAAACUUUGGAUUGGAUGGAUAUCCAUGAAGUUUAUAACAUCUAUCUUUCGUGUGUCCUGACUUCUUGCAAUAAUCACAUACUAAAGUGGACCUGUUAAUACUUGAAUUCCCUCUAGACAUAUUGUUGCCAGAACUGGAUGCAGCCCCUUUGGAUGAACUAUAGUUUGUUCUGAAUCCUUUGUAACCUGCAUUGUUAUUGUAUUGUCCAUAAGCAUUAAGAGAAGUAGAGUCUAAGGCUGUAUGAUUAUGAGGCUUUACUUCUCUUUGCUUUUCUUCUUGGCAUAGAAUAGCAAAGGCUUGAGCCAUGCUAGGAAGAGUGUUCAUCAUGAGGAUACUACCUCUAACAGUAGUGUACAUUUCAUUUAACCCCAUUAAAAAAUGUAUUAAUCUUCUAUCUUGUUCAUCCUUUUGCAAUUUUGUUUUUCCUCCACAAGAACAUACACAUGUGCAUUGAGAAUUAAUGUCAACUGUGCUCAUCUCCUCCCACAACUUCUUCAUUGUUGUGUAGUACUUAGUGAUAUCUAAAGUACCUUGAACAAGCUCAUUUAUCUCCUUCUGUAACUGGUACAACUUAUAUCCAUUUGUUUGAUCAUAUCUUUCCUCUAACUCUGCCCAUAACUCCUUGGCAUUAUUCACAUACUGUAGGCUAUCACGCAACUCUGGAGACAAGGAAUUCAAGAUCCAAGAUGUGACCAUAUCAUCACAUCUUUCCCACUGCAAGAAGUUAGGAUCAGUAGAUACAGGCUUCACAAUUGCUCCAUUAAUAAAACCUGUUUUGCUUUUAACUGAUAAUGCUCUGAGGACUGCUCUUCGCCAAGAUCUGUAACCAGUACCAUCGAAAACUCCAGGUAACAAUGAUGAUCCCGCAUUCUCUGAAGGAUGCAGGUAAAAAGGACUUGAAAAAUCCAGACGAGAUGUGGUUGAACUAGAACUAGAAGCAACAUCUCCAACUUGAGUGUCAGUCAUUGUGUUUGAAUAUCUGUGAGAAAUCUAACACGAAAACACUCUAAAACUUUGCUAAUUUCCAACUAUGAGUGUGUCUCCUUGAUCAGAAAGAAAGAAUAAGAAGAAACCAAAAGGAAAAAAGGAAUUCACAAUUCACAAUACAACCUAUCAAUCAAUUAAUCGAACCAGUUGAUAACAACAACAAAAUUGGCUCACAAUUCGACUUCGAAACAGAUGAACAAUUUGACCCCCUCGCUCUGAUACCAUGAAGAGAUUAUCAUCAUGGAUUCAACUCCAUUGAUGAUCAUCAACAAGCUUGAAAGCUUGAUCUUGAGAGCAUAUGUUGAGAGAAUGAAAAAAUGUAUAUUGUAUUGAUAGUGUAUUAGUUGAAAAAUGAAUACAAUGUGAACUUAUAUAUACACUUGGAUUAACAACUCAACUAACUUCUACCUAAUUAUUGGAAACUAAUCAGCUAGUGAUUUGUAACUAACUAUUGGAUUAACAAAACUAACAGAAAGGUAAAGGUAUUGCUGUUAUAUCCUCAUCACCCUCUACUUGAGAAGGAUACUUUGGUCAUACCAACAAAAUAUUUACUAAUCUUGUGGUGUUGAUCGAGUAAUUAUUUUUAAUUUAAAAAUUAUUGAAAAAAAUGAUUUUAGAUCUCAAAAGAAAAUAUUCAUACUUAUGUCUAGGUUCAUUUAAUUAUACUUUUUAAUGAAUAUUUAAUAUGUUAAUUAUUUUAACAUAUUUCUAAUGAUAAUUAAAUGUCCUAAAUAGUCGUGUUUGACCUUUUUUUGUACUCGUCGCUAUUUAUAACACAUAUAUCAACUAUGAGUUAUUUCCUUACAAAACAAUUCUAAAUUAAUUUGCAAUUACCAAUUUAUUUACGUUAAGUUUAUACAUUGAAGGCAGAAUUUUUUUAUUCAAUCUACACCCUAUAUAUGUUCUUUUGUUUGUGUUUGGCAGUAGAUGAUGGACACACCAAGUUAUGAGUUUUGUAAAAAAUAUUCGUGAUGAAGUAUUUUGUGUAAGAUUUUUAUGAUUUUAAAUUAUUUUAUAUACUUUAUUUUCUUGGCAAAAAUACUACUAAUCGAUAAAAUCGAUAGGAUGGUGAUCAACACAGGCAAACGAACAAAGUAAUAGUAAAGAGACAAUGGGGAAUUUGAUUUGAUGUGUAUAAUGAAGCCAAAUGACAAGUUCAAGCACACUCCAUGUAAAUCUUCUAACUUGGAGAAUAAUUGGACUUUUUGUGUUUAUGUAGAAGGUAUAUGACAAUAUUAUAUAUUUAAAGUUUUAAUUUAUUUGUAUGUGGAAAAUUGAGCCAAUAGAUUUCUCAAUAUUAAAGAAGAUUUGGAGAAAUGAUAAUUCUGCUAACGAAAACUUGACUAAGCAAAUGAUAUAUUUGUAUGCAUAAAUUUGUGUUGAAAUUGAACACACUAAGAAAUUACUUGUUUGUGUUUCUGAGCAUUUAAAUUUUAGAUUUAAUUUUUCAAAUUCCUUAAGACUUUGUAUAAAUAAUGAGUAGAUGUGAAAAGUAUCAUGGUCACAUUUGUGAAUAUUUUCUCUACAUAUACAAAAGGUUUUUCUUGAGGAAUAAAGAGAUGAAGUUUUUGACAUUUUAAUUUAUAAAUUUAUAUGUUACAAAAUUGAAAUUUUUAUGAAAAAGUUAUUCCUUGUUAUGAAAUACUUGAAAGUGUGAGGAUAUUUAAUUAAGAUUGUGCUAUAUAUAAUUUUAAGAAAAGGAAAAUAGAAUCUAAAAUUUUAAAUUGCAUAGUAAUAAAUGUUACAUAUACAUAUUUUUAACUAUACUUUGUUGAUGAAUAUAAUAUGUUAAUUAUUCUAACAUAUUUCUUACGACUAUUAAAUGUCGUAAAUAGUUUUGUUUGACCUUUUUUUCCAACUCUUGGCUAUUAUAACAUAUAUUAGCAAUGAGUCAUUUCGUUAGUACAAUUCUAAAUUAAAUUUUAAAUACCAGUUUAUGUACAUUAAUUUAUACAUUGAAAGAACAUUUUUUAUUCAAUUUACACUCUAUUUAUGUUCUUUUGCUCGUACUGCCAAACACGCCUAAAAUAAUCAGAAUUUUCUAUAAUGUUUAUGAUAAAGUAUUUUUUUCGAGAAAAUUUUCAAUAAUUUUAAAAAUAUUUCAUAUACUUUAUUUUUUUACAAAAACACUACAAUCAAUAAAUUGGUAGGUGGUGAUCAAUGAAUGAAGUAAUAGUCAAGAGACAAUAGGAAUCUGGUUUGAUGUGUACAAGGGAGACAAAUGACAAGUUCAAGCAUAUAUACUCCAUGUAACACUACAAUAAAUAUGAUAUAUUGUUAAAAAUUAUUAGCUAUGAUAUCAAAUUCGUCAUUAAUUAUUUAUUUUUAGUGAUAAAAUUUAUUUUUUGUGCUUAUGUAUAUGAGACACAUACUUCUAGUGACAAAACAUAAAAAUUAGUAGUUGUGUUUUGUCCACUAAUAUUUCCCACCAAAAAUUUAUUGGAGCCACUUGUUAUGUAGUGUUAGUUGUGAAUUUAAAAUUAUCGGUGACACAUUAUAUCGUCACUAGUAAUGUAUCUAAUUCAUGACAAAUUAUUUUUUGUGUUAAAAUUUGUUAAUCUUUGGACACAAAAAGAUUCGUCUAAAAAAUAUGUUACUACAAUAUCGACAAAUUAGAGUUCAUAGCUAAAUAUUAUAAGUUUUAGCUAAAAAAAAUUAGAUUUAACUAUGACAUUUAUUUUCGUCACUAAUAAUGUUAAUAACUAAUAAUGUUAAUAAUUGGUUACAAAGAUUUUAUUGUCUCUAAUCAAUCUACGAUUUAGUGACAAUAAAAAUUUGUCACAAAAUAUUUAAGGUGUUAAAUAGCGACAACUUAAAAUUUGUAGUGGAUAAUUCAACUAUUUUCCAUGAAAAAAUUCAUAACUUAAUAAUUUUUUUGGCUACAAUUAUUUAUAUAUAAUUACAAGUGACAACUUACAAAAAGAAUAAAUGAUAAAAGUGCUUCAUACGAGAUAGACAGAGUCCAUUCAUUAAUUGUCUAGGGAAAGAUAUUAAAAUCAACGAAUUCGAACAAUUUUUUAAAAAUGAAAAAGUUCAAUACAUCAAUUUUCUUAAAUUACACAAUUGUAAAAUGCAUCUUUUGAAAAGUUUAAUCCGGGUUAUAAGUAUUGUGAGUGGGGUAUAGUUCAAUCGCUAAUCUUUGUUGGUUUACACUUAUAUUUUUUUAUUUGAUACACUUUUAUUGAUAAAGACGAUAAAAAAAAAUAAUUUUCAAGUCUGUGCUUUUUUGUGUGUGUCUAUUGAUUUGUGAUUGAUAAACUGCAUAGACUAAUUCAAUCUAUUUGCUUUUGUCUAUAAAUAUAUACAUAUAUAAUAGUAAUAACACAUCCGUACAUAUAGAUUAACUAUACAAAGAUAACUUUGACUUUUCAAAGCUACGAAAUAUUCCAUGAAUUUGUAUUAACUUUUUUCAUCAUUGUGAAAAUUAAAGUAAAAAAAUAAAAGAAAUGAACGAAUUAGGAUUUCAAAUAUAUUAUGAUGAAGUAUUAUAGUUAUGGGUAUUGAUUUUUUUUUCAGAACAAUUGAUUUAAUUAUAAGUAUACAAUAGGGAGAAUAAUUGGACUUUCUGUGUUCAUGAAGAAGGUAUGUGACAAUACUAUAUAUAUUUGAAGUUUAAAUAUAUUUGUAUGUGGUAAAAUUGAGCUUGUAUAUUCUUUAACGUAGAAAAAGAUUUGGAGAUUAUAAAGGAAAAUAUUUCAGGUGUGAAAUUGAGAAAAACCUGAAGAGGUAUUUCAUUUUCGUGGGUGUAAGUGAUUAUGACGAAAUAACUCCUUCCCACGUGGUUUAACAAGGAACUUUGAAAAUUGAUCCAAAAAUACAAUAUAGCUAGAGUGUAAAUAAGAAGUAACCGAUCGAAAGAAUUUAGGACUGGAAUUAAAAAAUGCGUAUCUAGGAUUUAGAAUUUAGAAUUUAAAUAGAGGAAGAGAUAUGAAAGUGUAUUAGGCUCAUCAAUUAAAAGAGAGGAGGAUUUGAAAUCUAAACUAAGUAAUUAAAGUAUAUCAAAAACAAGAAAAUCAUGAAAUUCAUGGAAAAGACACAUGCACAAAAGUGAGCGAAAUCUAAUAGUAGAAACUGUUAGGAUCGAAUUCACGCACACACUAGAUGAAUAAAGAACACAAGAACUUUCAAGAGAAAGAGAUGAGAGAUCUAGAGCGAGAAAGAGAAAACCCAAUAUUUCGUGGUAAAAUCCCAUAAGUAAACUUCCACGGCGGUGAGGUAUAUUUAUAUUAAUAAAUCAGAGUAUUUUUUGGUUACAGAGAAUAAAUAGGAAAACCUAAAAUACAGAAUAAAUAGGAAAGCCUAAAAUAGAGAAUAAAUAGGAAAACCUAAAAUUAAUCAGGCUCCACUACCUAACAAUUCCCCCACUUGGAGACUGACUCAGUCAUCCAAAAAAUACAUUCUCAAAAAAAUCUCUUCAUCAUCAACAUCUUUACCACACCGCAACAUCUGUAGCAACAACUACAGAAGACCAACCGAGGUUUUACAUAACCUCAGUUUCCCAACAUCAACACAAUUCGUCAACAUGUCUGCCGGGUUCUUUGCACCCUCUAUCUUCUCCAAGUACAUAUCACCAUCCUCCACUGCCCUGCGAGUGAAAUGGUAUCGCCUUCUGAUGUGCUUUAUCUUCGAAUGAUAGACAGGAUUUUUCACCAACUGUAUGGCACUCUGGAUAUCGUAGUAAAAAAUCUUCUCGCUUUGCUUCUUGCCCAAUUCCUCAAGAUAAUCUGCCAGCCAUAUCAUCUCUUUCCCAGCUUCAGCUAUUGCCACAUACUCAACUUCAGUAGAUAAAAGAGAAACACACUUUUGAAGCCUGGACAUCCAACUCACUGUUGUUCCACCUAUGGUGUAAAUGUACCCGGAUGUACUCUUGCUCGAGUCAACAUCCCCACCAAGAUCAGCAUCCACAAAACCUUGUAAAGUCACCUUGCCUUUGCCAAAACAAAGUGAAGUAGUGGAUGUACCUCUCAGAUAUCUCAGAAGCCACUUCACAGCUUCCCAAUGCUCUUUCCCAGGGUUCGCGAUGUACCUUUUAACUACUCCCACUGCAUGUGCUAUAUCAGGUCUAGUGCAGACCAUAGCAUUCACCAAACUGCCAACUGCUGAAGCAUAUGGAACAAGUGCCAUGUAAUCACGCUCCUCAGUAGUCUUGGGUGACUGCUCCUUUGACAAUUUAAAGUGAUUUGCCAAUGGAGUAGUCCUGGGUUUAGCAUCAUUAACCCUGAAUCUGCUCAGCACCUUCUCAAUGUACAACUCCUGAGAUAGAUUUAAAGUGUCAGCAGGUCUAUCCCGAGAAAUCUUCAUCCCCAAAAUCUGCUUUGCUGGACCCAAAUCUUUCAUCUCAAACGCUGCAGACAACCUUGUCUUCAGAUUGUUAAUCUCUCUCAUACUAGAUCCUGCAAUCAACAUAUCAUCCACAUACAAGAGUAGAAAGACAUAUGAAUCAGUGUAUUUCUUGAAGUAACAACAAGGAUCCUUUUCAGCUUUGCAGAAUCCACUCUUGGUCAUGAAGGAGUCAAACUUCUUGUACCACUACCUUGGUGCUUGCUUUAGUCCAUACAAGCUCCUGGUGAGCUUGCACACCAUGUGUUCCUUGCCUGGAACCACAAAUCCUUCCGGUUGCUGCAUAUAGAUCUCUUUGUCCAGAUCUCCAUGUAAAAACACUGUUUUUACAUCCAUUUGCUCUAGAUGCAAAUUUUCUGAUGCAACAAUACUCAACAGAAUUCGAAUAGAGGUUCACUUCACAACAGGAGAGAAUAUUCGGCAUAAUCAAUACCUUUCCUUUGUGAACAUACUUUAACCACUAAACGAGCCUUGAACCUUCUUUUGCCAUCUGGUUCAGUCUUGAUUCUGAACACCCACAUGUUCAGCAAAGCUCUCUUCCCUGCAGGUAACUCAGUCAACACCCAUGUGUCAUUCUUCUCAAGUGACCUCAACUCAUCAUCCAUGGCUUGCUCCCACUUGAUUGAAUCCUCCACCUGUAGGGCCUCAUCAAAAGACUCUGGUUCCCCCUCAUCAGUCAGCAAUAGAUAGUGUAAUGAAGGUGAAUACCUAUCUGGUGCCCUGAUGGAUCUGGAUGAUCUCCUUAACACCUGCUAAGGUGUAACUUGCUCCACUUCAGAUUCUUCAGUAGGAGUUGGUUGAGUAUCUGCUUCGACAUCUCUGGGGUUACUCUUCUCCAACUCAAUCUCAACUCCCACUUGCUUUGUAAUCUCUAGAACCUUCUGCUCUCUGCCCUUGUAUAGGACAGACUCAUCAAAUGUCACGUCACAAUGUCUUAGGAUGUUUCUUUUCUUGUCAUCCCAAAACCUGUAACCAAACAAAUUAGAAUCAUAUCCUAUGAAGUAACACUUCAUAGCCUUGACAUCAAGCUUGUCUCUCUUUUCUGGAUCAACAUGAACAUAUGCAGUGCAACCAAAAGUCCUCAAGUGUGAGUACUUGAGUUCUUUUCCUGUCCACACCUCCUCUGGAAUCUUGAACCCUAAAGGAACUGAUGGUCCCCUGUUGAUCAAGUAUGCAGCUGUGGUUACAGCAUCUGCCCAAAGUGUUUUGGGCAGACCACAGUGUAUCCUCAUACUCCUUGCACGCUCAUUCAAUGUUCUGUUCAUCCUCUCAGCAAUUCCAUUCUGCCAUGCCUUACUGGGAACUGUUCUCAUCAAUUUGAUUCCCUCAGCUGCACAGAAUGCCUUGAACUCUGAUUUGUCAUUCUCUACUCCAUUGUCAGACCUUAGGCAUUUGACUUUCAAACCGGUCUGAUUCUCAUCAGCUUUCCACUUCUUGAAAGUUUCAAUUACAUCUGACUUAUGCUUCAAGAAGUAAACCCAUACCUUCCUGCUGAAAUCAUCAAUGAGGGUAACAUAGAAUCUGGAUUCUCCAACUGAUGAUACUGGAGAUGGUCCCCAAACAUCUGUAUGGACCAUUUCCAACCGCACUUUCUUUGGCUCUCUAGGAGUCUUUGUGAAGCUUACUCUUUUCUGUUUGCCCAUAACACAGCUCUCGCAAAGACCCAUAUCAACAGACUUCAGACCCUCUAAUGCUCCUUUUGCAACCAGCAUCUUCAUUCCUUUAGUACUCAUGUGUCCAAGUCUGUUGUGCCACAGACAUGAAUCGGAUGCACCUUCAGCAACAGCAGCCAUGUUUAUACACCCUGCAGUGGUGUACAAGGUUCCAGAUUUGGUGCCACGAGCUACUACUAUAGCACCUUUCACGAUCUUCCACGAACCUUUCCCAAACUCUGCUGCAUAUCCCGUGCUAUCCAACUGACCAACAGAGAUCAGAUUUUUCUUGAUCCGAGGAAUAUAUCUGACAUCCUCCAAUGUCCACUGGUUUCCCGAGGUGGUCUUUAUGCAAACAUCCCCCUUUCUUCAAUCUCUAAGCCUUUAUUGUCAGCAAGAUAUAAUUUUCCAAAAUUUCCAGAUUUGAAGUUUUGGAACAACUCCUUGCUUGGAGACAAAUGGAAAGAUGCACCAGAAUCCAAAAUCCAUGAUUCAAUCGGGCUGUUCACACUAAGGAUUAGAGCAUCCCCAAUGUCCUCUGCUGAAUUUACAGAAUCAUUGUCAUCUCCAAAUUUCUGAUUCUGUUUUUUCUUUGGCUUUGUACAGUUCGUCCGAAAGUGCCCUUUUUCUCCACAGAUCCAACAAGUCACAUUUGAUCUGUUCAGUGAUUUUCCUCGAUUCUUUGAUUUUGAUCGACCAGGUUGAUUUUGGCCUUUCGUCUUACUUCUCCCCCUUUGAUCAACGCUGAGAGCACUGCCCGAUAAAUCUCCUACUUCUCGUUUGCAAAUACUUUCGCUAAGAACAACAUCACGAAUUUCAUCAAACUUCAGUUUCUCAGAUCCACGGGAAAUGCUAAUCGCAGCAACAACAGUAUCCCAAGACUCGGGCAGAGAUGACAUCAAAAUCAACGCCUUAAUUUCAUCUUCGAAAUUAAUAUCCACGGAAUUGAGUUGACUCACAAUCAUAUUGAACUCGUUUAUAUGAUCAGAAACGGAUCCAGUUUCAGACAUCUGUAAAUUGAACAAUCUACGCAUCAAAUAUACAUUAUUCAUAGCCGAUGGUUUUUCAUACAUAUUUGAUAGUGCCUUCAACAGACCAGACGUAGUCUUCUCCUUCACGAUGUUGAACGUCACGUUUCUUGACAAAGUCAACCGGAUCAACCCUAGAGCCUGGCGAUCCUUGAGUUUCCACUUCUCCUCCAUCAUGGAUUCUGGCUUCACCCCGGUUAACGGUUCGUGAAGAUUUUUCUGGUACAAAUAAUCUUCGAUCUGCAUCUUCCAGAAACUGAAAUCGGAUCCAUCAAACUUGUCGAUUCCAAUCUUUGACCUAUUCAUCUUCAGUGAUCGUGUUGAAUCUCCUUAGCUCUGAUACCAGUUGUUAGGAUCGAAUUCACGCACACACACUAGAUGAAUGAAGAACACAAGAACUUUCAAGAGAAAGAGAUGAGAGAUCUAGAGAGAGAAAGAGAAAACCCAAUAUUUCGUGGUAAAACCCCGUAAGUAAACUUCCACGGCGGUGAGGUAUAUUUAUAUUAAUAAAUCAGAGUAUUUUUUGGUUACAGAGAAUAAAUAGGAAAACCUAAAAUAGAGAAUAAAUAGGAAAGCCUAAAAUAGAGAAUAAAUAGGAAAACCUAAAAUUAAUCAGGCUCCACUACCUAACAGAAACAUAUACAAACUUAUCAAUAUUUAUAUUAUAAAUUCAAAGAGAAGUGAUAAAAUGAUAUAUUUUUUGUCAUCAUCAUCAACUAUUGAUAACACAAGAUUUUUGUAGUUUAAAUGUCAUCUUCUUUUGUUACAUCAAUCAAAUUUUACAAAAUGCAUCAUUUAUUAUUGACAUUAAACAUCACCCCCUCAUUGUAGUAUGUCCAAUUAUUUUUCAGUUAUAAAAGAUUGUUCCUUUCAAAAGAAGCUCCCGCAUUAUCUUUUCCAAGAUUAUGCUUUCUUGAGGACUAGGAGUGCGCUUACCGUCCAAUCAAUCAUCUCUUGUCUCUCAUUUUUAUUUUAUUUUUAACUUCAUUCACUUCUUUCAAAUUUAACUUCUGUAGAAAUAAUAUAUUAUAUGAUUUAUAUACAUACACAAAUGCAUGAAAUUUACCAUCACAAUUCAUUCAAAUGUAGAUUAUAUUAGAAUUAAAUUUUAUAUUAUUUAAAAUAUCUUUAAAUAUAUCUAGUAUGAUUUUGUCAUUUUAUUUGUUUAUUUAUUUAUAUAAAUUUUAUAAAUCAUUCAGUACAGUUAUAAAUUUAUAUAAAAUUAAACUUUCAAUUUUAUUUUAAAAAUUGUAUAAUAGGUUCAAUUCGAUCAAUAUAUCAGUUGUUUUGAAAAAAAAUAUUAAUACCUAUCAUAAUAUAUUUGUAAUCCUAGUUAUUUCUUUCAUUUGUGCUUUCAUUUUUUAAUUUAUUUCAAUUUUAACACUGAUGGUAAAAGUUAAUUGAAAUUAAUGAAAUAUAUCGCACCUUUGCAAAGUCUAAGUUUGUAAGAUGAUGUUAUCUUUGUAUAGUUACUUUACAUAGUAAUGUGGAAUUACUAUCAAAUAUGUACAGUUUUAGGUAGAAGCAAAUAGAUUGACUUAAUCUAUGCAGUUACCAAUAACAAAUCAACAGACAUGUACACAAAUUAGCAUUAAGACUUGAACAAUUUUUUUUUCUAUCGUCUUUAUCGAUGAAAGUGCGUAUCAGAUAAAAAAUAAAAGUGUUAAACCAACAAAUAUUAAUUAACAACAUAGAUGUAGAACUAUAACCCACUAACGGUACUUAUAACCUGGAUUGUAUUAGUCAAAUGAUGCCUUUUAUAAUUGCCUAAUUUAAGAAAAUUGAUGAAUUGAACUUUUUCAUUUUUACAAAAUUGAUCAAAUCAAAUGGUUUUAAUAUUUUCCCUUAUCAAUUAACAAAUGGACUAUGUCAAUCUAAUUUCUUAUGAAGCACUUGUAUACUCUUUUUGUAAGUUGUGACUUGUAAUAAUGAAUAAUCAUAGCAAAAAUAUUAUAUUUAGCUAUAAAUAUUUUUCGUAGCAAAUAGUUAAAUUAUUAACUAUAAAUUUUAAGUCUCACUAUUUAACACUUUAAAUAAUCUAUGACAAUUUUUUUGUUGUCACUAAAUCACAGAUUGAUUAGAGACAAUAAAAUUUUUGUCACCAAUUAUUUAUAUUAUAAGUGAAAAAAUAAAUGUCAUAAUUAAAUCAAAAUUUUUAUCGCUAAAACAUAGAAUAUUCCACCCUUAAAUCCUAAAUUAUAAAUUUAUUGAGACGCAAAAACCUAUAAAAAUCAACCAUAUAUUCAAAUCUAAAAAAUAGAAAAACAGUACAACAUAAUAUACAACUAAUAAUAUAUGUAUUAACAACCACAUAAUUACAGAUUUGGCAAUAUCAAAUAAAAGUCCUAAUUUGAAAAAUAAACUUAAAAUAUUCUAAAACACUUCACAAUAAACCCUAACAGAUAAACAAUAUAAUUAAUUUAAGGAGUUUCAACACGCAAUUCAAAAUUUUAUUUAGAAAUGAAAAUCUAGGUUAAAAAGAAAACUUACAAAUCCUUAAAAGAAUUAACCCCAAAGCUUAAUUGACAUUAAAAUAUUACAAAUCUUACCAGAAAUAAUAAAAUUACGUAUUUAAAAGGGAUGACUAGAAAAUGACACAUUUAGACAUUUAAAUAAGGCGAAAUGCCUAAUAUUGAAUUUAGUGAUAUUUACUUUCUUGUAACUUUCUCAUGGAAUAAUAUUAAGUGAAAAAUUGAAAAAGAAUUUGAUGGUUUAAUUAGUUUAUUGGUCCGAGUCAAGAUUUUUUUUAAAAAUUUUAUAAUGAUAGUUUGAUGUAAAAUCAGACAUUUGGGAAAAUUCUAGAAUUAAGAAAAAAAAGAGUGGUUAAAGAUAGUACUUUAAGAGUUAUUAUGCGUAUAAUAACUCUUUAAGUAAUUAACGUCGCUAACACAUACUCUGCAAAUACAUAGCAAAUAUAUGACAUAUAUACAUAUGCGAAGAAGCCCCAAAACCACUCAGCCCUAAAGUUAGCUCUACACUUGCAUCCUCUGCGAUCCUUUUUCCUUUGUCUUGAUAAUUAUCUCUCUCCAUGUUAGCAAAAACUAAAAAGUAAGAACACUAUUAAAUUACAAACUAAACAAACUUAAUAGGAAAAAAACUCUACAAAAGUAUGAAAUUCACUUUUAUUGAUAAAUGCUUGGAGAAACCUUCAGGCAUUUGAGAGAUUAUAAUGGGAAAAAAGUUCAGGUGUGAAAGUGAAAAAAAAACGUGAAGAGGUAUUACAUUUCCAUGGGUAUAAGUGAAUAUGACAAAAUCAAAUAGCUCCUUGUCAUGUGUUUUAAGAAGAGACUUGAGAAAUUGAUCCAAAAAUGCAAUUUAGCUAGUCUAAAUAAGAAUUAACCGACUGAAAAUGGCACCUAUCUAUUGUAACUAUAUAGGGAGAAACAGGAUAGAACUUGACACGUGUCUGAAAAAUCACUGCAUGAAAAUUUGCGAAAAGUUUUCACUUUCAACCUACGAAUGUGAAAAUAUUAUUUAUGUAUUUAUAUUUUGAUUUGAAAGUUUACUUGGACAAAAUUUAUUAGAUAUUAUAUUAUCAAUUAUUUUAACUCACGCAAUUACUGAAUUUUUAAAAAAAAUUCAUACUUUAUAAUAAAUGAGUUGUUUAAAAUUUAAGAUAAUUAUUAAUUUUUUUUCUUUAUAGUUAACAUUCUUUUUAAAUUUUAACUACUUUAUAGAUUUAUUAAAAAAUCAUCAAAAAUAAUAUAGACACGGAAUUUAGUUGGAGCUCCAAUGGGGACUCGAAACACCGGGUGAUAAACAAAAAAAUAUAUCUAUUAACCACAGUGGUUUGGAGUUAACAAGUAGACGGUUAUCUGAGUUAUAUUUUCUAUUUAAACAAAAAAAAUAUGACUGUUUCGAUUGAUUUUUGAAUAUCAAAAUAAUGAUUUUAUUCCUACUCUGAUAUUUUUAAUUUUUUCGUUAUUCUUAUCUGAAUCAAUAAUUGUAUUAGGCUUAAUUAUAGUUUUUUUGUUAUUUGUUUGUUAUCUAUAUUUUUUAAGUUAUUCUUUCUUCUGUUUUGGAGAUCACUAAAGUUAUGAGGCUUCAUUUAUUGGUUUUUAAAAUUUUCUUAUAUUUUGAUAUAUUAUGUGCUUCUGAAUUGUAUACAUCACUAUAUAAUUAUUUUCUUGGAUUAAUCGUUAAUUUAUUUUAAUCACUCUUUUUUGUAUGUUGAUUUUCUUAUUUUUGAAGAUUUAUAUAGAAUGGUUAAGCUUAACUUCAUUUUUCACUAUAGUCAUGUUGAUUGAAUAUGGUAACCAAAGUUUCUAAAUUCUAGAAAAGCUAUAAUUUAAAUGAAAAGAUUAUUAUUCUAGUCUGUUAGUUUUUUAUAAAUAUUAUCAACACUUAUAAUAACAACUUAAAAUAUAUGUAUGUGUAGAUAUUGAAAAAUUUAUUAUUGUGCUUAUUUCUUUUGAAAAAUAUUAUAAGUUUUGUUAAUGAUCAGUUCAAUGUUAUAAAUUUAUUGAGGAUAUUAAUUUAAGUCUUUGUGUUUAUAAUUAUAAUCAAACUACACGAUAAGUCACUUUUAAUUAGAGGUAGAUGAAUCACCAAGCGGUUCAAUCUAUCUUCGUAAUGUGAAUUUCUAAAUUCAUAUGUUUAGACCUAACUAACAGCAUAUUUAGUGUUUUCAUAAGUAUUUCGAGAAGAAUAUAAUAUACACAAAAUUUAUUUUAUUUUUAAGCGAUAAAACAUUAUUUCUGGUAAACCAAAAAAAGAAAAAUCUAAAUCAUAUGUAAAAAACCUAAAUAUCAAUUAUUCAAAACACGUGUUUCAUUAAAUAGUACUCUUUUGUUUUGAUAUUUGAAUAAUGAGAAAAAAAAACAACAAAAAAAUACAAUAUGAUUUUUAUAUUUAUGUAUAUAGAAAUAUGAAAUUCUCUUUUAUUGAUGAAUACUUGGAGAAACCUUCAGGCGUGAAAGUUGGAAAUGCGUGAAGAGUUAUUUCAAAUCUGUGGGUGUAAGUGAAAAUGAUGAAAUAGCUCUUUGUCACGUGAUUUAAGAAGGGACUUGGGAAAUUGAUCCAAAAAUACAAACCAGAAUCAAAAUAAGAUGUAACCGACUGAAAAUGAUACCUGUCCGUUGUAGUUAUCUACUAGUAAACAAAAUGGAAUUUGUAGAAAAUAAAAUUCGCGUCGAGAGAACCAUAAUCAAGAACGGAAGAUUAUAGCAACAAUCGAUUUAUUAUUUCAAAGUGCGUGUGUUACAAUCUCUAUGAUUCCUCUGAAUUCACCUUUUCAAAUAUAAAUUCAAGGGCUUAAAACUUGAUUUUGAACUUGGGAUUUAUCUUGAUCUUGAUCUUGGACAUGAACUUGAUCUCUAUCUUGAUAUUGAUCUUGGACUUGGACUUGGACUUGAUCUUGACUUCUUCAAAUCUUGAACUUGAACACGUGAAUUUUUGAAUUCUUAAAUUUUUAGAGAAAUUUAUGAUUUUUGAUCCACGAGCUUUCUCUAGCUUCUUGUUUAGAAUUCUUGGUCCUCUUUUCUGAAUUAUGAGACCCUAUUUAUAGUUUUAGGAUAAAAGAGUUGCGAUUGAAAUAGGACUCCCUUCGGCCAAUCAGAUUAAGUGACAUGUCAUAUGGGCUUUAUGGAACGAGCUUUAAUUAAAUUCAUAUUUAUCUGAAUUUAAAUAAUUAAAUCAAUUAUAUUAAUCAAUAAUAUUUAUUUGGACUAAUAUAUUCAUUAAUUUAAUAUAAUCCGAACAACUUUAUGAAUUUAUAUUUGAUAAAUUUUAAGUGACUACACAUGUGUCUGAAAACUCACUGCAUGAAAAUUUGUAAAAAGUUUUCACUUUCACACUACGAAUGCGAAAAAUAUUAUUUAUGCAUUUCGAUAUUGAUUUCAAAGUUUAUUUUGGCAAAUUUUAUUAAGUGUCGUAUUAUCAUAUUACUUUAACUCCCUAUAUUAAUGAAUUUUUGAAUUUUCAUAGUUUAAAAUAAAUAAAUUGUUUAAAAUUUAAGAUAAUUGUUGAUGUAUUUUCUUCAUAUAGACUCCACGAAGUCUUAGCCUGAAAUUUUAAUAAGGAGGCUCAAAAUCUAAAAAAAUAUACACACGAAGUAGCGAAAGGGGGUAACAUCUACUAUAUGUACCCAAAAAAAUUAUAUUUUUUUAAAAAGUGUUAGUGUUUUGAUUGAUUCUUGAAUAUCAAAAUAAUGAUUUUAUUUGUACAAGUUUCUGCCAUUUUUAAUUUUCUUUCUUCUUUUCUUAAAAUUAUUAACCGUAUUAGGCUUAAUUAAAGCUUCUUUUCUGAUUUGUUUGUUAUCUACAUUUUUUAAGUUAUUCUUUCUUCUUUUUGGAGAUCACUUAUGCUAUGAUAUUGUAUCAACGCGUAUAAUAAUAUUUUAAAAUAUUGGAAACAGGGACGAAUUAUCCCGAACUUUAAUAAAUAGUACGUCUAUGCCCUCCGUUAUACUCUGCGUACACAUAUGUCCCCACCGUUCAAUUAGAAGUACAAAUAUACCCCUCUUACUAACGGACCUCUAUUUUUUUACACGUAUCUUAAUCCUAUUAAACUAAGAAUUGACCCCUUUUUUAAACUCAUAACCCAACUAUCCGUCCCAUAACCCAUAACCCACCCAAUACACACUAAAAGGAAUAUUAAUUAAAACACCCAAAUUAACAUUCACCCAAAUAUAUCACAUGCCAAAACCCAAAUUAAGCAGACUUUGUGGACAUUAAAUUCAAGCUCUUAAUCGUCAAUUAAUUAACUUUUUUUCCACAAUUACCCUCUCAUUAGCCGCAUUUCAAUUAAUCCUAUAUGGUAUAACCGAGGGCAUAGACGUACCAUUUAUUAAAAUUCGAAGAUAAAUCCGUCCCUUUUUCCUAAAAUAUAUGUAUAUGUAGAUAUUAAACAAUUGAUCAUCGUGCUUAUCUCUUUUUGAAAUAUAUUUGUAUGAAAUAGAAGACGUUGAAAUAAAGUCAUUAUAAGCUUUGUUAAUGAUCAGUUCAAUGUUAUAAACUUAUUGAGGAUAUUCAGUGAAGUGUUGGUGUUGCAUGAUGUAAUCCAACACAAUGAAUCACUUUUACUUAGAGGUUCGUGAAUCACCAAGAGAUUCAAUCUAUCUUUCUGAUGUAGAUUUUUGAAUUAAUAUGUUUAUACCCAAUAACAACAUAUUUAGUGUUUACAUAAGUAUUUCAACAAGAAUAUAUUACACAUAAACUUAUUUUUUUCUCUAAAUGAUACAAAGUUAUUUAUGAUAAAUGAAAAAGAAAAAUUCAAAACAUAUGUAUAAAAACCUAUAUAUCAAUUAUUCAAAUCAUUUGUUUCAUUAGUAUUCUUUUAUUUUGAUAUUUGAAUAAUGAAAAAAGAACAAAAAAAAUACAAUAUGAUAUAUAUAUAUAUAUAUAUAUAUAUAUAUAUAUAUAUAUAUAAAUAAGUAAUAAUAAAACCCUAUAGACAUAAUAAAAUAAUAGUAAUACUAGGAAUACAUUUGAUGUUUUAUGAUUGGUACCAUACCAUCCAUUUUAAUUCAUAUAUAAUCAGUUGACUGCAUUUUUAUAAUAAUAAAAUAAUUAAUUACCAUAAGAUAUAUUGCUUAUUUUUUGGAUUUUUUUUAGAUACCAUGAAUCAUUAAAAGAAGCUCACUUUUUUCUUUGACUAGAAAGUAUCUGUUGUCCGCAAAACAUAUCAAAACUAGUUUUACUAAUUUUCAAAAAACAUGUCUCAUCAAGUGUGAUUAUAUUAAUCCAAAUAAUAGACUGUGUGGUCAACUUCGGAUGGUCAAAAAUAUAUUUAUUUUUUACAAAGAAAAUUGCUUUUGAAAUCUUAAAGAAGUAUUUAAUAAUUUUUUUGGAAAAAUUUAAGUGUUUUCGAGAAAACCAUAAGGCUGAAAAACUUGAAAUUUUAAAAGAAGUAUUUAAUCAAUUCUUUAAUAAUUAUAUUUUUUUUCAAUAAAUCACUCACUUUAACUCUAAUUUUGCCAGAAAAAUUAUUCAUUUCAACUCAUACCACAAUUUUCUUCGUCUUCUCCGCCAAAAAACACCCAACUCAUCACCACCAUAACCCUACCUCCACAACGUUGUUCCCUCUUCUUUUCUGAAAAACUAGUAGCCACCAAACAACCACACACAAAAAAAACACACCCAAAACUUCAAAUCAAUCAUCAACAAACACCGAAUGAGAACCCUUUUCCUUAUCCCUUUUUUAUUUUAUUUUUUAAUUUAUUUUGCAGGUAUUCUGGCAAGCUUACAGCUUCUGUCACGAUUCUGAUGACGUUCCAAUGAGUUCCGCACUUUCAGAUUUGAACAACUAACAAAUAACCACAACGAUCAACACCAUCGGACUAUCGUCGUUGUGAUGCUUUGAGAUUGUGAAGGCUAAGGAUGGUUUUCAUAUUUUAUUGCUUUUUAACAUUUUAAUUUUCCUAAGUCGUGUGUUAUUUUUUUCUAUUUUUUGGUUAUUUUUCGUCAUUUUAAUUUUAAGGGUGAAUAGAUUAAUUUUUAAGUAGUUUAGAUAUGUAAUAUGUCGACGUGAUAAUUCAAGGGAGUAACUGAAUUUUCUAGACAAAUUCAAAGAAAAUCUAUGUUUUUUUCUAAUUUAAGUAUAAUAAAGCGUGAGGGAAAACCUCGUGAUUUGAGUUGUAUAAGUGCAAAUUUGCAUGUGUUCUUAAGAGGGAGUGCUAGUACGAAGAAUCCCAUUAAAGUGCUAGUAUUUAGAAAUCAAGGUAGGUUUAGGAAAAACAAAGUGGAAACUUUGUAAGUUAAAAAAAUAUCUACUUAAAACUUAUUAAAAUUACUCUUUUGGACUUGAAAUUUUUACUAAUUUCGUGGUGCUCAUUGAAAAAUCUGAAAAAACUUGUGGUUGUUCCCAAUAUUUUUAAUUUGGGAAAUUCUAACUGAUUGUCGAUUUAUUGUCUAAAGAUAUUUUUUUAUGUAAAAAUUAUUGGAAAAGAUGAUUUUAGAUCUCAAAAUAAAAUAUUCAUACAUACUUGUAUCUAGGUUCAUUUAAUUAUACUUUUUGAUGAAUAUUUAAUACGUUAAUUAUUGGAACAUAUUUCUGAUGAUAAUUAAAUCUCCUAAAUAGUCUUGUUUGACCUUUUUCCUAACUCCUGGCUAUUUAUAACACAAAUACAUUAAUUAUGAGUCAUUUCUUUACAACAAUACUAAAUUAAAUUGUAAAUGUUACUUUAUUUUCAUUGAUUUAUUACAUUGAAAAUAGAUUUUUCUAACCGAUAUUUACAUCCUAUAUAUGUUUUUUUUGCUUGUUUUUGGCAGUAGAAGAUUGAAAGACACACUUCAAGCUAUGACAAUUUUCUAAAAUGUUUGUGACAGUAUUUUUCAGUAAGAUUUCCAAAAAUUUUAAGGAUAUUUCAUAUACUUUAUUUUCUUGCGAAAAAUACUAUUAAAUCAGUAAAAUCAAUAAGGUUGAUACUAACUAUGGCCUUUUGGUUGUAAAAUCAAUGGGGUAAUCUGAUAUGUACAAGAAAGCCAAAUGACAAUACUCCAUGUAAGUUUUCAACUAGGAGAAUAAUUGGACUUCCUGUGUUCAUGAAGAAGGUAUGUGACAAUACUAUAUAUUUAAUGUUUUUAAUAUAUUUGUGUGUGGAAAAUUGAGCGAAUAGAUUUCUCCAAUUUGGAGAAAUGAUAAUUCUGCUAAGGAAAAACUUGACUAACCAGCAGAUGAUAUAUUUGUGUGGUAAUUUUUAAAGUUAAUCUUGUGGGGUUGUGACUAAUAUGUAAAAGAUGGAAUGUUAGAUUUGGAGUGUAUCGAGUAUAUUUGCGCAUUACACCCAAGUUGAAGAAAACAAUGAUUUAUAUAUAUCAAGGAUUCUAGAACUACUUAUGUUCUUAGAAUAGAAUGUUGCAUAUGGAAAUAUUGAUAUUAUCUAAGGUGGUAUUUAUGAUUUACUAUUCGAGUCAAUGAUCCUUAUGAAAGUAUGAUUUAAAGGUGACACAUUUUAUUUGAGUUAGAUAAAAUUUAACAAAAUGGUUAAAAUGAUUUAUCAACAAAUGAAAAUUCUAUGUAAAAAAUAACUUAGAAACCCUUUAAAAAUCUAACCCCCAAAUUCUAAUCAACACAUAAAUACUGCAAUCUUAGGAGAAGAACAAAAAUACACAUAAAUAAAGAGGGAUAACAUAUAUGUUAACACAUAAUUAUUAGAUAUAGCAAUAAAUAAAAAUUAUAACUCAAAAAAUAAACUUAGAAAGCCCUAAAGCUAUCAGUUGAUAGCGAAUCCUAAAACAUAAAGAAAACAACUUAUACUUAGCAAGAAAUGAAAUUUUUUUAGUCAAGCAAUGACAUAGAAAUACUUUAAAAGGUUGAACCCCAAACCCUAAUAAACACAUUAAUAUUUUCAACCUUACAAUAGAGGAACAAAAUUACAAAUAGUCAACUAGAGAUAAUUAAGAAAGGACAUAUUUUACAAUAUUUAAAGUAGCCAAGAGAUGAUACUAGUCUCUGGUGACAGAAUGCUUUGUUAAAUGCUUAUUGUUUGAUAGAAUGAUUUAUAGAUCAUUAACUUAUAACAAUUGUAUUGAGUGGCUAAGCUAUCAUAUAUGGGUUGCUUUUGAUGCAUAAAUUUGUGUUGAAAUUGAAUAUUCUAAGAAAUUACAUGGUUGUGUUUUUUGAGCAUCCAAUAAUAUUUUUUUGAUAUUUUUGAAACUUACAAAAAUAAUACUAGAUGUGAAAAUUAUUUUUGUGUCACAUUUGUGUAUAUCUUCUCUACAUAUAUAAAGAAAAACAAAUUAAAGAGAUGACGUUUUUGACAUUUUAACUUAUAAAUUUGUAUUUACAUACCAAAUUGAAAAUUUUAAUAUCUCUAUUAUGAAAUAUUUGAAAGUGUAGAUGUGUUUUGUUAAGGUUGUGUUACAUAAUCGUAAGAAAAAAAAAUUAGAAUCUAAGUUUUCUUAAUUGUAUGUUAUUAAAUGCUGCAUAUACAUAAUUGUGAUACUCAAUUGUGAUGUGAUUGAAUGUAAAGUUAGAGUGGAAAAAUAUAUUAAUGAUUUUUAAAAUUUAUUAUAUUUCACAUGUUCAUGUUGAGAUAUUGUGUAACGACCUGUUGGUUAGUCGUUUUAAGGAGCAGAUUUUAUUUCUGGAAAAACUGGCUGAGACGACGGAACCCACGACGAACCGUCAUGGGCACGACAGACUCUCGAAGGUAUCUCGUUCCAAAAUACUUAGAAUUCUGAAAAUAGGGUACUGAAAUCGACUCUCUGAACUUCGUAACGGAAUAGCAGGACGGACCGUCGUAGGCACGACGGACCGUCACAGACUCUUUAAUGAAAUGAAGUCUCCGAACUCUGUGACGGAGCAGCAGGACGGACCGUCACAGGCACGACGGCCCGUCACAAUCUGCAUAAUCCCAGGUGGGGUCGGAUUUCUUUAAAUGUUUUAAGGGACGUUUUGGACUAUUCCUACUAUAAUUAUAAAUUUAGUGGGUUAAUGUUAAUAAUUUAACUACUUGAGGGUUAAAAGAGAUAACCUUGAAUUAAUUAAUGGGUUAAUUCACCAUAUUUUAUACUUAAUUAUAUGCUAAUUAGGGUAAAAGAAAGAGGGUUUGAAUAAGAAAAAGAAAAGAACAGAAAGAUAGGGAGAAACGAUCGAGAGAGAGAGGAGAAACGAAGAAGAAAGCAAAGAUUUUGAGGAUUAGCUUGCUUGAUCACAAUUCUUCGGUGGAGGUAGGUUAUGGUUUUUAUACUAUUCGUAGUUAACUCUUAAUAGCGAAUGAUAUGUGUUGGGUUGUAUUGUAAAGUCUUCUAUAUGCUUAUUUGUAUGCUUGCAUGAAUGUGAUUAUAUAAUUGUGAUGAAAUAAGCAUGAUGAAGCUAUUGAAUCCCAAAUCUUGAAAACCCCUUGUUAAUGAUGAUGCCUUGGUAUGAAAGAAGGCUUGAUGAAUUAAUAGAAUGAGAUUAGUGGAUCGGGUGUCACGAACCGACACGUAGAAUUAGGGGAUCGGGUGUCACGAACCGACACGUAGAACUAGGGGAUCAGAGUGUCACGUUCUGACACAUAGUAGUAGGGGAGCGGAGUGUCACGUACCGACACAAGAAUAAAGGUGAUGAAUCUUGAAAGAUGUUAAUAUACUCAAUCUAAUGAACCUAAUUCCCAAAUGAGAAUGAUAUGGAGGCUUGAGUCCUUAUGAGUGUACUUGACGUUAUUUAUCAAAGAUUCUUGUACAUGUUGUUGCUACAGAUUGAGUAUUGUAGUUGAUUUAUGAUAUGAUCUGAUAUAUAUUGUUUUCUAUUUUGAGUUGGCCGAUGAUAUCUACUCAGUACCCGUGUUUUGUACUGACCCCUACUUGUAUGUUUCUCUCUUUGUUAUAUGUGGAGUGCAACAAACAUACCGUCGUCUUCAACUCAACCGCAACUCUAGCCAGUCUUCAUUAUUCCGGAUUUCAGGGUGAGCUAAUGCUUCUAGCUUGGACUGGAUCUUCCUCUUCAUGUCUUGAUGCCUUGAAGUUCCGGCAUGGACUAGCUUUUUAUGUAUUUUUAGCUUCUUAGAUACUUUUAGAUUAGUAAUUUGAGGAUAGAUGUUCUUGUGAUGAUGACUUCCAGAUUUUGGGGAUAAUAAUAAAUGUUUGAGUUUUAGAAGUUAUUUAAAUUAUCUUCAUUAAUGAGUUUAAGUCUUUCGCAUUAUAUUAUGUUAUUAUAUUCGAAAUGUUGGGUUUUGUAUUGAUUGGUUCGCUCACAUAGGAGGGUAAGUGUUGGUGCCAGUCGCGGCUCUAUUUGGAUCGUGACAAACUUGGUAUCAGAGCAUUAGGUUCGUUGGUCUCAUCACACAAGAACGAGCCUAGUAGAGUCUUAAGGAACGGUAGGGGAACGCCUUUACUUUUCUUUGAGAGGAUAUAAGACUUUAGGAAAAUUCCAUUCUUUCCUUCUUUCUUUCGUGCUAUUACUUGGGUCCAAUUGGUAUCUAGGUGAUACAAAUUGGUAUCUGACCAUCUUCACUCUAUUUCGCAGAUGGUUAGAACUAGAGCAACAACCGCGCCAACAUCAACAUCGGCAAGACAAGAUGCAUCUGAGCCAGCCACCGAGACUUUAGCUCAAAGAGGAGCAGUGGCAAGAGGCCGCCGUAGAGGUCGCGGGAGGACGUCCUCUAGAGGAAGAGGACGAAAGCCUGGCCCAUCUGGUACUAGGGCGGUCACUCCUCUACCGACUGAGGAAGUAGUAAGAGAAGGGGAGGAUGGGGAAAAUGAACAAGUACAAAAUGAGGAACUACCACCCCAACCUACCCCAGAGAUGAUCAAUCAGGUUCUUGCUUAUCUUAGCAGGCUAUCUGAUCAAGGCCAAUCGUCUCCAGUGCUUUCUACACCAGCACCUUAGGUUCCGGAGGUUCAACAUGCGGCUACUGUGGCUCCCCGCAUAGAUGCCUCAUUGGAAAUAGGCACAUUUCCUCGUCUGAUUACAGGGACUGUAAUGACAAAUGAUCAGCAUGAACUUUUCAGUAAGUUCUUGAAAUUAAAACCUCCAGUUUUCAAGGGUACUGAAUCUGAGGAUGCCUAUAAUUUUCUGGUUGACUGUCAUGAGCUACUACACAAGAUGGGCAUAGUAGAACGGUUUGGUAUUGAGUUUGUGACUUAUUAGUUUCAAAUGAAUGCCAAAAUGUGGUGGCGGUCACAUGUUGAGUGUCAACCAACAGAGGCACCACCUAUGACUUGGGCAUCAUUCUCUAGCUUGUUUAUGGAGAAGUAUAUCCCCCGGAAUUUGAGGGAUAGGAAAAGAGAUGAGUUUUUGAGCCUAGAGCAAGGUAAGAUGUCGGUUACUGCAUAUGAGGCUAAGUUUCGUGCAUUAUCCAGGUAUGCCACCCAACUUGGUUUCAGUCCACAAGAGCGGAUUUGCCGUUUUGUGAAGGGGUUGAGGUCAGAAUUGCGGAUUUCAGCCUUACAGGUAGCGGCUACGGCAAAAUCCUUUCAAGAAGUGGUAGACUUCGUAAUAGAGGUGGAAGGAGUGAAGCCAGAUGACUUCACCAUGGCAUCGACAUCGAAAAGGUUUUGAAAGGGAGGUGAGUUUAAUGGUUCUUACUCUAGAGGACAGGGUUCGGGAGGUUACUCAGUCCGACCAAUUUAGUCUUCACUACAGACUGUAGUUGGGGGUCAACCUCAGACCGGUCAACACUUCUCUGAGAGACCCAUGCUUGACUCCAGAGAGUGUUAUGGAUGUGGGGAGACUGGACACAUUAGGAAGAAUUGUCCAAAACAGAGUUAUAGACCCCCAAUAGCUAGAGGUAGAGGUGGUCAUGGUAGAGGCCGUUAUUCUGGAGGACGUGGUGGCCGAGGUAAUGGUGGUCAUCAAAACGGCCGGGGUGACGGACAAAUGGGAAAUACUGCAGCGCAACCUGUUAGAGGCAACGGACAGACUGGUGAUAGGGCCCAUUGUUACGCUUUCCCUGGGCGGUCGGAAGCGGAGACAUCAGAUGAUGUUAUCACAGGUAAUCUUUUUGUUUGUGAUUGUAUGGCUUCUGUAUUAUUUGACCCUGGCUAUACAUUUUCAUAUGUAUCUUCCGCAUUUGCUAAUGGUCUUAAUUUACAUUGUGAAUUGCUUGACAUACCUAUUCGUGUUUCUACCCCGGUGGGUGAGUCUGUGAUAGUUGAAAAAGUGUAUAUGACUUGUUUGGUGACUUUUGUGGGGAGCAAUACUUAUGUAGACAUGGUUAUCUUAGAAAUGGUUGAUUUUGAUGUAAUUCUGGGUAUGAAUUGGCUUUCUCUGAAUUUUGCGAUCUUCGAUUGUAAUGCUAAAACGGUGACGUUAGCCAAGCCUGGGACAGAUCUGUUAGUGUGGGAGGGUGACUACACUUCCAAUCCGGUUCGUAUCAUCUCCUUUCUUCGUGCUCAGAGAAUGGUUAGUAAAGGGUGUUUAGCUUUCUUGGCACACCUCAGGGAUGACACUACCCAAGUACCUUCAAUUGAGUCGGUUUCGGUAGUCCGUGAGUUUUUAGAUGUGUUUCCUGCAGACCUUCCUGGUAUGCCACUGGAUAGAGAUAUUGACUUCUGCGUCGAUCUUGAACCGGGUACUCACCCCAUUUCUAUACCCCCUUAUAGAAUGGCUCCCGCUGAGUUAAGAGAGUUAAAGGCCCAACUGCAAGAGUUGCUGAGCAAAGGCUUCAUUAGAUCAAGUGCAUCCCCUUGGGGUGCUCCGGUUUUGUUUGUGAAGAAGAAGGAUGGAAGUUUUAGGAUGUGCAUAGAUUAUAGACAACUAAAUAAGGUAACGGUUAAGAACAAGUAUCCUCUUCAUCGCAUUGAUGAUUUGUUCGAUCAGUUACAAGGUGCUUGUACCUUCUCAAAAAUCGACUUGAGAUAUGGUUAUCAUCAAUUGAAAAGACGGGAAGCAGAUGUGCCCAAGACUGCUUUUCGGACCAGGUAUGGGCAUUAUGAGUUCUUAGUAAUGUCUUUUGGGCUUACGAAUGCCCCUGCUGCUUUCAUUAGCUUGCUGAAUGGGAUUUUUAAGCCAUAUCUGGAUCUCUUUGUGAUCAUAUUUAUUGAUGAUAUACUGGUAUACUCAAAGAUCAAGAAAAAACACGAGGAGCACUUGAGAAUUGUGUUGGAAAUGUUGAGGGAGAGAAAACUUUAUGCCAAAUUCUCUAAGUGUUAGUUUUGUCUAGAUUCAGUGUCCUUCUUAGGGCACAUAAUUUCUAAGGAUGGAGUGAUGGUGGAUCCUUCUAAGAUUGAGACAGUGAAGAAUUGGGUAAGACCUACUAAUGUGUCAUAAAUAAGGAGCUUUGUUGGUUUAGCUAGCUAUUACCGUCGAUUUGUCAAGGGAUUCUCUUCCAUUGCUUCCCAAUUGACGAACUUGACUAAACAGAAUGUUCCAUUUGUAUGGUCGGACGAGUGUGAAGAAAGCUUUCAGAAGCUCAAGACUUUGUUGACUACCGCACCAAUCCUUACCUUGCCAGUGGAAGGUAAGAAUUUCAUUGUCUAUUGUGAUGCAUCCUAUUCGAGUUUGGGUGCAGUGCUAAUGCAAGAGAAGAAUGUAAUUGCUGAUGCUUCAAGGCAAUUAAAGGCGCAUGAACGUAAUUAUCCGACCCAUGAUUUGGAAUUGGCUGCAGUAGUGUUUUCCUUAAAGCAAUGGAGACACUAUCUAUAUGGAGUUAAGUGUGAAGUAUACACGGAUAAUCGUAGCCUACAGUAUGUUGUUACUCAAGAAGAUUUGAAUUUGAGACAGAGGAGAUGGAUGGAACUACUGAAGGACUACGAUGUCACUAUCUUGUAUCAUCCGAGAAAGGCUAAUGUUGUGGAAGACGCCUUAAGUAGAAAGGCAGGGAGCAUGGGAAGUCUAGCUCACUUGCAAGUUUCUAGACGUCCGUUGGCUAGAGAGGUUCAGACUCUGGCUAACGACUUUAUGAGGUUAGAAUAAAUGAGAAAGGAGGAUUGUUGGCUUGUGCGGAGGCGAGAUCUUCUUUUCUUGACAAGAUCAAGGGAAAACAGUUUGAUGAUGAGAAACUAAGCCGAAUUUGGGAUAUGGUGUUGCGAGGAGAGGCUAAAGAAGCAAUAAUGAAUGAGGAAGGUGUUUUGAGAAUUAAGGGAAGAGUAUGUGUGCCCCGUGUUGAUGAUUUGAUCUACACUAUUCUUAUAGAGGCUCAUAGUUUCGGAUAUUCUAUACAUCCUGGUGCAACCAAGAUGUACCAUGACCUAAAGCAACACUUUUGGUGGAGUAGGAUGAAGCGUGACAUUGUGGAGUUUGUUGCCAAAUGUCCAAAUUGUCAGCAAGUAAAAUAUGAACACCAGAGGCCCGGAGGAACACUUCAGAGAAUUCCUAUUCCUAAAUGGAAGUGGGAAAGGAUUGCAAUGGACUUCGUGGUUGGUCUUCCCAAGACAAUGGGUAAGUAUGACUCCAUUUGGGUAAUUGUUGAUAGGUUAACUAAGUCUUCUCACUUUAUUCCGGUCAAGGUGACUUACAAUGUAGAGAUGUUAGCCAAACUUUACAUCUCGAAAGUGGUGCGACUGCAUGGGGUUCCACUCUUCAUUAUAUCAGAUAGAGGUACGCAGUUUACUUCUAAGUUUUGGAAAACAUUGCAUGCGGAAUUGGGUACUAGGUUGGACCUUAGUACUGCAUUUCACCCUCAGACCGAUGGCCAGUCUGCGCGAACAAUUCAAGUGUUGGAGGAUAUGCUUCGCGCAUGUGUGAUAGAAUUUGGUGGCCAUUGGGAUAACUUCUUACCCUUAAUUUUCAUACAAUAAUAGCUAUGACUCAAGUAUUGAUAUGGCUCCAUUCGAAGCAUUGUAUGGGAGGAGAUGUAGGUCUCCCAUUGGUUGGUUUGAGGCAUUUGAGGUUAGACCUUGGGGUACUGACCUUUUGAGGGAUCCAUUUGGAGAAAGUGAAAUCUAUUCAAGAAAAGCUUUUAGCGGCACAAAGUAGGCAAAAGGAAUAUGCAGAUCGAAAGGUUAGAGACUUGGAGUUUAUGGAGGGUGAGCAAGUCUUGCUGAAGGUUUCUCCCAUGAAAGGGGUGAUGCGGUUUGGUAAAAGAGGUAAGCUAAGCCCAAGGUAUAUUGGUCCCUUCGAAGUUCUGAAGUGAGUAGGGGAGGUGGCUUAUGAAUUAGCCUUGCCUUCAGGGCUGUCCGGAGUACAUCCGGCAUUUCAUGUGUCUAUGUUAAAAAGAUACCAUGGGGAUGGAAACUACAUCAUUCGUUGGGAUUCAGUGCUGCUUGAUGAAAUUUUUUCUUAUGAGGAGGAGCCUGUGGCUAUUUUAGAUAGAGAAGUUCGCAAGUUGAGGUCAAGGGAGAUUGCAUCCAUCAAAGUUCAAUGGAAGAAUCGACUCGUUGAAGAAGCCACUUCAGAGAAAGAGGCGGACAUGCAAGAAAGAUACCCACACCUGUUUACAGAUUCAGGUACUCCUUUUCACCCUUGUUUUUCUUCUUACGAUCGUUCAGAGACGAACGAUGGGUAAAUUGGUAUCUAUUUAUAACGACCUGUCGGUUAGUCGUUUUGAGCAGUAGAUUUUAUUUCUAGAAAAACUGGCUGAGACGACGGAACCCACGACGGACCAUCAUGGGCACGACGGACCGUCGAGGGUGUCUCGUUCCAAAAUACUUAAAAUUCUGAAAAUUGGGUAUUGAAAUUGACUCUCUGAACUUCGUAACGGAAUGGCAGGACGGACCGUCGUGGGCAUGACGACCGUCACAGACCCUUUAAUGAAAUGGAGUCUCUAAACUCUGUGACAGAGCAGCAGGACGGACCGUCGCAGGCAUGACGGCCCGUCACGGGCUGCAUAAUCCCAGGCGGGGUCGAAUUUCUUUAAAUGUUUUAAGGAACGUUUUGGACUAUUCCUGCUAUAAUUAUAAAUUUAGUGGGUUAAUGUUAAUUAUUUAACUACUUGAGGGUUAAAAGAGAUAACCUUGAAUUCAUUAAUGUGUUAAUUCACCAUCUUUUAUACUUAAUUAUAUGCUAAUUAGGGUAAAAGAAAAAGAGUUUGAAUAAGAAAAAGAAAAGAAUAGAAAGAGAGGGAGAAACGAUCGAGAGAGAGAGGAGAAACGAAGAAGAAAGCAAAGAUUUUGAGGAUUAGCUUGCUUGAUCACAAUUCUUCGGUGGAGGUAGGUUAUGGUUUUUAUACUAUUCGUAGUUAACUCUUAAUAGCGAAUGAUAUGUGUUGGAUUGUAUUGUAAAGUCUUCUAUAUGCUUAAUUGUAUGCUUGCAUGAAUGUGAUUAUAUAAUUGUGAUGGAAUAAGCAUGAUGAAGCUAUUGAAUCCCAAAUCUUGAAAACCCCUUGUUAAUGAUGAUGCCUUGGUAUAAACGAAGGCUUGAUGAAUUAAUAGAAUGAGAUUAGUUAAUCGGGUGUCACGAACCGACACGUAGAAUUAGGGGAUCGGGUGUCACGAACCGACACAUAGAAUUAGGGGAUCGGGUGUCACGAACCGACACGUAGAAUUAGGGGAUCGGGUGUCAUGAACCGACACGUAGAAUUAAGGGAUCGGGUGUCACGAACCGACACGUAGAACUAGGGGAUCGAAGUGUCACGUUCUGACACAUAGUAGUAGGGGAGCGGAGUGUCACGUACCGACACAAGAAUAAAGGUGAUGAAUCUUGAAAGAUGUUAAUAUACUCAAUCUAAUGAACCUAAUUCCCAAAUGAGCAUGAUAUGGAGGCCUGAGUCCUCAUGAGUGUACUUGACGUUAUUUAUCAAAGAUUCUUGUACAUGUUGUUGCUACAGAUUGAGUAUUGUAGUUGAUUUAUGAUAUGAUCUGAUAUAUAUUGUUUUCUAUUUUGAGUUGGCCGAUGAUAUCUACUCAGUACCCGUGUUUUGUACUGACCCCUACUUGUAUGUUUCUCUCUUUGUUAUAUGUGGAGUGCAGCAAACAUACCGUCGUCUUCAACUCAACCGCAACUCUAGCCAGUCUUCAUUAUCCCGGAUUUCAGGGUGAGCUAUGCUUCUAGCUUGGACUGGAUCUUCCUCUUCAUGUAUUGAUGCCUUGGAGUUCUGGCAUGGACUAGCUUUUUAUGUAUUUUUAGCUUCUUAGAUACUCUUAGAUUAGUAUUUUAAGGAUAGAUGUUCUUGUGAUGAUGACUUCCAGAUUUUGGGGAUAAUAAUAAAUGUUUGAGUUUUAGAAGUUAUUUAAUUGAUCUUCAUUAAUGAGUUUAAGUCUUCUGCAUUAUAUUAUGUUAUUAUAUUCGAAAUGUUGGGUUUUGUAUUGAUUGGUUCGCUCACAUAGGAGGGUAAGUGUGGGUGCCAGUCGCGGCUCGAUUUGGGUCGUGACAUAUUGCAUUUUGAUGCAUUAUUUUUUAAAGAAAUAAUUGUUGAUACAUGAGAGGUGCCACAAGUAUAGUAUAAAAUAAAUUUAAUAUUUUGUUGUACUAGAACUCUAGAAGGGUAAAAUGAUGCAAUAUGAAUCUUAAAAUUCGCUAGUAAUGAUGAGUUAUUAUUGAUGACGGUGCCAAAACAUAAAAGACAACUAAAUUAGAGUUAGUUGAUGUACUGGAGUUGAUAAGUGAUCAGACUAAAUGGUUAAAAUAACUCUUAGUGUGUAUUCUAAAUGGAAUAAAACUAAAUUUUUCUAUGGUAAAACUAGAUACAUGUGUUUAAGACGUAAUAUGAUAAAAAGAACUGUUGUGAGAUUGAACAACGAAAAGCGCAUGAACUAUUAGUGCAAAAUCACAAUAACGACUAAGAUUGAGCGGAUAUAAUGUGAUAAGAUACUUGACUUACAAAAGAAUUAUUGAUUGAUAGAAGUUGUAAACUUCACUAAUUGUUAUGUAAGUGUAAUCUUAUUUACCUAUCAAAAUAAAAGAAGAUAAUACAAAUUAUGUUCGAAUAGGCUAUAUCAUACGUAGGAAAAAGGUGUACUUGUUGGUAAUGGGCACUCAAUUGAGUGUUGUAGAGGAAUAGUUCUUAUAACUAACACCAAAAAUUACUUCCGAUUUGAACCUGAAAGUGAGUAUUAAAACUUGAUGUAACAACUUUUAGGUUGUGGUUUCAAAGAACAUGUUUGUGGUAGGUAGUAUUGGAAUGUUCGUUUGAGAACUAUCCUUCAAUGCCUUAAAUAUAAUAGCAAAGGUAGUACAACAUGGACAUGAGGUGCACACACGUCAUGAUUUCAAACUCUGUUGUGAAUCGGGUUUAGUAUUUAAGUAAAGAAGGAUGGAACGUGACUCAUUAUCCAGUAAGAUUUCGAGACAAAAACAACAGAUUUAACAGUUAAAAAAUAGGUUUAGAAGUUUUGACUUCAACUCAUGUUAUCCACUCUAUAAUAUGACCGAGAAGAUUUGUUGUUAUACCCAAAGUUAGAACGGUUGCACCUUCUUUUAAAUCUUGUUUAGAGAUACAUUAAUUGAAGAAGCAUUAGCAAGAAUUGCAUAGUAAGGUGAAUUCAAUUGAAUACUAUCUUGCAAUACUUGAAAAGGAAAAAUAAUCUAAAUACACAUCUUAUAUUACCAUAAUCUCUAAAAUUCUUUACCAUUUAAAAAUAUUUCAAAAAUCUCUUCUCGAGUACAUCACUUUCCUCUCGAUGAUACAUUAUAUCCCCUCUCAAAUACACUUCCCCCUGAUACAUUCUCACCUAUGUAUCCGGAUAUCUGCUAAUGUAUCUAUAAGUCAAGUGAUGUAUUAGGAUGUUAUAUCCCCUCUUUGAUACAUCCCUACCCUCACAGAUACAUCCCUCACCUAUGUAUAUGAAAGACGAGUAAUGUUAAGUAAUGUAUCCAAAACCCAUAAAUUUUAAGAGAUUUUGUAAUUUUUUAAAAAUAUAGGAAAAUUAUGUAAUUAGCUCUUAACAGUAUAAGAUAUAAGUAACAUAUGCAUAUUUAUAACCUUAUUGUUUUUCUUGAUGUUUGAGCAGAAUAUCAAUACUUUGAUAUGUCCAUUGGACUACAGGAACUACAAGGUCGUAAUAAAGACUGUAGAUGCAUAUGAUUCCUUUAAGGAUGGGUUGGUUGUUUUGGUGAAGGGAUGUUUAACAGGGGAUAGAUAAGUUAAAAAGGAAAUUCACCUCCACAUUUUUCCUUGCUCUACAAGACAAGGGUUAUUUUGUUUUAAAUGAUGUUUUUAGGUAUGUAGAAGAAAACAAGACUGAUACCGUCUCAACAAUUACUAAUGGAACUGAGGAUGUCUACUUAGAGGUUUCAACUCCUAAUCCAUGUAGGAUCUCUCUUCUAAAUCAAAAAGUGUAGUUGUUCUUGUUUUGUCUUAAUAAUUUUUACUAUCUUCAUAUUGAAUCCAAAACUUACUCAUGUCGUUGAUCCUCGAAAUCUCGGCCAAGUUGGCUCACAUGUAGAAGAAGUUCAACAUGUUGAGGAAACGGUCAACGACUCUUUGGAAGAUGGAAGACAUGUCGGUGAUGAAAGAUAGAUUGUUGUGGAAAUUGAAUCUCGUUACAAUGAGGAUAAGAACCCAGCAAAUACAGAAUCCGCUACUUCUGUUGCCCAAGAGGAUUCUCCAAAGAAGUGAUAUGCAUCAAUCGUCACUUCACAAAAAAUAAAGGGCCAUCCAAAUUCUAGGUACCCACAAAUACUUCCAGAAUGUCUCCUCCAAAGGCUGUAAAACAGUCGGUUGCUACAGUAGCACAAACUACAGCUCUUGAAGCAUCAAAUACUACAGCCCCUGGUGGAAUUAAUGAACCUGAAACUAAUGAUAUGGAAUAUGAAUAUAUAAUUUCUUUGAAACUUGCCUGAAAUAGACCCAUUACUUCCAUUAUGUGAUGGACACAUCUAUAUGUGACAAAAUAAAUGAAACAGGCAUGUUAUAUUUAAUUUUGAGCAAAUGAAGUAUCAUAACAAGUAAAUGUGCUUCGAUCUAGAUGUUGGUGUUGGGUUUUAUUUGUCCUGAUUUAUUACCAUAAAUAGGUUUUCCUCUUAGGAAAAGGUUUUGAAUUGACUAAUCUUUUUUUAGUAGGAAAAGGUUUAGGACUCUAUAAAUAGAGGCAUGUUCCUUCUAACUUAAUCAACAUUCACAAUGUAGUCUUAAGGGCUUUCAGAGUUUCGGUUAGAGGGAGAAUUUGUGGAUCACAAGCUUGAUACGUUAUCACUUGUGUGAACCUCUCAUGUAUUCUGAGUGAAUUGGUGAGGUUGUUUCCCUUUGUAUUUUGUACUCUGAUAUUUAUAGUGGAUUGCUCAUCUCCUUUGUGGAUGUAGGUCGAUUGAUCGAACCACGUUAAAUCUCUGUGUCUUUUGGUAUAUUUCUCGUUGUCUUCGUACUCGUGGUCUUUCGAGGUUUGCUUUGCUAGCUUCCGCGUUUACACCUGCUUAUUUUUUGUCCUAACAAGUGGUAUCAGAGCCAGAUUCAAUGACGGAGUUAGGUUCAGUGGUUCGAUAAUCGAUGAUUGAACCAGGUUAGAAAGAUGUGUUCAUCUUGGCGGUGUAGUUCUAGCAGUAACCUUUUUGACAGUAAUGAAGAUUUUGUUGGAGAAAUUAUUUCAGAGAGAUUCUUUGUGUUGAGACAUAAAUUUUGCAAAGGAGAUUAUGGAGAGAAGAAGCAAGUUGUUGAAGAUUAAGUGAAGAAGGUGGACAAAUUUAUUUUGUCAGAAAUUCAGGCCAAGGGGGAGAUUUGUUGGGUUUUAUUUACCCCGAUUUCUUACCAUAAAUAGGUUUUCCUCUUAGGAAAAGGUUUUGAAUUGACUAAUCCUUUUUUGGUAGGAUAAGGUUUAGGACUCUAUAAAUAGAGGCAUGUUCCUUCUAACUUAAUCAGCAUUCACAAUGUAGUCUUAAGGGCUUUGAGAGUUUUGGUUAGAGGGAGAAUUUGUGGGUCACAAGCUUGAUACGUUAUUACUUGUGUGAACCUCCCAUGUAUUCCGAGUGAAUUGAUUGAGGUUUUUUCUCUCUGUAUUUGUACUCUCAUAUUUAUAGUGGAUUGCUCAUCUCCUUUGUGGACGUAGGUCGAUUGACCGAACCACGUUAAAUCUCUGUGUCUUUUGGUAUGUUUCUCAUUGUCUUCUUACUCGUGGUCUUUUGAAGUUUGCUUUGCUAGCUUCCGCGUUUACACCUACUUAUUUCCGAUCCUAACAAUUGGAUUAUUUGAUCUACUAGCAUUGUUAUGCUUAUUCUGCUUUAGACUUUCUUAUUAUUUACGGUCCCAGUAAGAGUACAUAGUCAUUUGAUUUACUUUGAUUUUAAUUAAAAUUUAAAAUUUAAGUAAAUUAGAUGAAAAUGUGCUCUUGCACGGACUGUCAAUAAUGAGAAAUUCAGAAGCAGAAUGAACAUGACAAUCGCAAGCAGAUCAAAUAAUACAACAUCUAGAUCAAACUCAAAAGACAUCUACUUAUUCUUCUCCUUUAUUUGCUAAAAAUAUUAGAAAUAUGAACAUCCUUAUUCCAUCUUUUUGACAUAUAUAUGUGUCCAUCACAAGAUGGAAGUAAUGAGUUUAUUUCAGACAGGAUUCAAGAUAUUAUACCUUCAUCUUAAGCAUAAUUAUCUUCAUGUACAUCGGUUCCACUAGGGGUAGUAGGAUUUGAUACUUCAAGAGCUGCAGUUUGUGCUACUUCAACAACCGUCUGCUUUACAGCCUUCGGAGGAGCCAUUCUGCAAGUAUUGGUGGGUGCAUAGAUUUUGUAUGGCCCUUUCUUUGUUUGUGAACUGAUGGAUAUGACUUCUUUGGAGCAUCUUCUUGGGCAACAGAAUUAGCUGAUUCUAUAUUUGUAGGGUGCUAGUUCUCGUUGAAAUGUUAUUCAGUCUCCACAACAAUCUCUCUUUCAUCAGCAACUUGUCUCCCAUCUUCCAAAGAGUCACUGUCUUUUUCCUCAACAAGUUGAACUUCUUCUGCAGGUGAGCCAGCUUGGUCGAGAUUUGGAGGAUUAAACACAUGAGUAGGUUCUGUAUUCAAAAUUGAAAUAGUAAAAUAUUUUAAGAGGAUACAAGAACAAGUAUAUUUAUUGAAUUAGAAAAGAGAUCCAACCUGGAUCGCGGGUCAAAGCCUCUGACUGCAUAUCAUUAGUUUCAUUAACCACUUCUGAGAUUGUAUCAAUCUCAUUUUCUUUGACAUACCUAAAAACAUCAUUCAAAACAACAAUAACCCUUGCCCUGUGGAGCAAGGAAAAAGGUCUUCGCGAUUUUCCUUUUUAACUUAUCCCUUCCGGUUAAGCAUCUUGUUACCAAAACAACCACCCCAUUCUAUGGAAUGUUUAUUUGAGGUUUAGUUACAAGCAAUUGUUGCUUCCAAUUGCACAAGUGUACAUGGUCGUGUAAGUAAUAUAGUGGCUCAUAAAAGAACCAGUUUAUCGAUUCCAAAGGACUUGUUAAUUAACUAUUUUUACUAAAUUAUACUAGUCUAAUUAUUUAUUUAAGAGUGCCAAAGAAAAAGAAUGCAGAAAUAAAAUAAUAAAUUACAUACGAUAGUAGGAAAAUCCCAGGGCUGCAACAUAUAUUGGAUUUUAUGUAUAAUAUUUCUGGCUUAGAACUAAUUUUAACUGUCAAGUUACUCGUUUAUAGGGUUAAUUAUAUGAGUUGGGCUACAGACUUCUCGUCGCGUACUCCAAUUAGAUACCUGACUACAUCGUUGAGCAGAGAUAAGUAAACUAAAUUGGCAAGCAUUUAUAUUUCAUCCUAUUUCAUUACCAAGCAAGUUGUUCGUUCGAGCGUCACUCCUAAACACAAAUCACCUCAAUCUAAUGGGUCGUUCGAUCUCUCUAUAUUCUCUGGUCUAUCUAAGCUCUCCUCUCUCGAUUUUAAGAUUAGACAAUAGAUUUGUCUCAUAAUGAUCAGACAUGAAAUACUAAAAUAAGAAUAUAGAAGUAACUUAUAAUGAAAACCAAUAAUUAAUUCUAAACGCAAUUAAUAAUCAACAUUCAAUCCAUAGCUACAGCCCCAUAACAAAUUCAGUGAGGGUCAGAAAAUUACCAUGACAAAGACAAACUACCUUCACUUUUCCUCCAUUGCAUCCACUCCUCCUCAGUCUUUAUUGUUGGCAAAGAUGCCAUCCUGUUAACAAAAAAUGGAUCACUGAUUUGCCUCCAUUCAAAUUUAAGUCUCCAUCGGAGGCAUGGGAGAUGUCCUCAUAACACAAAAAGGAUCAUUGAUUUGCCUCCACUCCAUCUCAGUCCCCACUAGCAGCAACAUAGCUGUCUUCAUAAUUGGAAAUGAAUUAUUACAUUUCCUCCACUCCAUUUCAGUAUUCAUUCUACACCUCCACUCGAUUUCCGUCUCCAUUCUUCGCCUCCAAUCCAUUUCAGCCUUCAACCUUUGCCUCCACUCGAUUUCAGUAUCCAUCGGAAACGAAGACAUCCUAGUAACAGAAAAUGGAUCAUUUCUUUGCCUCAAGUACUCUACUUCAGACUCCAUCGGCAACGAAGACCUCUUGUUAACACAGAAAAUGGAUAAUUUUGUUGCCUUUACUCCAUUUCAGUAUCCAUCGGCGGCAAUGACUUCCUAAUUGAAAACGGAUUUUUCUGUUGCCUCCACUCAGCCUCAGCCUCCAUAGGCAACAAAGCACGUCUGAUGACUGAAAAUUAAAAAUAAUUCACAUAUGUAUUACUGUUUUUAUAAGAAUGCUCAUCAUUAACUAUUGACGAAGAAUGUUUGGUAUCUUCGAUUUUUUCGAAGAAUCCCUAAAGUCACUCAGCCCUAAUGUUAGCUCUACACUUACAUCCUCUACAAUCCUUUUUCCUUUGGCUUGAUAAUUAGCUCUCUCCAUGUGAGCAAAAACUAAAAAAAUAAGAAAGUUAUUGAAUUACUCUCCAUGUUAGCAAAAAUUAAAAAUAUUAGAAACUUAUUGAAUUACAAACUAAAUAAACUUAAUAGGAUAAAAACCUCUAUGGAAGUAUGAAAUUCACUUUUAUUGAUGAAUGCUAGGAGAAACCUUCAGUCAAUUGCGAGAUUAUAAAAGGAAAAAAUUGAGGCGUGAGAGUGGAAAAAACGUGAAGCGGUAUUUCUUUUUCGUGGGUGUAAGUGAAAAUGAAGAAAUAGCUCCUUGUCACGUGGUUAAGAAGGUACUUGAGAAAUUGAUCUAAAAAACACAAUUUAGCUAGGGUCUAAAUAAGAAGUAACUGACUGAAAAUGACACUUGUCAGUUAUAAUUAUCAACUGAGAAACAGAAUGGAACUUGACACGUGUCUGGAAAAUCACUGCAUAAAAAUUUGCGAAAAGUUUUCAGUUUCACACUACAAAUGUAAAAAUAUUAUUCAUGCAUUUCAAUGUUUUUUGGGCAAAUUCUAUUAAAUGUUGUAUCAUCUGAUUGUUUUUUGGAAAUUUUUUAGUAGAUUUCAUAUUAUCAUAUUAUUCUAACUCUCUGUAUUAAUGAUUUUUUUAAAAUUUUUCAUACUUUAAAAUAAAUAAAUUGUUUAAAAUUUAUGAUAACUGUUGAUUUGUUUUCUUCAUAUAGACUCCAGGAAGUAGUGUCGGAUCCAACAUUUUAAUAAGUGGGUUAAAAAUCUGAAAAAAUAUUUAGCAAAAGGGAGUUCAAUAUCUAUUAUAUGUAAAUAAAUAUUUAGCAACAGGGAAUAAUAAAUAUAUCUAUUAUUUACAAUGGUUUGGAGUUAACAAGUAUACAAUUAAGUGAGUUAUAUUUUUCAGUUUAAAUAAUUGUGUAACUUACAUAAAUUCCAUAGUGUAAAACCUUAAUUACCUUCUAUUCCUAUUAUUUUUUGUAAUUACAUAAAUCUCAUAUUCUUUAGGCAUUUUAGAUACAUAAUUAAGAAACCAUAUACAUUAUUGUUGAUACAUUAUGUAUCAGUCUGUUGCACUUAUUAAGGAAAAAAUUUGUAAAAUCAAUUUAAAAUCUGAUAGUACCCAUUUGUUUCACUAAUAAAGGGGAAAAUCUGAAAAUUAAUUAAGAUUUCAUAAAUUAUGUUAUUUUAUUAAAAAUUUUGUCAUGAUUCAAAAUCCUAUAGUGUAACAAUUCAAAAAAAUAUAAAAAAUAUUUCUUCUUGUUGUCCAUCGUUCUCUCUGUUUUCUAAAAAACUUUGUCGAAAUUUUGAAAAGCGAAGUGAGUUAUGAAGGAAUGUAUGGAAUUGCUGUUGGACAAACAAUUUUUUUUGUGAAUCUUCAAGUUCAUCGAAUAUCUUUUCGGUUUUUAUUCAAAUCUGUCAAAAAUUUUGAGAUUCAAAAUUCUUCUCAAUAUCAUUGAAGAUCUUUUCCAUUUUAAUUCAAAAUUGUUGAAAAUUUUGAAUUUCAUAAUAAUUCUCCUAGUUCAUUAAAGAUUCUUUCAAUUUUGAUUAAAAAUUAUCAAAAUUUUUGAGAAGAUACAUCGUGAAGAUUCUUUCAAUUUAAAUUGAUUAGUGUUGUAUUUCUACUAGGUACACUAAAUAAGGAAGUGUUGCCCAUAAGAUUUUAGGUUUGUGACCGAUACAUAUUUAUUUGGCAAUUGUUAUGUAUGUGAUACAUUUAUUAUAAAUUCAAAUUUACGUAUCAUAACAAAAAACAAUUAGUGCAUAAUACAUUAUUAUUUAUAUAUCUUAUUUUGUUUGAGAUCAUGUAGAUCCUUUUGAUUCAAAUUAAUAAAUGUUGUAUUUCUACAAGAUACAUUAAAUAAGUAAGUUUUGCCCAUAAGAUUUUAAGUUUGAGAUUUAUACAUUAUUGUUUUGUAAUUGUUAUGUAUCAGACACAUUUAGUAUAAAUUCGAAUUUACAUAUCAUAACUAAAAAAUAGUGUAUGAUACAUUAUUGUUUAUGUCUCUUAUUUUGUUUGAGAAAUACUACAUUUUAAAAUUAAAAAAAAAUAUACAUUAUAGUAAUUGUUUGAGAUAGAUAUAUUAAUGUUUGGUAAUAGUUAUGUAUUAUUUAGUAUAAAUUUGAAUUUACGUAUCAUAACUAAAAAUACUAUAUGAAGUUUAUACAUCAAAUAUAUUUAUAUUGAACGUUUCAAAAUAGCCUCUUUUUGGUGUGUGUAAUAAAUACACAAAGUUUAUACAUCAAAUAUAUUUAUAUUGAACGUGAUAUACACUAAUCAAAGAUUCAACAACAUUAGAGUUAUGUAUCAAAAUCUUAAUAUGAACAUUAUACAAUACAUAAAACAAUAGUUAUUGCAGCAGUGAUGUAUCAGAUCAAUGAUAACACUAACAAAGACUAAUUUAAGACUCAAAAUAAACGACAUAUAUUAAAAAUAUGCAUCUUUAAUAGUGAUGGUCAUGCUAUGAUAGAUCCAACUUUUUUCUUCCUUUUUUUUGUGGAUGUUUUUGAAUAGUAGAAACAUUAAUAUAUAUAUAUAUAUAUAUAUAUAUAUAUAUAUAUAUAUAUAUAUAUAUAUAUAAAUAUUUCAAGAAAAAAUUUCAACGACAAUAUAAUUAACUAACUAUAAAAAAUUUACAAAUAUUAUACUAAAUAUUACUAAAUGAAAAAAAUACUAUUACUUUUUACUAAUUUACAUUGUAGAAGUUUAUCAUCACAUAAUUAUUCAUUUCACGUAGAUAUGUUUCUAUUUUAAGAUAUCUAUUAGUGAGUUAGUAUAUAUUUUUUUGGUAACAUAUAUAUUUUGUUGUUAUAUCUUUAAAAAUAGUUAUAAUUCAUCGUUUCGAGGUUAAUUGAAUUUCAUCAAAUACUAAGUUCUCAUUUUUAAUUUGGUAAUUCAAUAGUAUAUAUCAAAUGACGAAAUGUAAUAUUUUAUACUUGAUUGAGAAAAUAAGUUUUAAGGUUAUGUAACUUAAAAUAGAGAGAGAUUUGUGGAAUGCAAUAAGGAAGGAAUAAACAUUGGUUUACGGAUCUAUGAUUUAUGUAAACUUGGGGGUUAGAGAGUAAAAUAUUGGAGUUCGAAAAUUUUUAAAACUAGUAGGAAAUAAUGAAAAUUAUGAAAAGAAAAAGUGUUUAUGCAUGUAAUUAAUCUUUAAAAGAAAAAGUAUCAGUGUUUUGAUUGAUUUUUGAAUAUCAAAUAAUGAUUUUAUUCCUACGAGUUUUUAUCAUUUUAAAAUUCGUUCUUCUUUUCUUCAAAUUACUAUCUGUAUUAGGCUUAAGUAAAACUUCUUUUAUACUUUGCCUUUUAUGUACAUUUUUAAGUUUUUCUUUCUAUUAUUUGUGGGAUCAAUAAUGUGAUGAUAUUGUAUCAAAGCGUAUUAUAAUAACUUCAAAUAAAUAAAUACAUAUAUAUAUAUAUAUAUAUAUAUAUAGAGAGAGAGAGAGAGAGAGAGAGAGCGGUAGAUAUUGAACAAUUGAUCAAUGUGCUUAUUUCUAUUAAAAAAAAUUUAUGAAAUAGAAUACGAUGAAAUAAGGUCAUUAAAAACUUUGCUAAUGACCAGUUCAAUGUUAUAAGUCUAUUGAGUAUAUUAAGUUAAGAGUUGGUAUUCAUAAUAUAAUCAAUGAGUGUGAAAGUGAAAAACGUGAAGAGGUUUUAUAUUUCUAUGGGUGUAAGUUUUAAUGACGAUAUAGCUCGUUGUCACAUGAUUUCAUAAAGGACUUGAGAAAUUGAUUCAAAAAUACAAUUUAGCUAAAGUCUAAAUAAGAAGUAAACGACUGAAAAUGAUACCAGACCGUUGUAAUUACCUAUUGAGAAACAGAAUGGACCAUGACACGUGUCUGAAAAAUCACUACAUGAAAAUUUGCGAAAAGUUUUCACUUUGACACUAAAGAUGUGAAAAAUAUUAUUUACGCAUUUCGAUGUUAAUUUCAAAGUUUUUUUGGGGCAAAUUUUAUUAAAUGUUGUAUCAUCUGAUUGUUUGUUGGGCAAAUUUUAUUUAAUGUCAUAUUAUCAUAUUACUUUAACUCUCUGUAUUAAUGGAUUUUUAAAAAAAAAAUUCACAGUUUAAAAUAAAUGAAUUGUUUAAAAUUUAAGAUUAUUUGUAAAUAUUUUUUCUUCGUAUAGACUCGAGGAAGUAGUGAGGAGCCAGAACUUUUAAUAAAAGCAUCCCAAAUCUGGAAAAAAAUAUGAAAUAGUGAAAGGGGGUUCAACAUCUACUAUAUGUACGUGAAAAUUACUUUAAUCAUAUUUAAAUCACACUGCAGAGAGUAAUAAAUAAAUCUAUUAACCACUGUGCUUCGGAGUUAAAAAGUAUACGGUUAUUUGAGUUAUAUUUUUCAGUUUCAAAAAAAUAUCAUUGUUGUGAUUGAUUCUUGAAUAUCAAAAUAAUGACUUAUUAUUACAAGUUUGUCAUUUUCAUUUUCUUUUAUUUUCUGAAAAUUACUAACUGUAUUAGGCUUAAUUAAAGCUUCUUUUCUGAUUUGUUUGUUAUCUACAUUUUUUUCUUUAUUCUUUCUUCUGUUUUGGAGAUCACAAAUGUUAUGAUAUUGUGUCAACGCAUAUGAUAAUAUUAUCAACGCGUAUAAUAAUAACUUAAAAUAUAUGUAUAGGUAGAUAUUGAACAAUUGAUCAUUGUACUUAUUACUUUUCAAAAUUAUUUUAUGAAAUAUAAGACGAUGAAAUAAGACCAUUACAAAAUUUGCUAACGAUCAGUUCAAUUUAAUAAACAUAUUGAGGAUAUUAAGUUAAUUGUUGGUGUACAUAAUAUAAUUCAGGUGUGAAAGUGGGAAAAUGGAAGAGGUUUUUUAUUUUCGUGGGUGUAAGUUUUAAUGACGAAAUAGUUCCUUGUCACGUGAUUUAAGAAGGGACUUGGAAAAUUGAUCCAAAAAUACAAUUUAGCUAGAGUCUAAAUAAGAAGUAACCAGCUGAAAAUGACACCAGUCCGUUGUAAUUAUCUACUGAGAAACAGAAUAGAACUUGACACCUGUUUGAAAAAUCACUACAUGAAAAUUUGCAAAAAGUUUUCACUUUCACACUACAAUUGUGAAAAAUAUUAUUUAUGCAUUUCGAUGCUGAUUUCAAAGUUCUUUUGGGCAAAAUUUAUUAAAUCUUGUAUCAUCUGAUUGAUUUUUUUGGCAAAUUUUUUUAAACGUCAUAUUACCAGAUUAUUUUAACUCCCUAUAUUAAUGACUUUUUAAUUUUUUUUAUAGUUUAAAAUAAAUGAACUAUUUAAAAUUUAAUAUAAUUGUUGAUUUUUUUUCUUCAAAUAGACUCCACGAAGUAGUGCGGAGUCAGAAUUUUUAAUAAAGUAAUUUAAAAUCAAAAGAAUAUACAUAGGAAGUAGCGAAGGGGGGUUCGCAUCUACUAUAUGUACCUAAAAAAUUACUUUAAUCAUAGUUAAAUCACACUGCAGAGUGUAAUAAAUAUAUCUAUUAACCAUUGUGGUUCGGAGUUAAAAAGUAUACGGUUAUUUGAGCUACAUUUUUAAGUUUUUUAAAAAAAUAUCAGUUUUUUGAUUGAUUCUUGAAUAUUAAAGUAAUGAUUUAAUUCCUAUGAGUUUCUGUCAUUUUAAAAUUUCCGUUCUUCUUUUCUUGAAAAUACUAUUUGUAUUAGGCUUAAUUAGAGCUUCUUUCCUACUUUGCUUGUUAUCUACAUUUUAAAGUUAUUCUUUCUUCUGUUUUGGGGAUCACUAAUGUGAUGAUAUUGUAUCAACCGUAUAAUAAUAUUAUUUAUGCGUAUAAUAAUAACUUAAAAUAUAUGUAUAGGUAGAUAUUGAACAUUUGAUCAUUCUGCUUAUUUAUUUUGAAAAUAUUAUGAAAUAGGAGACGAUGAAAUAAGGUCAUUACAAACUUUGCUAAUGAUCAGUUCAAUGUUAUAAACUUAUUGAGGAAAUUAAUUCAAGUGUUGGUGUUCAUAAUAUACUCCAGGUGUGUGAAAGUAAAAAAAAACUUGAAGAUGUUUUUUAUUUCUGUGGGUGUAAGUUUUAAUGACGAAAUAACUCCUCGUCACAUGAUUUUGAAGAAGGGACUUGAGAAAUUGAUCCAAAAAUAUAAUUUAGCUAAACUCUAAAUAAGAAAUAACCAACUAAAAAGGACACCAAUCCUUUGUAAUUAUCUACUGAGAAACAGAAUGGAACUUGAAACGUGUCUGAAAAAUCGCUACAUGAAAAUUUGCAAAAAGUUUUCACUUUGACACUAAAGAUGUGAAAAAUAUUAUUUAUGCAUUUCGAUGGUGAUUUCAAAGUUUUUUGGGAGCAAAAUUUAUCAAUUGUUGUAUCAUAUGAUUGUUUUUUGGCCAAAUUUUAUUAAAUGUCAUAUUAUCAGAUUAUUUUUACUCCGUGUAGUAAUGAAUUUUUUUUAUUUUUUUCAUAGUUUAAAAUAAAUGAAUUGUUUAAAAUUUAAGAUUAUUUGAUAAUUUUUUUCUUCAUAUAGACUCAAGAAAGUAGUGACGGAGCUAGAACUUUUAAUAAAAACAUUCAAAAUCUGAAAAAAUAUACACAGAAAAUAGUGAAAGGGCGUUCAACAUCUACUAUAUGAACCUAAAAAUUACUUAAAUCAUAUUCAAAUCACAGUGCAGAGAGUAAUAAAUAUAUCUAUUGAUCACUGUGGUUCUGAGUUAAAAAGUAUACGGUUAUCAGAGUUAUAUCUUUCAGUUUUAAAAAAUAUCAUUGUUCUUAUUGAUUCUUGAAUAUCCAACUAAUGAUUUAUUCUUACAAGUUUGUCAUUUUUAAUUUUUCUGUUAUUUUCUAAAAAUUACUAACUGUAUUAGGCUUAAUUAAAGCUUCUUUUCCGAUUUGUGUGUUAUCUACAGUUUUUUCGUUAUUCUUUCUUCUGUUUUGGAUAUCACUAAUGUUAUGAUAUCGUUUCAACGCGUAUAAUAGUAUUAUCAACACUUAUAAUAAUAACUUAAAUAUAUGUAAAGCUAGAUAUUGAACAAUGGAUCAUUGUACUUAUUACUUUUGAAAAAUAUUUUAUGAAAUAUAAGACCAUGAAAUAAGAUCAUUACAAACUUUGCUAAUGAUCAGUUCAAUGUAAUAAAAUUAUUGAGGAUAUUAAGUUAAUUGUUGGUGUACAUAAUAUAUUUCGGGUGUGAAAGUGGAAAAAUCUAAAGAGGUUUUUCUAUUUUCGUGGGUGUAGCUUUUAAUGACGAAAUAGUUCCUUGUCACGUGAUUUAAGAAGGGACUUGGGAAAUUGAUCUAUAAAUACAAUUUAGCUAGAGUCUAAAUAAGAAGUAACCAACUAAAAAUAACACCAGUCCGUUGUAAUUAUCUAAUGAGAAACGGAAUAGAACUUGACACGUAUUUGAAAAAUCACUACAUGAAAAUUUGCGAAAAGUUUUCACUUUCACACUACAAAUGUCAAAAAUAUUAUUUAUGCAUUUCGAUGUUGAUUUCAAAGAUUUUUUGGGCAAAUUUUAUUAUAUCUUGUAUCGUCUGAUUGUUUUUUGGGCAAAUUUUAUUAAAUGUCAUAUUACCAGAUUAUUUUAACUCCCUAUAUUAAUGACUUUUAAAAUUUGUUUAAAUAAAUGAACGGUUUAAUAUUUAAGAUAAUUGUUGAUUUUUUUCUUCAUAUAGGCUCCACGAAGUAGUGCAGAACAAGAAUUUUUAAUAAAGGAGUUUAAAAUCUAAUUAUUAUACACAUGAUGUAGCGAAAGGGGAUUCACAUCUACUAUAUAUACCUAAAAAAUUACUUUAAUCAUAGUUAAAUCACACUGCAGAGAGUAAUAAAUAUAUCUAUUAAUCUUUGUGGUUUGGAAUUAAAAAGUAUACAGUUAUUUGAGUUUUAUUUUUCAGUUUUUAAAAAAAAUAUUAGUGUUUGUAUUGAUUCUUGAAUAUUAAAGUGAUGAUUUUAUUCCUAUGAGUUUCUGUCAUUUUAAAAUUUCCGUUCUUUUUUUAAAAUUACUAUUUUUUCAUAAAAGAUUUAGUUCUAUUUGUAUUAGGUUUAAUCAAAGUGUCUUUUCUCAUUUGUUUGUUACAGUUUUUAAGUUAUUCUUUCUUCUGUUUUGGAGAUCAAUAAUGUUAUGCUAUUAUUUCAAUGGGUAUAAUAAUAUUAUCGACGCGUAUAAUAAUAACUUAAAAUAUAUGUAUAGGUAGAUAUUGAACAUUUGAUCAUUCUGCUUAUUUAUUUUGAAAAUAUUAUGAAAUAGGAGACGAUGAAAUAAGGUCAUUAUAAACUUUGCUAAUGAUCAGUUCACUGUUAUAAACUUAUUGAGGAUAUUAAUUUAAGUGUUGGUGUUCAUAAUAUAAUCCAGGUGUGAUAGUGGGAAAAACGUGAAGAUAUUUUUUAUUCCUGUGGUUGUAAAUAUUAAUGACGAAAUAGCUGCUUGUCACGUGAUUUAAUAAUGGACUUAGGAAAUUGAUCCAAAAAUACAAUUUAUCUAGAAUCUAAAUAAGAAGUAACUGACUAAAAAUGAUUCAUGUCCGUUGUAAUUAUCUACUUAGAAACAGAAUGGAAUUUGACAUGUGUCUGAAAAAUCACUACAUGAAAAUUUGUGCAAAAAUUUCACUUUCACACUACUGAUGUGAAAAAUAUUAUUUAUGCAUUUCGAUAUUGAUUUCAAAGUUUUUUCUGGCAAAAUAUAUUAAAUGUUAUAUCAUCUGAUUGUUUUUGGGCCAAUUUUAUUAAAUGUCAUAUUAUCAGAUUACAAUAUGUGAUGUAUUAUCAGAAACUGCAUUCUUUUAUAUUCUUUUUGUUUUGUAUACUAUAUGAUUAAUAUUCUUUAUUAAUUUUAUAUUUUAUACUAACUAAUUCCUAAUUUAAUUAUUUAAUAGUUAUAUUUUUCAUCAAUAAAUCUCACUAUAUUUAUUUAUUCAGUUUUUCAACAAAUACCACAAUUUUCUUCGUCUUUUGCGCCAAAGAACACCCAACUCAUCACCACCAUAACCCUACCUCCACAACAGUGUUCCCUCUUCUUUUCUGACAAACUAGUAGCCAUCCAAAACUUCAAAUCAAUUAUCAACAAACACCGAGUCAGACCCCUUUUCCUUAUCCCUUUUUUAUUUUAUUUUUUUUUAUUUAUUUUGCAGGUGUUCUAGCGAGCUCGAAGCUUCUUUCACGAUUAUGACAACCUUCCAAUGAGUUCUGCACUUUCAGAUCUGAACAACUAACAAACAACCACAAUGAUCAACACCACUAGAUCGACUAUCGUCGUUGUGAUGCUUUUAGAUUAUGGAGGGUAAGGAGGAUUUUCAAUUUUAUUGCUUUUUUACACUUUAAUUUUCCUGAGUCAGAUUUUCUUUUUGUUAUCUUUUGUCAUUUCAAUUUUAGGAGUGAAUAAAUUUACUUAAGAGUAAAAUUUAGAAUGUAUAAUAGAUCGACAUGAUAAUUCAAAUGAGUAUUAGAAUUUUCUAGAUAAAUUCAAAGAGAAUCUAUGCCUAAUCUCAAUUCAAGUGAGUAUUAGAAUUUUCUAGAUAAAUUCAAAAAGAAUUUAUGCCUUAUCUCAAUUCAAUUAUAAUAAAGUGUGAGGAGGGAAAACCUCGUGACUUGAGUUGUGUGAGUGAAAAUUUGCAUGUGUGGUCUUAGGAGGGAGUGCUGGAGUAUGAAGAAUCCCAUUAACGUACCCCUAUUUAGAAAUCAAGCUAGGUUUAGAUAAAAACAAAAGUGGAAACUUAGUUAGUUAGAAAAAUAUUCGCUUGAAAAACUUAUUAAAAUUGCUCUUUCAAACUUGAAAUUUAUUUUGUGAUUUGUUAUUUUUUUUAAAAAGAUCCAAUAUAACCAAACAUUAUUAGAAAAAUUAUAGAAAUUCCAUUAGCUCAAGAGUUAAUUAUUUAGAUACAAUCUGAUUUGCGAUUCUACAACUUUUAUUAGAUUUUGAUGCAUUCAGAUAUAUUCAUAUACAUGUAUCUCAUGAUAUAAAAUUUGGUGUAAUUUAUACUAGAUAUAUUGUAUCCACUAAUCCUAAAUCAUCUCCAGUAAUAGCAACAAUUCAAAUUUUUUGAAAAUUUGGACAUAUUUGCCUCUGAAGCUCAGUUAUGGUUAAUGAAACUGAUAUGUAGAGCUUAAUUGCAUGCUCUAGAGUCUUCAAAUUUUUUGGUGCUGACUGAAAAAUCAGAAAAAACUUGUGAUUGUUCCUAUUUAUUUAAAUUACAAAAAUUCAGACUGAUUAUUAGUUGUUGUCUAAAGAUAUUUUUUUUAUGUAAAAACUGUUGAAAAAAAUUAUUUUAGAUCUCAAAAAAAUAUUCAUACUUGUGUCUAGGUUCUUUUAAUUAUAACUUUUGAUGAAUAUUUAAUACGCUAAUUAUUCUAACAUAUUACUGAUGAUACUUAAAUGUCCUAAUUAGUUUUGUUUGACCUUUUUUCUAACCCCUGUCUAUUUAUAACACAAAUACAUUAAUUAUGAGUCAUUUCUUUACUGCAAUUCUAAGUUAAACUGUAAAUGUCACUUUAUUUCCAUUGAUUUAUUACAUUGAAGGUAGAUUUUUAUAUCCAAUAUUUUACACCCUAUACAUGUUUUUUUCUUUUGCUUGUAUUUGGCAGUAGAAGAUUGAUAGACACACUUCAAGCUAUGAGAAUUUCCUAAAAUGUUCAUGAUAAAAUAUUUUUCAGUAAGAUUUUCAACAGUUUUAAGAAUAUUUCAUAUACUUUAUUUCUUCUGAAAAAUACUACUAAACCGGUAAAAUUGAUAGGGUUGAUAUCAACACUGGCCAACGAACAAAGUAAUAAUCAAGAGACAAUGGACAAUCUGAUAUGUACAAGGGAGACAAAUGACAACUUCAAGCCUACUCCAUGUAAGUUUUCAACUGGGAGAAUAGUUGGACUUCUUUGUGUUCAUGAAGAAGGUAUGUGACAAAACUAUAUAUUUAAAGUUUUAAUAUUGUGUAUGGAAAAUUGAGCCAAUAGAUUUCUCAAAUUUGGAGAAAUAAAUAUUCUGCUAAGGAAAAACUUUACUAAGCAGAUGAUAUAUUUGUGUGGUCAUUUCUAAAAUGAAUCAUGUGGGGUUGUGACUAAUACGUAAAAAAUUGGAUUUUAGAUUUGGAUGGUACCAAGUAUACUUGUGCAUUACACCCAAGUUGAAUAAAAGUGACUUAUAUAUAUUAGGGAUUCUAGAACUACUAACGUUCUUAGAAUGGAAAAAUUCAUCUUAUUAAACUCACAUAUGAAAAAUAUUGAUAUUAUCUAAGGUGGUAUAUACGAUUUAAUAUUCGAGUCAAUGAUCCUUAUGGAAAUAUGAUCAAAAGUUGAAACCUCUUAUUUGAGUAAGAUAAAAUUUAACAAAAUUUUUAAAAAGAUUUAUCAACAAAUGAAAAUUCUAAGUCAAAAAAUAACUUAGAAACCCAUUAAAAAUCCAAUAUUUAGAGUAGUUGAGAUAGAUGAUAGUAAUCUGAUGACAGAAUGCUUUGUUAAAUGCUUAUUGUUUGAUAGAACGCUUUAGAGAUCAUUAACUUGUAACAAUUUUAUUGAGUGGCUAAGCAAUCAUAUUUGGGUUGCUUUUGAUGCAUAAAUUUGUGUUGAAAUUGAACAUGCUAAGAAGUUACAUCUUUGUGUUUUUUGAUCAUCCAAAAUUUAGUCUUAAUUCUUUUGAACGUCUUGAAACAUAUAAAUAAUACUAGAUGUGAAAAUUAUUAUUGUCACAUUUGUGAAUAUCUUCGUACAUAUACAAAUGGUUUUUGUUGAAAACAAAGCGAUGAAGUUUUUAACAUUUUAAUUUAUAAAUUUGUACGUUACAUACAAAAUUUGAAAACUUAAUGAAAAGUUAUCUCUCUAUUAUGAAAUACUUUGAAAUUUUAGGGGUGUUUUGUUAAGGUUGUAUUACAUAAUAGUAAGAAAAGAGAAAAAAUAGAAUCUAUGUUUUUUAAUUCUAUGUUAAUAAAUGUUGUGAUAGCCAAUUGUGAUGUGAUUGAAUGUAACAUUAGAGUGGGAAAACAUAUUAACGAUUUUGUAAAGUUUAUUAUAAUUCUCAUGUUCUUGUUGAGAUAUUGCAUCUUGAUGCAUUGUUUUGGAAAGAAAUAAUUGUUGAUACAUGAGAGGUGCCACAAGUAUAGUAUCAAUUUAAUAUUUUGUUGUACUAGAACUUUAGAAGGGUACAAUGAUGCAAUGUGAAUCUCAAAAUUCGAUAGUGAUGAUGAGUUAUUAUUGAUGACGGGGCCAUAACAUAAAAGGCAAGUAAUUAGUGUUUAGUUUUCGUACAGGAGUUGAUUAGUGAUCAAUAAGACAACUCUUAGUGUGUAUUUCAAAUGGAACAAAACAAACAUUUUUAUCAUAAAAUUAGAUAUAUGUGUUUAAGGCGUAAUAUAGUAAAAGAACUGUUGUGAGAUUCAAUAAUAACGACAAGCUCUUGAGCUCUUAGCGCAAAACCACAAUAAAGAUAAAGAUUGAGCGGGAAUAAUGUGAUAGAAUAAGACACUUAACUUAUAAAAGAAUUAUUGGUUCAUAGAAGUUGUAAACUUCAGUAAUUGUUUUGUAAGUUUAAUCUUAUUUACCUAUCAAAAUAAAAGAAGAUAAUACAAAUUAUGUUCUUAUAGGCUAUAGCAUAUGUAGGUAAUAGGUGUACUUGUUGUUAAUGGGCACUUAGUUGAGUGUUGUAGAGGAGUAGUUCUUACUAACACCAAAAAAUACUUUCUAUCUGAACAUGAAAGUGAAGUUGAAAGAUUGAUGCAACAACUUUUAGGUUGUGCUUUCAUAGAACAUAUUUGUGGUUGGUGGUAUUGGAAAGUUGGAAAUUCGGCAAGACAUUUUUCCUUGCUCCAAAAUGCAACGGUUAUUUUGUUUAAGUGAUAUUUUUAGGUAUGUAGAAGAAAAUGAGAUUGAUACAGUCUCGCAAAAGAUUAAUCAAACUGAGGGUGUGUAGUUAGAGGUUCCGAUCCCUGAUCCAAGUUGGAUCCCUUUUCUAAAUCAUUAAGUGUAGUUGCUCUUGGUUUCUCUUAAAAUCUUUUACUAUCUUCAUAUUGAAUCCAAAACCUACACAUGUCGUUGAUCCUCGAAAUCUCAAUCAAGUUGGGUCACAUGUAGAAGAAGUUCAACAUGUUGAGUAAAAGUCCAACGACUCUUUGGAAGAUGGGAGACAUGUUGGUGAUGAAAGAUAGAUUGUUGUGGAAGGUGAAUCUAGUUUCAACGAGGAUCAGAACCCAACAAAUACAGAAUUCGCUAAUUCUGUUGCCCAAGAGGAUUCUGCAAAGAAGUCAUAUGCAUCAAUCGUCACUUUAGAAAGAAGAAAGGGCAAUCCAAAUUCUAGUUACCCACAAAUACUUCCAGAAUGUCUCCCCGAAAGGCUGUAAAACAGCUGGUUGCUGCAGUAGCACAAACUGCAGCUCUUGAAACAUCAAAUACUACAGCCCUUGGCGGAAUUAAUGAACCUGAAACUAAUGAUACGGAACAUGAAUGUAUAAUUUCUUUGAAACUAGCCUGAAAUAUAAUCAUUACUUCCAUUAUGUGAUGGACACAUCUAUAUGUGACAAAAAAAUGAAAUAGGCAUGUUCUAUUUAAUUUUUGAGCAAAUGAAGUAGCAUAAUAAGUAGAUGUGGUUUGAUCUAGAUGUUGGGUUAUUUGAUUUACUAGCAUUGUUAUGCUUAUUCUGCUUUAGACUUUCUUAUUGUUUAUGGUCCCAGUAAGAGUACAUAAUUAUCUAAUGUACUUCGAUUUUAAUUAAAAUUUAAAAUUUAAGUAAAUUAGAUGAUUAUGUGCUCUUGCAGGGACUUUCAGCAAUAAGAAAGUAAGAAGCAGAAUGACAUGACAACUGCAAGCAGAUCAAAUAAUACAACAUCUAGAUCAAACUCAAAACACAUCUACUUAUUGUGCUCCUUUAUUUGCUAAAAAAAUUAAAUACGAACAUUCCUAUGCCAUUUUUUCUGACAUAUAGAUGUGUCCAUCACAAGAUGGAUGUAAUGAGUUUAUUUCAUACAGGCUUCAAGAUAUUAUACCUUCAUCUUCAGCAUAAUUAGCUUCACGUACAUCGAUUCCACUAGGGAUAGUAGGAUUUGAUGCUUCAGGUGCUGCAGUUUGUGCUACUGCAGCAACCGUCUUUUUUACAGCCUUCAGAGGAGCCAUUCUUGAAGUACUGGUGGGUGCAUAGAUUUUAGUUGGCCCUUUCUUUGUUUGUGAACUGACAAUUGAUGCAUAUGACUUCUUUGGAGCAUCCUCCUGGGCAACAGAAUUAGUUGAUUAGUUGUUCUCUUUAUAUGUCUGAAUUUGGUAUACUACUUUAAGUUUUUCUAAGUUUAUCUUUUGAAUUAGAAUUUCUAUUUCUUGUUAAAUCUGAAAAUUGUGUUAACGAGAUCAGAGAAUGGCAAGCUUGUGCAAGUAUGAACCUUAUGGAAACUGAGUUAGAAAAAAAAGAUAAUUAUAAUUUAAUUGAUAUAAAUAAUUGAUCUAAAUAGAGUUUGCUAUAGUUCUAUAAUUUUUAACUCAGACAAAUGGAUUGAUGAGUGCUCUAUGUUUCAUGCUAGUUUUCUGACCCCAACUGAAUUUGGCAAACAUGGUGGUGGAGGUGACGUUGACGUUGAAAACCCUUUAAAGCAUAUAAACAUAAUUCUUGACUACUGAAGAGUGGACUAAUGCUUUAAUAUGGUUUUUAGGUGAUCUUUCCUUUUGUUUUUUUUUGUACUGAAAAAGUUCAAUGGCUAUUGCCCAAAAAGACAUUAGCUUUGAUAUCAGUGUUGUUUGAUCUCUUGUCUUAUUUCUUAAAAGACAUUAGCUUUGAUAUCGUUAUUAAUUGAUCUUACAUUUUAUUGCCUAAAAAGGCAUUAGCUUUGAUAUCGUUAUUAUUUGAUCUUUCGUUUUAUUGUUUGUCCAUUCUAUCAAAGAUUUAUUAAGGUUAUGUUUUGGUCAUUCUGCUUGUUUUUCUGGCUAUGCAGUGCUUAUUUGAGCCUUAAUUAGAAGCAACUAAUAGCUAUUAAAGGGUUUCUAAGUUAUUUUUCAAUUAGAGAUUUUCAUUUUUUGCUACAUUUUGAAAAUAGGUAUUGAAACACCUGAUAUUAGUUGUUUUGUUUAUGUUCUAGGAUUUGGUAUCUACUGCUUUAAGGUUUUCUAAUUUUAUUUUUCGAGUUAAAAUUUCUAUUUCUUAUUAAAUAUGAAAAUUAUGUGUUAACGAGAGGAUGGCAAGCCUGUGUAAGUCGGACCUUAUGGAAAAUGAGUUAGUAAAAAAAUAAUUAUAAUUUAAUUUAUAUAAUUGACUCAAAUAGAAUUUGUAAUAGUUUUGUAAUUUCGAGUUCAUGACAACGGAUUGAUGAGUGCUCUAUCCUUCAUAAAUAAAAUGAAGGAUUAAAAUUUUAUUUGUAGCGUUUUCUCCUAUUUUUCGCCUGAUGGUCUAAACAAUUUAUAGUUAUCCCUGAUUUUCUGUAUAUUUUGUUAGGAAAUUCUUCUAUCAUAAAUUCAAAGCAAGAAUUUUACUAUGUAACUAAUAUGGUUAUGUACAAGUUAUGUAUAAUAAGUUUUUUUAAAAAACAAUUAAUUUGCGCAAUUUUGGGCCUGUAAACUAAUUCAUUAAAUUCCAUAUCAUUUUUUCAAAUUAUUUUACUUGUCUAUCGACAUGUGAGAGAGGAGAUGAGUAAUGUGUGAAGUGAAUAUUACCAACCUAUAUCAUCUAUCUCGCCUCAUCUAAAUAUUAUAAAAAUAUAAUUAAUAAUACUUUAAAAAAUUCUCAUAGACAAAGUGAAUACUGAUUAAAUCAGAAAUCUCAGUUUUAAACUUAUGCAAUCUCCAAGUACACGAUGUCAUAGCCAAGUCUGAAUUAUAGCUUGAUCACUAAAAAAAAGUACAACAUUAAAAGCUAAAUUUUGAUUUUUCUUUAUGUGUGUUAGGGUUUUUUGUUAAUUGCUUUAGAUUUUUCUAAGUUUAUCUAUCAAUUAUAUAGUAAUACAUAUAUUAUUAGCUACGUUAUAUUGGGUUGCUAUUUUUGAUGGACAAAUAUACGAAUGACUUUUCUAGGUUUUUGAAACCCAAUGUAAUUUUGGGUUUACGGGUAAAUUUACAUGUGCGGUUUAGGUUUUAGGGAUGAAUUGAUUGACAUAUUUGAUCCUCUUCUUUAAUUGUGAUGUGAAUUUCAUAAGUUCUUGAUCCCUUAUUCAAAAAAUAGAUGUAAUUAUGAAUGUGUAUGGCAAUUUAUGGAGUUUUAGGCCUCCAUGGCAAAAAUAGAUUCUCCACAGCCUCAAGCCGUAAAAGAGAGACCAGAAAAACCUAGUUAUGCAUCUAUUCCUAAUCCAUCAACUUGCAUUCAAAAAUCUGAUGGAAAACUUCCAAAAAAAUUAAAACUUGUGACAUAUGUUCAUGGCGAACCAACAGUGAGUUUAAGCUUUUCGGAUUUGGAAUUGUAUAUCCAAGAAGAGAACUUGCAAUAUACUUUUAUUCCUAAGUUCUCUUAUGGGAGACCUGAUAUGAUUGAUCUCAGAAAGGUUUUUACAUGAUACUUCGAAAUCAAAUAAGAUUGCAAUUUGGGACUACUUGACCAUCGUCAUGUUUUGGUGAGAUUAUCGAACCGGGAAAACUUUGUGGAGGUGUAUUCUAGGGUAGUAUCAUUCAUCACAUUAAAAGAAAAAAGGUGUGAGUAAUCAAUAACAAUGUCGAACUCAACAUUGGACACCAUGGUUUAAUCCAAAAGAGGAGACACCAAUUGCUUUGCUCGUCAAGCCUGUUUUCACUAGCAUCAGCCGCUGGUACACCCCUACAAGUUGAUAAGGCAAUAACUAGUAAGUCAAGGCCUAGUGCAGCUACGGUAAAGGUGGAGGUCAAUCUAUUAUCAUCUCUUCCGGGUAUAGAAUCAUACUCCUUCAUCUAGUAGGAGUAAGUAAAUCCCUCAAGCACUCAAAUUUGUGCCUACAAGUAAGACAAAUGCAUCUAUGGUAGUCUUAGAUACUUUAUCUAAUUUGAGUGCUACAAAAGUAAUCUUAGAUAAUAAGUAUUUCCUUCCUAACUUGGGCUGUGACAUAUAUGAUGGGAAUAAUGAAGAUGAUAUGUUGGGAUGGUAAGGUGAGUGGGGAAUUUAUUCCAAGGCACUUACCGUGCGACUGGCAAAGCAAAAUCAUAUGAUAGUGACAACAACUUUAUCAAGAUCCUACAAAUCCAACAAGAAGUGCUGAACUAUAAAUCAUUCUGUGAAAAGUUUGAAAAAGAAGAUAAGAAGAAAAUACUUUAGAUAUACUUCUAACGUGCAAACAACUUUUUUUAGUUCAUACAUAUAUCAACUGAAGUUUGAGUUGGAUAACUCAUCUUUAUUCCUAGAUUUUAUAUUCUUGCAUUACUUAUGAAUCCUCAUUUGUAAUAUCAUCAUAGUGAGAAUUAUAAACUUGGUGAUGAUCAUAGAAUAUCUAGUUUUCUCUACUUCUUAUUUUCUCCAUGCUUGUUAAUUAGUACAGACUUGUUAUCUCAUUAGCAAUAGUAAGGUAAGGCCUAGACCCACUUGCUUGGACUCAUCCCUAUUGAUAUUUUUUUAUUUUCAAUAAAAGGCCGCUAGACGCUCUCAUUAGUGGUAAAUUUAGUUUAACAAAAAAAAAGUUUUAAAAUGCAAACCCAAAAAUCCCGUAAUGAAUCACUUUCUGAUAAUUUUGUAUCUUGAGUAUCCUAAAUUUGUUUAUGAUGAAACCUGCCUUUAAUGUCAAGAGGUAUUUAAAACAGAAUAAUUCAUAUUCAGGGUCAAAGCAAAAUUGAUUAUCCAAAUCGAUAAUUUGGUUAUUGGAUCAAUGGCUUGGGUUAAUGGGUUAACAGUUCGAGUUUUAGUCUACUAUAAACUUCUUAUGGGCUUAUCGAUUCGCGUCGCGGUUUGAUCAUAUUUCUUAUUGGGUGACUAAUAACCCGAUAUGAAAUUCAAUUAAUUGCAUUUAUAUCACUUAAGGUCUUAGGCACUCUUAGCGUUUAGGCUUUACACUUUAGACUUCAGACUCAUUAUAGUGACAUCAUAGUUGACACUCAUCAUAUUCCAUAUAAAGUUAAUUACGUAAUAUUGUAUUUAAACUAAUAACACAAUAGAAUACAACAGGCUACAACCAUUCAAACAGUGUGUUACUGUUGGUUGACCACCAUUAGUUUGAGGGGAAGCUAAUCACAAGCAAUUACAAUCUCUACCUACCAUAAUUCUCUUAAUAAACUGAAAAUGUGGUACAGUGCUACACGAAAUCAGAUAUGAGAAAGAAACCACCAAAAAUGUGGCAUGGUGCUAUAAAAAUCGAUUAUGAGCGAGUAUCACCAGAAAGAUACGUAGUUACCCAACUUUUGCUUAUAUAAUUGUUGGAUAGAUGUCUAACAUCUCGUAACUAGAAUUAACUAAGAAUAAGUUAAGAAGCCAAAAAUAAGUAUUUUUGAAAAUAAGUAAGGAAAUCUAUAAAAUUUCCAGCGAGUUUUGGUCAUUUUCAAACGGCCAUAACUUCCAUCUCAAAAGAAGUUUGGCUGAGUUCUUUAUAUGGUUGGGAAUACCUUGAGAAUAUAUUUCCAACGCUUCCGAGUUUGCACAACUCCGAUGUCAUAUGAGGGAGAAAUGUCUUUCAGAAGUUUGGUUAUUGGACUGAGGAAAGUCCAAUCAAAAUUUUAGUAAAGCCAAAGUUGUCUUUUCACCCUAGUAUUUCCUAAUUUUUUAAGGUUAUAUUAGGGGUGAAAACAAGUCCCAAAUAAGUUUUUCAAUAUUUAAGACGCUUAGGGUUUGGGAGAAAAUGAUAAAAUAAUAUGAAGACCAAGAAUCGUCCAUGAACGCUAAGAUCAUUGCGUGGAUUUCGUCGGGGGUGAUCUCUACCAAGGUAUGUGAGAUCAUUUGGUGUUGGUUCCUUUCACCCACCCUAAAGCUUGAUUCAAUACAACAAUUUAGAGUUAUUUUUAAAAAAAAUCUUGAAGUUCUUGAUGAAAAGUUGUGAAGUUCUUGUUGAUUGAAUUGUAGAAUCUCUAGUAGUUUUGAUUCAUGUUUCUGUACUGUUUUCGGGUCUAAACUAUUGGGUAAUGAGUUAAUUAGGCAUCCUAAGUGUUUGGGUAGGGAUUCAUGGGAUUUUGGGAGGUUGACAUAUGAAAAAUGAAGAAUAAAAGUCGAAGGUCCUAUCAGACACCCCCUGGGGCGCCGCGCCUGCCAGAGCUCCUAAAGGAAGGCUCUGUCUGACAAGCCCUAACUCAGCGCGACAGCCAUAGAGCCCCCAACCAGGGUCUGUCCAAUAGGCCCUGGCUCUCCAUACCUCUCAGAGCGCCAAUAACCCCUGGAGACCCCGUUCUUUCCCUAUCUUUUCGUAAUAGUUUCUAAGUGAUGUACCCUUCAUUCUUAGUUGAUUUCAACACUCUAGAUUACAUCUAAACAUCAUGAAAUCAUCCAUAAGUAUGAGAUCAUGAUCCUUGAAUCCAUAAUCCAAAUUCAAGGGAAGUUAGAACCAAAGUCAAGAAAGUAAGAAGUUAAGUCUAAAGUUAUAAAGUAGGUAAGAGUAAAAUUUUCAAAGUUCUUAGAGUCUUACUUAAAAGUUUUUAAUUUGUUUUAAGGCUCAAGUUCGAGUAAAUGAAAAGAGUAAAUGUUGAGUUCAUUUAUCAAAAAGGUAUAAAAAGAUAUAAGGGAACUAAGUAUUCCCUAAGAGUUAAAUUUUCAAGUUAAGUAAGAGCAAGAGUUGAGGUCAUUCCUCUAAAGUUAUAAAGGGGACUAAGUAUUCCCUAAAGGUUGAUAAAUGUUUUUACAUUUAAGUUAAAAGGAAACUAAGAAGUUUCAAAAGAGUUUUAAACUAAAGAGGGGAACAUUGUUUCCAAACGGAGCUCUUUAAGCUAAAGGGUUCAGUAAAUUAUCUCAACCAAAAGGAAGGAAGUUUUAUUAAAACUAUGAGCUAAAUUACAUUUUCGGAGUAGUAUUGAGCACUAAUGUGGGAAUGAGAGUUCAGAUAAAUCAACUCCCCAUGUAAACCAUGUAGCAUCAUGGGUAUUAACGUGUCAUACUUUUUAGAUGAUCACUUAAGGUUAGCUAGUGGAUCCACUAGGUAGAGGAUGUUUUAUGCAACGACAAAGUAUGGAACAGUUCUGGCAGUGUGGGCAAGACGUUGUAUCACCACUUAGGCUCAUAGUGGUGGUUGUCGGUUAGAGAAAUUCCCGCCGGAACUAUGUUACUUUCAUAUAUAAGUAAAGCUGAGUUUGUUAUCGUUAUAUCUUUAAUGAACUAAGAAAUACACUAUUUUAUCCAUUUUACAUAAAUAUGCAUUGCAUAUGUCGUUACUGCUUUAUAUUGAGUUGUUAUCUUAUUAGUUAAGUAGAGCCAAGGUAAAUUCAUGCUUACUCCAUUUCAAACUUUAUAGUUGUGUUUAGCACU